rnacentral:lncRNA from 1 species
UCACCUCCGGUUGCAAGCCCUUCAUCUCGAACCGCAUUCACAUCAUUCUUCCACCAUUCUCCUGCAUUUCAACAACUUCAAUAAUUUUAGAUUUUGCUUUGUUGGUUAAUUCAUAAUAUGUAAAUUAACCUUUAAAAGUAACAACACUUAUACCUAAUAUGAUAGGGACCUCUCUGUCAGGUUUGUGAAAAGGAUACUUGGUUCCAUUCUUGGGAUAGAUAAUUAUAGCUCCAUGAACAGUGGCUCGGGUCCAAUCACUGUGAGCAUGCCACCAUAGAGUGCCUUCUUCAGUGGAAAGGAUGAUCUUCUGUGUAAACUUUGACCCUGGCCGAAUUGGGCAUUGUGUGAUAUACUCGGGACCAUCUGUCCAUGGAUAUCUAGGCAUGGUCACCCCAUGCCUGCGAAACCAUAACUAUACGUUAAAACUAGUACUAAUUUUCAAAGUAACAAAAGAUGGCAUGCAACAACAUAUUAUCAUAGUAACAAGAGGCAUCAAUUGUAUUUCAAUGGAACUAAAGCAAAUAACCUUAAAGUAUUGUUUUAAAUUUGACUUUAUUUUCAAAGUUAUAUAUUGUAGCCCCCUCUUAGAUAUAAAAGAAUGUAUGUCAUGCAAGCAUGCUACCACUGCUCUUUCUUUGAGACACGCACAGGACCUACCAAUGAAUGGUGAUGUUUUCGUUUCCCUUGUUAUAAACGUCGACAAUGAUCGUCUCUCCUUUCGUAGCAUAUAUGGUUGGUCCCGGAAAUUUUCCAUUUACUGUUAAGAUGUUCUUGGUGCUACAAAGCCUUUUAUAUGAAGCUUCCCUCACCUGCAACCAAUUAAAAGUUAGCCAUGCAACCUCAUCCCAAAAGAAAUAUUACAUGCAUGAAUAGUUGUAUCGAUCCAUUCAUGUAAGUGUAUAACCAAUUAGAAAUUGAUAGCAUGCAUGAAUGACUCAACGACACCAAGGUAGUAGGUCAUAUGGUACGAAAUGAGAGCCAUACCACUCCCUAAAUAUCAUGAUUACAAGGUGGCGUUAAGGCCAGAAUCAUAUAUAGAAUUUACCACAAAAGUAAGCCGACGGGUCGAAGCUUGGCAAUGGAUUCCACCACCAAAAACUAGAAACGCUAAAAUUUGCAGGAGGAAAACCUUCAUGAUCAGCCACAUUUUCCUUGGAAUAAAAGCCUCUUCUCUUGUCCUAAACACAACUCCUUCAAUUCUCUUACUGCUUUUGAUGUAUUUCUUUCAUAUAUGGUUCAUUAUAUAGGCAUGGUAAUUCUCUCGGGAUACAAUACGUGUCAAUAUAAGAGGAAGUGAUUUGAAUGUGUAUUGGUUUUCAAUGUUCUUUCAGGACGACUUCAAUGAGCAGGACCACUUCAAAAAUAAUUAAUUACGUACACGUUAUUGAUUAUUUUAGAAUAUUCUUUCAAAAGUCUUUUAUUGAUUAUUUCAACAAAUUUUAAUUAAUUAAAUAUAUGUAGAAUAAUUUUAAAACUUUGACUUCCCGUAUGAGUACAAUUUGUCAUGAUCGUUGGUGUAGAUAUAAAAAGAGACUAAAUUAAAGGAUUUUGAAAAUGUGUCGACAAGAACAUCAUUGAAAAAUUUGAAGGUUCCAAUUUUGUGGGUCAUGCAAUUUAUUGGACACUGAAUGGAUAAACAAGCCACGCUCUCCACUUAUUUUCUUUCAAUAUAUAAGCCUUGUACGUGAUGUUGGUUGACUAUUAUGAUAGUAAAUUCGGGAGGAUGUUUAAAUGGACGGGCAAGAUAAGAAAUAGAUUUUCUAUUAAGAUAUUUGAAUGGAGAUGAAAGCAUGGGUAUAGGUUUGUACUAAGGAAAUGAACAUAUGAUUAAAAUAAACCUGAUACAGUUAGUCUAUAAGAAUGGAUCCUGUUUCUAACCUUUUAACACACAAAUUUGGAAACCUAAACCUAUGGAUUGUUUCUUUCCUAUAAUGGAAUCCUAUGUUCCUUCUCAAAGCAGCGCUGACUUUUCCCUUCCUACCAACUACAAAGAGAAAAUCUUGACUAAUCUCGAUAAAGGUUUAUUUUAUCUAUACAUGCGAGGUCAAAGUUUUAAAAGUAUUCUACAUAUAUUUUAAAUUUAUUCUAAAAUAAUGUGUUUGAUUAAUUUCUUGGUCAAUUCUCAAAGUCAAACUUGUAUUUUGAAUUGGAAAAUUCUAGAGAUUCUAAGAAACUCGUCUUCUACGAUACACAACCUGAUUGAAGCUGAGCUGUGAGAAAUUUUCACAAUUGUUAGCAUUCUUCAGGCAUUUGGUUUAUUUAAAUUUUGGUAAUAGUCAUAUGAUAGUAAAUUCGGGAGGAUGCUUGCAUGCAUGGGCAUCAUGAUUUUUUUUGAGAUGUUUAAAUGGACGUGAAAGAUAAGAAAUAGAUUUUCUAUUAAGAUAUUUGAAUGGAGAUGAAAGCAUGGGUAUAGGUUUGUACUAAGGAAAUGAACAUAUGAUUAAAAUAAACCUGAUACAGUUAGUCUAUAAGAAUGGAUCCUGUUUCUAACCUUUUAACACACAAAUUUGGAAACCUAAACCUAUGGAUUGUUUCUUUCCUAUAAUGGAAUCCUAUAUUCCUUCUCAAAGCAGCGCUAAACCUAAACCUGAUACAGUUAAUCCUAUAUUUAAAAUACAAGUUUGACUUUGAGAAUUGACCAAGAAAUUAAUCAAACGCAUUAUUUUAGAAUAAAUUUAAAAUAUCCUUUCACAAGUCUUUUAUUGAUUAUUUCAACAAAUGUUAAUUAAUUAAAUAUAUGUAGGAUAUUUUUAAAACUUUGACCUCCCGUAUGAGUACCCUUCUGAAAAGUCGGGAGGAUGUUGGUUGACUAUUAUGAUAGUAAAUUCGGGAGGAUGCUUGCAUGUAACAAUUUUAUUUUAUUUUAUUUUAAAAUUUAUUCUAAAACCAUAGGUUUAGGUUUCCAAAUUUGUGUGUUAAAAGGUUAGAAACAGGAUCCAUUCUUAUAGACUAACUGUAUCAGGUUUAUUUUAAUCAUAUCUUCAUUUCCUAAGUACAAACCUAUACCCAUGCUUUCAUCUCCAUUCAAAUAUCUUAAUAGAAAAUCUAUUUCUUAUCUUUCACGUCCAUUUAAACAUCCUCCCGAAUUUACUAUCAUAAUAGUCAACCAACAUCACGUACAAGGCUUAUAUAUUGAAAGAAAAUAAGUGGAGAGCGUGGCUUGUUUAUCCAUUCAGUGUCCAAUAAAUUGCAUGACCCACAAAAUUGGAACCUUCAAAUUUUUCAAUGAUGUUCUUGUCGACACAUUUUCAAAAUCCUUUAAUUUAGUCUCUUUUUAUAUCUACACCAACGAUCAUGACAAAUUGUACUCAUACGGGAAGUCAAAGUUUUAAAAUUAUUCUACAUAUAUUUAAUUAAUUAAAAUUUGUUGAAAUAAUCAAUAAAAGACCUUUGAAAGAAUAUUCUAAAAUAAUCAAUAACGUGUAGGUAAAUAAUCAAGAACAUCUUAACAGUAAAUGGAAAAUUUCCGGGACCAACCAUAUAUGCUACGAAAGGAGAGACGAUCAUUGUCGACGUUUAUAACAAGGGAAACGAAAACAUCACCAUUCACUGGUAGGUCCUAUGCGUGUCUCAAAGAAAGAGCAGUGGUAGCAUGCUUGCAUGACAUACAUUCUUUUAUAUCUAAGAGGGGGCUACAAUAUAUUACUUUGAAAAUAAAGUCAAAUUUAAAACAAUACUCUAAGGUUAUUUGCUUUAGUUCCAUUGAAAUACAAUUGAUGCCUCUUGUUACUAUGAUAAUAUGUUGUUGCAUGCCAUUAUAGGAUUCCAUUAUAGGAAUAUAGUUAUGGUUUAGGUUUCCAAAUUUGUGUGUUAAAAGGUUAGAAACAGGAUCCAUUCUUAUAGACUAACUGUAUCAGGUUUAUUUUAAUCAUAUGUUCAUUUCCUUAGUACAAACCUAUACCCAUGCUUUCAUCUCCAUUCAAAUAUCUUAAUAGAAAAUCUAUUUCUUAUCUUGCCCGUCCAUUUAAACAUCCUCCCGAAUUUACUAUCAUAAUAGUCAACCAACAUCACGUACAAGGCUUAUAUAUUGAAAGAAAAUAAGUGGAGAGCGUGGCUUGUUUAUCCAUUCAGUGUCCAAUAAAUUGCAUGACCCACAAAAUUGGAACCUUCAAAUUUUUCAAUGAUGUUCUUGUCGACACAUUUUCAAAAUCCUUUAAUUUAGUCUCUUUUUAUAUCUACACCAACGAUCAUGACAAAUUGUACUCAUACGGGAAGUCAAAGUUUUAAAAUUAUUCUACAUAUAUUUAAUUAAUUAAAAUUUGUUGAAAUAAUCAAUAAAAGACUUUUGAAAGAAUAUUCUAAAAUAAUCAAUAACGUGUAGGUAAAUAAUCAAGAACAUCUUAACAGUAAAUGGAAAAUUUCCGGGACCAACCAUAUAUGCUACGAAAGGAGAGACGAUCAUUGUCGACGUUUAUAACAAGGGAAACGAAAACAUCACCAUUCACUGGUAGGUCCUAUGCGUGUCUCAAAGAAAGAGCAGUGGUAGCAUGCUUGCAUGACAUACAUUCUUUUAUAUCUAAGAGGGGGCUACAAUAUAUUACUUUGAAAAUAAAGUCAAAUUUAAAACAAUACUCUAAGGUUAUUUGCUUUAGUUCCAUUGAAAUACAAUUGAUGCCUCUUGUUACUAUGAUAAUAUGUUGUUGCAUGCCAUUAUAGGAUUCCAUUAUAGGAAUAUAGUUAUGGUUUAGGUUUCCAAAUUUGUGUGUUAAAAGGUUAGAAACAGGAUCCAUUCUUAUAGACUAACUGUAUCAGGUUUAUUUUAAUCAUAUGUUCAUUUCCUUAGUACAAACCUAUACCCAUGCUUUCAUCUCCAUUCAAAUAUCUUAAUAGAAAAUCUAUUUCUUAUCUUGCCCGUCCAUUUAAACAUCCUCCCGAAUUUACUAUCAUAAUAGUCAACCAACAUCACGUACAAGGCUUAUAUAUUGAAAGAAAAUAAGUGGAGAGCGUGGCUUGUUUAUCCAUUCAGUGUCCAAUAAAUUGCAUGACCCACAAAAUUGGAACCUUCAAAUUUUUCAAUGAUGUUCUUGUCGACACAUUUUCAAAAUCCUUUAAUUUAGUCUCUUUUUAUAUCUACACCAACGAUCAUGACAAAUUGUACUCAUACGGGAAGUCAAAGUUUUAAAAUUAUUCUACAUAUAUUUAAUUAAUUAACAUUUGUUGAAAUAAUCAAUAAAAGACUUGUGAAAGGAUAUUUUAAAUUUAUUCUAAAAUAAUGCGUUUGAUUAAUUUCUUGGUCAAUUCUCAAAGUCAAACUUGUAUUUUGAAUUAGAAAGUUCAAGAGAUUCUAAGAAAGUCGUCUUCUACGAUACACAACCUGAUUGAAGCUGAGCUGUGAGAAAUUUUCACAAUUCUUAGCAUUCUUCAGGCUUUUGGUUUAUUCAAAUUUUGGUAAGUAAUCAAAUAUCAUACACAACUUGAAGUGGUCCUGCACAUUGAAGUGGUCCUGGAAGAACAUUCAAAACUGCACAUUGAAGUGGUCCUGGAAGAACAUUCAAAACCAAUACACAUUCAAAUUACUUGGCUUAUAUUGAUACGCGUCGAGGAAUUGUUGAUACCCAAGCCACAUGUGAUCUGAUUUAAUGAAUCUCUGCCCUUCAUCCGAAGAAUUCUGGUGUUCUGGAUUGAUGGGAGCAAAAAGGUGACCAGUUUUACCUUGAGUCAAAUUCAAAUGACAAAAUAUAUUACCAGGGCAAUCAUGGACACCACCCUUAACUACAAAAAUAGCGCACACAGCCAAUCCCAUCAACCUAGUAUACACCAAUUUGGAGGCAGAUGUACCAUAUUACUGUGGAGUCUAUACUCUGUUGGCUGAACCACUCAAGAAUUCAACUUCCAGGAACAAAAGUACUGGAUUCAAUAUGUGGAGUAUAUGGCACCAUCUGGGUCAUGAAAAUCAAUGUCAAGUUAUAUGGAAAUAAUGUAGGAGUAGUGCUCAAAGGAGUAUAAGAAUUAUUCCAUAGGAUUUAAUUGAUUUACUUUUACAAUAUGAUCAAGAGAGAGAGGAGAGAAACCUGAAUUGGGAAUUGAAAUCUUGGUAAUUUAUUUGCCAGACUUUGCAUUUCCCUUAAUGUAGCUGCCACAAAGUUGCUGCUUUCAUUCUCAGACAGUCUGAAGCAAUUAGAAAAUGUGAAUCGGAGGCCCCCACAUUCCUUGGAUCUGUAGACACUUGAUGGACACAAAAUGUUUUCCAUAACUGUGCCAUCAUGGGCAUCUAUUUCUUCUAUACUUGAUGGAAGCUCUGGUAAUGAUUGAAGCCUCUUGCAACAACCCAGCCUAAGGCCUUUGAGCUGUGAAAGUUGAUUGAGACGUGCAGGUAGGGUAACAAAAUUGUUUCUGCUCAGAUCUAAAUAUUCCAAUGAGCACAGAGAGCUAAAGUCAUUGGGAAUUGCUCCUUCCAAUAUGUGGCAAUCACUUAGAUUUAACUUUCUUAGGGAUCUUAAACCAAAGAAAGAUGCAGUUGCCACACUAUUCUUAGAUUUAACUUUCUUAGGGAUCUUCAUAUUUAGUUUCAUAGGAAAGAUGUUUUCAAAGAAAUCUGCAUUCUUUGUUUCUAUUAUAGUAUUGACAUCUACCAGAUUAUUUUCUGACUUAGUAACAAGAAACCUAUAUGCCACACUAUUCUUAGCAUAGCCAAUGAACAUUGCAUCAAAGGUUUUAGGACCUAGUUUUCGUUUUUUAGGUUCGGGGAGAAGAACUUUAGCUAAACACCCCCACACUUUCAGGUAUGCUAUAUUAGGUGCAUAACCUUUCCACAACUCAUAAGGAGUUUUACUAGUUUUCUUGUAAGGUAUUCUAUUUUGAAUAUGGCAGGCGGAUAGGAUAGCUUCCCCCCACAAGUUCAAGGGUGCUCCUGAACUUACUAACAUUGCAUUCAUAAUUUCUUUUAAGGUCUUAUUUUUCCUUUAUGCUAUUCCAUUAGACUCAGGGGAAUAAGGAGGAAUAAGGAGGAGUAGUUUCAUGAAUGAUCCCAUGAUCUUCACAAAAAGAAUUAAAGGGGUUGGACUCAUACUCUCCUCCUCUUUCAGUUCUAAGCCUUUUAAUUUUCUUACUUAGUUGAUUUUCCAUUUCAUUUUUGUACUUGAUGAAAGCAUCUCUUGCUUCAUCUUUGUUUCUCAAAAGAUAUACCCUUGUAUACCUUGAGUAGUCAUCUAUGAAAGUUAUGUAGAAUUGUUUACCACCUCUAGUCAUUGUAUUUUUUAGGUCUCCUAAGUCACUAUGUAUUAAACUUAGUAGAUCUGAUUCUCUUUCAACUGAUUUGCAAGAUUUCUUUGUGGUUUUAGAUUCUACACAAGAUUCACAUUUUCCAUGGUUUUCUAAGGACAGAUUAGGGAUUAAACUCAAUUCAACCAUUUUCUUCAUAUAUGAAAAGUUCACAUGUCCUAGUCUACCAUGCCAAAUAUCACAAGAAUCAACUAUGUAAGCAAAAGAAGAAGAUGUAUUAUUAUUGAUAAUAUCAUAAACAUUCAACAUAAAUAAACCCUGAUUACAAUAGCUCUUUCCCACAAAUGCAUCAUUCUUGGUUAAAACUAUUUUAUCAUAGUCAAACAAGAUCCUCACUCCUGCUUUUCCAAGUAGAGAUACCGACACCAAGUUCCAACGGAUAUCUGGCACAUGAAGAACAUCACAUAGGGCAAGCACUUUUCCAGAUGUUAGCUUGAGGAGAACUUUCCCUUUGCCAAUCACUGGAGUAGAUCUAGAAUCACCCAUGAACACUUGGUCCUCUCCUUUCUUUAUAGUGGUAUAGGAAGUAAAUGCAUUUCUAUUCCCACAGAUGUGCCUAUUAACCCCAAAGUCUACCACCCAUUCCUUCAUAUUGGUGACCAUGCUCACCUCAGAGGAGAUUACUGUUGUGAUCACCUCUGUCUCUGCCAGAUUUGCCUUUGAACUGGUCUUCUCAAUUCUCUUCCUAUGGCGACAUUGAGUUGCAUGGUGUCUAGACUUGCCACAGACAAAGCAAUUACCGCGUUUUUUAAUAAUUAGAUUUUGGACCUUAUUUAAUGCAUUGGGCUUGGUCCUAAAGUUUUGUUUCCUGAACCUAUUAUUUUUGGGUUUAGAUUUUUCUUCUACUACAUUAGCUUUAGAAGACAAUUCCUUAGCUUUCUCAAUAUUGUCCCUAUUUCGGUUUUGUUCCUCAAUCCUAAUAUGGAUUAUGACAUCCUCUAAGGACAUUUGUUUCCUUUUAUGUUUCAUGUUGUUUUUAUAGUCUUUCCAAGACUCCGGAAGAGCCUCUACUAAAUAACCAGCCACAAAAGGUUCGGGUAAUUUAAUGUCUUCAAUAGCUAAGUCAUUAAUCAACAAGUGGUAGUCAUGGAUUUGAGAUGAGACAACUCUAUCCUCACUCAUUUGGAAAUUUAUAAAAUUCCCUAUGGCAUAUUUAUGAGUUCCCGCAUCUUGCAAAAUAUAUUUUUUAUUCAUUGCAUCCCAAAUUUAUUUUGCAACUUUAAAUUGACAAUAAAUAUCAAAAAGUUCAUUAGAAAGUGUACUCAGAAUAGCAUGGCUAACUUGUUUAUUUCCAGUUUCCCAGGUUGGUAACAUAUGAGAACCAUCUUCUGGUUUUGGAUCAGUCAAAAUAUGUCCUAAGUUCACCACAUCAAUUGUAGAGAAAACCCUUUCCUGCCAUCUCUUAAAGAAUGUCCCAUUAAAUGGAUUAAUUUUAGAGGUGUCAGGAUGGGUGUGAAUUAGGGAAGCUUUCAUUUGAAUUUAUUUCAAGAUUGUUGGAUUUUAAGGGUAUGGAAACAAAGACUAGCCCAAAAGACACAAACAAAGAACAUAAUGAAUAAAAAAAAAAAACUUAUCGGCUGAGGCAUGACAAGCACUGUCCUUGAAAUAGAUCCACCCUCCUCGAAGACGAACUCGGUGCACUAUGUGAGAAAGGGUAUAAAUAAUGUGAGAUAAGGUACAAAAAAAUGUGAAAAAAUGUACGAAUAAUGUGAGAAAAUGGUAUGCACAAUGUUAUAAAAUGGUAUGAACAAUGUGAAAAAAGAUACAAAUAAUAUGAGACAUGGUAUGAAUUAUGUGAGAGGGGAUACAAAUAAUGUGAGGGAAGGUACAAACACUAUGAGAAAGAGUACAAACAAAACAAGGAAAUGUACGAACAAUGUGAUAAAUGGUAGGAAAAAUGUAAGACAUGGUAUGAACAAUGUAAGAAAAAUAAAAAAUAGAUAAGAUUAAUAAAUUAUUUUUUCAUUAAUAUAAAUUAAAUAAUUAAAAUACCUAAGUUUUUCAAAAAUUUUAAUCAUGGUAGUGGGCCUUUGAUCAACCAAAGAUAGCCCAUGUAUCAUUUUCCAAAGUGAAGCACAACAACCUUAUAACAGUGAUGUCACAUAGCAAUUCAUUAUUCAUUAUUUUGUUUUCCCUUUUCAAUGUGGAUUUUCUUAAAGCUAUUAAAAAAACACACAAAAUCAAGAUUUGAGCAUGGGUCUUUCACAAUAUCUUUUAUAUACUAAUAAUUAUAAAUUAAUUAAAAUGAAAUUAUUAUAAAUAAGUUAAUUUUAAUUAUCUUAUUAUGUCUCAUAUAAAGUGAUUAGAUAUAGGAUAAAUAUAAAUUUAUAAAUAAAAUUAUUAACAUUUUCAAAUAAAAAAUAUAAAUAUAUAUCAAUUUUUUUUAUAUCCUUUAGUAUAUCUAAACUUAAUGCAUUAUCAUUUUAGUAUUAAUAUUUCCCAAUUCGGUAUAUUAUUGUCUGAGAUUACAAAUUUAUUAUACAUUUAUCAAUUUUUCUUAAAACAAUAUCAUUAUAUACAUUAUUACUUUUCUAUCAUUUUUUGAGUUAUUUCCAACAUUUCAUAAGGUUUUAUCAAUUUCCAUCUUAUAUAUAUAUAUAUAUAUAUUUCAGAAUUUUCAUUGAUAUUUCUUUAUAUAUCUAUAAACUCCAACUAAUGAUAUAUCGGUAAAAAUCAAUAUUUUUAUUCUUACUUAACAUAAGAAAGAAAAUUAUUCAAAUGGUGCAUAAAUUAAUGUGACCUCCUGAUGAGAAUGACAAUGACAACCAUGAGUCAUAAUUAGUGUAUGUGUGUGGUAAAUUAACUUAGUGUUUGAUAAAAUAAUUAUUUAUCAUCAUUUAAAAUUUAAAAAUAAAUUUAAAUGUUAAAUCAAAAUAAUUAACUUAUUCUAAAUACUAAUUUUUUUUAUUCUCUUUGUUCAUAUUUGGUGAUAACCAUGCUUUAUUUUUAGAAUUCUUUUUUUUUUUAGUAAAUAUUUUGUAGUUAUUUUGUAGCUUCACAAUAGUACUUUUUAAUAUAAAUGUUUAACAAGCUUGAGUUUAUGAAGAUAAAUAUUAAGAAAAAUUAAUGAGUUUAAAUAUAUCAAUAUAAUAACUUUUAAAAAAUUAAGUUGAUUUUACCAAAAUAAAAAUAAAAAUAAUUCAUCUUAAAAUUAAUUUCAAUAAUUAAGUAAUAAGGAUUAAGUUUUAUCAUACACUCUCUUAAUUAAUAAAUGACAUAACUUCUUUCAACAACUUCUUCGUUCUACUUUUGAAAAAAAAUAAUAAUAAUGUGAUAUUUAUUUAUUUAUGUCUAAAAUUUAAAUAUACUUGAAUUUGACUUAAAUCUAAAUAUAGCUUAAUAUUAUUAAGUGUUCAGACUAUUUUUUUUUAUUUGUGUCUAAAUAUUAUUAACUGUUAAAUUGUUUCUUUUUAUUAAUAUCAAAAUAUGUGAAGUGUUAAAUUUAUUUAUUUUUGGUUAAAAACAUUUAUAAAAGUAAUUGUUAUAUUUCUUCUUAUUUUAAUUUGAAAAGUUAUAAUUUAACAAAAUAGUAAUUUAAUUAACACAUCUAAAAAAUAUUAUAAUACAUUGUCAAAGUAAAAAUUUUAUAAUGAUAAUUAUGUAAUUAGUAAAUUAUAUUAUUGUACAAUCCAUUGUUCCAUGUCGUAUAAUAUAGAAUAGCUAUGCAUACCCAUCAGUGCAUAGACAUAUAUCUUUUGAUAAUCUAUCAUGAAUGUCACCUGGACUCUAAGUGAAGUAUGUAGCUAUUAUACUAUAAAGAUGGCAUAGGAAGAGGCUCCGGGUUUACUAGUUCUCACUCAACCAUAGAAAUAGGGAAUAUAUUGCACAUUAUUUUCAUCUAAAAGAAAGGUAGAAAGACCUUAGAAAUGGAACUUUUAGAUAAAACCUAAGGGUGGCAAUGAGAUGAGUCUAAGAAGGAUCACCUCAAUCUCAAUCUUAUGCCAUUUAUUUAUAUUAAAUGGGGUGAGAUAAGACAAAAUUAUAUUCGAACCUGUCUUGAAUUUGGUUCGAGGGCAAGAAGGGUCUUUACAAAAAUCAGCCUCAUUGUCAUUCUUAGGUACGCAUCUAUACCAAUGAAAGUUUUUACAUCUAUUAAAAAAUUUAAUGUUCCCGAUGUUAAUUAACUUCACCAGACUACAUACACUUCAUAAUCGUGAAAAAGUGUUAAAAUUCUCAACCAAUCAAUGACAUAAACUACAAUCAAGUUUAGUACAUCGUAACCCUAAAAUACCUCCAAACCCCAUUUCUUGUAAGACCCCCUUCUGAUUAGGUUGCAAAUGUUGAAGUGCAUUAUACAACUAAUUAGGCGAACAACAAGUGUCAAGGUAAGACUGCAAGCCAUACAUAUACAUAUGCAUAUAAAUUCGAAAUUGAAAGAAAAUAUUAUCAAAUUUUAAAAAGAUAAAUUUCAAUUUUUUUUUUGUCUUUGAUACAUUUUUUGAGCUUGUACCAUUUUGUUUUACAUAUUCAUUGGAGUAUUUCUUCAUCAUGGGUCUUCAUCCAUUAGGGCACCAAGGAGAGCAAGUUCAUUGGCACGUGCUUUAAUGGUAUGUAGGAAGGUAGUGAUGCUUUGCAAACCCUUGGUGUGAUUCUUAAGGUGGUUGUUGACUUGUUUAAUGUAGACAUGUGAUAGUUUGACAUAGGUAUUGGUGAAGAUGAUCUAUGCUUCACGAAAGGUUGUGGCACAGGCAAUGAAUGGAAUUAUGGUGGGUGAAACGGAGCCAAUAAGUGCAUUUAGGAUCAAUUGAUCUUGAUGAAGCAAGAAUAGGUUGGGUUGGGUAUUACAGUGUCGUUGGCAUAGUGGUGGGUGGACAAGGUUUGGUUCUAUCAAUAUAGCUAAGGCGGUCAAAGCCAAUAAAUAGUGUUUGGAAUUGAAAUCUUUAUGAUAUAUAGUUGGUAGUGGUUAGUUUAAGUGGGGCUCGAGCAAAAACAUUUAUUGAGAUGAGUAUUUGGUGUGACUCAUGGGUGUUGUGAAUAUUGAGAGUAGAAGUUACAGAAGUGGUGACAUCUUAGGUGGCCAUGAGGCUAUGAUGAUGGGGAGGAGCAUUAGAUGGCUUUGGCAUAGAAAAAGAGGUAAGAAGGAAGAACAAGUGGUGGUGAGGGUUUUCAGGUUAAGAAGCUUGAAUGCUCUGAUGUCAUAUUGAAGAAUGAGAUUGGUAAAUUAUUUUUCUAGGUUGAUUCUAUGUUGCUUAUAUGCAUGAUUCACCAAGGGUUUCUGACAAGCAUUAGCUAAGGGUGGCUGAACCCAAUGACAGACCAGAUGAAGGAUUAAUAAUAUAUUGCACUCCAGCAGUUCAACCAAUUCCCUUCGUUUCCUUAAUGACUUCUUUUGGUGACCUAUCAAUUUCUCUCUUGGAAAGUCUAGUAAUGGGUUGCCAAUUACCUAAAAGUUACUUCUGAGGUUUUGUUUUGUUGAUUCUAUGCUAACUGAUAAUCUGCAGAGGAAACAACUUGUUCGUCUGGAGAAGGUCUUGAAGCAUGCACUGUGAUGAAUUUGACCAGAAGAGUAAACUCAUCAAGUCCAUAUUAAGUCAUCAGGUUCCAGUAGAGCUAUUUCAAAAACUUCUUUAAUGCAUUAGCAUUUAAAAAUUGAAACAAUAAAAUAACAUAUAUUAUUGAUACUAUCAUUUAAAACAAGAAAUAUAUUGUUGAUAAUGGCAUUUAAAACAAUAAAAUAGUGCAUUAGACCUGCAUUCAAAUCUUCAAUUCUCAAACACCACCAACCCACCCAUGAAUAGAGAAAGAGAAGAGAACCCUAGCAAAAGUAGAGAGGUUCGAUUCUCAAAUCUUCAAUUUUCUUUUUAUGUGUUCAAGUCAUUUUUAUUUGUUAAAUGAUUCCAGCUACUACUUGGGUCUAGUAUUUCCUUGGUGUAUAUAUCAUGCACUUCUCAGUAGAAUGCCCAUAGACAUGGAGAAACAAUUUUUUAUUUAUUUGCAAUGCCUAAUAUAAAUUAAUAAGCACCUAAUUUUUUGUUUCAGCUAUGAAUGGUAUUUUUCUCUAGAUCAUAAGUACGUUGGUUGAAUUUUAAAAAAUUUAUACCAUUUCAGCGACUAAUUAAUAUCAUGCAAUAGAAAAACAAAGUUGAAAUUUGGGAUAAUAAAUAUCAUUAAAGUACAAAGAAAGUAACUUAUUGGGAGCAAAUUCUUCACAACCUGGCAUUCGCCUUUAGAUUAAAUAAUUUAUUAAUAAUCUCCUCUUUCUUUCUAAACUUAUACCGCUGUUUAUGAAAGUUUCUAAAAACCAAAGCCCAAAGCCUAGACUAUAAAAAGGAAAUAAUCACUUGGAGAGGGGUUGUUUGUUUUUCUUGAGAGCCUAAUAAAUGCAACGACAUAGACAGAAAGAGGCGGAAGAGUUGAGUCGGAGGAUCAAGAAACACAACCAUUCUUCUCUUUCAUUAGGGUUUUUGGCUGACUCUAAGGCCGUCUUACCUUCCUCUUAGAAUGAUGGCCUCUCGUUUCUAUACAUAUCCUUUCAUGCAUUUUCUGGCUCUCCCAUUCUCUUUUUCAAAGCUACGUCUUUCCUCAUAGACCCUGUUUGGUUUCUAAGAAAGUGGUCUAGGUCUCUUUCUUUUUCUUGAUUUAUCUUUUGGUUUACAAGAAUCAGCGACACAAUAAGACUGCCAUGAACGCAUGACGCAGCCACGUGGGAGAAGGCAGCAACCACUUUCGCAUUUUUACUAUGUAUCUCCAGAAACUCCUUUGUACAGCCCACACACGCGCUAAUGAAGCAGAUUCAGCAGAUUUUAAGAGGGGGAAUCUUGAAACCACACAACAUCAAGAGACUUGGCCGGAAGUGUGAUGAUGGGUGUUUCCGAAGAAGAGUUAUAAUUCGCCCACUGUUAAAUAUGGUCAUAGCCGUGAAGGGUCCCACGAGCCUUGAAUUUGUCACUACAUGCAAAAUAUAUGCAGAAGUGAUUGAAAAUGCAUGGCCACCUUUUCCUGCAUGUGAAUGUGUUGAGCUCUAUGGUGCAAUUACUAAUGGAAUUCUCAAUUUAGCUGAUAAGUAUUUUGAGAUGCAAAAGCAUGAUGCUGUCCGGGCAUCGGAAAUUUAUCAGAAAGCAGGAGAGCCAUCAAGCAUUCACUCGACAAGCAAGAGUAACACAUAGGCCACACCAUUCUCCAAAUAGACACAACAACAUACAUUCUUGAAGGCAAGUCCCUUUUUAAAAUUUUAUCUUAGUUUAAUUUUAAUUUAUUUAGUUAGUUUAGAUGUUUUUUUCAAAAUUAGUUUAAUUAAUUCUACAUGAUAAAGCUCUUAUUUUUCAUUUCGAUUUAGUUUAGUGUUGAUUUUUCUUUUAGUUUAAGUGUGUUUGCGAUUUUAAUUCAAUAGCUUAAUUAUUCUUAUUAGAUAAAGUUCAUAUAUAUAUAUAUAUAUAUAUAUAUAUAUAUAUUAUCCCAAAUUAGUUUAGUUUUAAUCUAUCUUUUAGUUUAAGUGUGUUAGUAAUUUUAAUUUAGUUGUUUAAAUAAUCAUGUGAGAUAAAGUUCAUGUUUUUAAUUCUAAUUAGUUUCAUCUUAAUUUAUUCUUUAGUUUAGAUUUGUUGUUGACAGUAAUUUACUAUUUUAAUUAAUCUUAUUAGAUAAAGUCUAAUUAAAAUUAGGUUAGUUUUAAUUUAUUCUAUAGUUUGAGUGUGUUUGCGAUUUUAAUUCAAUUGUUUAAUUAAUCCUCUUAGGUAAAGAUCUUGUUUUUAAUUCCGAUUUAGUUUAGUUUUAAUUUACUUAUUUAUUUAUUUUAGUUAAGAUGUGUUUGUAAUUUUAAUUCGACAAUUUAAUCGACCUUAUUAGAUAAAGUUGAUGUUUUUAAUUCCAAUUUAGUUUAAUUUUAAUUUAUUUUUUAGUUUAAAUGUGUCUGUGUGUUUAAUUGACCUUAUGCUAGCUCUUGAUUUGUUAUUCUCAAUUUAGGUGUUUUCUUGAAUCUUAGUCAUUAAUUCUUGGUGGAUAUCUCAUUAGUUUAUUUUAUCUAAGUCUUAAUAAUUUAUUAUUUCGAUAGUCUCUUGUCAAAUUUACUUUUCAGAGGCCAUCGGAAAAUAGUGAAGAUUGACCUCCAUUCUCACCACUUUAGUUUGUUUGGUUGUCAAAAUUUUUACUUUGUGAUUUUGUUUGCUUUUAUUUUGCUUGUUUCUUAUGUUUUGAUUGUUUUCAAAUUAAUUUCUUUUAUUUUAAAAUAAAAUAUUUUUCUCAAAAGAUCCAUUUGAAAAUUCUAUUUUAAAAAUCAUUCAUUUAGACUCCUUAGAAUCAAAAUCUCAUUUUUUAAUAAUAUGUAACCAUGUCUUGAUCGGUUUGUAUCUUUCACAGUUUUCAAUCAAAAUUCCGAUUUGGAAUGGAAUAUGAAUCCGAGCUUGUGGUCCCAAACAAAUGGGAUAAUUCUGGUCUAGAUUUGUGUAUAUCAAUUGAGGAAUUGGUGGAACCCCUACAUAAGAAAAUUCUUCAAAACUCAUCUUUGCAGCCACCUUUGCUAUUUCAUGAAAUCAUGUAUAUUUAUUAUUUAGGAAUUAUAUACAAGAUGUAUGUGAUAAUUGAUGAUUUCGUAUACUUUGAUCAUUUUUGCUAGGCUAAUUAGAUAACAAGCACAUUAGGAUUUUUUUUAUUUUAUUAUCUAACCCCUCAUGUCUUGUAGAAGCAUGUUACAAGUCAUCUAUCCUAAUAUAUAUUUUAUUAUAUAUUAGUUUUUUUUUUCUUUUUUUAAUCCUAUCUAUGUUGUUGAUAUUAAUGCAUUGAAUUUGAUGCUACCUAAAACAAAAUUAUAUUUCAUGUCCUCUAUUAUAAGUGGACAAUCAUUCCUUAUUUUAGAUUUUAGAUAAAGAACGAAUAAUGAAGAUUGGAGUUGUAAGAAAUUAGGAGAUCCUAAUUUUAAAUAUGUAACAAAGUUCUAUAAUCACUCCAGUACGUUUAAAAUUUGUAUUUCUUUCUAAUAUGGGAGCAAACUUUUUCCUUCUUUCUUAUAAUUUUCAUUUGGGAAUGAUUUAAAAAUAAAUAAAUAAAGGCCCUUCUAAAUAUUAAAAAAACACUCUCUUAUAAAAAUUAAUUAGGUGGAUGGUAAGGUCAAAUUCGGGAUAGCUUCAUAUUUUUUGCUUUAACUGAAAAUUAAAAUCAAAAUUAAAGUAAGAAUUUUUAAGAUGUUGUAAAAGUUUUAUUAAACAUGAAAGAACUUAUUGUGUAAACAAAAAUAGAACUAUAGAAUUUUUAUAAGAAAUAACAUUUUUAUGACUUCUAUAUGAAACCUUUUUUAAAAGUGAUAAGUUUUUUUUUUUAAAUAAUUAAAUAGGUAUAAAAACUUUUAUUCAACUUAAUUUUUUUUAACGGUUAAAAGUCAAUUCAAAUAAAAUUUAAAUAUAUUUGAAAAUCAUUUUUAAAAAUAAAAAAAAAAAACCACUUUUUUUUUAAUUUACAUUUAAUUCAUGAAAUUUCAUUUAUUGUUAUUUAUUUUCGGGAUUUAAUUCUUUGCAAUUGUUUUUGAGUGUUUAUAAAGUAUAAUUAGGUUAUGCCCAAAUUUAUUCCUUUAACUCUAUCCAUUAGAUAUAAGUAGCGUGAAAUUUUGGCCCAUCUCCACCUUUCUUCACUUCUGACAUUGUCAUGCACUACUUCAUCAACUCCAAACACAACCGCUGAGGAUCGAAGAAAAUGAGACAAUGGUCAAUAAAAUGAAAGUUUAAUCAUUUAAUCUUUUUUAGCACACCCCUCAUAACUGUCAGUGAUUUCCUGCCAACUUAACAUAUUGACAUGGACUUGGAGAGUUCGGUCAAUUGCAGCAGCUUGGUUAAUUGUAAGUGUCUUUUCUCUAAACCAUAAAUUCCUACGUUUUAAUUUACAAAAGCCAGUGAUUUUUUUUUACUUAAGGAAGCAGGAAAGGGUUUAAAAUAAGAGUUGAAAAGUAUGCCAAUUAUUUUAACUUUAAGAAAAAACGUUUAUUUUAAUUUAAAAUAAGUAAAUCAAAAGGAAUUGAUUUUAUCUCAAUUGUAUAAGAUUUUAUAAAAAUUAUCUUAUUUGCAAAAUAUUUUCAGAUGUAAAAGUAAAAAAUUAAACAAAUCAUUUGAUGAUCAUAGUCUAAUUUUAAAUUAUUAGAAUAAGUCAAUCCUCUAAACUAUAUCAUUUAUAAUUUUUUUGAUUAUUAAUAUGAUACGUAACCUUCCACGGAAUUGGAAUAAAAUAUGGAUAAUUAAAAAAUGUCAACUAUCCCAUUUCAAACUUUUCUAAUAUAGCAUGAUAUUUUAACAUGAUGAAUGAAAUGGGAAUGACCAAAAAUUGUAAAAUCAAAGAUAUAUCUAUUGUGGACAUGGCAUUCGGAGGCUUCUUAACAUUGUAUUGGUCUACUUAAUGAGUUGAAACAGGAACACAACACCAAAUUCUCUUUUUAUAAUCAAAGACUUCCAUGGAAAAUUCCACCAUAUCAUAUCUCAAAGAUUAGUCAAAUUCCAUUAUCUUUAUAGACUUUUAACAAUCCAAGAAAUUGACAUUAAUAAUCCCAUACACAAUAUUCUACAACUUUACAUUAUCUUGAUUGAAGAUAAUCAUAUUAUUUCAUUAACAAUUCAAGAAAUUCCAUUAUCAAUCAAAAAAUAAAUCAUGAAAGCUAAAUAAUACAAAUAUUCAAUGAAAUCUUUGGCGUGUUAUUUCUUUACAGCUUCAACAUGGUGGCAUGUCCGACGGAGGAGGCAGCAUUUGAGCUUCCGGGUGUUUACCAUUUUUCAUUAUGAACGCAGUUUCCAUGCCCCAAGUCAGAUGGCGUUCUACAUGGCAGUGCAUGAACCACACUCCUGCAACAGAGAAAAUAUACCAACAUUACACCUAACUUAAUUGUAAUAUUAAGAAAAAUUAUUUCCUUGGUAUGCAGGUUAGCAGUUUCAAGGGUUUUUAUUUUUUAUUUUUAAUAGACGACAUGAGUGCUUGGAACAUACCAGGGUUGGAUGCCUCAAAUCUGAUUGCAACCCAACCAUUCGAAGGAACGGAGAUGGUAUUCUGAAAGGGAGGAUCCACCAAAUUAUAGCGUAAAGGGUCCUUAUUUCCAUCGAAAUUCCCAAAUCCCCAUCCAACAACAUAGAAACUGUAUCCAUGGAGAUGCAUGGGGUGGUGUGUUGCUGCAAGCACGUUUGUCCCUUGAAAAACAAUCUCCACUGUGGAGUUAUACUCGAGCACCCUUACUUCUGUUCCGCUGCUUGGCAACUGAUAGAUUAAUGGAAGAUAAUCAGCUGUAAAAUCGAACACCAGUGGUAGAUCGCUAGGAAAUUUAUCUCCAUAAACACCACUGAUGUUAUAAUAGUAAGCUUGUAGUAUGUCAACUGUAGGGGUAUCGAAGCUUAUGUUGUUUAUACUUGAGGAGAACCGCGUCCCAUUGGCCCCUGCACAUGAAUUAUUGACGCAUGGGUACGAGUUUACAGAAACAGUGUAAAUCAGGUUAGUGCUUGUGCUCAAUGGGACAUUGCAAGGAUGUUCCGCAUCUACUAAGCUUCGAAGGCCGGCCAUGACCUGAACCGACGCAUUUGUGUCAUUGUAUGCAGGAAGAAGAGGGAAGGAUGGAGGCGAAGAUGGAGUGUAGUAUCCGUUGUACUGUACAAUAGCUGUGGUGGUUGUGUUAUCAUAAAAAUCUUGAUAUUUCGGGGCAACAGAAUAAGUUAUAGCUGCCAUGUAAUAGUGAUCCGGGCGUUGGUUAGCUUCUAGUAAGACAUCGUAGGUUUGGCCAGGAAAUAUUGUGAUAAAAUCUCGUGUCAAUGGUUUCGUGUAGCUACCAUCUGUUCCAACCACUGUCAUUUUAUGCUUGGCAAUGGAGAAGAAGAGAGCCUCUUGUAAGGCAGCAUUGAUUAUGCGAAGUAGAUAGGUCUUUCCAUGAUCCACUGUUAGCUUGAAUGUGUCUGCAAUUAGAAAGGGAAAGUUGUAUACUUAUGACUAGCCAAAAAAAAAACAAAAAGUUUCCAUGAGGAUCCACCAAUUAUGAAGUGAUUGAUUGAUUAGGUGUGUAAAUUUGGCUGCAUAGUUCAAAAUUAUAUUUGGACUAGCCUUUUUUUUGUGUGUUAAAUCAUGGCUCUACCAUCCUUAUAGCUAUAUUCCUCUUUCUUAGCAUUAACCUUUAAAUAUGUUGAUGUUAAUAAGAAAAAGUACUAGGGUUAACAUACAAGAAAAUGAAAUCAUGUACAAUUUUAAAACGGGAAGUUAAACUUUGUACCUGAUUUUGAGCAUGGAUAUAGAUCACCGGGUUGUCCAUUUAUCAAUAAAGCAUCAGAGGGGUCAGGGUCACCUCCGGUUGCAAGCCCUUCAUCUCGAACCGCAUUCACAUCAUUCUUCCACCAUUCUCCUGCAUUUCAACAACUUCAAUAAUUUUAGAUUUUGCUUUGUUGUUUAAUUCUUAAUAUGUAAAUUAACCUUUAAAAGUAACAACACUUAUACCUAAUAUGAUGGGGACCUCUCUGUCAGGCUUGUGAAAAGGAUACUUGGUUCCAUUCUUGGGAUAGAUGAUUAUAGCUCCAUGAACAGUGGCUCGGGUCCAGUCACUGUGAGCAUGCCACCAUAGAGUGCCUUCUUCAGUGGAAAGGAUGAUCUUCUGGGUAAACUUUGACCCUGGCUGAAUUGGGCAUUGUGUGAUAUACUCAGGACCAUCUGUCCAUGGAUAUCUAGGCAUGGUCACCCCAUGCCUGCGAAACCAUAACUAUACGUUAAAACUAGUACUAAUUUUCAAAGUAACAAAAGAUGGCAUGCAACAACAUAUUAUCAUAGUAACAAGAGGCAUCAACUGUAUUUCAAUGAAACUGAAGCAAAUAACCCUAAAGUAUUAUUUUAAAUUUGACUUUAUUUUCAAAGUAAUAUAUUGGAGCCCCCUCUUAGAAAUAAAAGAAUGUAUGCCAUGUUGGCAUGCUGCCACUGCUCUUUCUCUGAGACACGCAUAGGACCUACCAGUGAAUGGUAACGUUUUCGUUUCCCUUGUUAUAAACGUCGACAAUGAUCGUCUCUCCUUUCGUAGCAUAUAUGGUUGGUCCCGGAAAUUUUCCAUUUACUGUUAAGAUGUUCUUGGCACUACAAAGCCUUGUAUAUGAAGCUUCCCUCACCUGCAAUCAAUUAAAAGUUAACCAUGCAACCUCAUCCCAAAAGAAAUAUUACAUGCAUGAAUAGUUGCAUCGAUCCAUUCACGUAAGUGUAUAACCAAUUAGAAAUUGAUAGCAUGCAUGAACGACUCAAUGACACCAAGGUAAUAGAUCAUACGGUAUGAAAUGAGAGCCAUACUACUCCUUAAAUAUCAUGAUUAGAAGGUGGCGUUAAGGCCAGAAUCAUAUAUAGUAUUUACCACAAAAGUAAGCCGACGGGUUGAAGCUUGGCAAUGGAUGCCACCACCAAAAACUAGAAACGCUAAAAUUUGCAGGAGGAAAACCUUCAUGAUCAGCCACAUUUUCCUUGGAAUAAAAGCCUCUUCUCUUCUCUUGCCCUAAACACAACUCCUUCAAUUCUCUUACUACUUUUGAUGUAUUUCUUUCACAUGUGAUUCAUUAUAUAGGCAUGGUAAUUCUCUCGGGAUACAAUACUUCCUCUCCACGUGUCAAUAUAAGAGGAAGUGAUUUGAAUGUGUAUUGGUUUUUAAUGUUCUUUCAGGACGACUUCAAAAUAAUUAAUUAUGAUAUUUCUUACAAGUUACCUACGCGUUCUUUUAGAAUAAAUUUAAAAUAUUCUUUCACAAGUCUUUUAUUGAUUAUUUCAACAAAUGUUAAUUAAUUAAAUAUAUGUAGGAUGCUUUUAAAACUUUGACCUCCCUAUGAGUAGCCUUCUGAAGAUCGUUGGUGGCAAAGUUGUUUUCGUAUAGUUAAUACAAUUUGUCAUCGUCGUUGUUUUCGUUUGAAUGGGACAAAGUUGUUUCCAAUUUUUUUUAAAACUUGGGAAUUGAGAUUAUAAAAGACAAAGUUGUUAAUACAACUUCAGAAUCGAUGAUAAACUAAUUCGGUAUUUCAGAAUUUUCCAUAAAAAAACACAAAAAUAUAUUUUGUAAAAAGUUGAAAAUAGGAUACAAACAACCCCUUGUAGUAUUUUUUUUUUUCUCAACAAAAACCAAUUUAAUAACAAUAAUAAUAAAUAAUUAUAGAUUUAAAAGAUAAUCUGAAAUUUCUUUCAAUAUAUAAGCCUUGUACGUGAUGUUGGUUGACUAUUAUGAUAGUAAAUUCGGGAGGAUGCUUGCAUGUAAAAAUUUUAUUUUAUUUUAUUUUUAAUCAUGGAGCACAUUUUGAUAGAUUCUGAUUUAUAAUACUGCAUCAAUGGUCAUGAACAUUGCAAUCAUGAUUUUUUUUGAGAUGUUUAAAUGGACGUGAAAGAUAAGAAAUAGAUUUUCUAUUAAGAUAUUUGAAUGGAGAUGAAAGCAUGGGUAUAGGUUUGUACUAAGGAAAUGAACAUAUGAUUAAAAUAAACCUGAUACAGUUAGUCUAUAAGAAUGGAUCCUGUUUCUAACCUUUUAACACACAAAUUUGGAAACCUAAACCUCUGGAUUGUUUCUUUCCUAUAAUGGAAUCCUAUAUUCCUUCUCAAAGCAGCGCUGACUUUUCCCUUCCUACCAAAUACGAAGAGAAAAUCUUGACUAAUCUUGAUAAAGUUUUAAAAGUAUUCUACAUAUGUUUUAAAUUUAUUCUAAAAUAAUGUGUUUGAUUAAUUUCUUGGUCAAUUCUCAAAGUCAAACUUGUAUUUUGAAUUAGAAAAUUCAAGAGAUUCUAAGAAACUCAUCUUCUAGGAUACACAACCUGAUUGAAGCUGAGCUGUGAGAAAUUUUCACAAUUGUUAGCAUUCUUCAGGCAUUUGGUUUAUUUAAAUUUUGGUAAGUAAUCAAAUAUCAUACACAACCUGCUCUUUGAAGUGGUCCUGGAAGAACAUUCAAAACCAAUACACAUUCAAAUUACUUCGCUUAUAUUGAUACGCGGCGAGGAAUUGUUGAUACCCAAGCCACAUGUGAUCUGAUUUAAUGUAGCUGCCACAAAGUUGCUACUUUCAUUCUCAGACAGUCUGAAGCAAUUAGAAAAUGUGAAUCGGAGGCCCCCACAUUCCUUGGAUCUGUAGACACUUGAUGGACACAAAAUGUUUUCCAUAACUGUGCAAUCAUGGGCAUCUAUUUCUUCUAUACUUGAUGGAAGCUCUGGUAAUGAUUGAAGCCUCUUGCAAUAACCCAACCUAAGGCCUUUGAGCUGUGAAAGUUGAUUGAGGCUUGCAGGUAGAUUAACAAAAUUGUUUCUGCUCAGAUCUAAAUAUUCCAAUGAGCACAGAGAGCUAAAGUCAUUGGGAAUUGGUCCUUCCAAUAUGCGGCAAUCACUUAGAUUUAACUUUCUUAGGGAUCUUAAACCAAAGAAAGAUGCAGUUGCAAACGCCUAGAGCGUGGAAUUUCUGCAGGCAACAACUGGAAAGAGAGGAGCAAAUUCCUUGGCUUGGAUUCUAGUCCUUUACAUCCCUCAAAUGAUAAUACUUCAAGGUUUUCUGAAAGAGAAAUAGAGGGCGGCAGCUCUUUUACAGAGUUCCAGCUGCUCCGAGCUUCUCUAAACCUUGUAGGCUCCCCGAACCUCUGGCAAAUUGUCUAGUUUUGAGCAACCAGAUGGAAUAAGAGUUUGAAGAGAUUUCAACUUACAAAUGCUAUGUGGAAGAAUUGCAAGGCUUUUGCAUUCUCUCAGAUUCAACAGAACAAGUCCACUUAGAUGUUGGAUAGGUGAAGUUAGCUCUUUUAGAGCAGUUCCAUCUAAGAAAAGUUCCAACAAACUCCCCAUAUUUUCCAAGACUUCUGGAAGCUCUUUUGAGUUUUAAGCAAUCUGAGAGAAUAAGAAUUUCAAGGGAUCUCAACCUAUAAAUACAGCUUGGUAAUGACUCAGGGUUUUGACAGUUCCUCAGAUUUAAUAAAACAGGUCCAGUCAGAUAUUCAAUCGACAAGGGCAAUCCUUUUACUGCAGUGCCCUCCAAGGAAAGCUCUGAUAAAUGUUUCAUGCACCCUUGGACCUCUGGAAACUUCUUGAGUUUCGAGCACCCGGAGAGAGUAAGAAUUUUGAAGAGAUUCCAUACAGAUGCUUCUUAGAAAACUCUUAAGAUUCUCGCAGCCUUCUAAAUUAAGGAAAACAAGCUUGUUUAGAUCUCCAGUGGAUGGGUGAACCUUGGACAAACUUGUACAACCUUCAAGAAUUAGUCUCCUAAGGUUUGGGGCCCCCGAGAAGUCUGGGGUUUCAAUCAGGUGUUGGGAGUAGCUAAGUUUUACGAAUUUCAAUUGCUGAUACAUCUGUCAAAAACAAAACAGAAAAAAUGAUUAUAAUUCGUUUAAAGUGAAAGACGAAACUUGCAAAGAUUAUAAUCAUAUACCUUGAGUCCUUUCCAAAGUUGUUCAACUCGACUGUAACUCAUAUUUAGCUCGACAAGCUGCUCAGGAUGAAAAUUUAAUGGGAGGGAUUUCAGAGGGUAUCCAUGCCAAUAUAGACAUCUUAAGUUGUUCGAUAGAGAUUUGAAGUCUCCAGAAAGAAGCAAUUUACAGUCUUUGAAUUGAUUGAGCUUAUUCAUCCUUGUGCAAGCAUCAGCCAGCACAUAACUGUUUCCAAGAAAAAUAUUCAAAGCUUCCACAUAGCCGCACGUUACAGACUUUGAGCAAUCUUAAUUUGUUCAUCUUCAUGAAGGCAUCAAAACUGAAGUGUAGUUCCUUUGAUGCUGACAAGUCAAGGACUAUGCCUUCAACUACUUCAGUUCCUUGCAAUUAACCAGGAACAGAGUAUGGAUUGGAAAUUAAAAUCACAAAAUUCUAAAAGGAAAAGCACAGAAAGCAUCAAACUAAUGACUUGUUUUCUUGUUUUUUUAGGCAGUGUUCUAGGAAGCAAGUAUGAAGAUAAAAGAAAAUGCAUCUACUAAGACAGAAACUCAGGGAAAAGUUAGCAAAGGAUUCAAAUCAAAUCAUUCCCCCAGCUUUAUAUCUGCCUUUGCAUACAUAAAUAUGCAAUACCUUAUUAAAAUUGUACAUAUAUGUGAGUUUCUCAAAUAAGUUGAAAUUAUUCAAACUUCCUCUUCACCUAUAGAGCUUAUAUAUACAAAAAGGGAACACACACACAAAGUUCAUGUAUUUAGGUCUUACUAUGUUUCUAGUUAAUGCAUCACUAACAUCUUCAUGAAUCCACAAUCUGCUGUGUUUUCCAGGAUAUUUAAGAGAUUCUUGCCAAACAAUUUCCCAACCCAUUUCUUGUAACAAAUCAUGCAUGCACAACUUAUUAUCUGAAACAAUUAUGAGUGACUUAUCAACGAGAACCCUUAUUCCAAUAUCCGGAAAGAAACCACAACUCUCUAGUAUUUCUGUGACAAAAUCUUUGUCCUCCCAUUUUCAAAAGCAUGCAAUAUCGAGAAAUAUAUCUCUUUGUCAUCUAAUCCAUCAAAACCCAUUUUAAGCACGUUCUGAAUUUCCAUGUUGCUAAUUCUUUUUAGUUUGUCCAAUUCACUUUUCCAUUCAAGUAUGCUCUUGCUAUACAAAAAAGCACCUAAGACUUCAAGAGCUAAGGGAAGACCCUUACUAUAAUGUAUUACAUCAUAGCAUAGCUGCAUAUAAUCUUCUCCAGGGUGGUUAUGUUUAAAGGCAUACUGACGAAAGAGUUGAAAAGCUUCACUAUCCUCUAAUCCCCUAACUUCAUAAAUUGCACUGACUCCAUGUGUAACAAGCAAAUGCUUUUCUCUGCUUGUUAUAAUAAUUCUACUUCCUGAACCAAACCAAUCAUGGUUUCCUGCUUAAUAUUCUAACUGUUCCAAGUUAUCCACAUCAUCAAGAACAAUAAGAACCUUCUUAGAGUGGAGCCUAUCCUUUACAAAAUUGAUUCUUGUAUUGGAAAUUCCUACAUUUGGAUUUCCAUCCUUCAAUGUCUUUGAGAGAAGUUCCACUUGUAAAUGAUCUAGAACACAUUUUUGUGAGCCUUCUCUAACACUUGUAAAUGAUCCAAUAAUUGGUUCAAACAGUUCAAAAUUGGUCCAAUAAAUAUACCCUUCAAAAGGAGAAAUUGAACCAGAAAUGUCGCUUGGUGGUUGGAUCAAUUAGACCAACUGAUUUGUUUCAAUUUUCAAAAAAUAUUGCUUUAACAUGUAUGAUAAUCAAAAUAUAGGAAAAAAAACUAUUUACUAAGAAAUGAGAUUAUUAUAACAAAAUAGAAAAUGUAAUCUAUUUUAAUGAUAUGAUGACUUGUAACUAGAUGAAACUUUGACCAGCAAAGAAAAACAAACAAAUCUUGAGGAAUUAGAAAAUAUUAUCUUUUAUAUUAAACUUAUCUUUGUGUAAAAGCUCUCUACAAUUAACUAUGGGUUUUCAUAAAGCUUUAUUUAGGCUAUGUUACAUUCUUGGAAAUUAAAAAAAAAAAAAUGUAAGAAAUUAAUAAAUUAUUUUUUUCAUUAAUAUAAAUUAAAUAAUUAAAAUACCUAAAUUUUUCAAAAUUGUUAAUCAUGGUAGUGGGCCUUUGAUCAGCCAAAGAUAGCCCAUGCAUCAUUUGCCAAAAUUGUUAAUCAUAGUAGUGGGCCUUUGAUCAGCCAAAGAUAGCCCAUGCAUCAUUUGCCAAAGUGAAGCACAACAACCUUAUAAUAGGGAUGUCACAUAGUAAUUCAUUAUUCAUUAUUUUGUUUUCCCUUUUCAAUGUGGAUUUUCUUAAAGCUAUUAAAAAAUCACAUAAUAUCAAGAUUUGAGCAUGGGUCUUUCACAAUAUCUUUUAUAUACUAAUAAUUAUAAAUUAAUUAAAAUGAAAGAAUUAUAAAUAAGUUAAUUUUAAUUAUCUUAUUAUGUCUCUUAUACAAUGAUUUAAUAUAGGACAAAUAUAAAUUUAUAAAUAAAAUUAUUAACAUUUUCAAAUAAAAAAUAUAAAUAUAUAUCAAUAUAUUUUUUAUAUCCUUCAAUAUAUCUAAACUUAAUGCAUUAUCAUUUUAGUAUUAAUGUUUCCCAAUUCGGUAUAUUAUUAUCUAAUAUUACAAAUUUUUUAUACAUUUAUCAAUUUUUCUUAAAACAAUAUCAAUAUAUACAUCAUUAUUUUUCUAUCAUUUUUUGAGUUAUUUCCAACAUUUCAUGAGGUUUUAUCGAUUUCCAUCUCAUAUAUAUAUAUAUAUUUCAGAAUUUUCAUUGAUAUUUGUUUAUAUAUCUAUAAACUAGAACUAAUGAUAUAUCAGUAAAAAUCAAUAUUUUCAUUCUUAUUUAACAUAAGAAAGAAAAUUAUUCAAAUGGUGCAUAAAUUAAUGUGAUCUCCUGAUGAGAAUGACAACAACAACCAUGAGUCAUAGUUAGUGUAUGUGUGUGGUAAAUUAACUUAGUGUUUGAUAAAAUAAUUAUUUAUCAUCAUUUAAAAUUUAAAAAUAAAUUUAAAUAUUAAAUCAAAAUAAUUAACUUAUUCUAAAUACUAAAUUUUUUUAUUCUCUUUGUUCAUAUUUGGUGAUAACCAUGCUUUAUUUUUAGAAUUCUUUUUUUUAGUAAAUAUUUUUUAGUUAUUUUGUAGCUUCACAAUAGUACUUUUUAAUAUAAAUGUUUAACAAGCUUAAGUUUAUGAAGAUAAUUAUUAAGAAAAAUUAAUGAGUUUAAAUAUAUCAAUAUAAUAACUUUAAAAAAAUUAAGUUGAUUUUACCAAAAUUAAAGUAAAAAUAAUUCAUCUUAAAAUUAAUUUCAAUAAUUCGGUAAUAAGGAUUAAGUUGUAUCAUAUACUCUCUUAAUUAAAAAAUGACAUAACUUCUUUCAACAACUUCUUCAUUCUACUUUUGAAAAAAUAAGAUAAAUUAAAUUAAAAAUUAAAGUGAUAUUUAUUUAUUUAUUUAUGUCUAAAAUUUAAUGUACUUGAAUUUGACUUAAAUCUAACUAUAACUUAAUAUCAUUAAGUGUCUAGACUCUUUUUUUUUAUUAGUGUCUAAAUAUUAUUAACCGUUAAAUUGUUUAUUUUUAUUAAUAUCAAAAUAUGUGAAGUGUUAAAUUUAUUUAUUUUUGGUUAAAAACAUUUACAAAAGUAAUUGUUAUAUUUCUUCUUAUUUUAAUUUGAAAAGUUAUAAUUUAACAAAAUAGUAAUUUAAUUAACACAUCUAAAAAUAUUAUAAUACAUUAUCAAAGUAAAAAUUUUAUAAUGAUAAUUAUGUAAUUAGUAAAUAAUAUUAUUGUACAAUCCAUUGUUCCAUGUCGUAUAUUAUAGCAUAGUUGUGCAUACCCAUCAGUGCAUAGACAUAUCUUUUGAUAAUCUAUCAUGAAUGUCUCGUGGACUCUACAGGAAGUAUGUAGCUAUUAUAGUAUAAAGAUGGCGUAGGAAGAGGCUCCAGGUUUAGUAGUUCACACUCAACCAUAGCAAUAGGGAAUAUAUUGCACAUUAUUUCCAUCUAAAAGAAAGAUAGAAAAGACCUUAUAAAUGGAACUUUUAGAUAAAAACUAAGGGUCACAAUGAGAUGACUCUAAGAAGGAUCACCUCAAUCUCAAUCUUAUGUCAUUUAUUUAUAUUAAAUGGGGUGAGAUAAGACAAAAUUAUAUUCGAACCUGUCCUGAACUUGGUCUGAGGCCAAGAAGGGUCUCUAAAAUAAUAAGCCUCAUUGUCAUUCUUAGGUACACAUCUAUACCAAUGAAAGUUUUUACAUCUAUUAAAAAAUUCAAUGUUCCCGAUGUUAAUUAACUUCACUAGACUACAUACACUUAAAAUGCAUGAAAAAAUGUCAAAAUUCUCAACCAAUUAAUGACAUAAACUAAAAUCAAGUUUAGUACAUCAUAACCCUAAAAUACCUCCAAACCCCAUUUCUUGUAAGACCCCCUUCUGAUUAGGUUGCAAAUGUUGAAGUACUUUAUACACUUAAUUAGGUGAACAACAAGUGUCAAGAUAAGACUUCAAGCCAUACAUAUACAUAUGCAUAUAUAUUUAAAAUUGAAAGAAAAUAUUAUCAAAUUUUAAAAAGAUAAAUUUCAAAUUUUUUUUUUACCUUUGAUACAUUUUUUGAGCUUGUACCCUUUUGUUUUACAUAUUCAUUGGAGCAUUUCUUUGACUUCCCAAAGAACUUUUUUUUUUCUAGGACUAAAAACUUUUUUCCUUAAUCGACUUGGGAUAUUAUAUACACCCACAACCUAACUUAGUAGUUUUAAAAUUAAUUGGUUAAAAAGAAUGAAAUAAUCCCAAAAUUUGUAAAUAUAACAAGAUUGUGUUUUUACUUGAAAAGUAGCCCAUUUUGACAUAAAUGUCUUUCGCCAUUUCAAUUAUUUACAUUUAAAUUUAAAAAAAAAGUUAUGACAUUUUUGUCAAAAGAAGGACACAAAAAGAUCAAAAGUUAAAUUUCCAGAUUUAGUUUUUUAAUAGAUAUUUUAAUAAAAUAAACCUUAGUUUUAUAUCACAUAAUGUUUCUUCUUUAUUGUUCUUUAAUCCCUUUUAUUUAUUUAUUUAUUUUAUCAUACACGACCUAUUAAAUUUGAAAAUUUUAACAAUUUCUUGCAGUGCAUGCCUACGUGCUUAUCACAUGAGCUUCUCCAUCUAUACUAGCUAGGGAUCCAUUUGAUAAUUUCUUUUAGUGUCCACAUGCUUAUCACAUGGACCUCUUCACUUCUAUUAAUAGGGGUCCAUUUGGUAUUUCAAAAUAGUUCAAGGGCUUUGCUUAAGAAAAGCUUAGAGACUAGUUCGAAACAAUGUUUUUAGAACCCAACUAGUUAUUGAAUAAAAAAAGUUAUUGAUUCAUUGUCUAGUGGUCAAAUUAAUGUUUGAACUGCAGUCAAAUUGGUGACAUCAUAAAUAUAUAAAUUAUAUAUUAAAAAAAAUUAUAAAAUUAUAAAACUUAUUUUUCAUCUUUGACAUUUCCAAACUUAAAUCAUGAAUAAAUAUAAAUAUAUUAAUAUUUUAAAUUUUAUAAAUAAAAUUUGUGUAACAUUCAUAUGUAAAGAAAUAUAUUUAAAUAGAAUAAAAUUCUUUUGUUCAUAAUUUAUUUUACUUAUAUUAUAUUAUUUAGUUGUAUUACAAAAUUUAAAAUAAUUAUGUUAAUUUAGGUUUAGUUUGCAUUUUUUAAAUUAUAAUCAUUAAUAACAAAGUGGUGAUAGCCUAAACAUGAUCUAAAGGUCCAUGGUUCAAACCCUUGGUUCCUCAUCAUUUUCCUGGUCUCAUUAGGUGGGCUAGGCUUGGUAUGCGAAGGGCUAACCUUCCACCCAUGAUCCAACCUUUUAGUUGAUGAAAAAAGAAGGCUAACCUAGAAUCGAUAGACCAUGGUUCAAAGUUGUGGUUGCGGUCACUAACUUGGAGGGUCUUGCGGCACAUUGGUCUUGACAUCUUAGCUUGAUAUUAGAUGAUAUGUAAAAUAAGAUAAAUAAAAAUUAUAAAAUUAUAAAAUAUUAUAAUAAAUAUUUAAAAAAUAAAUAUAAUUAAAUAAACUUAAAAUUUAAUAAAAUAAAAUAUUAUGAAAAUUAAAAUUGUUCAAUAAAUUUUUAAUAUUGAAAUUGAAAACAAAAACUCUUUAAUUACCAAACUCAAAUUAAAAAAUAAAAUAAAAUGUGAUGAUUUUUACCACACAUUAGCAUUUAAAAAUUGAAACAAUAAAAUAACAUAUAUUAUUGAUACUAUCAUUUAAAACAACAAAUAUAUUGUUGAUAAUGGCAUUUAAAACUAUAAAAUAGUGCAUUAGACCUGCAUUCAAAUCUUCAAUUCUCAAACACCACCAACCCACCCAUGAAUAGAGAAAGAGAAGAGAACCCUAGCAAAAGUAGAGAGCUUCAAUUCUCAAAUCUUCAAUUUUCUUUUUAUGUGUUCAAGUGAUUUUUAUUUGUUAAAUGAUUCCAGCUACUACUUGGGUCUAGUAUUUCCUUGGUGUAUAUAUCAUGCACUUCUCAGUAGAAAGCCCAUAGACUAAUAUAAAGGAGAAACAAGUUUUUAUUUAUUUGCAAUGCCUAAUAUAAAAUUUAAUAAGCACCUAAUUUUUUAUUUCAGCUAUGAAUGAUAUUUUUCUCUAGAUCAUAAGUACGUUGGUUGAAUUAAAAAAAAUUUAUACCAUUUCAGCCACUAAUUAAUAUCAUGCAAUAGAAAAACAAAAUUGAAAUUUGGGAUAAUAAAUAUCAUUAAAGUACAAAGAAAGUAACUUAUUGGGAGCAAAUUCUUCACAACCUGGCAUUCGCCUUUAGAUUGAAUAAUUUAUUAAUAAUCUCCUCUUUCUUUCUAAACUUCACCGCUGUUUAUGAAAGUUUCUAAAAACCAAAGCCCAAAGCCUAGACUAUAAAAAGGAAACAAUCACUUGGAGAGGGGUUGUUUGUUUUUCUUGGGAGCCUAAUAAAUGCAACGGCAUAGACAGAAAGAGGCGGAAGAGUUGAGUCGGAGGAUCAAGAAACACAACCAUUCUUCUCUUUCAUUUCUAUACAUAUCCUUCCAUGCAUUCUCUGGCUCUCCCAUUCUCUUUUUCAAAGCUACAUCUUUCCUCAUAGACCCUGUUUGGUUUCUAAGAAAGUGGUCUAGGUCUCUUUCUUUUUCUUGAUUUAUCUUUGGUUUACAAGAAUCAGGAGUGAAGUAAAGUGGGCUCUUGAUUUAUGUUUGAUUUUUCUUAUUCAAACCUAUGUUUUGAUCUUUUCUCUCCAGCUCUUGUGGUCUAGGUCUAAUAUGCGUUGUGUUUUCUUUCUUUUUUCUUGGUUUUUGUUUGGUUUUCCAAGAAAGUGAAGGAAAAGGAACUCUUUACUCUCUUGGCAUAUUCCACUUAGGAUUGUCCUCCUACAUCCUUUGAUGCUUUAGUGUUUGGUCAUUAGUUGUUUUUAAGCCCUUAUUGAUGGUCCAUUAAGACAUUUUAAAGGGAUUAGGCGGAUCCCUAUCUUGAUUUUAGUGAUUUUUGAAUCUUAGUUUUAAUUGAUUUAUAACAUAUUUAGGCUUGUUUAGAACUUUUAAAAUUCAUAAUUUUGAAUGUGCCAAAUACCCCCUUCCAUCAAUUCCAACUGCAGCAACUGCCAUUCAAAGAUGCUAGCCACAUAUUAAACCCAUGCAUGAACCCCCAGCCAGAUACCCAUUUUUUCCUCCAUCCAUCAACCACCUUCUUACUCCCACCACCGCCACUGCUCACCAUUCCCACUUCUCCUCCACCACCAUGGCCACCACCGCUUCUGGCUCUGUCUUCCUCCUUCUGCUCCUUGCUGCCAGCGCUGCCGUUGAUGGCAGAGUCAUAAGCAACCGCACAUCGUCCACCGGCCUAGUCUCUGACGGCGUCCACGACCACCGCAAUGGUUUGCCUUAUCUUCUUCUCAGGUCUUUUUCGGCCGUUUCAGCCUCGGAUUCAUGUGAUCAUAUAGUAAACCCAAAUGGAAAUCAAACCUUCACAACCCGCUCACCUUUCCGAUGCCCGUGAUGAUCAAGUCUGGCACUCGAAAGAGAGAGGACAACUGGGUCAUCUCCCUCUUCGUGAUCCUCCACAUUGGGCCCUUCUUGCAUCGCCUUGGAUUUGAAACUGACCGGUUUAGAACCAUAACUCCUGCACGCGAGAGAGAUCACCAUAAGCCAUGCAAGGGAGCAUGCCAGUCACGUUCUCUAACUGCCAUGCAUCCGGUGAAGCGGUUUUGCGAGGAGAAGCCUCCAGAAGAGAAUCUUUUCGGUUGCGGGAAUAUAAAGAUCACGCCAGAAAGAAUAAAGAGGGCUGUUCUAGAGACUUCGGAGGAGGAGAGAGGAAAGGAAAACUGACAUAGAGAGUCUCUGUUUCUGGGCGUUUUUUGGAAGAGAGUUCAAAGAUCUUCUUUCUGUAGAAGAUCAUCACAUGCACCGAUUCAAAGAAUUUAGAGAACUUCUCGUUAGAGUCAAGGUUCUCAUCAUUCUAGACCUUCAUGAACAUCUUCUUCACGGCGGCAUUGGCAUCCCGAUUCCUGAACCUCCAUGAUUGAUUGAUCUCCAUCAUCUUCACGAUCGUGCACAAGUUCUGAAAGUAGAGACGUGAAUCUCUUCAUCGUCUUCACUCUCUAUACUUGUAUCUCGAAGGUUAUCCCGGUUUCUAUGUGCAUCGGAUCUCCAUAGGAAAAAUUAGAGAAUGAAUAGAGGUUGACUGUCAGCCCCUUAGACCCUUGACUUAACCAUGGAGGAAUAGGCCUCAUGGGUAGGCCUUGCACCCAUGAAAGCCUAGGAUGAAAGCAGGGAAAUCCUGGAGGUUUGGUGGUUCAAACUCUAGGAGGCAUGUGAGGAGGCCGCAGGUGAGCCAGACAAGCACUGCGCGCGCAUCGCGGGCGAGGCAGACACGCACCACGCGCACACAGUGGGCAAGCCAGACGCGCACCGCGCGCGCACAGUGGGCGAGCUAGACGCGCACCGCAUGCACACCACAGGCGAGCCAGACAUGCACCGCGUGUGCACCAGAUGGGCAUCGCGCGCGCAUCUGACUUAGGUGGUGCAGAUGAAGGCUGAGGGACUUGGAAUUUUAAUUUAUAAUUAAAAUUAUUAUUCCAUUAUGCCUUCUCAGACAUAUUGAUGUCUCCUCAAGAAACAAUGAAAAUGGCUCGUAUUGCUCUUUAAGGGGGGGGGUAGGUGACUCAAAGGAGGGAGCCACCAAGAGAAGCCUUGACCGCACCAAGGGGGCACCAUGGCAUGGCCUUGGGCGUGCCUAAGACACACGACAUGACUCGAGCACGCACACAUGGGCUCCACGACAUGUGUGGUGUGCACCCCAUGGCCGCAACGGCACGGGGCCUGGUGCGGCCUGACCCCUCCCCGUGCAGGCACGAGGGAACCUAAGCCUUGUGCGGUAAGCCAGUUAAUGAAACCAUGGGCACAAUGCCAUGGUCUGAUGGCUCCAAUAGCUGACUCGCAUCAAGAUGCCUACGCAAAGCACAGGGUGCAAUGCCCUGUGCACCAAGAGGGAUCAGUCAUGGGCGCAAUGCCAUGGCUCGUUGCUUGGAAGCUGGGAAGCAAGCAACAAGCCCAAGCCAUGGGCACCUAGACAUGGCAUGGGUUCAUUCAUUAGUGUGGGGAAGGCACACUGAUGCACUAGACGCUUGGUCAAAUGGGUGGAGCACGUUGCCUGGCUUAGAGGGCCUUGAUCAAAGACAUGCUGAUGGGCACCUGGUCACAAGAGGCACCUUACGGGGGAGGGGUCAGCUUGUUAGGGGGACUCACCAGUAGCUUGGCGAGCAAGACCUGAGGAGAUGGCAGUGCAGCUAGCUAGUGGCAGCUAGCUCAGUGACCAAGUCAAGCCGUCAUUUGAACUGCAGUUGGCUGAGGGAUGAUGGCUGGUGCAAGUGGGUGGCAUGUGCAGGCCACUAUCUAGGUGGUGGGUGGUUAUGCAGGGCAGUUGAGGGCGGUUCUGGCCAGUUGCAUAACCACCAAAGUUGGCUUCAAGAUUUGAAUUGGAAAUUCAAAUUUGUAAUUGCAGCUUGAGUCUUUUAAAAGGGCUCCUGCAGCCUUCAAACAGGGAGAGAGAGUUUUGGGGAAAGGGUUCCUUCUCGUAUGCCUUGGGUGAGAGCAUUGUACUCUAGUUCAGGAAGCAAUUUUGUCUUGCAAGAGUGAUUAAUACAAGUUAGGAAAGGAUUCUCGUAACCUCAUGUGUCCCUGUUGCUUUGUUAUUUCUGUGUUCUACUCUGUUUUUCUAAACGUUAGGAUGGAAGGUUGGCUAAGGACUGGUCCUUAGCACCGCGCACUCGUGAAAAAUUCAGUGAGAUAUUCAGGGGUAUGACACUGACCAUGAUUACUAUAUCUAGAUAUAUGUUAUGGAAUAAUGGCAGUUGUAGUAAAUAAUACACAAUGGGUUACAGGAUAAUGUUGAUGCUUGUUGAUUUUUUUAAUAAAUACUACAUAUAGAAAAGUAGAUGUAUAACCAGCCAUAAGUGUUUUUAGUGGCUCUUGAUUACAAGUUAUUGUGCCUUGUUCAUAUGUAUUAUUUUUUUCUUCUACAUGUUUAGUGUUGUCAUUUUAGUUCCAAGUAUAAUAUUCGAUUCCUUAAUUCUAAUCUUUAUUGCCAAUAUUUUCACUUUAUUCAUGAUUUUUUUGAAUACAUGUUAGUUUAGGUUGGGUGUGGACAAUUUGGGCUACGCAUGAGUGUUGUUAGAAUUUGAUAUUUAGGAAACUAAAUGAUUAAAUGUGGAUUGCUUGGUGAAUUAUGAUUGAGAUUGAGUUAUUUUUUUCUCUUUUUAUUCAAAACUUCUUUUCAUCUAAAUAAGUCAUUGGAUAAUCACAUGAUAAUUGGCUUUGAAUAAAUUCUCCUCAUUUUGAUUCUUAGAAAUUUGAUUUGUCUUAAUUUUCUAAAAUAAUUCACACAUGUACAUUUACAUUUUUUAAUAAUCCAAAUUUAAAAAUAUACAUGAACCGUUUUCCUUUUUUGGAAAAUUGAUUUUAUACCUCAUUCAUAACAAGAUCAAUCUUAGUCUCUUUGAUAAUGGAUGGCUUUUGUAUUUAAAACCUAUCUUAGUCUCUUUUAAGUAGAAAAUUUCAAUUUCUAAAAAGAAUAAUGCUGCCCAUUUUAUUUGGUAUGCAACUUUGAAAGGUUUUAAAAUAUUUUUCCCUUAAUCUAGACUUCUUAAAUUUAAUUUUUGACAUAUUAAAUAUUAAGAAAAGAUUUCUGAAAUGAGAGAUAUAAUUUUUUUCUUUUUGACCUUGCUGCACCUAUGCUCCCCUAGAGCUGAAGGAUGUUUACUUAUUUUUAAAUGUGUCAUGAAUGUAACAUUGCCUUGUGAUUAUUAUUUUUUAUUAAAAAUAGACAUGUUAGCUAGUUGUACGAAUUUUUGUAUGAUUUUAGGACAUCUCCAAGUUAAUUAAAAAAAUAAGUUCUUGAGUAUUUUAACAAAAUGCCCUGUUCUGAACCUACUAAUAUCAUUAUGAAAUCUAGUACUAAAUGAGAGCUAAUUGAUAAAUUGGAUGAUAAAGUAGACAUAUAGAAGAUAUUCUUUGAAAAUUUUUGUAAUGAAAUUCAACUUCUAGAUAUUUGUUUUUGAUUUAUUAUAUCCCCUGUUUUGACCAUUUGCUGACUUUUUUUUUUUCUUUUUUUUUUUUUUUUUGUAAAAGAACUCAUUUGUAAAUAAAUUUGACAUUGAUUAUAUAUAAGUUUAGUUUGUAAUUCCUUUUUGAAUUCAUUACUAUUAUUUGUGAGUUAAUCUCAUUUCUAUGAAAAUGCUUUAAGAUGCUAAAACAGGUAUGCAAACCCUCUUUUCAUAAUUUAUUUAAAUUAAAGCUUAUGAUUGAACAUUGUCUAUUAGAGUUUGCUAGUUGUGUUGAGAUUUAUGACUUUAAAUUUGACUUGUUAUGGAAUAUGUGAUUGCUUAGAAUACAAUGUGAUGCUAUUGCUUGUUAUCUAACUUUUGUGUUUUUUGGAACCGCUCAAAUUAGGUAUGCCUUUCUUCAUAUAAUUGAUGAAUUGUAUUGAUGUGUUUUAUUUAGUUCAUAGUAUCCAUGAAUCAACCAAUUGAUCUUCGGAAUUAUUUCAAUUUACUUAGUAGAGACCUAGCUUUUAGGGCUUAGAGGGACGCUAUAGUUCUUCAUUGUACCUUCCUGAUAAGUAAUCUGAUACUCGAACUUAGACUCGGGUUUUCAAAGACAAGCAUUUCUAAAUAAAAAGGAGUCAUUUUCUAGGGUUUUUCUUUCUUAUUUUGUUUGUCAUUUUAAAAAAAUAAAACGAAAAUAAGUGGUGACUCCAUUAUUUAUAAAAUUGGUUUUUCACAAACAAAAAGUGAGUGUUGCCAUCGAGUGAGAAUGCAUGUGAAAAUGCGGGAUCACAAACGGUGAAGUAAAGUGGUUCUUGAUUUAUGUUUGACUUCUGUUUUUUAAACCUCCAUUUUGAUCUUUCCUCUUCGGUUCUGUUUGGUUUCCAAGAAAGUGGUCUAGGUCUAAUAUGGACCAUAGUUUCUUUCUUUUUCUUGGUUUUUGCUUGUGUUUUUCUUUUUCUUGGUAUAUCUUUGGUUUACAAGAAACAGGAGUGAAGUAAAGUAGGUUCUUUAUUUUUGUUUGGUACUUUGGUUUCUCGUUCUCAAACCUACGUUUUUAUCUUUCCUUUUAUGCUCUGUUUGGUUUCCAAGAAAGUGGUCUAGAUCUAAUAUGCACUGUGCUUUCUUUCUUUUUCUUGCUGUCUGUUUGGUUUACAAGAAGCAGGAAUGAAGUGCAGUGCAUUCUUGAUUUCUAUUUGGUUUCGAAUAAAGUGAAGGAAAAUGAUGUCUUGCUUGUUAUAUAAUCAUUGAUAAGACGCCCAGGGUAAGAACCUCAUAUUCCUAAAAACAUGCUUACCAAUGAUUUUGCUUGAGCUCUUAGAAAUAAUCUCAAAUAAUCUCACUUAAAGCUCUCAAAUAGUAAUCUAUGUCCACCAUGAUAAGACAUGAUGAAAUAAGCCCCACAAAAAUAGUAUUUCAGUGCCAUUAUUUGAACCCAAGAUGAGCCCCAUGGCUCUAUCGUUUGCCUUUCUCAAGCAAACCCUACAAAGUGAAGGCUUCUUUUCUAUUAUUUAACUGUGGAGUGAGGUAACCACAAGGGAGAACCAUCAAGUAGACGCUAUCUCUUUUGCUUUCACUCUUUAUCACUGCUUUAAGUCUAAUUAUGCCUUAGAAGUAGAAACUAUGCACUAACCAUUCUCAGGUCCCACAACCCACUAUUCAUAAGCAUCAGAGUGAUGCUGUGCAUGAAGAUACUUGUACAAGGGUUUUAUGUCAUGCAACUUUCGGUGAAUCCAAUAUGUUACGAACUCCACAAAAACAAUAUAUGCCAUGAUGUACACCAAGUAGGCAAACCAGCCAACUUCACUUAUUCUUGAAAAGCACUUUGUCCACCCAUUUUCGACUGCAUACUCUGAAAAUGUUGGGAGAGCAGCAAACCAGGGAAAACUCCUCAUGGAAGCUUUGACGUGCAAAACAAAAAUGCACUAUUGGAAUAACAUGUAAUUAAGAGCUCAAGAAGACAUGCCAUUCCCUAAUGAAACAACGCUAAGCACUAUUGGAAUAAGCACGCAUUUAAACAAAACUGACAUAGAGAGUCUCUGUUUCUGGGCGUUUUUUGGAAGAGAGUUCAAAGAUUUUCUUUCUGUAGAAGAUCAUCACAUGCACCGAUUCAAAGAAUUUAGAGAGCUUCUCAUUAGAGUCAAGGUUCUCGUCAUUCUAGACCUUUAUGAACAUCUUCUUCACGGCAGCAUUGGCAUCCCGAUUCCUGAACCUCCAUGAUUGAUUGAUCUCCAUCAUCUUCACGAUCUUCACGAUCGUGCACUAGUUCUGAAAGAAGAGACGUGAAUCUCUUCAUCGUCUUCACUCUCUAUACUUGUAUCUCGAAGGUUAUCCCGGUUUCUAUGUGCAUCGGAUCUCCAUAGAUGAACUCGGAUUUUGCAUUGAUCUGAAUCUCAAGCAUGCAUUAUUUCCAUAUUGUGCUGCCAAACUUGGUGUUUUUCUUCAUUUAUUCUUCACCACAACAGUUGGACAUAAAGGUUAGUCUCAAUGAAUCUUUACCAUUUGAAUUAGUUUAUUAAUGAUUUUUAAGUUAUUCAUUGAUGAAGUUAAGGCUAAUAGAUGAAAUUGGUUUGUUGAUUUUGAAACUCACGGCUGUUUGUGACAUGCUUUUAUCAAAAUUAGAGAAUGAAUAGAGGCUGACUAUGAUUACUAUAUCUAGAUAUAUGUUAUGGAAUAAUGGCAGUUGUAGUAAAUAAUACACAAUGGGUUACGGGAUAAUGUUGAUGCUUGUUGAUUUUUUUAAUAAAAGCUACAUAUAGAUAAGUAGAUGUAUAACCAGCCAUAAGUGUUUUUAGUGGCUCUUGAUGACAAGUUAUGAUGCCAUGUUCAUAUAUAUAUAUAUAUUAAUUUUUUCUUUUUUUAAUCCUAUCUAUGUUGUUGAUAUUAAUGCAUUGAAUUUGAUGUUACCUAAAACAAAAUUAUAUUCAUGUCCUCUAUUAUAAGUGGACAACCAUUCUUUAUGUUAGAUUUUAGAUAAAGAACGAAUAUUGAAGAUUGGAGUUGUAAGAAAUUAGGAGAUCCUAAUUUUAAAUAUGUAACAAAGUUCUAUAAUCACUUCAAUCCACAUUUAAAAAUUGUAUUUCUUUCUAAAAUGGGAUCAAACUUUUUCCUUCUUUCUUAUAAAUUUCAUUUGGGAAUGAUUUAAAAAUAAAUAAAUAAAAGCCCUUCUAAAUAUUAAAAAAACACUCUCUUAUAAAAUUUAAUUAGGUGGAUGGUUAGGUCAAAUUCGGGAUAGCUUCAUAUUUUUUGCUUUAACUGAAAAUUAAAAUCAAAAUUAAAGUAAUAAUUUUUAAGAUGUUGUAAAAGUUAUAUUAAACAUGAAAGAACUUAUUGUGUAAACAAAAAUAGAAUUAUAGAAUUCUUAUAAGAAAUAACAUUUUUAUGACUUCUAUAUGAAACUUUUUAAAAAAUUUAUCAGUUUUUCUUUUUAAAAAAUAAUUAAAUAGGUAUAAAAAACUUUUAUUCAACUUAAUUUUUUUUAACUCUUGAAAGUAAAUCCAAAUAAAAUUUAAAUAUAUUUGAAAAUCAUUUUCAAAAAUCCAAAAAAUCACCUAAAAAUAAUUUCAAAUUUUUUUUAUUUACAUUUAAAUACUAAGUGAUUCUUUUAAAAAUCAUUUGUAAUGUCAAAAUAUUUUUUUAUGGAUAAAAAUAUUACAAAUAAAAAACAUUUCAAUCACAAUUAAUUUAUUUUUAAUUCAUGAAAUUUCAUUUAUUGUUACUUAUUUUUUGGGAUUUAAUUCUUUACAAUUAUUUUUGAGUGUUUACAUAGAAUAAUUAGGUUAUGCCCAAAUUUAUUCCUUUAACUCUAUCCAUCAGAUAUAAGUAUCGUGAAAUUUUGGCCUGUCUCCACCUUUCUUCGCUUUUGACAUUGUCAUGCACUGCUUCCUCAACUCCAAACACAACCGCUGAGGAUCGAAGAAAAUGAGACAAUGGUCAAUGAAUAAUUUAUUAAUUUUUUUCUUAAUUUAAUAGCAUUGGAAUGUCAGUUGGAACAAACCAUUUGAUGAUCUUUUUCAUAAGUAUCCAUUUAGAUCAUAGUCUUUUUAAAAUAUUAGAAUAAAUCAAUUAGUCUAAGCUAUAUCAUUUAUAAUUUUUUUAUUAUUAAUAUGAUACCUAUCCUUUCACGGAAUUGAAAUAAAAUAUGAAUAAUUAAAAAAUGUCAACUAUCCAUGAUAUUUGAUACCAAACUUUUCUAAUACAACAUGAUAUCAUGUUGAAUGAAAUGGGAAUCACCAAAUGUUCUCAAAUCAAAGAUAUAUCUACAGGGGACACGUCAAAUUCUCUUUUUAUAAUCAAAGGCUUCCAAAAAAAUUCAACCAUAGCAUAUCUCAAAGAUUAGUCAAAUUCCAUUAUUUUUAUAGACUUCUAACAAUUCAAGAAAUUGACAUUAAUAAUCCCAAACACAAUAUUCUGCAACUUUACAUUAUUCUUUUUAUUGUAAUUGAAGAGGAAUACCAACUUAGUCAAAUAGAAAAUAAAUCAUGAAAGCUGAAUAAUACAAAUAUUCAGUGAAAUCUUUGGCAUGUUAUUUCUUUGCAGCUUCAACAUGGUGGCAUGUCGGAUGGAGGAGGCAGCAUUUGAGCUUCUGGGUGUUUACCAUUUUUCACUAUGAAUGCAGUUUCCAUGCCCCAAGUCACAUGGCGUUCUACAUGGCAAUGCAGGAACCACACUCCUGCAACAGAGAAAAUAUAUCGAGAUUACACCUAACUUAAUUGUAAUAUUAAAAAAAAAUUAUUUCAUUGGUAUGCAAGUUGGCAGUAUCAAGGGUUUUUUUCUUUAAUAGAGGACAUGAGUGCUUGCAACGUACCAGGGUUGGAUGCCUUGAAUCUGAUUGCAACCCAACCUUUCGAAGGAACAGAGAUGGUAUUCUGAAGGGGAGGAUCCACCAAAUUAUAGUGCAAAGGGUCCCUAUUUUCAUCGAAAUUCCUAAAUCCCCAUCCAACAACAUAGAAACUGUAUCCAUGGAGAUGCAUAGGGUGGUGUGUCUCUGCAAGCACGGCUGUCCCUUGAAGAACAAUCUCCACUGUGGAGUUAUACUCGAGCACCCUUACUUCUGUUCCACUGCUCGGCAACUGAUAGAUUAAUGGAAGAUAAUCAUAUGUAAAAUCGAACACUAGUGGUGGAAAGCUAGGAAAGUUAUUUCCAUAUACACCACUGAUGUUAUAAUAGUAAGCUUCCAGUAUGUCAACCGUAGGGGUAUGGAAGCUUAUGUUGUUUAUACUUGAGGAGAACCGCGUCCCAUUUGGCCCUGCACAUGAAUCAUUGACGCAUGGGUACGAGUUCAUAGAAAGAGUGUAAAACAACUUAGUGCUCGUGCUCAAUGGGACAUUGCAAGGAUGUUCCGCAUUUGCUAAGCUUCGGAGGCCGGCCAUGACCUGAACUGAUGCAUCUGUGUCAUUGUAUGCAGGAAGAUGAGGCAAAGAGGAGGUGAAGAUGGAGUGUAGUAUCCCCUAUAUUGUACAAUAGCUGUGGUGGUUGUGUUAUCAUAAAAGCCUUGAUAUUUCGGGGCAACAGAAUAAGUUAUAGCCGCCAUGUAAUAGUGAUUUGGGCGUUGGUUAGCUUCUAAUAAGACAUCAUAGGUUUGGCCAGGAAAUAUUGUGAUAUAAUCUCGUGUCAAUGGUUUCGUGUAGCUACCAUCUGUUCCAACCACUAUCAUUUUAUGCUUGGCUAUGGCGAAGAAGAGAGCCUCAUGCAAGGCAGCAUUGAUUAUGCGAAGUAGAUAGGUCUUUCCAUGAUCCACCGUUAGCUUGAAUGUGCCUGUAAUUAGAAAGGGAAAGUUGUAUACUUAUGACUAGCAAAAAGAAAAAGAAAAAUUUUCCAUGAGAAUCCACCAAUUAUGAAGUGAUUGAUUAAUUAAGGGUGUAAAUUUGGCUCCAUAGUUCAAAAUUAUAUUUGGACUAGCCUUUUCUGAUGUGUUAAAUCAUGGCUCUACCAUCCUUAUAGCUAUAUUCCUCUUUCUUAGCAUUAACCUCUAAAUAUGUUGAUGUUAAUAAGAAAAAGUAGUAUGGUUAACAUAUAGGAAAAUGAAAUCAUGUACAAUUUUAAAAUGGGAAGUUAAACUUUGUACCUGAUUUUGAGCAUGGAAAUAGAUCACCGGGUUGUCCAUUUAUCAAUAAAGCAUCGGAGGAGUUAGGGUCACCUCCGGUUGCAAGCCCUUGAUCUCGAACCUCAUUCACAUCCCUCUUCCACCAUUCUCCUGCGUUUCAACAACUUCAAUAAUUUUAGAUUUUGCUUUGUUGGUUAAUUCAUAAUAUGUAAAUUAACCUUUAAAAGUAACAACACUUAUACCUAAUAUGAUGGGGACUUCUGCGUUAGGUUUGUGAAAAGGAUACUUGGUUCCAUUCCUGGGAUAGAUGAUUAUAGCUCCAUGAACAGUGGCUCGGGUCCAAUCACUGUGAGCAUGCCACCAUAGAGUGCCUUCCUCAGUGGAAAGGAUGAUCUUCUGGGUAAACUUUGACCCUGGCUGAAUUGGGCAUUGUGUGAUAUACUCGGGACCAUCUGUCCAUGGAUAUCUAGGCAUGGUCACCCCAUGCCUGUGAAACCAUAACCAUAUGUUAAAACUAGUACUAAUUUUCAAAGUAACAAAAGAUAGCAUGUAACAAGCAUCAACUGUAUUUCAAUGGAUAUGAAGAAAAUAACCCUAAAGUAUUGUUUUAAAUUUGACUUUAUUUUCAAAGCAAUAUAUUGCGGCCCCCUCUUAGAAAUAAAAGAAUUUAAGCCAUGUCUUUCUCUAAGACACACACAGGGCCUACCAGUGAAUGGUGACGUUUUCUUUUCCCCUGUUAUAAACGUCGACAAUGAUUGUCUCUCCUUUCAUAGCAUAUAUAGUUGGUCCCGGAAAUUGUCCAUUUACUGUUAAGAUGUUCUUGGCGCUACAAAGCCUUGUAUAUGAAGCUUCCCUCACCUGCAACCAAUUAAAAGUUAACCAUGCAAUCUCAUCCCAAAAGAAAUAUUACAUGUAUGAAUAGUUCCAUCGAUCCAUUCAUGUAAGUGUAUAACCAAUUAGAAAUUGAUGGCAUGGAUGAACGACUCAACGACACCCAUAACAUGCAUGAACAACUCAAUGACACUAGGGUAAGAGGUCAUAUGGUAGAAAAUGAGAGCCAUACUACUCCUUAAAUAUCAUGAUUAGAAGGUGGUGUUUAGGCCAAUAUCAUAUAUAGUAUUUACCACAAAAGUAAGCUGACGGGUCGAAGCUUGGCAAUGGAUGCCACCACCAAAAACUAGAAACGCUAAAAUUUGCAAGAGGAAAACCUUCAUGAUCAGCCACAUUUUCCUUGGAAUAAAAGCCUCUUCUCUUCUCUUGUCCUAAACACAACUCCUUCAAUUCUCUUACUACUUUUGAUGUAUUUCUUUCACAUGUGAUUCAUUAUAUAGGCAUGGUAAUUCUCUCGGGAUACAAUACUUCCUCUCCACGUGUCAAUAUAAGAGGAAGUGAUUUGAAUGUGUAUUGGUUUUCAAUGUUCUUAUGAUAUUUCUUACAUGAGCAGGACCAUUCAAAAUAAUUAAUUAUGAUAUUUCUUACAAGUUACCUACACGUUACCUUAGAAUAUAUAAAUUUUAAAUAUUCUUUCACAAGUCCAACAAAUGUUAAUUAAUUAAAUAUAUGUAGAAUACUUUUAAAACUUUGACCUCCCGUAUGAGUACCCUUAUCAAGAUCAGUCAUGAAAACUGUUUUUCAUUGACAACUACUUUUAAGAAUUAUUUUAAAAUUAUUUUUGAAGAAUUAUUUUUAUAAACAUUAUUUAACCAACCCUUAUUAUUAAUUUUACUUGUUUUCGUGUUACUUAAGAUAAUUAAUAGUGCAGAACCCAUGACUUUGGUGGUUGGUGGCAAAGUUGUUUUCGUAUUGUUACGUAAUGCAAUUAUAAUAAUAAUAAAAUAAUUAAUUUUACUUGUUUUCGUCUGAAUGGGACAAAGUUGUUUCCCUUUUUUUUUUAAACCUGAGAAUUGAGAUUGUAAAAGACAAGAUGAUAAGCUAAUUCGGUAUUUCAGAAUUUUUCAUAAAAAACACAAAAAUAUAUUUUGUAAAAAGUUGAAAAUAGGAUACGAACAACCCCUUGUAGUAUUUUUUUCUCAACAAAAAGCAAUUUAAUUAUAAUAAUAAUAAAUAAUUAUAGAUUUAAAAAAAAAUAUUUUUUUUUUGGGGCAAUUUCUAGUAGUUCCAACUCCCAAAAACUUCUCCACCUUUGAUCUUUUAUUUGGUUAGGUUGGGUUGGGUCACCUCGACUUGGGCACCCACCCAACUCCAACAAUAUUUAAGUAAUUAAUAAAGUAAAUGAUUGAAUUACAAUGAACAAGUAUAAUGAUCAAAAUAAAAAUAAAAAAAUCUUUUUUGUUUUAAUACAAAUCAUUUACCAUUCAAAAAUAUUCUUAAUAUCUUCAUUUUCUUUUUGUGUUUUUGAAAGUUCAUUUUUGUUUUAACUAGAUCAAAUAAUAUUUGUACAAUAAUGCCUUUAACAUACAUUUUUGAUCAGUAAUACCAAAUAAACAUCUCAACAAAUAUUAUAUUAGAUGAUCAUUAAUUUCACUAUCUUCAUUUUAUUUAUCUUAUUCUUCUUUAUCCAGUGCAUUUAAUUAUGUGUUGUAAAAUGAACAAGGACCUCUACAGUUAUAAUCUCACCUAAAAAGUUGGAGAAGUUAUCUCUACAUUUAUGGUUCAUGCAUGAAAUAAAUUGUUUUUGUACUUCCAUCAUCAAAGAUGCAUGUAUGUCUAUGUGGACCCACAUUUCUCACAUGUGCCUCCACUCAAUCGGUGAGACUCACUUUUAUUAGUGAAAAAUUAAGUUUUGGAAAAGUCGGAGUCGCCACAUAUUUUAUUUUAUUUUAAAGGGAAAAUAAAACAAGAAAUAAAACCCUAAAAAAUAACUCCAUAGUUUUGGAAAAAACAUGUUUUUGAAAAACCCGAGUCUAGGUCCGGGGAUCAGGUUACCUAUUGGGAAGGUACCCCUAAAAGGUAGCACCCCUCUAAGCCCUAUAAAGGUCUCUACUAACUAAGUUAAAGGAGAUGUGACAAUUAAUUGGUUAAUUAUAAAUACCUAAGUAAGCAAGGUGAUUUCAAAAAUAGCAUGUCUAACAAGAAAACCAAUCAUAAUCAUAAAGAAGAUUUAGGGUGCGUACUUGGACUGCUUCUUAUGCGCUAUCACAAGACACCAAAGUUAGUUCAAAUAAUAUAUCAUCUAGCAUGCACUUUAUCAGAAAUAAUUUAACAAUGAAACUAAUAUCAAGGCACCCAAGCAUUAUCAAACAUAGACAUAGUUCACAAUGACAAGCAUAUUCACAGAAUUUAGAAGGCAGGUGUUAGGGGGCAUACCUGGAUAGCAUAGAUAACUUGUAACAUGUUUCCUUAAGACAUGAUGGGUUAGAUAAUAAAAUAUAAAACAAAGAAAUCCUAGCAUGCUUGUUAUCUAAUUAGCAUAGCAAAAAUGAUCAAAGUAUACGAAAACAUCAAUUAUCUUGUAUACAAUUCCUGAAAAAUAAAUAUAAAUAUGAUUACAACAAGUAACAAAGGUGGCAACAAAAAUAAAUUUUGAAAAUAUUUUCUUAUGUAGGGGUUUCACCAAUUCCCCAAUUAAUAUACAUGAAUCUAGCCUAGAAUUAUCCCAUUUGUUUGGGACCAUAAGAUUGAAUUCGUAUUCCACUCAAAACCAAAAUUUUUAUUGAAAACUGAAGAAGAUGCAAACCAACCAAAACAUGGUUGCAUAUUACUUAAGAAAAUGAGAUUUUGGUUCUAAGGACUCUAAAUGGAUUUUUAAAAUGGAUUUUUAUGAGGAACAUCUUGAGAAAAGCAUUUUAUUUUACAAUGAAGAAAUUAAUCUAAAAACAACAAAACACGAGAAACAAACUACCAAGUGAAACAAAAGAAAAAAAAAAUCACAAAACGGAAUUUUUUUACAACCGAGCAAACUAAAGUGGUAAGAAUGGAGGCCAAUCUUCACUAUUUUUUUAUGGCCUCUGAAAAGUAAAUUUUACCGGAAACUACCAAAGCAAUAAACUAUUCAAACUUAAAUCAAUUAAAUUAAUGACUAAUAUUCAAGAAACAUAUCAAUUAAGAGUAAUAAUCAAGAAUUAGCGCGUGAUCAAUUAAACACACAAAUGUAUCUUGACUAAUUAAAAUGGACCAAAUUAAAUCAGGGCAAACAUGAAUUCUCAAUCAUAGAAUUAUUUUAUUAGUGAGCUAACAUUAUAGAAAAUGCCUAAAUUAAAUAGAUGAGUGAAGCUAAAUCGGAAUAAACUAAACACAAGCACCUGCUAAUAUAGAAUUGAUUUUAUUAAUAACUUAAAAUUAUAAAAAAUACUUAAAAUAAUUAAAAUGAAUCAAAUUAAAUGAAAGCAAACUAAAAACAAAAUAUGAAUUCAUGGAAUCAACUUCCUAAAUAAAUUUACAUUAUUGAAAUGAAAUCUAUGCUCAAAAUGAAUUAAACACUAAUUAAGGCAAAUCUAAAAAUCAAAUAUUUAACACAUGAGGUCAAUUAUUUUAACAAACUAAAAUUUUACUUAAACCUAAAAUUAAAUUGAAAAACUAUCCAAAACUAAUUUUAAAACUAAACUAUAAAAUCAAUCUCAUUAACAAAUAGAUAAAUAGAUAACACAUGAAUAAAUAAGUAUGACUAAAACGAAAUAUGAACUCAUGAAAUCAAUUUUUUUUAAAUAAAUUUACAUUACUAAAAUGAAAUCUAAAUUUAAAAAUAUUUUUAACACCAAUUAUGGAAAUCCUAAAAUCAAAUAUUUAACACUUAAUAUUAACUACUUUAACGAACUAAAAUUUCACUUAAACCAAAAAUUAAAUUAAAAAACUAUCUAAGACAAAUUUUAAAACUAUGUCUCUAACCUAUAACAUAAAUCUUGCUAAUAAAUGGAUAAAUAGAUAGCAUAUAGAUAAAUAUAUCUCAAAUUGAAAAUGACUUACAAAGGUGUAACAAUAAAUUCAUAAAGAACCUUUAAUAUAUUGUAUUGAUUGGUUAAAAAUAUAAUAGGAGAAUAGCUCACCUAAUCGAAUAUGUGUAUGGGUAGUAGGCUUCUCAAAGUGGCAGCCGCGUGACUGAUUCGACUAGCCAAAUCCAACUGGCUGUGCAAAUAUGCAAACUUCCAAAGACCUCCGGGGCUUGCUUAGAUCACGACUUCAAGACGCAUGCUGUCAUGGACCAAACCAUCUUUCAGAGAACGUGUUGCAAUAUCUCCUCUCCAUAGGUCGGAAAUCUUCUUCCAAUAACUCAGACUGAUCUUUCAAAACUCGGAUUGAGUUUCGAAGAAAAACGGACUGACCUUCAUCUUCCAGUUUUGGUGUUCGACUCGUCCUUCCUCUUACCUCCUGAAUGCUCGAUAUCCUCCUCUUGCCUCUUCGUACAACUGUUGCCAAUUUGUUUCUUUUCUGGAUGCCUGCUUCAUAAAAGCUUUUCUUCGGUAAAACCGAGCUUUCCCAGCCUUCUCCACGUGCUGGAAAAUUUCCUUCAAGGGUGCAGCUGCACUUGUUUUUUUUUUUCAAUGGUGUGGCUGCACCUUUCUCACCAUCCGAAUCCCAAACUUUCCUUUGGUCUUAAUGGUGUGGCUGCACCUACUCCCACUCCCAGAAUGAUGUGGCUAUCGAUCUACUCCUCCAGAUUCAACAAGGUAGGUAUGCACUCAUCUUCCCAAUCGCGGGGUGAAUAGCCGGUGAAUAUCAACAAGCAGUCGUGUAUGUGGGUUCCAAAACAGCAGUUUGAAUCCACUUUGAAACCUGGACUGAUCCUCCUCAAACAGCAGCUCCCAAAUGCCUUUUUUUUUUUACACAGACUGAUUCCUCCACUUUAAAAUCACAACUUAACUCCCAAAAAUAAUCCUUCUGAAAACCCCUUCAAUCGUGCGUCGUUCUUCAUUUUUCUUUUUCUUUUUUCUUAAUCCAUCACUUCGUCAGCUCCUCUACUGCCACAGUGAUGGAAAAAACAGCAGAAAAUGGUUUCCUUAUCCUCUUCCAAUCACCCUCAAUCCCCUCCAAUUAUUCCUUUUGUUUCCUUUGCCUUACCUUUUCUCUCUUCCUCUCUCUCCAAUCCACUAGUUGUCUUCAUCUUUCCUCUUAAUGGUGUCUUUUCUUUUCUCCCUUACUCUCUCUCCAAUUACCGACUGCCUCCGUCUUUCCUUUCUAAUGGUGUCUUUCUUUUUCUUUUGGGAGAAUUAUGUUUUAGGGGUAGAUGGCCCCCAAAUUAACAAAAGGUCCAUGUAACUCUUCAAAUUGAGCCCAAGACCUAAUGAAAGUAUGGAAAUUGAGUUGAAGGAUAUCAUUCUUUAGUAUUUUCAAAAAUGCCCUUUGUUGAUUUUGAGAAAAAAAUUAAUAUUUUUGAAAAAUACUUUUAUUUAAUUUAAUAUUUUUUAUUUAAUUUAAUAUUUUUAAAAAAUACUUUUAUGUAAUUUAAUAUUUUUUAAAAUACUUUUAUUUAAUUUAAUAUUUUUUAAAAAUAAAUUUAUUUAAUUUAAUAUUUAAAAAAAAUUAAUUUAAUAUUUUUUUAAAUACUUUAAUUUAAUUUAAUAUUUUUGAAAAAAAAAUUUAAUUUAAUAUUUUUGAAAAAAAAAUUAUUUAAUUUAAUAUUUUUGAAAACUACUUUUAUUUAAUUUAGUAUUUUUGAAAAAAAAUUAUUGAAAAAAAAUUAUUUAACUUAAUUUUAUAAAAUAUUUUAUAUGUGUUCUUAAAGGGUAUAUUUGUCCGUUACUAUUUCAUAUCCUUCAACUCAAUUUGAAGAGUUAUAUGGACCUUUUGUUAAUUUGGGGGCCCAUCUACCCCCAAAAGAUAAUUCUCCCUUUUCUUUUAUGGAGCAUGUGGGAUCCAUGCAAAACAAAUAAUAAAAAAAAAAAAAAGUAAUAGGAAAAUUAAAAUACAAAUAAAAGAAAACUAAGGGUUAGAAUAAUAAAAAAAAACAUGCAACUAAGAAUUAAAAAUCCAAAUUAUGUAAUUUUAAACGAAAUUAAAAAAUAUAAAUCACAUGCAUAACUAAAAUGAAUUAUCAACUCAAGCAACUCUCUAUCAAAAUAAAUUAAUAAAUAAAUAAAUAAAACAAAAUGAAUAUGAUUAUUAAGUUCAUGCAAUUUUCUAAAAAUAAGUAAAUAAAUUAAUAAAACUAAUAAAUAGAUAAAGAUAAAAAAACAAAAACAAAAUCAAGCACAUGCAAGCCAUAUGAGCUAUGCAACCAUGCAAGCCAUGCCAACCAUGCAUCCAUAUAAAAAUGAUCUAAAUGGGCCUAGGGUGCCUAAGUGGGCCUAGGGUGGUGCCUAAUGGGCCUAGGGUGGUGCCUAAUGGGCCAAGUGUGUCUAAAUGGGCCUAAGGUGCUUAAGUGGGUCUAGGAUGGUGCCUAAUGGGCCAAGUAUAUCUAAAUGAGCCUAAAGUGGUGCCUAAGUGGGCCUAGUGGGCCAAGUGUGUCUAAAUGGGCGUAAGGUGCUUAAGUGGGUCUAAGGUGGUGCCUAAUGGGCUAAGUGUAUCUAAAUGGGUCUAAAGUGGUACCUAAUGGGCCUAAGGUGCCUAAGUGGGCCUAGGGUGGUGCCUAAUAGGUCAAGUGUUCCUAAACGGGCUUAAGGUAUCUAAGGUGGGGCCUAAUGGGCCAAGUGUAUCUAAAUGAACCCAGGGUGCCUAAGUGAGCCUAAGUCUAAACUAGGGCUGCCAAGAAUCACAAUGGAGUUAUAUAAAUCACUCAAUCAAAGUCCCCAAGGUGGCUUAGAAAAGAUAGGUUACAUGAGUAGUAGUGGGCCACCAAGGAAUUGUUGUAAAGUAUCAAACGAACACAUAAUAGGACAUGUGCUAGUAUGACAAAAUGGAGGGUCUACAGUCUAACAAUGGCAAAAGAAUCUAUGAGGUCAAGAAAAAAAUGAAAAAAAAUUAUAUGUUUUUUUAAUUCAUUUCAUUUAUUUAUUUUUCUAUUCUAUAUAAAAAUUCAAUAUAUAUAACUUUUUAACUAAUUUUAAUUAUAUUUUUCUUUCAUAUUUUAUAUAAUAAAUCAAAAACUAAAAAAAGAAGAUAUUUUUUAAUAUUUCAACUAUAACAAGGUGGGCAAAAUUAAUUUAUAAUGCUAGGAUAUCCUAACAACCUAACCUUCAAAUUUCCUUAAAUAAAUAAUCACUUCACUAGUAAUAUAUUUUCUUAUUCCACCCUAUUGUGAUUAGCACCAUAGUAUUUGUUAUACUUUGAAGCAUUUUGGUAUGAUUCUUAUCUCAUAAUAAGUCAUUUUUGAAGUAAACCCAACAUGGUUGAUAGAAAUCCUCUUCCUAAAUGAACCUCUAGGUUUCUUAUUCAUGAGUGUUGGUACAUUAAGUUAUAUAGUUUAAGAUUGAUAAUUUUGUUUCAUUCAUUUUGACUUAGGACUUUUUUAGAUUAUGUCUUUCUCUCCUUUGAAAACUCGAAGUUGUCGUGUGAUUAACUGGAAUAACAAAGGUAAGUAUCGAAUGAUCUAGAAAGGAAAAUUAGAGUUAGUUAAGGUUGGCACGAAUGUCCAAUUCUUAAACCGAGUUUUUUUUAAAAUAAGAAAUAAAUAAAAAAAACAGUUUUAAAGAACUCCUUGAGUUCUCUAAUGAUGCAGAGAGCGCUUAAGCGCUCAUUGCAGCACUCAAGUGUGAUAGAAUUCUUUAGAAUUUCACAGCUUUAAUUUUCCAACUUUUACAAGCUUUAUUUUGGGAAAAUUCUAAAUCUGAUCCACUAGGAUCUUGGCCUAAUAAAUAACUUUCCUAAAGAGGAUUUUCUCUUUUUGAUGUUAAUGUUUCAAAAAACCUAAUUUGUCAUCUUGCUCCCAAAACUAUGAAAGAUGAUUGUCUUCGCUUUUACUAGGUUGAGAAAGAGAUUUGCAUCUCCACAAACACUAAAGUAAGAUUCACGGGGAGCACAAGUGGUGUUGUACUACAAAUGUGAAGUAUAGUAGAAGUGAUAGUGAGCUCACGACCCAGAGUUGUUUGCAUCCUUCACAUCCCUGAGAUGUUUGGUUUUCAUCAUUCUAGCCACUUGCAAGUGGCCUCGACUCGACACCAUGAGUUAGAAAGAAUCUUGAUCGGUUAUCUAUUUAAAGCCAUGAGCUCACGACCUAGAGUCGUUCUUCUUAUUUAUGACCCAGAGUCAUUCUUCUUGGUGACAAUGGAGGUGCACUACCUGCAGGAAACAUGGAAGGUAAUGAGUUUCUUGUAGCAACAUUUUUUGUAAAAGAAUUUCCAGGGACAUUCAAGGGAACAUCGGCCUUUGCAUCAUUUAGCAAUGAAGUCACCAGACGAUCAAUCUCAAGAAGCGAAAGCCAUUGGUCAAAAAGCUCCUCGGAGACCCUAAGGUUCGACUUGAGAGCAAAAGGCAACACUUUCGGGAGCUGCAACAUUCGGUGUCCAAAGACACCAUAUUGCCAACUAUCUCCAUAUUCAUUGUUACACAACUUGAUUAAAGCUGAGCUGUGAGAAAUUUUCACAAUUGUUAGCAAUCUUCAGGCAUUUCAAUUAUUUAAAUUUUGGUAAGUAAUCAAAUAUCAUACACAACCUACUCUUUGAAGGGGUCUUGCACAUUGAAGUGGUCCUGGAAGAACAUUCAAAACCAAUACACAUUCAAAUUACUUCGCUUAUAUUGAUACGCGACGAGGAAUUGUUGAUACCCAAGCCACAUGUGAAUCUGUGCCCGUCAUCCGAAGAAUUCUGGUGUUCUGGAUUGAUGGGAGCAAAAAGGUGACCAGUUUUACCUUGAGUCAAAUUCAAAUGACAAAAUAUACUACCAUGGACAACGCCCUUUACUACAAAAAUAGCGCACACGGCCAAUCCCAUCAACCUAGUAUUACACCGAUUUGGAGGCAGAUGUACCAUAUUACUCUGUUGGCUGAACCACUCAGGAAUUCAACUUCUAGGAACAAAAGUACUGGAUUCAAUAUGUCGAGUAUAUGGCACCAUCUGGGUCAUGAAAAUCAAUGUCAAGUUAUAUGGAAAUAAUGUAGCCAUGUAGGAGUAGUGCUCAAAGGAGUAUAAGAAUUAUUCCAUAGGAUUUAAUUGAUUUACUUUUACAAUAUGAUCAAGAAAGAGAGGAGAGAAACCUGAAUUGGGAAUUGAAAUCUUGGUAAUUUAUUCUCCAGACUUUGCAUUUCCCUUAAUGUAGCUGCCACAAAGUUGUUGCUUUCAUUCUCAGACAGUCUGAAGCAAUUAGAAAAUGUGAAUCGGAGGCCCCCACAUUCCUUGGAUCUGUAGACACUUGAUGGACACAAAAUGUUUUCCAUAACUGUGCAAUCAUGGGUAUCUAUUUAUUCUAUACUUGAUGGAAGCUCUGGCAAUGAUUGAAGCCUCUUGCAAUAACCCAACCUAAGGCCUUUGAGCUGUGAAAGUUGAUUGAGGCUUGUAGGUAGAGUAACAAAAUUGUUUUUGCUUAGAUCUAAAUAUUCCAAUGAGCAUAGAGAGCUGAAGUCAUUGGGAAUUGCUCCUUCCAAUAUGUGGCAAUCACUUAGAUUUAGCUUUCUUAGGGAUCUUAAACCAAAGAAAGAUGCAGUUGCAAACCCCCAAAGCGUGGAAUUUCUGCUGGCAACAACUUGAAAAAGAGGAGUGAAUUCCUUGGCUUGGAUUCUAGUCCUUUACAUCCCUCAAAUGAUAAUACUUCAAGGUUUUCUAAAAGAGAAAUAGAGGGUGGCAGCUCUUUUAUACAGUUCCAGCUACUUCGAGCCUCUCUAAACCUUUUAGGCUCCCCGAACCCUUUGGCAAAUUGUCUAGUUUUGAGCAACCAGAUGGAAUAAGAGUCUGAAGAGAUUUCAACUUACAAAUACAAUGUGGAAGAAUUGCAAGGCUUUUGCAUUCUCUCAGAUUCAACAGAACAAGUCCACUUAGAUGUUGGAUUGAUGAAGGUAGCUCUUUUAGAGCAGUUCCAUCUAAGAAAAGUUCCAACAAACUCCCCAUAUUUUCCAAGACUUCUGGAAGUGUUGAGAUAUUAGGAAUGUUUAGAUAUUAGGAAAGUUGAGAUAUUAGGAAUAUUGAGAUAUUAGGAAAGUUGAGAUAUUAGGAUAUUAGUUGUUCUUUCCUUGUAUCAUUCUUUCCCAUUCUUAGAAUGGUGAUUACCCUCUAUAUAUACUUUGUACAUGAACGAAUGAAAGGAAGAAUGAAAAAACUACCAUUUAUCAAUUUGAAGAUGGUAUCAGAGCCAUGGAAUUGAAAUCCUGGAUAUUUUGUCGCUAUGGUAGUCCGACAACGAUCAACCCAUAAUUGGCAAGACCAAUCCAAGACCAACCAUCCUAAGACAAACCCUAACAUUAAUAAGUCAGCCUUCAAAUGCACUCACUGCAAUAAGACUGGUCAUACCAAGAGUUGUUGCUUUGAAAUUUGUGGGAUAUCUAGACUGGUGGGAUCAUAAUCGUGAUAAACGGAAGAAGGAUUCCGAGAAAGCCUCUGCAUUGGUAGCCACUAUAGAUUAUGGUGGUAAGUUUUUAAAUACUUUUACACCUGUUAUUAAUAGUGCAUGGAUAAUUGAUUCUGGUGCUACAGAUCAUAUGACUUUUUAUUCUAGACAGGUUUCAUCCCUUAGACCUUCCUCACAAAAAAUUGUUUCCACAGCCAAUGGUAACACAACCCCAAUCAUUGGGAAAUGAUCCUUGACUCUUACUGAUACUUUGAAUUUGGAUUCUGUUUUAGUUGUUUCAUCUUUAAAUUACAAUCUUUUGUUAGUUUCUCAAAUCACUGCAGGCUUAUCUUGUAUUGUCAUUUUUUGCCCUGAAUUUUGUGUUAUUAAGGACAUCCAAACAAGACAGACGAUUGAUUGUGGUAUUAAGCGGGGAAAACUCUAUUACUUGGACUUGCAAUCAAAGGAUUCAAAUAAGUUGCAACAAGCCUUGAUGGUAGAUGGAUCUGAGGGGGAGAAGAAAAAGUCUAAAAUUUGAUUGUGGCAUCGAUGUUUGGGACAUGCUUCCUUUGGUUAUUUAAAAAAAUUGUUUCCUAGUUUGUUUGCAAAGAGUGAUAUUUCUGGUUUCCGUUGUGAUAUUUGUGAAUUGGCUAAAAGCCAUCAUGCUUUGUUUCCAUUAAUUUUGAAUAAAAGUUUGCUUCCUUUAUGGUUAUACAUUCUGAUGUUUGGGGCUCAUCCAAAGUCCCAUCUUUGAGUGGCUCACGUUGGUUUGUUACUUUUAUUGAUGAUUGUACCAUAAUGACUUGGUUAUGCUUGAUGAGGACCAAAGAUGAAGUGAACUUGUUGUUUUAAAAUUUUCAUAAAAUGAUUGAAACUCAAAACAAUGUAAAGGUUCAGGUUCUAUGUAGUGAUAAUGGUGGAGAAUAUCAGAGUUUUAAUCUUCAAAAGCAUUUGGAAGGACAUGGCAUCAUUCAUCAGACUACUUGUUCCAAUACACCCGAACAAAAUGGAGUCGCUGGAUGGAAAAAUAGGCACUUGUUAGAGGUUGUUCGUGCUUCCUUGAUAGUAGCAAAAAUACCGAUAUCUUAUUAGGGAGAAGCAAUCACAUCUGCCGUAUACUUGAUCAAUCGGGUACCUUACAGCUCAAUUGACUUCCAAACACCUCUCCAAUCUUUUUUAAUGUUGUAGUUGUCCCAACUGUCCCAAAUCUACCUCCUUGUGUUUUUGGUUGGGUGGCAUUUGUGCAUCUACACAAACACCAAUGCACCAAGUUAACUUCCCGUGCAUUGCGAUGUGUGUUUGUUGGAUAUGCAUUGCACAAAAAGGGAUAUUAAUGUUACCAUCCUCCAACUCGACGACUGUUUAUUAUAAUGGAUGUGGUGUUUNNNNNNNNNNNNNNNNNNNNNNNNNNNNNNNNNNNNNNNNNNNNNNNNNNNNNNNNNNNNNNNNNNNNNNNNNNNNNNNNNNNNNNNNNNNNNNNNNNNNNNNNNNNNNNNNNNNNNNNNNNNNNNNNNNNNNNNNNNNNNNNNNNNNNNNNNNNNNNNNNNNNNNNNNNNNNNNNNNNNNNNNNNNNNNNNNNNNNNNNNNNNNNNNNNNNNNNNNNNNNNNNNNNNNNNNNNNNNNNNNNNNNNNNNNNNNNNNNNNNNNNNNNNNNNNNNNNNNNNNNNNNNNNNNNNNNNNNNNNNNNNNNNNNNNNNNNNNNNNNNNNNNNNNNNNNNNNNNNNNNNNNNNNNNNNNNNNNNNNNNNNNNNNNNNNNNNNNNNNNNNNNNNNNNNNNNNNNNNNNNNNNNNNNNNNNNNNNNNNNNNNNNNNNNNNNNNNNNNNNNNNNNNNNNNNNNNNNNNNNNNNNNNNNNNNNNNNNNNNNNNNNNNNNNNNNNNNNNNNNNNNNNNNNNNNNNNNNNNNNNNNNNNNNNNNNNNNNNNNNNNNNNNNNNNNNNNNNNNNNNNNNNNNNNNNNNNNNNNNNNNNNNNNNNNNNNNNNNNNNNNNNNNNNNNNNNNNNNNNNNNNNNNNNNNNNNNNNNNNNNNNNNNNNNNNNNNNNNNNNNNNNNNNNNNNNNNNGUGAACCAGGAAGCGGGUGAGUUGGAUAUGAGUGGUACAACUUUGGAACCAAGUAGUAAUGACCACCCAGAAAUUGAAGAAGUGAUAGAAGAAGGAAGAGACAAUACAAUUGAAUAAUCACCACCAUCUGAACAAUUUAGGUCCGAAGAUGUUUUCACUGAAAUACCAAACCAAUCGUCGUCUGCUGAGGGUGUUCUUAAUUUGGAACUUGAUCCAUUCAUGAAACGGUUACCACACUUUCAUAAUAGAGGUAUUCCUAAACCCACAUAUGAACCUGAAUUGUCUAUUAAAGUCAAAUAUCCCAUGAGCAACUAUGUGUCUAGCCAUUGUUUGUUUGAAUCAAAUAAGUCAUUUGUAAAUCAAUUAUCUACUGUAGCUAUUCCUAACAGUGUGUAAGAAGCCUUAGCUGAUCCAAGGUGGAAAACAACCAUGAAUGAAGAGAUGAAAUCAUUGUAGAAGAAUGAAACAUGGGAACUCGUAGAAUGUCCACCAGGAAAGAAGCCAGUUGGGUGUCGUUGGAUCUAUACUGUGAAGUACAAGGCAGAUGGUAGUAUUGAACGAUUUAAAGCAAGGCUGGUAGAAAAAGGGUACACUCAAACUUAUGAAAUUGACUACACAGAGACAUUUUCACCUGUAGCUAAGAUCAACACAGUUCGAGUAUUACUGUCUUUAGCUGCAAACCUAGAUUGGCCAUUACAACAAUUCAAUGUAGAAAAUGCCUUUCUGCACAGCGAGUUAUCUGAAGAAGUAUAUAUGGAUCUUUCACCAGGAUGCAUGGUGUCAAAAAGCAAUGUCAGAAGGUGUGUAAAUUGAAAAAGUCAUUGUAUGGGUUGAAGCAAUCCCCGAGAGCAUGGUUUGGAAGGUUCACAAAGUUAAUGAGAGCAUUUGGCUAUCAUCAAAGUAAUUUAAAUCACACUUUAUUCUUGAAAAAACAACAUGGUAAGAUUAUGGCACUCAUCGUAUAUAUGGAUGACAUGGUAGUUACAGGAAAUGAUCCUAAAGAAAGAAAAGCUCUGUAGAAUUAUCUAUUUAGAGAAUUCGAAAUGAAGGAUCUAGGUCCUCUGAAAUACUUUCUUAGGCUUGAAGUUUCUCGAUCAAGUGAAGGAAUUUUUCUUUCUCAAAGAAAGUAUGCCUUAGAUCUUUUAUAGGAGACUGGAAUGUUGGGAUGUCAACCUGUUGAUACACCAAUAGAAGAAGGUUUGAAAUUAUGUGUUGAGCCUAAUCAAGGGUCAACCGAUAAGGGAAGAUACCAGAGACUUGUGGGGAGAUUAAUGUACUUAGCUCAUACAAGACCAGAUAUUGCUUAUGCAUUGAGUGUAAUGAGUCAAUACAUGCAUAAUCCUGGAAAGCAAUAUAUGAAUGCAGUCAUGCGUAUUUUGAGGUAUUUGAAGAAUGCUCCUGGGAAGGGAAUUUUGUUCACUAAAAAUGUUGAUCAUUAAAGUAUAGAAGUGUAUACUGAUGCUGAUUGGGCCAGUGUAGUGGAUGAUAGGCGAUCUACAUCUAGUUACUUUACCUUUGUAGGUAGUAAUCUUGUGACAUGGAAAAGUAAGAAGUAGAAUGUCCUCACUCGUUCAAGUGCAGAAGCGGAAUUUAGGGGUAUAGCUUUAGGACUUUGUGAGGCAUUAUGGCUAAGACUCCUCUUACAAGAUUUAGGUUACCUAUCUAGGCAACCAAUCCGAUUGUUUUGUGACAAUAAAACCGCAUGUGAUAUUGCUCAUAAUCCAGUACAACAUGAUCUUACAAAGCAUGUCGAGGUAGACAGAUUCUUCAUUAAGGAGAAGUUGGAUGAUAAGAUUGUGGAAUUGCCUAAGAUUCGAUCAAAAGAUCAAUUGGCCGAUAUCCUCACCAAAGUUGCAGUCUCAAAUCGAGUGUUCUCAAAAUUUUUAGACAAGUUGGGCAUGUGUGACAUCUAUGCACCAACUUAAGGGGGAGUGUUGAGAUAUUAGGAAUGUUUAGAUAUUAAGAAAGUUGAGAUAUUAGGAAUGUUGAGAUAUUAGGAUAUUAGUUUUUCUUUCCUUAUAUCAUUCUUUCCUUAUAUCAUUCUUUCUCAUUCUUAGAAUGGUGAUUACCCUCUAUAUAUACUCUGUACAUGAACGAAUGAAAGGAAGAAUGAAAAAACUACCAUUUAUCAAUUUGAAGAGGAAGCUCUUUGAGUUUUAAGCAAUCUGAGAGAAUAAGAAUUUCAAGUGAUCUCAACCUAUAAAUACAGCUUGGUAAUGACUCAAGGUUUUGACAGUUCCUCAGAUUUAGUAGAACAAGUCCAGUCAGCUAUUCAAUCGACAAGGGCAAUCCUUUUAUUGCAGUGCCCUCCAAGGAAAGCUCUGAUAAAUGUUUCAUGCACUCUUGGACCUCUGGAAACUUCUUGAGUUUGGAGCACUCAGAGAGAGUAAGAAUUUCAAGAGAUUCCAUACAGAUGCUUCUUAGAAAACUCUUAAGAUUCUUGCAGCCUUCUAAAUUAAGGAAAACAAGCUUGUUUAGAUCUCCAAUGGAUCGGUGAACCUUGGACAAACUUGUACAACCUUCAAGAAUUAGUUUCCUAAGGUUUGGGGCCUCCGAGAAGUCUGGGGUUUCAAUUAGGUGUUGGGACUAGCUAAGUUUUACGAAUUUCAAUUGCUGAUACAUUUGUCAAAAACAAAAUAGAAAAAAUGAUUAUAAUUCGGUUAAAGUGAAAUACGAAACUUGCAAAGAUUAUAAUCAUAUACCUUGAAUCAUUUCCAAAGUUGUUCAACUCGACUGUAACUCAUAUUUAGCUCGACAAGCUGCUCAGGAUGAAAAUUUAAUGGGAGGGAUUUCAGAGGGUAUCCAUGCCAAUAUAGACACUUAAGUUGUUCGAUAGAAAUUUGAAGUCUCUAGAAAGAAGCAAUUUACAGUCUUUGAAUUGAUUGAGUUUAUUCAUCCUUGUGCAAGCAUCAAAAUCACCACAUAACUCUUUCCAAGAAAAGUAUUCAAAGCUUCCACAUAGCCGCACGUUACAGACUUUGAGCAAUCUUGAUUUGCCCAUCUUCAUGAAGGCAUCAAAGCUGAAGUGUAGUUCCUUUGAUGCUGAUGAUUACUACUCAAAAAGUGCUAUUUUGUAGCUUGUAAUUAAUCCUUUUAAACACUUUUGAGUAGUAGUUAUUGCCUUUUAACUCAAUUAACAUGUUAAGGACCCUUGCAAUCAUUUCUAAUCAAAUUGUGUAAGUUUUGGUGUUUUUGUUAGUAAUUUGAUCACCAAAACAAUCCAAGAUUGAGGAGAGUUAUUUGGAAUCCAUGGCAAAGCAAUGAAGAGCUCAAAUUCAUGAAGAACCAAGCAUUGGAGCUCCAUAGCCCUUUGCCAAAGUCGUUCAAAGUAUGCAAGGAGAGAAGCAAGGAGAAGAGGAAAACAGAGUGAAGAAAAUAGAGGACAGCAGCUGCAGUCUUCUUUUAUACUUUUGGAGCACUUCCCGAAGUCCAUUUUCUACAUUUGUAUAUACCAUUUCAAAGCUCAGGAAGUCAAGAAUCCAAUGCUUCAAACGGUGUGCGAUUCGGAGUUGAAACGAAGAAGUUACAGCCACUGCAAGUCAAUCACUCUAAAGUGUUGCGAAAUCAGCCUUUUGUUGCGAGAAUUUCGCAGCCUUUUUGUACAGUGUUGUGGAUUUCCUCCUGAAGUUUCACGCCACGAUGGAAGCCAAACACCACAAGGUGGAAGCCAACUUAGCAGCCCUGCGAGUUUAACUUGUUGUUGCGGAAAUAUUUCGCAGCCCUCUUGAGUGUCUGCGAAAUCUCGCAGACACCAUUUUUCACCUGCGAAAUGUUCCUGGAGCUUCCCGAUAUUUGCCACCGACUCUUUUGGAUAUUUUUAUUCAGAUAUUUUUGUAUAAAUUUCCAUUUUCUCCUUGUAUUCAGCCACUCAUGUAAUUCCUUAGCUAGGAAGUAUCCAAGGAAGGGUAAAUUACCUUCCUAUAUAAACUCUCUUGUAAACACUCUCAGGAGACGUUGGGGGGGGGGGGGGAAGUAUGUAAUAUAUAUAAUAUCAUAUAUCAUAUAUAGAAUAUACAGAGCCUUGCUCUGUUUUUCCUUCUCUUUCAUUUUUCAUUUCUUUUUCUUUCUAGCCAACCAAACUCUGAGGAUUUUUCCACAGAGGAUGAGAGGCUAAGCUUUUUGUCUCUUGGAGUGAGGAAAGCCGGGUAAGUUUCCACAUGCAUAAUUUGGAAGUUUUGUUGUUUUAGUUUUUAAUGAAGAGAAAGUGUAACCCGUUAGUGAUUUCUAUGUUUUUAGUUAACUUAAAACACCUUUAAAUCACCUGGGCCAACAGUUGGUAAGGCAAGUGAUUUCCAACCAUGGAAAUGCACUAGUUUACCCCUUGCGAGCCUUUGGGAGGUGACUUGAAGGUAGGAUUUUCUAGAAUAGCCAACACUUGGUAAGCUUUUGGACUCCAAGGAGACAUCCAUUAGUUAUCUCUUGCGAGCUUUUGACGGGUAAUCCAAGGUUAAAGAUCAUCUUGAAUGGUAAGUGCUCGUGAGAGGCAUGAACCAUUGCAAGUUGCAUCAGUGAGAGGGAUUUGGUGUUUGAACCCAUUAAUGGAAAGCAUCUGUACAACACCGGUUAGAGAAUUAACUAUAUGUUAAUUCUCUAAUGCGAGGAAAAGAAACAAGUGACCGGAACUCCCUUUUUGUAUGAGGAAUCUGAGCCUAGUGAUCUGAACUCCAAGAAACAUCUUUUCUUUGUAGUUAAAAUCAGUUACUAUUUUUGGUUAGUUUAAAUCUAAACCUUUUUUCAUUCAAGCAUCUUUAUGUUUUCUUUUAAAGCUAACCUUGCAAUGAAAAGGCACCAAUUCAGCUUUGAAUUAAUAUCAUUUGUGAAGUGAAAACACAUCCCAGUGAACGAUCCUAGAGCCACUAUGCUAUAGUAGCUUUGUCUUUGCUACCCUAGUAUAUGGUGUAAUAGGUUAUAAAUUUUGUUGAUUACUCCCUCAAUCAAGGAGCACCAGCUGGACAUGAAUCAGUUGAGACACCAAUUGGGCACGAAUCAAAUGGUGCCGUUGCCGGGGAUCGAACCUCGAAUCAAAUGGUGCCAUUGCCACUGCCACUGCUAGGCACGAAUCAAAUGGCGCCGUUGCUGGGGAUCGAACCCCGAAUCAAAUGGUGUCAUUGUCACUGCCACUGUUAGGGACGAAUCAAAUGGCGCCGUUGCCGGGGAUGGUGCCACUUUGCAGUGAUAUGAUCUUUUGAGAACACUUGUGAUCUUCAUUACAAGUUUGGUGACUUUUCUUUUCCUUUUACUAACUCUUUUUUAUUUCUUUAUUGUUCAUAUUUGAGUAUACCUUUUAUUUAGUUUUUAGUUUACCUUAAUUUUCUUUCUUUGAAUUGUUUUUCUUUUGUUUUCUUUUGUGUUCUCUGUUUUUAAUUCACAAGUUGCUAGUUGUGCAUGCCAUAUUGAAUACCAUAGCAGAAGAAGCCAUGAACUUCUUGAUAUAUGUGGCUGAAUUUUCAAGAGAAUGGGGUGAACCAAAUGCUAGAGAUAUGGGAAGAAUGACGUCUCAACCUAAAGCUAAGGGUGAGAUGUAUAUUUUGAAUGACGGCAUGGACAUGAAGGCAGAGAUUGCAGCUAUGGAAAGGAGAUUGGAUGAGCUAGAAAUGAACCAUAUGCAAGAAGUGCAAGCCAUUUCUCAAACACCAUUGCUACCUAUGCCUUGUGCCAUUUGUCGAUCAUAUGAGCACUUGGUGGAUGAGUGUCCUACCAUUCCAGCCAAGAGGGAAAUGUUUGGUGAUUGCAACACCUACAAUUCCAAUUGGAGGGACCAUCCAAAUUUCUCUUGGAAACCAUAGCCACAUCAGUAUCAGCAACCUGCUCAAGCACCACAGCGAGCCUCAAGCCUUGAACAAGCUAUGGUGAAUCUUAGCAAGUUCGUGGGAGAUUUUGUUAGAAAGCAAGAAGCCAUCAAUGCUCAAAUCAAUCAAAGAAUUGACAGAGUGGAGAGUACUUUGAAUAAAAGAAUGGAUGAAAUGCAAAAUGAUCUAUCUCAGAAGUUAGAUAUUCUCCAAGAUUCAAUCUCAAGGCUUGCUAACCUCAACACAAUGCAAGAGAAAGAAAACUCUCCUUCUCAACCUUGUCAAAAUUCUAUGAGUAUCCAUGAAAUGGAGGCUAAGGAGGGAAAAUCUUCACAAAAGAAGGAAGUCAAAGAAGUGAUCACUCUGAGGAGUGGUAAAGAGGUUGAUCUGCCCACAUGCAAGCUAGAGCAUAAGGUAGAGAGUGAAACAGAGAAAGAAAAGAGGGAGGAAAUCAAAGGAAAGAAAAAUGGCAAAAGCAUAGAGAAAGAUGACUAUGAUGUUAAUGUACAAAGAGAACCACAGAGGAUAGUCAUCAAAAAAGAAUUGAUGAAGAAACACAUGCCUCCACCUUUUCUCCAAGCUUUGUAUGAAAAAAUCAUACAGAUCACAUCUCAAGUGAGGGAUGCAAACUUCAUAUGGGAUCCGGGCAAGCUAAAUAAGGAUCAAAUUUUUUGAUGGACUUAGUCUUUCUAAAGACUAGCUAGUCCAUAUCUUUUUAUUUUACUUUUUACUUGUUUUAAUUUUGAUUUCAAUGUUUUAAUUUUGAUUUCAAUGUUUUAAUUUUGAUUUCAAUGCUUUAAUUAUGUUUGUUUUGAUGUAAUAUAGGUUUUUGGAUGAUCAAAAUCAAGAGGAAUUGUAAAGAAAUUGAAGGAAGUCUUUCGGAGCAAAAUCGGAGCAAAAUCGGAGUCAAACGGAGCGAAAACAGGGGUCUGCGAGAUUUCGCAGCCUCUGCGAAAUCGGCACUUUGCUGCGAAACCAGUUCGCAGCCCAAUUACCCUCUCUGCGAAAAUUUUCGCAGCUGCGAAACCACUUUUGGCACACGAGUGCCACUUCGCAGCACAGGAGCCCCCAUUUCGCGGCUGCGAACCACCAAAGCAUGAAAUCCUCCAUUUCGUAGGGAAAACUCCAUUUGGAAGGGUGUUUUGCAGCUGCGAAGCCAACUUUUGGCACACGAGUGCCAUUUCGCAGCACAGUACCCUCAUUUCGCAGCUGCAAAAAUGGCUGCGAAACCUAAAAAAAAAAAAAAAAUUCAUUUUUUUUGGCAAUAAAAGUCCCAUUCCGCAGAGGAUUUCACGGCUGCGAAAGCACUUUUGGCACACGAGUGCCAUUUUGCAGCACAGUGACCCUCAUUUCGCAGCUGCGAAACGGCUGCAAAGUUCUAAAACGUGAAAAAUCCCAAUUUCACAGCCACACCCCCAUUUCGGCAACUGUUGGACACAUUUCGAUCACUUCCUGAAGUUCAAAUUAUGCAUGAAAUAUCUUGUUUCAAAGCUUGGGAAGUCACGAGUCCAUAGCUUCAAACGGUGCUCGAUUUGGAUUUGAAAUGGAAAAGUUAUGGCUGUUUGAAGAUGACUGUGCAAACCAUGAACGGAAAUGUCGCACCUCCAUUUUGCUACUAUUGGACACGUUUUUGAAGCACUUCCUGGAGCUAAAAUUAUGCAUGUGAUAUCUCGUUUCAAAGCUUGGGAAUUCAGGAGUCCAGAGCUUCAAAUGGUAUGCGAUUUGGAGGUGAAAUGAAGAAGUUAUGGUCGUUUGAAGACAAGCGCGCAAAGCUGAGCGAGAAUUUCGCAGCCGAGACGCCAUUUGGAAGGGUGUUUCGCAGCUGCGAAACCACUUUUUGGCACACGAGUGCCAUUUGCAGCAUAGUUCCCUUCAUUUCGAAGCUGCGAUACAACUGCGAAAUCACCUUUGAGCUGCGAAACCACUUUUUGGCACAUGAGAGCCAUUUUGCAGCCCCGUACACUCAUUUUAGAGCUGCGAAAUCACUUUUGAGCUUUGAAAUGGCUGUGAAAUGAUCUCCGAGCUUCGAAAUGGCUGUGAAAUCACCUCCAAGCUUAGAAAUGGCCUGCAAAUUGCGAAAUUGACUUGCGAAAUGGAGGAAGGUUUGCAAAAACACCUUGCAAAGCCAAGAGAAGUUGCUAAAAUGCCAUCAGAGCCCUGCAACCAUGCAUAUGAAGAGGAGAGCCCCACACACCCUGGGAUCACACACACAAAGUCUCUCACUCCAUUUCUGACCUCCUUAAACCAUCAAAUCCCAUAGCUACCAACUGAGAGCUCCAGUUGAGGAUACUAUGCCACCUAAGGAGACUACCAGAACAGAGGCCAAAGUCCUGAUCCAACCUAUUCAAGAGGGCCACACAGACACAUCAGCUCCACAGGACCUUACCAUUACUUGAUCAUCUCUUUACUUUUUGUCUUUACAUAUUAUAUUAGUAUAGAUAAUUCCAUAUUUUGAUGUUUUAUAUUCUAGGAUUGGAUGUAUUACUGGUGAUACAUCAUAUAUAGACAUCAAUUUUUGUUUAAACUUAGCAUUUUUCUAUUUCCUCUACUCACUAACUCUUAUGUUUUCUUUGAAACAUGUGGUUUCUCCUAUACGACUCAGACUCCAUGUCACUCAAGAGGUACCACUUCCUCCCUAUUUUUUAAUCGCUUUUGUCACAUUGAGGACAAUGUUCAGCUUGGUUGGGGGGAGAGUUGAGGAAGUAAGUAUUGUUAAUAAUGCUAAGUUAUUUUGGUAAUUUAGUUGUUUUUUGCUUAAUUUUUAAAAUUUUUAAAAGUUUUUAUUCUACUCUCCAUGGUUAUUAAGGAAAAAUUUUCAAAAUGAAAUGGGAGAAAUUGAAUUUUUGUCUUUUUACUUGACUUAGAUUUUGUAUUAUGCUUAUUAAAGUUGGUGAAUUGUUGAAACUUCUAUUGAAGUCAACCUUAGUUCUUCCACUUUAAGCUAUCCACACACUAUGCACAAUAGGUUCCGAGUAUAAGAUGAAAAACUAUUUCCCUCUUGACUUAGGAAAAUUUUAGACUUGGUACCUUUGACCUCUCUUUAAUAGUGUUGGGACACCUCAUAAAGACCAAUGAGUCUUUGAAAAAAUAGAAAAAAAAGAAAAAGAAAAAGAAAAAGAAAAAGAAAAAAAAUAUAUAGAAUAAACUUCUUUGCUUGCCUUGAAACCCGAGCAAGGUCUGAGGGGUAUAUGGUGAAAAUCUUUAAAACCUGGUGCCCUAAGCCUUCAUUGGUUGGGAGUCACCGACCUCAAUGCUCGUUACAAGGGUGGAUAGGUGGAGUUUAACAUACUGUAGGUGCUUGAGUAUUAAAAUUCAUUCUCAAAAGUCCGGGGUAAAAUCCGAGGAGUUAGUGGUUGAAAGAUCCUUAAAGCUUGAUGCCCUAAACCUUUAUUGGUUGGGAGUCAUCGAUGGACCCCUGUUACAUGGACAAUUUAUAAAAAAAUACCUUUAAGCCUUGUACUCCUACAAUGAAAAAAAUUGUGAAAAAAGAGGUGCGUUCUUAGCCUUUUGGAGGUUGAUUAGUUUGCUAAGCUUUGAAAAAGAACUAGGUUGGGGGGAGAGAUUAGUUCAACAUACUAUAUUCGGAAGCUAAUAAAUAACACUUAGAUUUUUGUGGAAGAGUAAGGUUUGACCUUUUGGAAGUGCAAAUGAUUUUAAAGCUUAAAUUUGCAUAAUGCCUUCUCUUUAUGAAUUGUGAUUAGACAAGUUAUUUGAUAACUCUUGUUGAAGUUUGAGUUUUAUUUCUUUAAUGUUCCAUGUGAGAGUUAGAUCAUCAUGCCACUUGAGAAUUGUUUUUUUUUUAUCAGCAUGAUGUUGUAAAUUAUAGUAUUGUUUAUUUUUAGUUUUUAUCUCCUUCAUUGCUAAGGGACUAGCAAUAUGUCGGUUGGGGGGAGUGAUUACUACUCAAAAAGUGCUAUUUUGUAGCUUGUAAUUAAUCCUUUUAAACACUUUUGAGUAGUAGUUAUUGCCUUUUAACUCAAUUAACAUGUUAAGGACCCUUGCAAUCAUUUCUAAUCAAAUUGUAUAAGUUUUGGUGUUUUUGUUAGUAAUUUGAUCACCAAAACAAUCCAAGAUUGAGGAGAGUUAUUUGGAAUCCAUGGCAAAGCAAUGAAGAGCUCAAAUUCAUGAAGAACCAAGCUUUGGAGCUCCAUAGCCCUUUGCCAAAGUCGUUCAAAGUAUGCAAGGAGAGAAGCAAGGAGAAGAGGAAAACAGAGUGAAGAAAAUAGAGGACAGCAGCUGCAGUCUUCUUUUAUACUUUUGGAGCACUUCCCGAAGUCCAUUUUCUACAUUUGUAUAUACCAUUUCAAAGCUCAGGAAGUCAAGAAUCCAAUGCUUUAAACGGUGCGCGAUUCGGAGUUGAAACGAAGAAGUUACAGCCACUGCAAGUCAAUCACUCUAAAGUGUUGCGAAAUCAGCCUUUUGUUGCGAGAAUUUCGCAGCCUUUUUGUACAGUGUUGUGGAUUUCCUCCUGAAGUUUCACGCCGCGAUGGAAUCCAAACACCACAAGGUGGAAGCCAACUUAGCAGUCCUGCGAGUUUAACUUGUUGUUGCGGAAAUAUUUCGCAGCCCUCUUGAGUGUCUGCGAAAUCUCGUAGACACCAUUUUUCACCUGCGAAAUGUUCCUGGAGCUUCCUAAUAUUUGCCACCGACUCUUUUGGAUAUUUUUCUUCAGAUAUUUUUGUAUAAAUUUCCAUUUUCUCCUUGUAUUCAGCCACUCAUGUAAUUCCUUAGCUAGGAAGUAUCCAAGGAAGGGUAAAUUACCUUCCUAUAUAAACUCUCUUGUAAACACUCUCAGGAGACGUUGGGGGGGGGAAGUAUGUAAUAUAUAUAAUAUCAUAUAUCAUAUAUAGAAUAUACAGAGCCUUGCUCUGUUUUUCAUUCUCUUUCAUUUUUCAUUUCUUUUUCUUUCUAGCCAACCAAACUCUAAGGAUUUUUCCACAGAGGAUGAGAGGCUAAGCUUUUUGUCUCUUGGAGUGAGGAAAGUCGGGUAAGUUUCCACAUGCAUAAUUUGGAAGUUUUGUUGUUUUAGUUUUUAAUGAAGAGAAAGUGUAACCCGUUAGUGAUUUCCAUGUUUUUAGUUAACUUAAAACACCUUAGAGUCACCUGGGCCAACACUUGGUAAGGCAAGUGAUUUCCAACCAUGGAAAUGCACUAGUUUACCCCUUACGAGCCUUUGGGAGGUGACUUGAAGGUAGGAUUUUCUAGAAUAGCCAACACUUGGUAAGCUUUUGGACUCUAAGGAGACAUCCAUUAGUUAUCUCUUGCGUGCUUUUGACGGGUAAUCCAAGGUUAAAGAUCACCUUGAAUGGCAAGUGCUAGGUGAGAGGUAUGAGCCAGUGCAAAGUGCAUCAGUGAGAGGGAUUUAGUGUUUGAAUCCAUUAAUGGGAAGCAUCUGUAUAACACCGGUUAGAGAAUUAACUAUAUGUUAAUUCUCUAAUGCGAGGAAAAGAAACAAGUGACCGGAACUCCCUUUUUGUAUGAGGAACCUGAGCCUAGUGAUCUGAACUCCAAGAAACAUCUUUUCUUUGUAAGUAAAAUCAGUUACUAUUUUUGGCUAGUUUAAAUCUAAACCUUUUUCAUUCAAGCAUCUUUAUGUUUUCUUUUAAAGCUAACCUUGAAAUGAAAAUGCACCAAUUCAGCUUUGAAUUAAUAUCAUUUGUAAAGUGAAAACCCAUCCCAGUGAACGAUCCUAGAGCCACUAUACUAUAGUAGCUUUGUCUUUGCUACCCUAGUAUAUGGUGUAAUAGGUUAUAAAUUUUGUUGAUUACUCCCUCAAUCAAGGAGCACCAGCUGGACACGAAUCAGCUGAGACACCAAUUGGGCACGAAUCAGCUGACAAGUCAAGGACUAUGCCUUCAACUACUUCACUCCCUUGCAAUUAACCAGGAAUAGAGUAUGAAUUGGAAAUUAAAAUCACAAAAUUCUAAAAGGAAAAGCACAGAAAGCAUCAAACUAAUAACUUAUUUUAUUUUUUUUAGGCAGUGUUCAAGGAAGCAAGUAUGAAGAUAAAAUAAAAUUCAUCUACUAAGACAAAAACUCAGGGAAAAGUUAGCAAAGGAUUCAAAUCAAAUAAUCCCCCCAACUUUAUAUUUGCCUUUGCAUACAUAAAUAUGCAAUACCUUAUUAAAAUUGUACAUAUAUGUGAGUUUCUCAAAUGAAUUGAAAUUAUCCAAACUUCCUCUUCACCUAGAGCUUAUAUAUACAAAAAGGGAAUGCACACACAAAGUUCAUGUAUUUAGGUCUUACUGUAUUUCUAGUUAAUGCAUCAUUGACAUAUGCAUGAAUCCACAAUCUAUUGUGUUUUUUAGGAUAUUUAAGAGAUUCUUGCCAAACAAUUUCCCAACCCAUUUCUUGUAACAAAUCAUGCAUGCACAACUUAUUAUCUGAAACAAUUAUGAGUGACUUAUCAACGAGAACCCUUAUUCCAAUAUCCAGAAAGAAACCACAACUCUCUAGUAUUUCUGUGAUAAAAUCUUUGUCCUCCCAUUUACAAAAACAUGCAAUAUCGAGAAAUAUAUCUCUCUUUGUCAUCUUAUCCAUUAAAACCCAUUUUGAGCACAUUCUGAAUUUCCAUGUUGGAAAUUCUUUUUAGUUUGUCCAAUUCACUUUUCCAUUCAAGUAUGCUCUUGUUAUACAAAAAAGCACCCAAGACUUUAAGAGCUAAAGGACAUUUAACCGUUUGAUCCAAACAAUUCAAAAUUGGUCUAAUAAAUAAACCCUUCAAAAAGAGAAAUUGAAACAGAAAUGUCACUUGGUGGUUGGACCAAUUUGACCAAUUGAUUUGGUUCAAUUUUCAAAAAAUAUUACUUUAACAUGUAUGAUAAUCAAAACAUAGAAAAAAAAAACUAUUUUUCAAGAAAUGAGAUUAUUAUAAAAAAUAGAAAAUGUAAUCUAUUUUAAUGAUAUGAUAACUUGUAACUAGAUGAAACUUUGAUUGGCAAAGAAAAAGAAAAAGAAAAAGACCUUAAUGAAUUAGAAAAUAUUAUCUUUUAUAUUAAACUUAUCUUUGUGUAAAAGCUCUCUACAAUUAACUAUAUGUUUUCAUAAAGCUUUAUUUAGGCUAUGUUACAUUCUUGGAAAUUAAAAAAUAAAAAAUACAUAAAAUUAAUAAAUUAUUUUUUUCAUUAAUAUAAAUUAAAUAAUUUUAAAUACCUAUAAUUUUCAAAAUUUUUAAUCAUGGUAGUGGGUCUUUGAUCAACCAAAGAUAGCCCAUGCAUCAUCUGCCAAAGUGAAGCACAACAACCUUAUAAUAGUGAUGUCACAUAGCAAUUCAUUAUUCAUUAUUUUGUUUUCCCUUUUCAUUGUGGAUUUUCUUAAAGCUAUUAAAAAAACACACGAUAUCAAGAUUUGAGCGUGGGUCUUUCACAAUAUCUUUUAUAUACUAAUAAUUGUAAAUUAAUUAAAAUAAAAUUAUUAUAACUAAGUUAAUUUUAAUUGUCUUAUUAUGUCUCUUAUAUAGUGGUUAAAUAUAGGACAAAUAUAAAUUCAUAAAUAAAAUUAUUAACAUUUUCAAAUAAAAAAUAUAAAUAUAUAUCAAUAUAUUUUUUUUUAUAUCCUUCAAUAUAUCUAAACUUAAUGCAUUAUCAUUUUAGUAUUAAUGUUUCCCAAUUCGGUAUAUUAUUGUCUAAUAUUACAAAUUAUUAUACAUUUAUCAAUUUUUCUUAAAACAAAUUCAAUAUAUUCAUUAUUAUUUUUCUAUCAUUUUUUGAGUUAUUUCUAACAUUUCAUGAGUUUUUUUUUUUUAUCAAUUUCCAUCUCAUAUAUAUAUAUUGCAGAAUUUUCAUUGAUAUUUCUUUAUAUAGCUAUAAACUCCAACUAAUGAUAUAUUAGUAAAAAUCAAUAUUUUCAUUCUUACUUAACAUAAGAACGAAAAUUAUUCAAAUGGUGCAUAAAUUAAUGUGACCUCUUGAUGAGAAUGACAACGACAACCAUGAGUCAUAGUUAGUGUAUGUGUGUGGUAAAUUAACUUAGUGUUUGAUAAAAUAAUUAUUUAUCAUCAUUUAAAAUUUAAAAAUAAAUUUAAAUAUUAAAUCAAAAUAAUUAACUUAUUCUAAAUACUAAAUUUUUUUAUUCUCUUUGUUCAUAUUUGGUGAUAAUCAUGCUUUAUUUUUAGAAUUCUUUUUUUUUUUAGUAAAUAUUUUAUAGUUAUUUUGUAGCUUCACAAUAGUACUUUUUAAUAUAAAUGUUUAACAAGCUUAAGUUUAUGAAUAUAAAUAUUAAGAAAAAUUAAUGAGUUUAAAUAUAUCAAUAUAAUAAAUUUAAAAAAAUUAAGUUGAUUUUACCAAAAUUAAAGUAAAAAUAAUUCAUCUUAAAAUUAAUUUCAAUAAUUAAGUAAUAAGGAUUAAAUUUUAUCAUACAUUCUCUUAAUUAAUAAAUGACAUAACUUCUUUCAACAACUUCUUCAUUCUACUUUAGAAAAAAUAAAAUAAAAUAAAUUAAAAAAUUAACGUGAUAUUUAUUUAUUUAUGUCUAAAAUUUAAAUAUACUUGAAUUUGACUUAAAUCUAAAUAUAGCUUAAUAUCAUUAAGUGUUUAGACUUUUUUUAUUAGUGUCUAAAUAUUAUUAAUUGUUAAAUUGUUUAUUUUUAUUAAUAUCAAAAUAUGUGAAGUGUUAAAUUUGUUUAUUUUUGGUUAAAAACAUUUAUAAAAGUCAUUGUUAUAUUUCUUCUUAUUUUAUUUUGAAAAGUUGUAAUUUAACAAAAUAGUAAUUUAAUUAACACAUCUAAAAAUAUUAUAAUACAUUAUCAAAGUAAAAAUUUUAUAAUGAUAAUUAUGUAAUUAGUAAAUUAUAUUAUUGUACAAUCCAUCGUUCCAUGUUGUAUAUUAUAGCAUAGUUGUGCGUACCCAUCAAUGCAUAGACAUAUGUCUUUUGAUAAUUAUGUAAUUAGUAAAUUAUAUUAUUGUACAAUCCAUUGUUCCAUGUUGUAUAUUAUAGCAUAGUUGUGCAUACCCAUCAGUGCAUAGACAUAUAUCUUUUGAUAAUCUAUCAUGCAUGAAUGUCUCGUGGACUCUAAGUGAAGCAUGUAGCUAUUAUAGUAUAAAGAUGGUGUAGGAAGAGGCUCCAGGUUUACUAGUUCACACUCAACCAUAGCAAUAGGGAAUAUAUUGCACAUUAUUUCCAUCUAAAAGAAAUGUAGAAAAGACCUUAGAAAUGAAACUUUUAGAUCAAACCUAAGGGUGCCAAUGAGAUGACUCUAAGAAGGAUCACCUCAAUCUCAAUCUUAUGUCAUUUAUUUAUAUUAAAUGGGGUGAGAUAAAACAAAAUCAUAUUUGAACCUGUCUUAAACUUGGUCCGAGAGCAAGAAGGGUCUCUAAAAAAAUCUGCCUCAUUGUCAUUCUUAAGUACGCAUCUAUACCAAUGAAAGUUUUUACAUCUAUUCAAAAAUUCGAUGUUCCCGAAUUAAUUAACUUCACCAAACUACAUACACUUAAUAUGCAUGAAAAAGUGUCAAAAUUCUCAACCAAUCAAUGAGAUAAACUGUAAUUAAGUUUAGUACAUUGUAACCCUAAAAUACCUCCAAACCCCAUUUCUUGUAAGACCCCCUUCUAAUUAGGUUGCAAGUAUUGAAGUACUUUACACAUCUAAUUAGGCGAACAACAAGUAUCAAGAUAAGGCUGCAAGCCAUACAUAUACAUAUGCAUAUAAAUUUAAAAUUGAAAGAAAAUAUUAUCAAAUUUUAAAAAGAUAAAUUUCAAUUUUUUUUUUUUUUUUUUACCUUUGAUACAUUUUUUAAGCUUGUACCCUUUUGUUAUACAUAUUCAUUGGAGCAUUUCUUUGACUUCCCUAAGAACUAUUUUUUUUCCAGGACUAAAAACUUUUUCCUUAUUCGACUUGGGAUAUUAUAUACAACCACAACCUAACUUUCAUAUAUAAAGAAAUAUAUUUAAAUAGAAUAAAAUUCUUUUAUUCAUAAUUUAUUUUAUUUAUAUUAUAUUAUUUAGUUAUAUUAAAAAAUUAAAAAUAAUUAUGUUAAUUUAGGUUUUGUUUGCAUUUUUUAAAUUAUAAUCAUUAAUAACAAAGUGGUGAUAGCUUAAACAUAAUCUAAAGGUCCAUGGUUCAAACCCUUGGUUUCUCAUUGUUUUCCUGGUCUCAUUAGGUGGGCUAGGCUUGGAAUGUGAAGGGCUAACCUUUCACCCAUGAUCCAACCUUUUAGUUGAUGAAAAAAGAAGGCUAACCUAGAACCGAUAUACGCAAACCUAGAACUGAUAGACCAUGGUUCAAAGUUGUAGUCGCGAUCACUAACUUGGAGGGUCUUGAGGCACAUCAGUCUUGACAUCUUAGCUCGAUAUUGGAUGAUAUGUAAAAUAAGAUAAAUAAAAAUUAUAAAAUAUUAUAAUAAAUAUUUAAAAAAUAAAUAUAAUUAAAUAAACUUAAAAAUUAAUAAAAUAAAAUAUUGUGAAAAUUAAAAUUGUUCAAUAAAUUUUUAAUAUUGAAAUUGAAAACAAAAACUCUUUAAUUACCAAACUCAAAUAAGAAAAUAAAAUAAAAUGGGAUGAUUUUUACCACACAUUAGCAUUUAAAAAUUGAAACAAUAAAAUAACAUAUAUUAUUGAUACUGUCAUUUAAAACAACUAAUAUAUUAUUGAUGAUGGCAUUUAAAACAAUAAAAUAGUGCAUUAGACCUGAUUUCAAAUCUUCAAUUCUCAAACACCACCAACCCACCCAUGAAUAGAGAAAGAGAAGAGAACCCUAGCAAAAGUAGAGAGCUUCCUCUACAACCCACACCCACUCCCACACCGACAUCGACACUACGGAGAUAAAGUAGAGAGAUAAGAGAUCAACACCCAAGAUCAUCACUAAUGGAGGAGGAGGGGUCCAUGAAGGUGUUGCAGUCCACCAUGUGGUGAGGUUAGCAAAGAAAUGCCCUCCACCUCCUCUUCUCAUACACCUCAAAGACAAUCACGACUUGGACUAAAAAACUUUUCAAAGACUUCAUUGGGGUCAUCCUCUUCAUCAUGGGUCGUGAUUCUCAUGAAAUUUUUUUUCCUUUGAAGAGUCAUUGUUUUUAAAAAAAUUCUCAGUUAUGGUUGUUGUUUUGGUGUUUUUUCUCAGUUUUGGGUGUUGUUUUGCUAUGAUUUAGAAGGACAAUUGUUUGUAUUGAGUUUAACUCAAAAAAAAAUUUAGUAACUCGAAUGAUUCGUGCAAGUUAACUCAGUAUCUCGACUAAAUCAACUGAGUUUAAUCGAUUCCUGCUCGGGUCUUUACUUAAGAUGAUAUUGAGUAUCGGACUUGGCGUGGAAGGGGUUGAGGCGGAUACAACUCGGCCAAGUCAUACCGGACUUGAUCGAUACUUUGAACCAUGCGACAUACUGGUUCAUUGACUCACUAGUCCAACUGUUAGUCUAUCCGAUUCAAGGCUGAUUCAUUGUGUACUCCAACCUAAAGGCCAAACUAGACCAGGCUUCGGUGACAGUCCAACUUGGUCCUAGCUAGAUUUUUUAAUUUAUCCAAUUAAGAAAUCUCAAAUUAAUAAUAAUAAUAAUAAUAAUAAUUCAACUUUUGAAAAAGAAGAAAAUAUAUUAUUAUUUUCUAAUAGUUAAAUUACAUAUUAUAUAAUGGUAAAGCUUAAGAGGAAUCUAAAAUAUAAAAAACUAAUAUUACCAUUUCCAAUUUCUCAAAAUGAGAAAAAUGACUUUUAUUUCCAAUGACAAUAAAUUGUAUAGUUUGAUAAAUAUAUAAAAAAAAAAGGGUGCCAUAUGUAUCUUAGGGCGUGUUUGGUACAUAAGAAUGAUGAAUGAGAAUGAAUAUUUUGUUUCCAUUCUUAUUUCCUCUUGAAUAGGAAUGAAUUUGGUAAUUCCAAUUUUUGUGUUUGGAUGCAUAUAGGAAUGUAAAGUUGGAAUAACAAUUUGUUUCCAUUUUAAUGUUAAGUAAAAAUGGGAAUGAAAAUGGAAGAAAAGAAAUAAAUUAUCAAUAAUAUUCGUACAUAUGGUUUAAAAUAUUUGUUUUAAAAUUUUUUUAAGAGUUUUUCUACUUAAUAUUAACAAUAUAUUUCAAUGUAUGAUUUCAAAAAAAAAAAAUUGUUUUAAAAAAAUUAUACCUAGUUAUUGUUCUUUAGAAACAAUUUUUAAAAAUAAAGUAAAAUAUAAAAUUAUUAUUCCAUUUUUUUUUUCAUUUGAGAAAAUAAAUUUCAAAUCAAGUGAAACUUUGUAUUAAAUUUAUUAAUAACUUUAAUAAUUUUAAAAAAUAAUUUAAAACUAAAAAAAUAUAUGUAACGACUAUAAAAAAUAAUAGACAUAAUUAAUACUUUAAAAUUCUUUAAUAAAUCUUGUAAUUUUUAAAAUUAAUUUAAUACUUUAAAAUUUAAUUAAUUAAUAUUAGAUUAAAUAAAAUAAUUCAGAAUGUCAUCUUUGUAAUUGAGUAAUAAAUAUAUGCAUAUAAUGAAAAAUUUGGCUUAUUUAUACCUUACAAUUUUAAGGGCAAGGAAGUGAUCUAAUGUAGGUUGCUUAAUAUGAAAAGAUGCUUUAAAAUUUAAGAGCUUUUCAUGGAGCUCAUCAAAUGUAAUUGGGGUGUCAUGUGCUUGAACGACAUAGACUAGUUCUCUGUAUUCGUCAACAAGGCCAUAAAAGAUUUUCUCCAUGGCAUCCUCUUCAUCCAUUAGGGCACCAAGGAAAGUAAGUUCAUUGGCACGGGCUUUAAUGGUUUGUAGGAAGGCAGUGAUGCUUUGCAAACCCUUGGUGUGAUUCUUAAGGUGGUUGUUGACUUGUUUAAUGUAGACAUGUGAUAGUUUGACAUAGCUAUUGGUGAAGAUGAUUUAUGCUUCAUGAGAGGUUGUGGCACAGGCAAUGAAUGGAAUUAUGGUGGGUGAAACGAAGCCAAUAAGUGCAUUUAGGAUCAAUUGAUGUUGACGAAGCCAUGAAGAAUAGGUUGGGUUGGGUAUUACGGUGUUGUUAGCAAUGAGAGUGGUGGGUGGACAAGGUUUGGUUUUAUCAAUAUAGCUAAGGAGGUUAAAGCCAAUAAGCAGUGUUUGGAAUUGAAAUCUUUAUGAUAUGUAGUUGGUAGUGGUUAGUUUAAGUGGGGCUUAAGCAAAAACAUUUAUUGAGAUGAGUAUUUGGUGUGACUGAUGGGUGUUGUGAAUAUUGAGAGUAGAAGUUGCAGAAGUGGUGACAUCUUAGGUGGCUAUGAGGUUAUGAUGAUGUGGAGGAGCAUUAGAUGGCUUUGGCAAAGAAAAAGAGGUAAGGAAGAAAAAGUGGUGGUGAGGGUUUUUAGGUCAAGAAGCUUGAAUGCUCUAAUGCCAUAUUGAAAAAUGAGAUUGGUAAAUUAUUGUGUUUUUUUUUUCCUUUGAUUAUGAAGAAUAUAUAUAUACAUGUACAAAGAAUAUAAAUUUGGAAAGUUUCCUAAUUACCUAAAAUCAUAACCUAGAAUAUACUAAUUUAUAGUCAAUAGAUUACUUAUAAAAUGAAACAAAUUAUCUACAAAAGAAAACAAAUUAGUGAUUGAAAGAGAAUAUGGUAAUUUCCUUUAUUAGUGUCAAGUUUAACACCCCCCACAUCAAAAGGUGUAUUUGGAACCAUGUACAUAUUUCUGUUCUUGAAUUUCAUUAAUUAAGAUGUCCAACUUCUUUGCCUUUCAAAGAAAUUUCUCAUUCUCAUCAAUUUGAAAAUUGUAAUGGAAAGCUUCAAAAAGCAUCAAUAGUCUCCCAGUCUAUCACCAAUCAAAAUGCAAAUGCCCCUAUACAAGGUUUGCUACCAUCAUAUGACCUUUAUGUUGAAAUGAUGACAUUGCCCUUUGUAUAGUGGUGUGGCAUGCUUUGAUUUUUUACAAGUUGAAUUAUACUAAAAGUGCUUAUGGAGUCAGUUUAAGGAAAAGUAUUGGAGCUAGACAAGGGUUGCAAUAGGUCAUCACUUUAAUAUGCUGAGCGUUAAGAUCCUUAAUUAGGUUUUGCCAUUCCCAAUACCUUGUUAUAUCCCCUUCCCAAUUCCACAAAUGUUGUGAUCCCAUAUAAGUCUCCCACUUAGUCCUAUGCAUCAAUUAGCACAUAAUACGACCCUAUGCUUAGAAAUUGUACAUGUGCAACAUUGUGAGUUUCAUGUUUGACAAAAAUAUGAAUUCUAGUUAAAAUAAAUCUCGUUAAGAAAACACCUCUCCAUUAGGGACAAGUGAAGUCAUUAAAAUGUAGAGGUUGGCUACUCGUGUUCUAUGUUUGUUUUCUUCUUAUUUUAUUACUUCAUUUCAUGUCUUGCCUUCCAUAUUAUUAGUAUUUGUUUUACUAUUUUUUUUUUCUAAAGUAUAUGUGUUUUGUAGACCCUCCAUUUUGUCCUCCUAGCACAUGUCCUAUUAAGUAUUUGUCCGAUACUUUACAGCAGUUCCUUGAUGGCCCAUUACUACUCGUGUGACCUAUCUUUUCUAAGCCACCUUGGGGACUUUGGUUGAGUUAUUUAUCUAAUCCCGUUGUGACUCUUGGUAGCCCUAUUUAGACUUAGGCCCACUUAGGCACCUUAGCCCAUUUAGAUACACUUGGCCCAUUAGGCACCACCCUAGGCCCAUUUAGACACACUUGGCCCAUUCGGCACCACCCUAAGUCCAUUUAGGCACCCUUGGCCCACUUAGGCACCACUUUAGGCCCACUUAGGCACCUUAGGCCCAUUUAGAUACACUUGGCCCAUUAGGCACCACCCUAAGCCCAUUUAGGCACACUUGGCCCAUUAGGCACCACUUUAGGUCCACUUAGACAGCCCUAAUUUACACCUUAGGCCCACUUAGAUACAAAGACCCAUUAGGCACCACCCUAGUCCCAUUAGGCAACACCUUAGGCCCACUUAGUUUUACCAGUCUUGCUUAGGUCACCUUUCAAGUAGGGUUGCAUGGCUUGUAUGAGUAGCAUGUGCUUGAUUUUCUUAAUUUAUUUUAUUUACUUAUUUGUUAGUUUUAUUCAUUUACUUAUUCACUUUUUUCAAAAAAUUGCAUGAGAAUUGAGAUUUUAGUUUUUUCUAAUUGCAUGAAUUGAUAUCUCAUAUAUAUUCAUAUAUUUACUUUACUUUAUUCAUCUAUUUAUUUUUGUAGGAAAUUGCUUGAGCUUCAUAUUUUAAUUCUUUUAAUGUGUUUGAUAUCUUAGUUUUAAUUGUAUGAUUUUAAUUUUAAAUUUUAAAUUUUCAACUACAUGAUUUUUUUUAUUUUACUAUUUACUUUCUAUUUCACACGGGAUGAGGAAAUAUUUUCUCCUAAUGGCGUCAUUGAAGGUAUUUUCAUCAUUAGGGAUGACAUGAAACAGAGUCAUGGUUGUGGAUUUGUUAAGCUUCCUAAUAGAGAUAUGGCUGGCAGUGGCAGCAAUAAAUGCACUAAGUGGAAAUUACGUGAUGAGGGGUUGUGAUUUUUUUUUUUUUUUUUUUUUUUUUGGAAAGUGGAGAAUCAGUCCAGAGCAUAGCGUCAUUUUUCCUUUUGAAAGGAAAAUUACCAUGGCUGAUUUUGGCAAGUUAAAGGAGAAGGGUGCAGCGUGUAUGUGGACGAAAAGGGGGCUGUGUUCAAGCGGGGGUUGGCUGGUUUUCUUUGGGAGAGAAGACGAUUUGAGGAGGGAUUUUUUUUGGGAGGUGAGGCUGCGAUUUUCAGAGGGAGAUCAGUUCACGUUUCAGAGGCAUUUUUGGGGCUGCGGUUUGAAGGAGAUCAGUCCAUGUUUCAGAGGCAUUUUGGGGGCUGCUAUUUGCAAAGAUCAGUCUGUGUUUUGAAAGGAUUUUAGAGGCUGCUGUUUUGGAACGGAGAGACGCAACUGCUUGUUGAUAUUCACAGGCUAUUCACCCCGCGAUGGUGAAGAUGAGUACAUACCUACCUUGUUGAAUCUGAAGAUGAGAAAGGCAGCCGCACCAUUGGGAGCAAUUCCGGAACAGCCGCACCAGUGAAGGAAGGAAAGAAAGCUGGGUUUCGGACACUUUUGGGUCUAGUUCCUCUCAUCGGAGACACCACAGCCGCACCAGAAUUUUAAGGAGAGAGUCUUCCGUCCGGAUAGCUACAGAUCGGUUCCGAAGCUUGAUCCUCCAUUGCCUGUGCCGCCGCAACACUUUGUGCCGUACCCAUGCAUCUCCGACAACACCCUACUGCCAUUGGAGAUCCGCACCAGCUUGUCAGUCCCGCCACUUAAACACCAGAUUUUUAAGGGAAAUUCCUCUCCAUUAACGCGCAGCACUUUGAGGACUUGCAGUGCAUGGGUAGCCACCACACCAUGCAUCCUUGGAAUUGUUUUUUUUAAAUAAAAAAUCCUACUUGGUGGAAAGUGGCCUUUACCUUCUGAAAAGGCACUUUGAGAACUUGCUGUGCAUGGGUAUCCACCAUGCAUCCUUGGAAUUGUUUUUUAAUUAAAAAAUCCUACUGGUGGAAAGUGGCCUUCACGUUUUGAAAAAGGUGAGGAAGCUGCCAUAGCUGUGAUUGAGAUUAGUUUGCAUUACCAUCCAGCCCGUGAAGUAAGCAUUCGCAUAGAAGCUGCGAAUUGAGGAGGCCAACUUCAGAUUAUGGUGGUGGUUGGCCUUGCGAACGUUGCACCGUCAGUCACGGCUUGGAAGAAGUCGUUAUUUUUAAUAUAUGGCACAACGCGUCAGACUGAAGAGAAGAUCAAGACUUGGGUGAUGGGCAAAUGAAUUUUUAGGCAUUAUUGAAUUCUUCUUUUUCUCUUAUGCGAGCGUCACAGUCAACUGUUCAUUGCCCUAGGUGCUGUACACUCGCCGCCUUCCGCAAGCCCACUUGGAUGAUGGUUUAAGGAACCUGUGUGAACCACAUUUUAUUAAUAGCAACAAUUCAGGAAGCAUAUAUAUAAAACGGAUAGGAUGUGACGAAUGGCAAAAACGGUGUGGAUCAUGUGUUAAAAUGGAUCACUAUCUAUUCUUUCAGCAAAGGACACAAUCAAGCAUGUGGAACAUGAAGAUCAGUGGUCAGCAUUUUAAUAUUAGGAAGACAUCAAAUAUGGAAGGUCUCCACCCGACAGCACGCUGAGUACGGUUGGUUGGGAACUCACUAGCCUUAUCAAAUCGGAUUUGACUCGGAAACAGGCCUCAAAAGAUAGGAGCAUAUCCAGACAAACAUAUGGGUGGGUAUCUCCUGCUUCCGAUAUAGGGGAACCAAUAUUCCACGUCGCAGUUUGAAGCCUGAUCAGAUCAGGAACAGCACACGCACCUUCUGUUGGGUCUCUGCCAGACAACUGAGUGGUGCUCUGAGCUUACAUCUUGGUGUACAAUCUCCUCCUUCAUUUGUUUCUUUGAUCAGGAACUUUCAGUUUUGAAUUGAAUUUUCACAUCCAUUUUUUAACCGAAUAAUUCCGGCUUCAAAAAUCCAUCAUUAGACCUCUUUCAUAGACAAUAAAAUCCUUACUUUCAAUGAACUUUUGUUGCCAAAUUUCCUUUUGGCAUGCACCUUCCUAAUUUUCUCUAUUUCUUUUGAGCAAUUUUCUUGAUUUUCACGAUUUUCAAUAAUCAUGAACAAACUUCAUGGUUCCAAAUAAUGGGACUAUUGAAUUAAUUCGUGCAAAAGCAAUUCGGGAAUUGGUGGAACCCCUACACAAAAUCAUUCUUUUCAAAACUCUCCCUUGCUACCAGUUUUCAUUUAAUCACUGACCCUUUAGCUUUAAAAUUCAUUUUAGCAACUUUAAAAUUUUUUUUUUGAAAAAUUUCCAACACUUGUAUGAUUUUAGCCACUUCUUGAACUUGAAUUUAAAGUUUCGUUUGAGUUAAAAAGUCAUUCUGGAAUAGAAGAUAUAAACGAGUCUUUAGGGGGGCUCCGUUUUCACCCAGUUCUGGACACCCGAGAUCUUUUUACAAAAAUAAAAUUCCAGAUGACUUUUUAAAUUUGAUUCAAUAUUGUUUCUAAAUUCUAGGCUUCUUGAAAUUGAUAUUAGACACAUAAAAUAUUAAAAAAUACGCCUUCUUGAGGGAGAUAUGAUUUUUCAAAGUCGUACCUACUGUGCAUGAUGGAAUCUGGACAUUUGAUUAGUUGGAGCAUUUUAAAAAUAUUUUUAAAUACUAUCCGACCCUGAAUUUAUUUUUAUUGUGAUAUAGACACCUUGAAUGAUGUAUGUGAUUUUUUUUAUGAUUUUAUAUGAUCAUUUAUUAUUAUUAUUAUUAUUAUUAUUAUUUUUUAUGCAUGUCAGUUUCUCUUAUCUAAUCUGGACUUUAUAGAACCUUUAGGUGUCUUUGCUGCAAUAUGUCCUUUGAAUGAGCAUUUGGCUUUUGGUAUGUUGAUAUAGAUGUGUAGGAGUUGUUUCCUGAAAUUUUUCAUAAUUAAAUUCCACUCUAAGCUAUUUUUUUAGAAAUUGUUUUGUUAUGCUUCCUCUUCUAACUGCAUGCUAAUGGUUUUAUACUUUACUCGAAAUUGUUAUUAUUUUUGGAGUCAUUUGAUUUAUCUUAGCUCAAUUUUGGCUUUGGUACUGUAUAUUAGACAUAAUAAAGAUGUUAUAUAAUAUAUACUUGUCCUAACCAUUCUAGCCUUUUUUGAGGAAUCUUAUAAAUUAUGCAUGUUACCCAGGUAUGCUCUCUAUCACCCACUUUCUAAAUUCUGUGAAUAUGCUUGUCACUGUGAACUUGGGUGUCUUGAUAUUUGUUUCAUUGUUCAUUAUUUAUGAUAAAACGCAUGCUAGGUGAUAUGCUAUUUGAACUAACCAUUGAUGUCUUGUGAUAGCGCUUAAGAUGCAACUCAAGUACGCACCCUUUGACUCUCUUUUAUAAUCAUGAUUUGACUUUCUAGCUUAAUAUGUUAAUUCUGAAAUUACCUUAGUCUACUUAGGUACCCUCAAUCAAUUAAUUAAUUGUCACAUUCCCCUUAACUUAGUCAGUAGAGACCUUUGUAGGGCUCAGAGGGGUGCUACCUUUUUAAAGGUACCUUCCCAAUAAGUAACCUGACUCCCAGACCUAGACCCGGGUUUUUCAAAGACAUGCUUUUCCAAAAACUAUGGAGUCACUUUUUUUUAGGGUUUUCUUUCUUGUUUUAUUUUUCCUUUCAAAAUAAAAUAAAAUAAGUGGUGACUCCGACUUUUCUGAAACUAAUUUUUCACAAAAUAAAAGCAAGUCUUGCUGAUCAAGUGGGGACGCACGUGAGAAAUACGGGUCCACACAUGUGUAGGUAUGCAUUUGCAUAUACAAAAUGCAUUAAACAAAAUAUGAUUAAGCCAUUUUCACUGUGUUGAUCAUCAUCUUUGAAUACCUAAACAUUCUCUUUUUAUUUUAGUGGUUUUUUAGCUAGAUGAGCAAUCUUGUCUUUUCUUUUCAUAUGAAAUAAUUCUUUGUGUGAAAUUAAUUUUUUGAUUUUGUUUUCUUUACUUUGAUCUUAUUUUGGUUGUUUAGUUUUGUGAUGGUCAACUUGUUCACUUGCAGCCAUGAUGCCACUAUGAACACACACACACAUCAGCCACACUUUCACUUUCAUCACACACAACUCAGCAUGCUUCACUCACUUUCAGCACACACCACUUUGUUUCCUAAGGAAUUUUCUUCUUUUAGUUGUGUGAUUUUAUGUCAUUAUUUAUGUUUGUUAGUGAUUUCAAAUUUCUUAUCAAUUUACCUUUCUAAAAAUCAAUUCUCAAUUUUUCAAAUUCAUCUUAGACAUUGUUAGGUUAUGAAAAAUCAUUUUUCAAAAUCAUGCAACCACUUUAUUUCAGUAUGCAUGCUUACUUUGUGUUUCAAUGAUUUUCAAUUUUCUUACACUUGAAUACAAUUCAUAACUCUAAAAUAAUGGAUUAAUUCAUGGACUUCAUGAGCUUCAUCAUGAUUAUUGAGGGUUUAGGGAAGUGUGGAUCAAUUACUGAAAAUUAAAUCAGGCCUUGGUGAAGCCCUACAUUCUAUGUUUCCAAAACAACCCCUUAAGUUAUGAGUUUUUGACCUUCAAGAUAUUAAAUUGAGAUUGGACACUUUAGAAAUGAUCAAAAAAUAUUUUUCAUGCUUGGAUGACUUUUUUAAACUUCUUAAAAGUGUUCGAGAAAUUUUAUUUUGAACAAAAAUCACUCUCCAAGCUAAUAAAUAAAAUCAGUUUUUUUGGAAGGUCCAGAUUCACUUCAUUUUUUGAUACAUAACAUAUUUCUAUAAAAUUAAAUUGGUUUGAGAGGUUUUUAAUUUAUUUUGAUAUUUUCUCAUAUUUUAGACUUCUCAAGUAGAAUUUUAGGCUUUUAUUUCACUCAAAAACAAUUUUCCAUGUAUGAGAAACAAACCCAUCUUUUUGUGUAUUAUGCUAAUUCCAAUACGUAGAUGUGAAUGUUUAAUUAAAUUUUUGACUUGAUGAAUAUGUUUUUUAAUAUCCUAAAUAUUUUUCAUGUAAUUUAGACAUCUCAAAUAAGUUGUAAAAUUUUUAGUUUGAUUUUAUCAAACUCUUAAGAUAGUUUUUAAAAUUCAUCUUUGCAUAUAAUCAUAUUCUACUCUAUUUUUGAAUGAUCAAAUUUUUUAUUAAAUAUGGGAUAUAUGUUGUAUAAUUAGGAUUGUUGGACACUUGGGUUCUAUUCAAGACUCAUUAGGGUUGAUGCAAUUUUUUUUUUUUUGAUUUAAUAUCACUUCUAGCUAUUUUCUUAUGGAUUUAUUUUGUGCAUGUAUAUGUUAUGUCUUGUUUUAUGAGUGAUCCUAAGUUUAAUUAAAUCUAGGAUAAUCCAAGUAUAAUUAAGUUUCUGGGGCACUUGCGUUUAUUUGAAACUCUAUAAGGAUGAUGUACAACUUUUGUUUUGAUGAAAUAUCACUUCCAAAUAUUUUUUACGGAUUUAUUUUUGCAUGCCACUAUUAUGACCGUUGUGUAAUUUAUAUGUUUUUAUUUAUUCAACAUCUUUCCACAUAUUUUUUAAUUUCUUUGAUCCUUGUUAUGUGUUGUGGACAUGUUGUACGUAUUUGAUAAACCUAUAUUGUCAUUGCUUUGUUUCAAGAUCUCAUAUUUAGUUUAGUUUUGAGAAAUUAUUAGUUUGGUUGCUCUAUUGAUAUUAUGUUUGCUUUAAUUAUCUUAAAAAUCAUUAGUUUCAUUAUUCUGUUAAUCUCAUGCUUAGUUUAGUUUUUAAACAUUAUUAGUUUGGUUGCUUUGUGGAUAUUACUCGUAGCUUAGUUUCUAUUAAAAACCAUUAGUUUGGUCAUUCCAUUGAUCUCAUGUUUAGUUUAAUUUUUAAAAAUUAUUGGUUUAGUAGCUUUGCUAAUAUUAUGCUUAGUUUAGUUUCUUUGAAAAAUUAUUAGUUUGGUUAUUCUUUUUAUCUCAUGCUUAAUAUAGCUUUUAAAUAUUAUUAGUUUUGUUGUUUUGUUGAUAUUAUGUUUAGUUUAGUUUCUUUUAAAAAUCAUUAGUUUGGUUAUUCCAUUAAUCUCAUUUUUAGUUUAGUUUUUUUUUUAAAUUAUUACUUUAGUUGCUUUGUUGAGGUGAUGUUGGUUAUAAUUCUUGUGAAAAUACAAGCUAUGCUUAAAGGAGAAAAACACCCAAGAGGGGGGGUGAAUUAGGUUUUUCAAAGAUUUUUUCAAUACAACAAAUUCAAGCACACUAUAAACAAGAAAUAAAGAGAUAGAGUUAGAGAAUUCAAACUUGAAUUUUAUAGUGGCUCGGUACUUCCUUGCCUAUGUCCACUCUCCUCAAUAUCCUAACUGAGUGAGGGUUCCACUAGCUUGAAACUUCAACCAAGCUUCCAAUCCUUUACACUUGGAUUCCAGAUCCAAUGGGCUCUUACACAAUCCCUUCAAGAUUCAAACCUCUUGAAGUCUUUAACACUCAAGUUUUAUAAGAAAGAAACCCUCAACCUAGCUCAAAGAUAACUCAAAUACAAAACAAAACUAGGAUGACUCACAAGGGUGAACUAAAAGAUAUGCAAGUGAUGGUUUUAAUGCACUAAGAAAGAAAUGAGAGCUUAUAGGUCAAGAACAAGUAGGUAGACAAUUGAUUGCAAGUGUUCUCUACUUAAUAAAUGAAGUGGAGCUCUCAAUUUAUAGGUUUCUAAGCUCGGGAGCUAAGAAAAGCAAAAGGCAGCCUUGAUUGGUCGAGCUGGGGAUUGAUCAGUUCACUAGCCGUUGGAGUAUUUAAUGUUUGGCAGGUUACCGUUGCCUUGAUCGGAGGUCGACCGGGAAGGGGUGAACCUCAACCGGGAAAAGGAAGCUACUGGAUGAGAGGGAGUGUUUUUGGAACUCCUCGACCGGACCUUGACCGGACAAGGGCAAUUGGUCGAUCGGUUCCCCAACUGGUUGAGCUGGUUGGCUAGAGCCUCGACCGGUUCAGCCUUUUGGCCCCAAAAACCUAUCCUUUUCAAUUCCUUUAUUUUCUAACACUUAGGCAAGGUUUUUAGGUAAAAUAAUAUGCCAAUUUUGAAACGUUUUGCCUAAGGUACAUUUAAUAAAACUCGGGUUUUAAUGAAAUCAAAAUUUUAAAGAAUAAACCGAGUUUUCAAAGAAGUAUGAAAAAUUAUGAAAAUCCUAAGUGCACCCAUGCAUUCAUCUUACAUUCGUUUCCUAUAAUCAAAAGUCUUCCAAUAGUCUCAAUCUUGUAUCCCUUUGGUUCUUUGAUGAAUUUCCGAAUUUAUACCCGAGAUUCUUUAUCAUUCAAAUGAAUUAGUCAUUUAACCAUGGUUUGUUAUCAUCAAAACCGGAUUGAGCGAACCCUUGGGCUAACAAUUCUUUUAAAUAUCAUUAGUUAUUUUAGUUCAUUAAUAAAUUGGUCCCAUAUUUGAAAGUUCAUAUUUUUAGUUUGCUUUAAUUUAAUUUGGUUCAUUUUAAUUAGUUUAAGUACUCUUAUAGUUUUAGUUAAUUCAUUAAUAAAAUUGAUUAUAUGUUUGAAAUUUCACAUUUCUAUUUUACUUUUAUUUAAUUUAAUUCAUCUAUUUAGUUUAGAUAAUUUCAUAAUUUUAGUUCAUUAAUAAAAUUGAUCUCAUGUUUGAAAGUUCAUGUUUUUAGUUUAGUUUGAUUUAAUUUAAUUCAUCUAUUAAGUUUAGGCACUUUUAUAAUUUUUGAUUCAUUAUCAAAAUUGAUUAUAUGUUUGAAAGUUCAUGUUUUUAGUUUGGUUUGAUUUAGUUUGACUCAUUUUAAUUAGUUUAGGUACUUCUAUCAUUUUAGUUCAUUAAUAAAAUUGAUCCCAUAUUUGAAAGUUCAUGUUUUUAGUUUUCUUUGAUUUAAUUUGGUUCAUUUUAAUUAGUUUAGGUACUUUUAUAGUUUUAGUUCAUUAAUAAAAUUGAUUUUAUUUUUGAAAGUUCAUGCCUUUAGUUUACUUUGAUUUAGUUUAAUUCAUCUAUUUAGUUUAGAUACAUUUAUAUAUAGUUUUAGUUCAUUGAUAAAAUUGAUUAUAUGUUUGAAAGUUCUUGUUUUAAGUUUGCUUUGAUUUAAUUUGGUUCAUUUUGGUUAGUUAAGAUAUUUUUAUAGUUUUAUUUCAUUAAUAAAAUUGAUCCCAUGUUUGAAAGUUUAAAUUUUUUAGUUUGCUUUGAUUUCAUGGUUCAUUUUCAUUAGUUUAGGUAUUUUUAUAGUUUUACUUCAUUAAUAAAAUUGAUCCCAUGAUUGGAAGUUCAUGUUUUUAGUUUACUUUGAUUUAAUUUAAUUCAUCUAUUUAGUUUAGGUAUUUUUAUAAUUUUAGUUCAUUAAUAAAAUUCAUCCCAUAUUUGAAAGUACAUGUUUUUAGUUUGCUUUUAUUUAGUUUGACUCAUUUUAAUUAGUUUAAGCACUUUUAUAAUUUUAGUUCAUUAGUAAAAUUAAUUCUAUGUUUGAAAGUUCAUGCUUUUAGUUUAAUUUAGUCAAACUCAUUUUAAUUAGUUUAGGUACUUCUAUAAUUUUAGUUCCUUAGCUGAAUUGAUCCCAUUUUUUUUUAGGUUUUGUUUUAAAAUCAUUAAUGUUAGUUCAUGAUCAUUCUUAUCUUAGUUUAUAUGCUUUUAAAAUCCUAGUGGUUAGUUCAUGAAUCGAUAUCUUAUUAGUUUGUCUAAUCUAAAAUGUUUUGCUUCUUGAUUUAGCAAUCCUUCAUUUAAUUUGAUUUUUUAUUUUUUAUUUAUUUAUUUAUUUGCCGCCUUAGGAAACUCAUGAAGAUAAACCUCUACUCUUACCUAUUUUGCUUGGUUUUUUAUCCUUGUGUUUUGUGGUUUAAAAAUGUAACUUUUCGCUUUUAAGAAGAAAGUAUUUUCUCAAAAUGUUCUUUAUUAAAAUGGAUUUAAAAAACUCCUAUAAUUGUUAGGGUAAAAAAAAAAUCAUUUUCUUAAAAAACAUGCAACCAAGUUUUAAUUGGUUUACACCUUUCUUUUAUUUUCAAUAAAAAUUCUACUUUGAGUGGAAUAUGAAUCCAAACUUGUGAUCCCAAAUGAAUGGGAUAAUUCUCAACUUCGAUGAGUUUUUCAAUAUUCAUGCGAAAUUGGGAAUCCAUAGGCUAAAUUUGUGUAUAUCAAGUGAGGAUUUUGUGAAACCCGUACAUAAAAUCAUUUUUCAAAACCCUUUUAUUGUCAGCUUGUUGGAUUUGUUGCAUCUCUAGAAUAAAAUUUUGAUUUGGCUAAUUUAUGAUGCUCCUAAAAUUUUUUCCCGUGGUUGUAUGAUAUUGUGAACUUCAUGAACUUGAUUUUAGAAAUUUGUUUGAAUCAAAAAUCAUAUUUCAAAUGAAAAUUAUGAAUUAAUUUUUUGGUAGGUUUAGUUUUUGCCUAAUUUUGGAUACCCGAACUAUUUUUUGUAUUUUCAAAUUACUAGAUGAAUUUGAAAAAUUAUUCUGACUUUCGUCCUUAAUUAUAGACUUCUUGAAAUUUAUUUUAUACACAUACAAUAUUAUUUUUUUUUUGCUAAUUAGGAAAAUUAAUUUUCCUUUGUUGUCCCCAUUACAUUAUCCUAAUUUUAAAUAGAGAGGGUCUUUGAUUGUUUUUAAAAUUGAUCCAUAUACUUUCUUACCUUCUUAUUAUUUUCUUGUAAAUUAGACCUUCUGAAUAUAUUUCAUGAUUUUCUUAUGAUUUUAUAGCACUUCUAGGUUUGUUAAAAAAAUCGGUUUACGUAUUCUAUUAAAUUCUAUCAUAUUCAAAACCUUUUGAUAUAUUUUUGUAAAUUGAAAUUAAUCAAGGCUUCAAUAUAUUGUUGGGCUAGUUGGAUGAUAAACUAGACAUGUAGGAGAUGUUCCUUGAAAAUUUUUGUAAUUAAAUUCAGAUUCUAGAUAUUUUCUUUUAGGAUUUGUCUACAUGUUGAAAUUUUUAUAUAAUGUUUUAUUUAUUAUUUAAUUUGGAGUUAAUUAACUAAUCAUUUCUUGAUCUUGGCUUUGGAAUUGUAUUAUAGACAUAAUGAGGAUGUUGUAUGAUAUUUUUUUUUUUUUAAAUGAUAAAAUAAUACUUCAAGAUAUCUGUUUAGAGUUUUUCAAGUGAAUGCAAUUGUUCUACCCUUUGUUGUGUGCUUUGUUCUAUCUAUAAUUUUGGUAUUUUUAAAGUUAUCUUGUACAUAGUUUAUCCUUAACAAUGAGGUGUAUGCAUGUUCUAAGUGAUAGAUGAUAUUUCUUUGGAUUCUUGUCAUUUCUUUUAAGCUAUACAUAUACCAUGUGAAUUAUGAUUCACUAUCACAAUUAUUUAUUAUUGUAAUUGUUCUAACCACCCUCUAGCUUUAUGGAAAUGCCUUGCAAGUUAUUUAUGCAAUCCAUGGACGUCCCCUCAUACUUUUAUCCCUUUAGUUUGGUAAAUAGAUAUGUUUUGUGUGUCAACAUCUUCAUAUUUGAUAUUACUUUGUUAUGUGCUAUGAUUGGUGUUUGAUUCCUUGAAUUAGAUAGACACAUGUUGUAUUUUGUAUUAUUUUUCAAACUAACUUUGAUGUUUUCAUGAAAGUGCUUUAGGUUGCAGUUUAAGUAUUUUCUUUCUCAUAUGAUUGAUUUUUGUGGUUAGAUUGUUUCAGUGUGAAUAACAUUUGUUUGGCCUUAGAUAUAAUCACCUUUGUUAUUUUUAGUAUCCACAAUUUAUCGAUUAAUUAUCGUACUUACCUCAACCUAGUCAAUAUAGACCUAUUUUUAAUGCUUAAAGGGGUGCUACCCUUAUGGUACUUUCCUAAUAGGUAACAUGGCUUUCAUCCAUACUUAGACUUUGUUUUUCAAAGACACUCUUUUUUAAAAUUAAGGAGUCGUUUUUUAGGGUUUUAUUUCUUAUUUUGUUUUCCCUUUUAAAAAUAAAUAAAAAUAAGUGGAGACUGCAUUUUUAUAAAAAUCAAUUUUUCACUACGAGAACGAGUUUCACUGUCAAGUAGGGAUGCAUGUGAAAAAUGCAAGUCCACACAUGUCUUUUCCUUAAAAAAUGAGUCACAUUAUGGCUUUAUUUCUUAUUUUGUUUUUUAAUAAAAAAUAAAGAAAAAAAAGUGGCAAUUCCAACUUUUCAAAUAUAUAUAUAUAUAUAUAUAUAGUUUUUCCUAAUAAAAACGAGUCUCAUCGUCUAGUGAGGAUGCACAUGAAAAAUAUAGAUCUACAAAAUAGUGACUCCACUAGAAAUGUUUAGAGGGUUAAACUUGAACUCAAGUUGAGGGGAAAUGUGACAUUGAAUUAAUUGAUUAGUGGAUACCCUCUCAUUGUGCCUUUGUUAUACGCUUGCAUAUUUUAGGGCAUAGGAGAGGUUAACUUGGUGAUUAUUUUGUAUAUAUUGCAUGUGCCUUACUGUAUAUUGACUAUUGUUAUUAUAUGUGUUUGUAUAUAUCUGCUCAUGUUUGUAUAUAUCUAUUUUGCAUGAUUGUGUGAUGCAUGACUACCUUCCUUCUGCAUAAUGCAUGUUUUGCCUUUUUGUGUAGGAUACACAUUUAUCCCUCUAUCUCAAACUCCUUAGCCUUGGUCGAUUUUCUCCUUUUGAUCUCGUAUUUGGUGGAUGAGACUUGGUGCCUUGUUUGUUUCUCAAGUAAGCUAGUGAUUAGGAGUAUGGUCUAGUUGUGAGCUUUAUGUAUGAUUGGGAGCAUUUAGAGCAUUGUCAUGACAUUAUCAACAUCUUGAGAUUGUCACCUCAGAGUAGAUUACAACAUCAUCAGCCUUACCACAUCAUUUUUAUUUUAUCAUAAUCCUAUUUAGUCACCUCAUCCCUACUAUCACCCCACUUUGCCACAUCAUCCUACCUCACCAUGUCAUCACUUUGCCACAUCCCUAGUGCCUUAACAUCAUUUUAUGUUGUCAUGUCAUCCUUGCCACUUUAUUCUUAUCCUAUUAGCAUUGUUCCUUAUCAUCUCAUUCUUACUGUCAUCCCCAUUUUGCCUCAUUGUCAUACUUUAUCAUUUCACCCAACAUUUUUUUUUAUGUCAUCAUCCUAUCUUGUUGCAGCAUUGUGAUGCCUUACAGAGCAUCACGGCAUCAUUGACGUCACAUCAAUAGAGGUCACCACAUCAUAGCCACUUGGAGUUUGAUCAUUGAAGACUUGUAUAACCCAUGACUAGAUUCAAGAUAUAUGUGUGACUAGUGUGUUUACUUUUUUUGCUUUAGUUUAAGAUGUUUGGAUGCACUUAUGCCACACGCUACACACAUUAGAUUGCCCUGUAUAUGUGUUAAGAGAGGUAACAUGUGCUAACUAGUAGAAAACCUUAACCAUUAGGAAACCACCCUAAGAUUUAGAGGAAGUGCAUGUGUAGAGGUAAUGACCAGCUUGCAUGGAAGCUCCUAGUCUCUUUGGAGGUGUGUAGGAGGUUUUGUACCAACAAUGAGUAUGAUUGCUCCUACUAGGUACCUUUGAUCCUACCUUUUAGAGUCACCUUUACCUUGUAGAAUGAGAAUUAGAUCCUUGGACCUAGGAUACCUACCCACACAUAGGUGCAUUCAUGUAUAGGAAUUUGAUAACAACAAUUUUGCAUCAACAUUAGAGUUCCAUUAACAUAGAUUAGUUAUAUUAUCAUCCUCUUUACUCUUUAUUUGUUGGAUUCAAUUAGUCAAUCUUCUAGGUUAUACAUUCAUCGAUCUUGUAUAGUCUUAUUCCCUUUAGAAUUUUUUCAACCUGAAUAUGUUGUAUAUAAAAAGGAUUUACAUUUUUAAAUGUAUUGUCAUUGUUUUAGGUUUUUGUACAUUGAUGCGAAUCAUGGUAACUUAGCUUUAAAGGCGUAUCAACAAAAUUUAUACCUUGAAUACUAUUACUAAAGUAGCCAAGCUACUAUAGCAUAGUGGUUCUAGGAUCGUUCACUGGGAAGGGUUUUCACAAACACUAGUGAUAUUCAAAUUAGGAAAAUAGGUGAUUUUCUUAUGGAUGUUAGCUUUAAAAGAAUAUGUAAAUGUUUUAGAAAGAUUUAAACUAAUCUAAGCUAACAUUAAAGACUAAAAUGAAAGGGUGUAAAAACAAGUUUCUCAAAGAUAGGAUAGCUAUGCUCUGGCUCUUAUGCAAAUUGGAAAUCUCAGGAUAGGCUCCUCGCGUUGGGGUUGCAACUAUGGUGAUGCUUGCUUCCCGAACCGGUAUGGAUUUAGCAAAUCAAGUUUUAAUCCUUUAAAAUAGCAAAACAGAUGGUAGUGAAUUUCAUCAAUGGUUAUUCACCUUAGACUUCCUUUGAAUGGCUCGUAAGAGAUAACUAAUGGUCUAAAGCUAAAAGCUUACCAAAUAUUGGCAACUCAAAGUCAUUCCAGGUGAUAAACUCACCUUUCAAUGGCCAUUGAAAUUGGUUCUAACGGAUUAAUGCAAAACUUGGAAUUGAAAACCUCACCUUCCAAUAGCUCGUAGGAGAUAACUAAUGGAUAGAAAUCCAAAAGCUUAUCAAGUAUUGGCCGUUGGAAGUUGUCCAAAGGAAAUAAAAACCAAACUUUGAAUUAAUGAACCAUUAAUGAAAAAUGACUACCUUACCUUCCAGGUGCGAGAACCAUGGGAUUGCAUCCAAGCCAUCACCUAACAUCCAUACUUUGAGAAACUAAAAGUUUUAGCCAAUCAUCCUCUGAGGAAAAGCCCUCAGAGGCUGUUUGGCUACUAAGAAAAUAGAAAUGGGGAAGAACAGGAGAAAAGAGAAAAACUGAGCUUUAUAUAUUUCUAAGUAAAUGUACAGAGGAUCGAUCCCUAAAUCAUCCAAUAUCUUUUGGAGGCGUUGUGCACCUCUAUAUAUAACAAAAUUACAAGAUAAAGCCUUAUGUCGGCUGAAUACAAGGUUACAAAAGGAAUUUACACGAGAAAAUAUCAAGGCUAAAAAUAUCUGGGAAGUCGGUGGUGCGUGCGUGGAGAAACAGAGGAUUUCAAAGGCAUUUCGCAAGGUGCCUAAAUCCACCUUGCAAAAUUUCGCAAGGUGCUUUCUUCAUGGUGCGUAAUGGCCAAAUUUCGCACCAUGAAGAAAAUCUCCUUGCGAAAUGGUGUUCCCAUGGCUUGAUGCAGUUGUCUUCCGAAGGCCAUAUCUUCCUCAUUUCAACUCCAAAUCAUACACGGUUUGAAGAGUUGGAUUCUUGACUUCCUGAGCUUUGAAAUGGUAUAUAGCAUAUAGAAAAUGGACUUCGGAAAGUACUCCAAAAGUUCGAAAGAAGACUGCAGCUGCUGUCCUCUAUUUUCUUCACUCUGUUUUCCUCUUCUCCAUUGUUCUUUCCUUGCAUACUUUGAACAACUUUAGCAAAGGGCUAUGGAGCUCCAAAGCUUGGUUCAUUUGUGCUCGUGUUUCCACUUGAAAUUCAAGUAUGUAAACUUCCAAAAUCCUUGCUUUAACUUGUCCAAGUAGCUCCUCCAUCAUUUGGCAUGCUUGAAUUGAUUCAUAAGCUGAUAAAAACAUGUAAACUUGCCACAAAAUGGUUAAAACCAAUUACUAAGGACCUUAAUGAAUUAAUUGGGUUAAAUGAAUAUGAUUACUACUCAAAGGAGCUUAAAACCAUUAUAAUUAGGUCUACAAAAUAGCACUUUUUGGUAGUAAUCAUACAUUAAGUGUAGCAUUCUAGGAUAUGUUAUUUGACAUUUUUUGACCUAAGUCUAGGGUUUUGUGUUCUCUGGUUCAUUGAUAGGUUCCUUAAGUGACUCGUGUUAGUUAGAUUUUUUGAGACCUAGCUGGCUUCUUCUUGGUGAAAUGGUGGGGCGUUUGUCAAAGUUGGUGUGACUAUUUAUUUUUGUUGCAUCAAAGCUAUCCGUCUUGGUUAUUAAGUCUAUGUUAGUCUUGUGGUAUAGUUAGAGUUUGUAUUCUUUGUAGAUUGUUUUGACCUGUUAGUAUCUAUUUCUACUAUGGAUGUACAUUGAUCAUUAGACUCGACCUUUUUCAUUGAAUAUAUGUUUGUCUUAUGGUGCAUGUGUUAGACUUUUGAUAUGUUGCAUAAUUCACUUCCAUAUCAUGAUUAUUGGGCCUAACCCAUCAUAGAGAAUACUGAGCCCAUUAACCUAGGACUAAAGGAUCGACUUAGGGAGCUUAAGAUUGGGGCUCAUUUGUCUUGUGAUCAGAGUUGUACCUUAUUCACUUCCAUUUACACCUUGACCUUACAUCCUAUCUAUCUUGAGUCUUGCUCAACAUUUACCCCUUGACACCAUCACAUGACCUUUACAUCCUUUCUUAUCAUAGCUUAUACAACAUCAUCUACAUGGACAUUGUUUCAAUCUAUUUAUUUGUUCUUUGUACUUGAGACUGAUUUUAUGAGACAAGAAGGGUGGCUUACGAUGAGCAAAGUGGUCGAUUGCACAAGAUCAUUGACUAUUCUAUGGUUGAGAGAAGCAUCUUGAGAUUGUUAUAAAUCAUUAAGAAAUGGGAUAUUUAUGCAUGAUUUUAGAGGGAUGGAAUGCCUACAUUUUGAUAUUCUACACCAAUCUGUAGUGUUGACCAUGUGAGAGUUUAAGAGCAUGAUGUUUGAGGUUUUGACCAGGGAAUGAGUGUCAUCAUUUCAUGAGCCUACUUAUCUAAUCAUGUUGAUGUUCAUGCUAUGAUUCCUAGUGAAAAAAAUGGAGAAAAAAAAAAAAGAAAACACACAAAUUUAAUAUGGUUCGGCAGAUUGCCUGCGUCUAUAGGAACAAAGAAGAAGACUUUCACUAUAUCUCAAUUAGGUUUACAAAAAAGGGUAUUUAUACUAACCCUCAAGUAUUGGAAUUCCUUAAACCAUAUGCCUCUCCUUCCCCCCCCCCCCUCCCCCCCGCAUUCACUCCCCUCAUUCCACUCUACUUCACUCUGGCAUUUGCCCCUUUCUCCAUAUGUCUUUCACUCAAUAUGAGCCACAUACUACAACAAAUCACCUUUGUGUAUAAAGUUACCCUUUGCUAGCCAAUUAAGUCAUGCAUAUUUAGCCUUUUGAUUCAUCACCUUGCUUACCUCAUUUCUCAUACCUAUGGUUAGGGCCUCUUGGCACAUCUUUGCUUAUAGAUAGGAUCGCCUAGGUUGUGGGCUCCUUAGGUGAUUCAUCUUUUGUAUUCAUUAUGUUUGUCUUGAUCAUUUGUAUUAUUUUAGUCGUACAUCUUCUCAAUACUUGUUGUACUUAUUUGAGUCAUUGUUCAUUAUUCCGUCAUUAUGAGUUCAUAUAUGUACAUACAAGUUAGCCUUCUUGUACAUAUAUUGAGAUUUGUAUAGGUUACCUUAGGAUCCUUGUACAUGAUUGCCUUAAUUCAUUGGUUUGAUUAUUGUUAAAAAGAAAAAAAAAAUUAUGAUGUUAGUCUUUGUUGGCGGCUUGUGUGAUAGUUUUGAUCAUUUCAUUAUAUAUAGCCAUCUCAUCUAUACAUCUAGUUAUGAUUGAGUUGUGGGUUUUAUCCCUAACUAUGACAUGUUGCUUCUCUUGUACUCAAUUACACUUUUUAUUUAGAGUUUUAUUCUCAUUCAUCUUGGUUAUGUUCUUUUUUGCUUAUAUAUCGAGUCAUCAUUCAUUAGCAUUAUUUGCUUUACCUCUAGCCAUUGUAUUAUUCCUUUGAUUUCUUGAGCCUAUUUUAAGUCUCACCCUCGUCAUUUCCAUUUCUUUGAGUUAUUCAUGUGGAUGGUUGGUAUUUGUGUAGUUCUUAUCUUGGAUUUGUUUUUCUUUUCAUUGAUUUCAUCUUUUCAUUCAUUAUCAUAUGAAUCAUAGUGUAUUUUUUUUUCAUUCAUUUAGUUAUCUGUAUCAUAAAGCAUAUGUGAGGUUUAUAAUCUUUGAGUUUCUUUAUCUGUUACACUGUGUAUGCUAAAGGCAUGGGGAUUAUAUCAUUAGGAUUACUGAGCUUAAUUUCCCUUUGUUUCUUUUACCUUAUUACCUUAGCUUAAAUUACAUCCUGGGUCUUAAGACCACCUUGGGACCAUGACAUCAUGCAUUAUGCUUGAUAUCUCACACAUGGGUGGCAUUUGAGAUUGGUUAGAGAUCAGUUCAAGUAAUAUGGAUGAGAAACUAUGAGAGGAUUUACACUAAGGCCUAACCUCUCAACAAUUAUUAAUUUUCGAUAUGAUACCUUAUACUAGGGCAUAGCCAUUUCAUUCUCUCUUAUGGAGAAUGAUAGAUCAGGAGUCACUUAAAUUCAUAUCGACAUAUAUCCAUUUUUGAGAUAUAAGAUAAAGUUUGAUUUUGAUUAGACAAUUUACACUAGGGCAUAGCCAUCUCAAGGAGUUUAUACUAGGUCAUAACCCUCUUAUUGGUGCUUAAUUUUUUAGAUAAUAGCUUAUAUUGAGGCAUAGUCACUUCAUUCAUUCUCAUGGACCGUGAUACAUAAGGAGUAACUUGGAUUCAUAUAGACAUAUAUCCAUUUUUUAGAUUUGGGAUUGAGUUUGAUUUUGAUUUGACAAUUUACACUAAGGCAUAAUGACCGAACUUCUCUAUUGUACCAAAAUACUUAGCCUUUUUACGUAGUAACUCUGAUUAAGAAAAACUAGAGAAAGAGUCACUAUGGAUUUUGUAGUAUUCCGGGUAUCGUCCUCAAGGACUAGCUUAUGAAAAUUGUCAAUACUAGAAUAAAUGAAUUGUUUUUGUUUAAAUCUUAAAGUGAAAAAAAAUAUGUGAAUAAUGCGAAACUAAGUAAAAGAAAUUAAAUUAAUAAAAAAAUGAAUAUUGAUUUUAAAUUCAAUUGAUUCAAGUUUGGGGUUUUCCACAAUCCAACCUAGGGUAUAGAAAUUAGAGAAAACAAGGGUCUUUUAAGUAAUAUGAUCUUAGGGUUUUAGGAUCCUUGGCCGCUCGCGAUCAAGUUGAGUUCUAUAACUCAAAAUUGCAUCCGAAACCUAAUUUUUCCUUUUUAAAACAGAUUCCUAAAACCAUCAAAUGAAUGAGAUUGAUUACCAAUUUAAGAUUUGGAUUUUUAACCCUUCCUACUCCUUAUAGCUUUAUUUAGGGGCAAAUAACGGUAGGAAAGAUGAGGAUAACUAAUGAUCAAGAAUUACCAAGAAUCACUAGUAUCAGGUAAUAACCUACUGUAUCAUUCCCUAAAUGAACUCACAAGGAUAGGAUAAAAAAAAUGAUAAAUUGUCACCCAACCAAUAAUUAUUCUCAUUGUUAUAAUAAUUUACCCAUUGUCCUUAUAGGUUUCCUAACCCUUAGGUUUUCAUGCUUCAAGCCCCAAGUUGGCUCUUAGCCUCUCAUGGGGGUGAUGUCACAUUCUCAAUCCAUAAUAGGGUAAAAAUCCAUAAUUUGAAUCAAAAGAAACUAAAAACAAUAUAUUUUAUAAAGAGGAAAAAGAAAACAAACCAAAGUUCUCGUCUUCUUCCACCUUCAAUGUUAAGUUCUCCGAAAAAAAAUCCAAGAUCCCUAAAACCUAGAAUUGAGAGAGUUUAUAUAAUAUCGUCAAUUACCUAACAUGUGGCACACUCUCAUUGGCCACUUAUUACAAAAUCAUUUCCUAAAAAUGAUUAAAAAAAUAAUAAAAGGGUGAUUUCUAGUCAUGUGGGGUCCACUUAAGGCGGAUGGAGUGCCCUAGAUGCAAUUCCCAAGGUAGAGAAGGCAAAACAUCAAAGUGACAGUGGGUGAAUUCGAAAUUGGUGUCAUUUCAAAGUGGAUUUCGAAUUCAUAAGUUGAAUAGAUGCAAUUCCUGAGGUAGAGGAGGUGGAACAUCAAAGUGGCAAUGGGUGAAUUCGAAAUUGGUGUCAUUUCGAAGUGGAUUUCGAAUUCAUAAGUUGAAUUUUGAAAUCAUUUCGAAAUGACCCUUCAGCUUGGUGCAGUUGUCUUCAAAUGGCCAUAACUUCUUCAUUUCAGCUUCGAUUUGCAAACCGUUUGAAGCGUUGGAUUCUUGACUUCCCAAGAUUUGAAAUAAAAAAUAGAAUGUAUACAAUGGACUCUAGUAAGUUCUCUAAAUUUUUCCUCAAAAUCAGAGUAUAUAAUUCCAUCAGAUUUUUGAGUUCUAAAUUUCCAUGCAGCUGAAUCUUGCUUCAUGCCUCAUUUCCCAUGUUUUCUUGCCUUAUUUCUUACUCCAUAAUGGUCAUUUCUCAUCUUCCAAACUCAUGAUAUCCUCGUCUUUCCUUUCCUUACGGUCCAUGAGUCUUGACUCACUUAUUUCCUCAUUUAGCCCUUUCUUGAUCUUUCAAAAUCUAAAGUGAUUCAACUUGCACCAUUUUCUUCCCUUGAACCUGAGAUAAGUCUCCAAAGUACAAAUUAAACUCAUGACUAGGGCCUUAGCAUCUAUUUAGUUCAAGUUAGGUGAUUUGAAUGUCUUUUUGUGCACAAAUCAUAUAGAAUAUGUGCCAUUAGAGCACAUAUUUUGGCUCCAAUCACAUAGCCACCUUAGAAAGUUUAUAUUGGUGUAUAGCCCUCUCAUUGAUGAUUGAUUUUCAAGAUGAUAGUUUAUACUAGGACAUAAUCACUUUAUUCCUUCUCAUGGAGCAUGAUGGAUUAGGAGUCACUUGGAUUCAUAUUGACAUAUAUCUAUUUUUGAGACCUAGGAUAGAGUUUGAUUUGAUUUGAUGAUUUAUACUAGGGUAUAGCCACCUUAAAGAGCUUAUACUAGGGCGUAGCCCUCUCAUCAAUGAUUGUUUUUUUAGAUGAUAUCUUAUACUAAGGCAUGCCUUCAUUCCAUCUCAAUAAGCAUGAUGGAUUAGGAGUCACUUGGAUUGAUAUUGACAUAUAUCCAUUUUUGAGAUAUGGGAUAGAGUUUGAUUUUGAUUUGACAAUUUAUACUAAGGCAUAACCACUAUGCUUGAUUCCCUACACUAGAGCAUAUUCGUCUUUUAGAGGAGAUUUGAAACUCCCUUCACAUUAUAGUAUGAAGAUACUUUAGGGAGUAAAAAUCUAUCUUGAUGAGAUUGUGUAUGUUACAACAUAACCAUUCUAGAUAUUAACUUGCACUGAGGCUUAACAUUUUAGACGUUACCUUAUAUACCAGGGCAUACUCCUUUUAUCAGUGUUUGAUUUUGAAGAUGAUUAAUUUGUUUUGGCCUUACCCAUUUUUACUCAAUAUAUUCAUGUUGGGGCAUAACCCACUCAGUUGGCGAUUGAUUAUUUUUUGAAAUGGCAAUUUAUAUUGAGCAUGACUACUCUGUUUGAAUCCCUACAUUGGGGCAUAACCAUUCUCUUGAAGGUGAUCAGACAUUCUUUUCAUAUUGGAGUAUGAAAGAUGGUUAAGAGAUAUUGAUUUGAUGUCUUUUAUAUUGGGGCAUAACCAUUUGAGGGAGUAUUUAUACUAGGGUAUGACUAUCUUAUUGAUCUUCUAGGACAUUGGAAUUCGACCACUUAAUUAAGGUUUUAUAUAGGUUAUAAAGAUGAUGAUGCCUUGGAUUCGGUCUUCUCACCAUACCUGGUCUGAUUUAGAUACUAUCGUAUAUUUACUUCAUACCAAAACACUCCAUUUUUUCUAUAUCUUCACACUUAUAUCUUGUAUUCAAUCCAUCCAUAUCAUUCCAUCAUGAUGUAUAAAGUUAUUUUGCUUCCAGAUCAUAGGAGCAUGUAAACUAAUCAUGAGUUUCCUAGUCAAACUUUCAUGUGCCUUUUGGAUACUGAAUUUAACAUCUUCCAUGAUGGCAAGGCUUGACAGAUUGUCGAUUGUUUGUAAUGUUUUUCAUUUGAUAGUCUACAUGUCAUGGCAUGACUUGGUGCAUAUUUAGACUUAGAGCUUUAGUUAUCUUUGUUUUUGUCCAUCAUUUGGUUUUAUUUUGAUAACAUGGUCCCAAGACCUAUAGUCCUAUUUAGCUUUUUUAAUUGAAGAUUAGACAUUUUCAUCUUAUUAUCAAUGAGUGCAUCCUAGUGUAUGUCUUUGUUCGUGCCACACCCUAAUUAUCCGACUUUUUUUAUAUUUUCUGUUAAUGUCACGCCUCGACUAUUCGACCUCUUUUAUGUUUUCUUAAUGUCAUGCCCUGAAUAUUCAACCUUUUUUUGUCUCUAUUAGUGUCAUGCUUUGAUUGUCCAACUUUUUCAUGUUUUUUUAGAGCUAUCUUGAUUGUCCAAAAUUUUCAUGUUUUCCUAAAUUCGAGCCCUGACUGUCCAACUUCUUUUAUGUUUUCCUAGAUUCGCACCCUGAUUGUUGGGUCUUCCUUGUGUUUCCUCUAAUGUCCAUGCACUGAAUACAUGACCUUUUUUAAUUUUUAUUUUAUUAGCCUUGAUUUUUUUCUCUAAUCAUUAGCUUCUUCUCUUUUCUUCUUCAUUCUCUUGUUCACCCAUUCAUUCCCCCCUUUGGAUAGUAAGGUCCUUAGUGUUUCACAUAGAUAUUGUCACUACCUUGUUCAGAAGAGUCUCCCUUAAGAUCCACGUAGAUAUUGCAUGUUUCUCUACUAGUAGAUCAAUGAGCACAUUUCAUAACCUUAGAGAGCUUGUGUCUUAUUGGGACAAAUUUGGUGAUCUUUCUUGUACUUUAGUAGAGCCCACUUUGUUUGGUUGGUUUAUACACUUACUUCACUUGUGAACUCUUCUAAAAAUGGACAUAUUUGUAGAUCCCAAAAUUUUCCCUAAGCCUAUUCUCACUUUUUAUUUUAUUUUAUUAUUUUAUUAUUUUAUUUAUUUUAUUUUAUUUUAUUUUUACUUUAUUUUUUUCUUCUUUUCUUUUUCUUUUUUUUUGUUCCUUUCUUGUUUUUCACCUUUUUUUUCUCCCACACACAUGCAACUACAGAACCUUUCCCCUUCUUAUUUUUCCCUCUUCCUUCUCUUUUCUUUGCUUCUUUCUUUUUCCUUCCUUUUUGUUUUUCUUUCUUUUCUUUCUUUUUCUCUCUUCUCUCUACCCACUCUCACUCCCAAACCCAUCUCUAGCCAUCAUCUACCUUCCUCCUCUUUCCCUUGUCUUAUUUAUUCUCCUUUCAUUUUUCUUCUUAUUACCCAUUUCUCUCUCUCACCUUGAAGAUCCAUAACCAUGGCUGCCCCAUACUCAACACUCUCACCACUAGACAGUUGCCAUCAGUGAGCCAUUAUUUGUCUGUGAUCCAUUUUCUCCCUUUGUUUCUCUCUUUUCUUCAUUUUUUUCUUUCUCUUAUCUCACCCAUUUUCUUUUAUUUAUUAUUAUUACUAUUAUUAUUAUCCCAUUCUUUCCUCUUAUCCCUUCUUUCCAUAUUGCAUUCAAGAAAUGGGUAAGAUGCCCUUUUUCAUUUUCUUAUUUCUUUAGUCAUUUUAUUUUUUAUUCAUAAAGUAAUUGUUCUUGAUUGUUGAGUUUGCUUGUUUGGACUUUAGAUAAUUUUGCUUGGAAUUUGCAUAUUAGAUGUUGAUCUUCUUUUAGACUUUAAUAAAUUAAGUUAUCCAAAAAUCUUCUUUUAAAAAAAUAAAAUAGGUCGAAUAAGAUAUUUUCAUUAAAUAAGAAAAAUGGACCCAAAAAUAAGUUUCUAGACAUCCUUUUUAGAUAAAAUAGUCGAAAAAUUUUAUUUUAAUAAAAGAAAUAAUUCAUAAUUUUAAAAUAAAUAAAUAAAUAAAUAAAAAGUUCACAAAUAUUUUUUCAAAUAAAAUAAAAUAAAAAUAAAACAAUCCAGUAAUCUUGUUUUAAUGCAAUAAUAAUUCAAUAAAUAUUCUUUUUAAUAAAAUAAAGUUUUUUUUUAAUAGAAACUUUAGAAAAAAAUAGUUUUUUUUAGGAAUCUUUUUUUUUUUUAACAAAAAUUCAAAAAAAAAUUGAAUAAUAAACGAUCUAGAAAUUUAUUUGUUUAACAAAAUUUUCUAAAAAAAAAUUUGAUUUUUAAAUAAAAUUGUCCAAAAAGUUAAUUUUAAUAAAAUCGUCCAAAAAUUGAUUUUUGAAUAAAAUUCUCUUUCCUUGAUAAGAAUGGGAUUUAAAAUAAUUUUUAUAAAUAAAGGUCUUAAAGAAUUUUUUUUAAAAAAUAAGAAUAGGAUAAGUAAACCUUUAAAUUGAACUGAAAGACAACCCCCCCCCCCCUUUUUUUUUUUUUUAAUAAAUUGGUAAACUAAUCUCUUUCUAGAUGAAAUCCAAAAAUUCUUUCUUAAUAAUGGAAUCCUUGGGAAUAAAUUUGUGAAAAAAAUUUUUCUAAAUAAACUAGUAAGAAUCUUUUUCUAGGUAAAAUAAAAAAUAUAUAUAUUUUUAAUAAAAUUGGGUUGAACCUUAUAACCUUGUAAAUAUCUUUCUUUAAGUUUGUAAAAAAAAAAUUUAAAUAAAUAAAGAUUGAAUCAAAACACUUUUUUAAACAAAUUAGUAAAAUUCACGCCUUCUUAAUAAGGUAAACAAAAAUAAUUUCUUGUAAGUCAAAUAAAAUCUUUUGUAAUAAAUUGAAGCCUUGUGAAUAAAUAAAUUCAAAUCAUUAAUUUGAAAUUGUUGUUAAUAUAAAUGGAUUCUUUGAAAAUUUUUGGAAAUUGUAUUAUGAUAUUUGAAAUAAUAAAAUCUUUCUAAUAAAUUAUUUUGUGCAUUUCUUAUGUAUCAUUUUUGCAUAUCUUUAUAAUUUGUUUUUGCAUUAUUCUAUGUGCUUGUAUUAUUCUUUUUUUCAGUAUCCAUGAUUAAUUAAUUAAUUGUCAUAAUUGCUUUUUACAUGCUUAGUAAAAACCUUUUUAAGGCUUAAAAGGGUGCUACUAUGGUACCUUCCCAAUAGAUAACUUGAUCUUUGGAUUCAAACUCAAUUUUUGACGACAUGUCUUUCUUUAAAAAUGGAGCUACACUAGGGCUUUAUUUCUUAUUUUAUUUUCUUUUAAAAAUAAACAAAAAUAAGUGACAACUCCACCUUUUAAAAAAAAAAAAAUCAGUUUUUUACAAUAAAAAUAAGUCUCACCAUCAAGUAGGGAUGCACAUGAAAAAUGCGGGUUCACAAUUGUAUUCCUUAGGAUUAAAAUAUAAUACAAUUAAUUAGAUGGAUGAUAACGUCAAAUUCAGGAUAGCUUCAUAUUUUUUCCUUUAACUGAAGAUUAAAAUAAAAAGUAAAGUGAUAAUUUUUAAGAUGUAAAAGUUUUAUUAAACAUGAAAGAACUAUUGUGUAAAUAGAAAUAGAAUUAUAGAAUUCUUAUAAGAAAUAACAUUUUUAUGACUUUUAUAUGAAACCUUUUUUAAAAGUUAGAAGUUUUUUUUAAAAAAAUAAUAAUAAUAAUAAUUAAAUAGGUAUAAAAACUUUUAUUCAACUUUUUUUUUUUUAACUCUUACAAGUCAAUCCAAAUAAAAUUUAAACAUAUUUGAAAAUCAUUUUUAAAAAUCCAAAAAAUCACUUAAAAAUAAUUUCUGAACUUUUUUAAAUUUACAUUUAAAUACUAAGUGAUUCUUUUAAAAAUCAUAAUUUUUUUUACGGAUAAAAAUAUUACAAAUAAAAAACAUUUUAAUCACAAUAAAUUUAUCUUGAAUUCAUGAAAUUUCAUUUAUUGUUAUUUAUUUUUUGGGAUUUGAUUCUUUACAAUUAUUUUUGAGUGUUUAUAAAGUAUAAUUAGGUUAUGCCCAAAUUUAUUCCUAUAACUCUAUCCAUCAAAUAUAAGUAGCGUGAAAUUUUGGCCUGUCUCCACCUUUCGUCACUUCUGACAUUGUCAUGCACUGCUUCAUCAACUCCAAACACAACUGCUGAGGAUAGAAGAAAAUAAGACAAUGGAAUGUCAGCUAGAAUAAAAUGAAAGUUUAAUCAUUUAAUCUUUUUUAGCACAGCUUUCCUGCCAACUUAACAUAUUGACAUGGACUUGGACAGUACCGUCAAUUGCAGCAGCUUAGUUAACUGUAAGUGUCUUUUCUCUAAACCAUAAAUUCAAAUGAUCAACUCCUACGUUUUAAUUUACAAAAGCCAGUGAUUUGAAUUUAAGGAAGCAGGAAAGGGUUUACUUGAAUAUAAAAUAAAAAAAAUAAUAAGAGUUGAAAAGUAAUCAAAUCACUAAAAAGACAGAUUUGGAGUUCUUUUGCUAUGGGGUUAGACUCAAUUUGUUCCCAUGCAAUGGAAAUGGACGAUUUUCUUUAUCUUGGUAUAGAUCUUGUAAUAUUUUAUAAAAAUAUAAAUUAUAUGUCAAUUAUUUUAACUUUCGGAAAAAGCGCUUAUUUUAAUUUAAAAUAAAUAAAUAAAAAAGAAUUGAUUUUAUCUCAAUUGUAUAAGACUUCAUAAAAAUUAUCUUAUUUGCAAAAUAUUUUCAGAUGUAAAAGUAAAUAUUAAACAAAGCAUUUGAUGAUCUUUUCCAUAAGUAUCCAUUUAGAUCAUAAUCUAAUUUUAAAAUAUUAGAAUAAAUCAAUUACUCUAAACUAUAUAAUUUAUAAUUUUUUUAUUAUUAAUAUGGUACCUAACCUUCCACGGAAUUGGAAUAAAAUAUGGAUAAUUAAAAAAUGUCAACUAUCCCAUUUCAAACUUUUCUAAUACAACAUGAUAUUUUAUCAUGUUGAAUGAAAUGGGAAUGACCAAAUAUUCUCAAAUCAAAGCUAUAUCUAUUGUGGACAUUGUCUUUUUAUAUUGAAAUGAAUUAAGGUUGAAACAGGAACACAAUGUCAAAUUCUUUUUUUAUAAUCAAAGACUUCCAUGGAAAAUUCCACCAUAGCAUAUCUUAAAGAUUAGUCAAAUUCCAUUAUCUUUAUAGGCUUUUAACAAUCCAAGAAAUUGACAUUAAUAAUCCCAAACACAAUAUUCUGCAACUUUACAUUAUUAUUUUUAUCGUAAUUGAAAAGGAAUACAAACUUAGUCAAACAGAAAAUAAAUCACGAAAGCUAAAUAAUACAAAUAUUCAGUGAAAUCCUUGGCAUGUUAUUUCUUUGCAGCUUCAACAUGGUGGCAUGUCGGAUGGAGGAGGCAGCAUUUGAGCUUCUGGGUGUUUACCAUUUUUCACUAUGAACGCAGUUUCCAUGCCCCAAGUCAGAUGGCGUUCUAUAUGGCAGUGCAUGAACCACACUCCUGCAACAGAGAAAAUAUACCAACGUUACACCUAACUUAAUUGUAAUAUUAAGAAAAAUUAUUUCAUUGGUAUGCAGGUUGGUAGUUUCAAGGGUUUUUUUUCUUUAAUAGAGGACAUGAGUGCUUGCAAUAUACCAGGGUUGGAUGCCUUGAAUCUGAUUGCAACCCAACCAUUCGAAGGAACAAAGAUGGUAUUCUGAAGGGGAGGAUCCACCAGAUUAUACCGCAAAGGGUCUCUAUUUCCAUCGAAAUUCCCAAAUCCCCAUCCAACAACAUAGAAACUGUAUCCAUGGAGAUGCAUGGGGUGGUGUGUCUUUGCAAGCACGGCUGUCCCUUGAAGAAUAAUCUCCACUGUGGAGUUAUACUCGAGCACCCUUACUUCUGUCCCGCUGCUCGACAACUGAUAGGUUAAUGGAAGAUAAUCAUAUGUAAAAUCGAACACCAGUGGUGGAAAGCUAGGAAAGUUAUUUCCAUAUACACCACUGAUGUUAUAAUAGUAAGCUUCUAGUAUGUCAAUUAUAGGCGAAUGAAAGCUUAUGUUGUUUAUACUUGAGGAGAAUCACGUCCCAUUGGGCCCUGCACAUGAAUCAUUGAUGCAUGGGUAUGAGUUCAUAGAAAGAGUGUAAAACAGGUUAGUGCUCAUGCUCAAUGGGACAUUGCAAGGAUGUUCCGCAUCUGCUAAGCUUCGAAGGCCGGCCAUGACCUGAACCGAUGCCUUUGUGUCAUUGUAUGCAGGAAGAUCAGGUGAGGAGGGAGGUGAAGAUGGUGUGUAGUAUCCCCUGUACUGUACAAUAGCUGUGGUGGUUGUGUUAUCAUAAAAGUCUCAAUAUUUUGGGGCAACAGAAUAAGUUAUAGACGUCAUGUAAUAGUGAUCCGGGCGUUGGUUAGCUUCUAGUAAGACAUCAUAGGUUUGGCCAGGAAAUAUUGUGAUAUAAUCUCGUGUCAAUGGUUUCGUGUAGCUACCAUCUGUUCCAACCACUGUCAUUUUAUGCUUGGCUAUGGCGAAGAAGAGAGCCUUGUGCAAGGCAGCAUUGAUUAUGCGAAGUAGAUAGGUCUUUCCAUGAUCCAUUGUUAGCUUGAAUGUGCUUGCAAUUAGAAAGGGAAAGUUGUAUACUUAUGACUAGCUAAAAGAAAAGGAAAAAGUUUCCAUGAGAAUCCACCAAUUAUGAAGUGAUUCAUUGAUUAAGGGUGUAAAUUUGGCUCCAUAGUUUAACAUUAUAUUUGGACUAGCCUUUUCUGAUGUGUUAAAUCAUGGCUCUACCAUCCUCAUAGCUAUAUUCCUCUUUCUUAGCAUUAACCUUUAAAUAUGUUGAUGUUAAUAAGAAAAAGUAGCAUGGUUAACAUAUAAGAAAAUGAAAUCGCGUAUAAUUUUAAAAUGGGAAGUUAAACUUUGUACCUAAUUUUGAGCAUGGAUAUAGAUCAUCGGGUUGUCCAUUUAUCAAUAAAGCAUCAGAGGAGUUGGGGUCACCUCCGGUUGCAAGCCCUUCAUCUCAAACCGCAUUCACAUCACUCUUCCACCAUUCUCCUGCAUGUCAACAACUCCAAUAAUUUUAGAUCUUGCUUUGCUGGUUAAAUCAUAAUAUGUAAAUUAACCUUUAAAAAUAACAACACUUAUACCUAAUAUGAUGGGGACUUCUGUGUUAGGUUUGUGACAAGGAUACUUGGUUCCAUUCUUGGGAUAGAUGAUUAUAUAGCUCCAUGAACAGUAGCUCAGGUACAGUCACUGUGAGCAUGCCACCAUAAAGUGCCUUCCUCAGUAGAAAGGAUGAUCUUCUAGGUAAACUUUGACCCUGGCUAAAUUGGGCAUUGUGUGAUAUACUCGGGACCAUCUGUCCAUGGAUAUCUAGGCAUGGUCACCCCAUGCCUGCAAAACCAUAACUAUACGUUAAAACUAGUACUAAUUUUCAAAGUAACAAAAGAUAGCAUGCAACAAGCAUCAACUGUAUUUCAAUGGAACUGAAGCAAAUAACCCUAAAGUAUUGUUUUAAAUUUGACUUUAUUUUCAAAGCAAUAUAUUGCACCCCCCCCCCCCUCUCUUAGAAAUAAAAGAAUGUAAGCUAUGUCUUUCUCUGAGACACACACAGGACCUACCAGUGAAUGGUGACGUUUUCUUUUCCCCUAUUAUAAACGUCGACAAUGAUCGUGUCUCCUUUCAUAGCAUAUAUAGUUGGUCCCGGAAAUUGUCCAUUUUUUACUGUUAAAAUGUUCUUGGCAGUACAAAGCCUUGUAUAUGAAGCUUCCCUCACUUGCAACCAAUUAAAAGUUAACCAUGCAACCUCAUCCCAAAAGAAAUAUUACAUGCAUGAAUAGUUCCAUCGAUCCAUUCAUGUAAGUGUAUAACCAAUUAGAAAUUGAUGGCAUGCAUGAACGACUCAACGACACCCAUAGCAUGCAUGAACGACUCAAUGACACCCAAGCAUGCAUGAACAACUCAACGACACUAGGGUAAGAGGUCAUACAGUAGAAAAUAAGAGCCAUACUACUCCCUAAAUCUCAUGAUUAGAACGUGGUGUUAAGGCCAGAAUCAUAUAUAAUAGUUACCACAAAAGUAAGCCGACGGGUUGAAGCUUGGCAAUGGAUGCCACCACCAAAAACUAGAAACGCUAAAAUUUGCAAGAGGAAAACCUUCAUGAUCAGCCACAUUUUCCUUGGAAUAAAAGCCUUUUCUCUUGUCCUAAACACAACUCCUUUAAUUCUCUUACUACUUUUGAUGUAUUUCUUUCAUAUAUGAUUCAUUAUAUAGGCAUGGUAAUUCUCUCGGGAUACAAUACUUCCUCUCCACGUGUCAAUAUAAGAGGAAGUAAUAUUGGCUUUCAAUGUUCUUUCAGGACGACUUCAAUGAGCAGGACCACUUCAAAAUAAUUAAUUAUGAUAUUUCUUACAUGAGCAGGACCACUUCAAAAUAAUUAAUUAUGAUAUUUCUUACAUGAGCAGGAUCACUUCAAAAAAAUUAAUUAUGAUAUUUCUUACAAGUUACCUACACUUUACCUUAGAAUAAAUUUAAAAUAUUCUUUCACAAGUCUUUUAUUGAUUAGUUCAACAAAUGUUAAUUAAUUAAAUAUAUGUACCCUUAUCAAGAUUAGUCAUGAAAACUGUUUUUCAUUGACAACUACUUUUAAGAAUUAUUUUUAAAUUAUUUUUUAAGAAUUAUUUUUAUAAACAUUAUUUAACCAACCCUUAUUAUUAAUUUUACUUUUUUUCGUGUUACUUAAGAUAAUUAAUAGUGCAGAACCCAUGACUUUGGUGGUUGGUGGCAGAGUUGUUUUCGUAUUGUUACUUUAUACAAUUAGUCAUGUCAUUGCUUUCGUCUGAAUGGGACAAAGUUGUUUCCCAAUUUUUUUUACCUGAGAUUUGAGAUUGUAAAAGACAAGAUGAUAAGCUAAUUUGGUAUUUCAGAAUUUUCCAUAAAAAAACAGAAAAAUACAUUUUGUAAAAAGUUGAAAAUAGGAUACUAACAACCCUUGUAGUAUCUUUUUUUCUCAACAAAAAGCAGUUUAAUAAUAACAAUAAUAAAUAAUUGUAGAUUUAAAAAAAAUAUUUUUCAAAACAAAUGCAAUCCAUAAUUUAUUUCUUCGAAUGGUAUGCAUAUCUUGAUUAAAUAAAUAAAUUAUGGAAAUGCAUAUAUUUUUAACUUAUUUAUAAAUAGAAAAAAUAAUGAAUAAAUUUUAAGACGUGUAAAAAUUUGAUCAAGUUAAUUUAAACUUUUUUUUUUCACUUUCUUUCUCCUAUUCUUUUUUUCUCACAUUUCCUUUUAAACUUUCGAAAUAAAUUCCCUACUAUUUGUGGAGUUUUAAUACAAAUAACACCUUUAUUAGUUAGACUUACAUUAUAUCACUACCCUCACCAAAGGUAAUGAAGGUCAACAACUUCUCCCUUGUUGACUAGGUCCACUAAUAACUAGAGUUUCAAAACCAAUAAUAAAAUUCACUUACAUACAAAUAAACAAAUCAUAUGAUAUUCCCAAUUUAUUUUAUAAACUAAGGAACAAAUCAUAACAUUUUUAGCAAAAUAUUAUUUGAUCCACUUUAGGGAUUUAAACAUUUUGAUAGUUUAAAAAUAGAUGAAAACAAAUAAGGAAUUAGAAAAUGGUUUACCGUAUCAUUAACCCCUAACUUGAAGAUAUCAUUCAAAAUCACGAAAGAUUUAGUCCACUCCUAAUAUAAUAUAAAUACAAAAUAAUUAUUAAAGACUAAUUAUCUAAAUUAAUGGCUUCCUAAAUUUUUUGUAAAACUUAUUUUAAUUCCAAACCCUCUUCUAAAAAUCUAUAUUUUUUAAUUAAAUUUUUUAUCAACCAUAUUAUUAUUAUCAUUUUUGCUUUGCAUAAUUACAUCAAUAGGUUUUGUUUAAUUAUUAAUGUUAAUAUUCUUUAUUUUUUUCAUGGUAAGUAGAAUAAUUAUUUAUUAAUUUACUACUAUUUUUACUUAUCUCCUACCCACAACCCAAGUCUUAUUAUUAGUUUAUUAUUUCUUUGCCACAACCACUUUCCUCAUUUCCUCAAUUCUUCUUCCUAUUAAUCUCGUGGUUAAAGAAAGAGAAAAUAAUUUAAUAAAUAAAUAAGAACUUACCUUAAAUUUCAUAAUGAAUCAAAUUAAAAAAGUUUCUUCUUUCUAACCCUUCAAACCAAACUUCUCUAAAGGCCUUUCUAUUGUUUAUUUUUCCCUUCUAUUUUAUCUUUUCAGUAUUUAAUAAUGCGGAAAAAUCAAAAUGAUAUAAAGUUUGAAUUACCCAAAAUCUGAAAAAAUAGUUGUUUCACCAUUUAAUUCUUUAUCCCAAGUCAUGAAUGAAACCACACUAAAAUUGAGAAUCACUUUAUUUCACAGUAUAAAGCAUUUCACCUUCUUUUUCAGAUAACUUUUCUUUUCGAGUCUUUAUUUUCCAUAGAAAAGUUUAUUAGGGUGAUUUUUUGGGCAAUUUCUAGUAGUUCCAACUCCUAGAAAUUGUUCCACCUUUGAUAUUUUAUUUGGUUAGGUCAGGUUGGGUCACCUCAACUUGGGAACCCACCCAACUCCAACAAUAUUUAAGUAUUUAAUAAAGUAAAUGAUUGAAUUACCAUGAACAAGUAUAAUGAUCAAAAUAAAAAUUUUACUCUUUUUUGUUAUAAUAUAAAAUCCAACCUCUAAUUGAACAAAUCAUUUACCAUUUAAAAAUAUUCUUAAUAUCUUCAUUUUCUUUUUGUGUUUUUGAAAGUUCAUUUUUAUUUUAACUAGAUCAAAUAAUAUUUGUAUAAUAAUGCCUUUAACAUACAUUUUUUAUGAGUAACACCAAAUAAACAUCUCAACAAAUAUUAUAUAAGAUGAUCAUUAAUUUCACUAUCUUCAUUUUAUUUAUGUUAUUCUUCUUUAUCCAAUGGGUUUAAUUAUGUGUUGUAAAAUGAACAAGGACCUCUAUAGUUAUAAUCUCACCUAAAAAGUUGGAGAAGUUAUCUCUACAUUUAUGGUUCAUGCAUGAAAUAAAUUGUUUUUGUACUUCCAUCAUCAAAGAUGCAUGUAUGUCUAAGAAUGGCAAAAAAAUCUGUUGUUCUUGUAUUGAACAUUUUUAAGCUUUUCUAAGUCAAACAGAUUAAUUUAAAAUUGUUGGAAAGUUUGAAGUUUGAAAUUUGAAUUAUUCAAAUAUUUGUUGAUUUGAAUAAGUCAUCGCAGACUAUUAAGAUUAGAAGUUAAUUUAUUUGUUUUUAAAUCUUAUGAGAUUAGGAGUUAUUUAUUCAAAUAAGGAUUGAAUAUCCACCAGGUUGUUGGGAUAAGAAUUCUAGUUUCCUUAUUUUUAAGGAUUUUUGAAUUCUAGAGUCAACCUAUAAAUCUUGUUGUAUUUCGUAUUAAAAAUAAUAAUAAGAUUUUUGUGCUUUCUGUUUUUUUUUUUCUACUUCGGCUUCAAAAAUAAUUAUUUUUUGAGCUUAAGAGGUUCAAACACCUAUUCACCCUCUCUAGAUGUUACCUAAACUAGAUCAACUAACUUUUAAUGAGGAAAACUCAAAUCAUAGAAUUUGCUCUUUCAGCCAAUGCAACUAGGCUUAGACAAAUUGAAGAGUAAAUAUCCUUUCAAAUCAACCAACUAACCUUUCAUCCAUGGAGACCUUCUCCAAUUUAAAGAUCAUGAAAACCUGUCAAAGCAUUUCUAAAGAAAAAUAAGAGCAUUGUGUCACGGACUUAGUCUUCUUCAAGUGUUUUGGAACUCACUUGUUUUGGUUGGUUAGGUUCUUGGGUGGUACCUUGGCCAAAUGAGGCCUUAACCUCUUUAUAGGCACCUUAGGAAGUCUCUAGAACCUUGAAGGGUUCCUUACAAAUAAAAAAUAAUCUAGAAGCUCCUACACUAGUCUAUGUACAAGAUGACUUUGGAAGAUUCUAGAACACCCCACACUUUUCCAGUGGUCUCCUAGCCAAGUGUAGAUAUGUGUGGAUAUCUCUAGCAUUUUCUAGAAGCUUCCACACUCUUCUACCUUGUAGGUAAGUGUAGAUGUCUCUAGGGGUGUCUACAAGCUUCCUACCUCCUAUAUAAGCCCAUGAGGAGGGUCAUUUGAAGCAUCUUGUGACAAUUGGCUCACCCUAAGGGUUCCUUGGAGAGGCUUUGAUCUUAAUCUUCUCUAUGAGUUGUUGAAAGGGUCUUUCACAACUGGGAUUGGAUUGGAUGGAGCACUUAUAUGAACUAAAAAUGAUAAAUAUUAUAACUACUCAAAAGACAUUUUCACAGAAUUGCCAACCUGCAGAUCAUUUUUAGUUAACCAAAUCUUAAAACAUUAGUCACAUCCGUGGCCAAAAUUAAGUGAAGGCUAAGCACAGAUAGAAGAGGAUCAUCAGGACGCUCUCCUUAUCUCUACCAAGCUAGCUAACAACCUUGAACAGAAUAUUGCUCGAGCAGUCCAUGGCUACUAUUAAAAGGAAAAACCUAUAAAAAAAUAUGAAGAACAAGAAGCAUAAAAAGAAAAUAUAGGCUAAAAUAAAAUGGUUCAAUUUGGGAAUCAACUGCUACGCAAUAUAUGACUAAAUUCUCAGCUAGAUUCUUAUGAGUUCUAACCCCCAAAAGCAUCAAAUGCAGCAGAAAAUCUUGCAAAAGAGAAACCAGUAAGACAAUAACAAUAUGAUAGUUUCAUCUCUACCUUUCAAGUUUGAGCAUCUAGUGCUGAUGCAUCCUCUCAAUGUAGAAGUGGCUUGCUUCAUUAUAUCAGUAUUGUAAAAAGAAGAGGUGUAAGCUCACCAUAAUCUUUAAUAGUGAAGAAACUUGAAUUCUCAUCGGUAGUGCUGCACUGAAAUUCUGGUUGAUUGCCUUCUUUCUCAUCCUGUUGAUAUAGUAGAUGAACCCCACACUUCUUCACCCCAUAAGAUGGGCCAUAGACUUGGAAUGAAGCCUGAAUUUGACUCAGUUUAUUUAGCCAAUUGGCGUGGCCAAUCCCAAUUCGAGAAAUUGGUUGAUACCCAAGCCACAUGUGAUCUGAUUUAAUGAAUCUGUGCCCUUCAUCCGAAGAAUUCUGGUGUUCUUGAUUGAUGGGAGCAAAAAGGUGACCAGUUUUACCUUGAGUCAAAUUCAAAUGACAAAAUAUAUUACCAGGGCAAUCAUGGACAGCACCCUUAACUACAAAAAUAGCGCACACAGCCAAUCCCAUCAACCUAGUAUACACCAAUUUGGAGGCAGAUGUACCAUUACUGUGAAGCCUAUACUCUGUUGGCUGAACCACUAACGAAUUCAACUUCCAGGAACAAAAGUGCCGGAUUCAAUAUGUGGAGUAUAUGGCACCAUCUGGGUCAUGAAAAUCAAUGUCAAGUUAUAUGGAAAUAAUGUAGGAGUAGUGCUCAAAGGAGUAUAAGAAUUAUUCCAUAGGAUUUAAUUGAUUUACUUUUACAAUAUGAUCAAGAGAGAGAGGAGAGAAACCUGGAUUGGGAAUUGAAAUCUUGGUAAUUUAUUUGCCAGACUUUGCAUUUCCCUUAAUGUAGCUGCCACAAAGUUGCUGCUUUCAUUCUCAGACAGUGAAGCAAUUAGAAAAUGUGAAUCGGAGGCCCCCACAUUCCUUGGAUCUGUAGACACUUGAUGGACACAAAAUGUUUUCCGUAACUGUGCAAUCAGGGGCAUCUAUUUCUUCUAUACUUGAUGGAAGCUCUGGUAAUGAUUGAAGCCUCUUGCAAUAACCCAACCUAAGGCCUUUGAGCUGUGAAAGUUGAUUGAGGCUUGCAGGUAGAGUAACAAAAUUGUUUCUGCUCAGAUCUAAAUAUUCCAACGAGCACAGAGAACUAAAGUCAUUGGGAAUUGCUCCUUCCAAUAUGUUGCAAUCACUUAGAUUUAACUUUCUUAGGGAUCUUAAACCAAAGAAAGAAUGCAGUUGAAAACCCCUAGAGCGUCCGAUUUCUGCGGGCAACAACUGGAAAGAGGGGAGUGAAUUCCUUGGAUUGGAUUCUAGUCCUUUACAUCCCUCAAAUGAUAAUACUUCAAGGUUUUCCAAAAGAGAAAUAGAGGGUGGCAGCUCUUUUAUAGCAGUUCCAGCUGCUUCAAGCUUCUCUAAACCUUGUAGGCUCCCCAAACCCUUUGGCAAAUUGUCUAGUUUUGAGCAACCAGAUAGAAUAAGAGUUUGAAGAGAUUUCAACUUACGAAUGCUAUGUGGAAGAAUUGCAAGGCUUUUGCAUUCUCUCAGAUUCAACAGAACAAGUCCACUUAGAUGUUGGAUUGAUGAAGGUAGCUUUUUUAUAGCAGUUCCAUAUAAGAAAAGUUCCAACAAACUCCCCAUAUUUUCCAAGACUUCUGGAAGCUCUUUGAGUUUUAAGCAAUCUGAGAGAAUAAGAAUUUCAAGGGAUCUCAACUUAUAAAUACAGCUUGGUAAUGACUCAAGGUUUUGACAGUUCCUCAGAUUUAAUAGAACAAGUCCAGUCAGAUAUUCAAUCGACAAGGGCAAUCCUUUUAUUGCAGUGCCCUCCAAGGAAAGCUCUGAUAAAUGUUUCAUGCACCCUUGGACCUAUGGAAACUUCUUGAGUUUCCAGCACCCGGAGAGAGUAAGAAUUUCAAGAGAUUCCAAACAGAUGCUUCUUAGAAAGUUGUUCAACUCAACUUUAACUCAUAUUUAGCUCGACAAGCUGUUCAGGAUGAAAAUUUAAUGGGAGGGAUUUCUGAGGGUAUCCAUGCCAAUAUAGACAUCUUAAGUUGUUUGAUAGAAAUUUGAAGUCUCCAGAAAGAAGCAAUUUACAGUCUUUGAAUUGAUUCAGUUUAUUCAUCCUCGUGCAAGCAUCAGAAUCAGCACAUAACUCUUUCCAAGAAAAAUAUUCAAAGCUUCCACAUAGCAGCAUGUUACAGACUUUGAGCAAUCUUAAUUUGUUCAUCUUCAUGAAGGCAUCAAAACUGAAGUGUAGUUCCUUUGAUGCUGACAAGUCAAGGACUAUGCCUUCAACUACUUUAGUCCCCUGCAAUUAACCGGGAAUAGAGUAUGAAUUGGAAAUUAAAAUCACAAAAUUCUAAAAGGAAAAGCACAGAAAGCAUCAAACUAAUGACUUAUUUUCUUUUUUUUUUAGGCAGUGUUCAAGGAAGCAAGUAAGAAGAUAAAAGAAAAUGCAUCUACUAAGACAGAAACUCAGGGAAAAGUUAGCAAAGGAUUCAAAUCAAAUAAUUCCCCCAGCUUUAUAUCUGCCUUUGCAUAAAUAUGCAAUACCUUAUUAAAAUUGUACAUAUAUGUGAGUUUCUCAAAUGAGUUGAAAUUAUCCAAACUUUCUCUUCACCUAGAGCUUAUAUAUACAAAAAGAGAACACACACAUACAAAGCUCAUGUAUUUAUUUCUUACUGUGUUUCUAGUUAAUGCAUCACUGACAUCUUCAUGAAUCCAGAGUCUGUUGUGUUUUUCAGGAUAUUUAAGAGAUUCUUGCCAAACAAUUUCCCAACCCAUUUCUUGUAACAAAUCAUACAUGCACAACUUAUUAUCUGAAACAAUUAUGAGUGACUUAUCAAUGAGAACCCUUAUUCCAAUAUCCGGAAAGAAACCACAACUCGCUAGUAUUUCUGUGACAAAAUCUUUGUCCUCCCAUUUACAAAAGCAUGCAAUAUCGAGAAAUAUAUCUCUCUCUUUGUUGUCUAAUCCAUCAAAACCCAUUUUAAGCACAUUCUGAAUUUCCAUGUUAGGAAUUCUUUUUAGUUUGUCCAAUUCACUUUUCCAUUCAUGUAUGCUCUUGCUAUACAAAAAAGCACCCAAGACUUUAAGAGCUAAGGGAAGGCCCUUACUAUAAUGUAUUACAUCAUAGCAAAGCUGCAUAUAAUCUUCUCCAGGGUCGUUAUGUUUAAAGGCAUACUGACAAAAGAGUUGAAAAGCUUCACUAUCCUCUAAUCCCCUAAAUUCAUAAAUUGCGCUGACUCAAUGUGUAACAAGCAAAUGCUUUUCUCUGCUUGUUAUAAUAAUUCUACUUCCUGAACCAAACCAAUCAUGGUUUCCUGCUAAAUAUUCUAACCGUUCCAAGUUAUCCACAUCAUCAAGAACAAUAAGAAUCCUCUUAGAGUGGAGUCUAUCCUUUACAAAAUUGAUUCUUGUAUUGGAAAUUCCUAAAUUUGGAUUUCCAUCCUUCAAUAUCUUUGAGAGAAGUUCCACUUGUAAAUGACCCAGACCACGUUUUUAUGAGCCUUCUCUAACAUUUUCAAGAAAACAGCAACCCUCAAAUUGAGUGUAAAUUUGCUCAUAAAUAGCUCUAGCAAUAGUUGUCUUACCUAUGACACCCAUGCCCCAAAUUCCUACACUUCGAACAUUAUCCAACCCAAUACACAACGGUGAAUCCAUUCCAACCAGCCCUUCAGCAUAGCACGAGGAUGUACCAAUCAAUUUAUUAGAUAUAUCUGUGACAAGUUCCUCAAUAAGUAUAGAUUCAUGCUUGCAAAUUUUGAGGAAAAAAACUAAUCAUUUAAUGAAUUCAAGGAUCCAUUAAAAAAACAAAAGAGAUAUUAGAUAAAUCAUCAGCGAUUUAGUCUUGUUUUUUGUAACUUAAAAGUCAUAUGGCAAGCUUAUAUCUCAGAUUUUUUCCAGUGUAAGUGUGUGUGUGUGUGUGGGAGAGAGAGAGAGAGAGAACUGUAUUGCUAUCUAGACAGACAGACAAUCAAACUAGAUUAUAAUAGCAAGCAUCUGCCGCACUUCGUAGUAGUCUGCAUGAGGAACUUCUCAGGAUAGAAAUACUAGAAAAGCCAGUGGAUGCAUGUUUAAGACUGCAGUAGCAUUGAUUGAUAGUAGGAUUACUAAUUCCAAGUUAAGCAUAUUGGCAGGCAAAAAUUCUCUUCCAAAUGGUUGAAAAAAUUAGGGAUUACCAUCCAAAAGGUUUUAAAAGCAUGACUAUCCAAUGGGGUUGGGGGACACUACUUAGGCAUGGAAGAGAGAAUGCCAAGAGGUCAUUGGAAAUGAAGAAAAAGCAUUAAUCCAAGGUCAACUUACCAACGGAAUAAAGCACACUAAGGGCAAAUAUGCUCAAGAUAAGGUAAAAGGUUUUACAGUGUAGUCAUAACAUUCUUGCUCAAUGUGAUAAGGACCGACCAAUGUGUAGCUUCAAACACCUUCAGCAGAAAGGAGGGAAAGGGUCAUUCAUAUUAUGGUCAAGUGGGUUGAAAUCACAAUUUGAUGAGGGUCGAGAAAAGUUUGAUGUGUUGGUGGAUUGGAUCCAAGUUAUUCCAUCUUCAUAAUUUUGAUCACAGUCAUGGAGAGAUUUCCUUGCAUAUGUGAGAUCAAGUUCAUCUAAAAAUCAUUCAGUCAUAGGCAGCAAAAUACAACUUAAUCCAUACAUGGGUUUAAGUCAAAUCAUCUUGGAUCAAUCUCUCUAUUGAUCAUCCUAUGAUUUCCAAUUUAUAUGGCUAUGCAAGCUUUAAAGUUUCAGCAUCAUUACAUCAUACACCUAAAAGGCAAAGGAAAAAAAAUUGCAGUUAAAAAUACCUAGCUCGAGAAUCCCAUCCAGAAAUAUUGGCAGCUUCUGUCAAAGCCACUCUCCACUUGAUCACUUUCUCCAUCUGCUCCUUAUAAACCUCUUCAUGCUUAGCAAAUGCUUGUGCAAAACUCCCUGUCUGUUUCCUCACAUGAGAGGGAUCCAUAUUGUAGAAAACUGGUAAAGCUGCAUGUCCCAUCGCCAUGGUGCAGUCAAUAAUCUUGACAAGUUCCUCCAGACACCAUGUUGAAGAAGCAUAGUUUUUAGAGAAAACGAUGACGGAGAAUCUGGACUCUUCGAUGGCUUUUACAAGUGCUGGAGAGAUCUCUUGCCCUCUUCUGAGCUGGUCAUCCAUGAAAGUCUUGACUCCUCUUUAACACAGAGCUCUAUGAAGAUGGUCAGUAAAGCUUCUGCGGGUGUCUUCCCCUCUGAAACUCAGGAACACGUCGUACUUCCAUUGAUGCGUAGAAGGUGAAGAUGAAGAUAAAGAAGCCAUUAAAUUGGAAAUUUGAUAGCUUAAUUGUGGGACAGAAUUAUAAGUGAGUCAGAGAAUGAAUAAAGACUAAACUGAACUGAAAAGAAAAUUAUAUAUGGCUUGACAUGCAAAUAGCAAAUCACUAUGUGCCCAGAAGUUUCUUGUGAUUUUCUUGUGAGCUGCCAUCGAAAAGGCCAGCUUCUAAUAACUUACAAAAUAAAUUUGUUUGGGCCGCUUAGCUUUAUCGUUAGGAAAGUCUUCACAUCCAACUUUUGAUGUAGGUUUACCUUUUUUUUUUUUCAAAUAUUUGCCACCUGUCGCUUGGACAUUGGAGGGAAGUUUUCCAAGUACGAAAACUAGAUGAAACUUUGACCGGCAAAGAAAACGAAAAAGACCUUAAGGAAUUAGAAAAUAUUAUCUUUCAUAUUAAACUUAUCUUUUUGUAAAAGCUCUCUACAAUUAACUAUGUGUUAUCAUAAAGCAUUAUUUAGGCUAUGUUACAUUCUUGGAAAUAAAUAAAAAAAUGUAAGAAAAACAAAAAAGAAAUAAAAUUUAAAAAUUAUUUUUUUCAUUAAUAUAAAUUAAAUAAUUUAAAAUACCUAAGUUUUUUCAAAAUUUUUAGUCAUGGUAGUGGGCCUUUGAUCAACCAAAGAUAGCCCAUCCAUCAUUGGCCAAAGUGAAGCACAACAACCUUAUAUUGGUGAUGUCACAUAGCAAUUCAUUAUUCAUUAUUUUGUUUUCAAACACACAAUAUCAAGAUUUGAGCGUGGGUCUUUCACAAUAUCUUUUAUAUACUAAUAAUUGUAAAUUAAUUACAAUAAAAUUAUUACAAAUAAUUUAAUUUUAAUUAUCUUAUUAUGUCUCUUAUAUAGUGAUUAAAUAUACGACAAUUAUAAAUUUAUAAAUCAAAUUAUUAACAAAUGUUUCCUAAUUCGGUAUAUUAUUGUUUAAUAUUACAAAUUUAUUAUACAUUUAUCAAUUUUUCUUAAAACAAUUUCAAUAUAUAUAUAUAUAUAUAUAUCAGAAUUUUCAUUGAUAUUUCUUUAUAUAUCUAUAAAGUCCAACUAAUGAUAUAUCGGUAAAAAUCAAUAUUUUCAUUCUUACUUAACAUAAGAAAGAAAAUUAUUCAAAUGGUGUGUAAAUUAAUGUGACCUCCUGAUGACAAUGACAACAACAACCAUGAGUCAUAGUUAAUGCACGUGUGUGGUAAAUUAACUUAGUGUUUGACAAAAUAAUUAUUUAUUAUUACUUAAAAUUUAAAAAAUAAAUUUAAAUAUUAAAUCAAAAUAAUUAACUUAUUCUAAAUACUAAAUUUUUUUAUUCUCUGUGUUCAUAUUUGGUGAUAAUCAUGCUUUAUUUUAAGAAUUCUCUUUUUUUUUUAGUCAAUAUUUUGUAGUUAUUUUGUAGUUUCACAAUAGUACUUUUUAAUAUAAAUGUUUAACAAGCUUAAGUUUAUGAAGAAAAAAUAUUAAGAAAAAUUAAUGAGUUUAAAUAUAUCAAUAUAAUAACUUUAAAAAUAUUAAGUUGAUUUUACCAAAAUUAAAGUAAAAAUAAUUCUUCUUAAAAUUAAUUUCAAUAAUUAAGUAAUAAGGAUUAAAUUUCAUCAUACACUCUCUUAAUUAAUAAAUGACAUAACUUCUUUCAACAACUUCUUCAUUCUACUUUUGAAAAAAUAAAAUAAAAUAAAUUUUAAAAUUAACGUGAUAUUUAUUUAUUUAUGUCUAAAAUUUAAAUAUACUUGAAUUUGACUUAAAUCUAAAUAUAGCUUGAUAUCGUUAAGUGUUUAGACUAUUUUUUUUUUUUUACUAGUGUUUAAAUAUUAUUAACCGUUAAAUUGUUAUUUUUAUUAAUAUCAAAAUAUGUGAAGUGUUAAAUUUAUUUAUUUUUGGUUAAAAAUUUAUAAAAGUAAUUAUUAUAUUUCUUCUUAUUUUAAUUUGAAAAGUUAUAAUUUAACAAAAUAGUAAUUUAAUUAACACAUCUAAAAAUAUUAUAAUACAUUAUCAAAGUAAAAAUUUUAUAAUGAUAAUUAUGUAAUUAGUAAAUUAUAUUAUUGUACAAUCCAUUGUUCCAUGUCAUAUAUUAUAGCAUAACUAUGCAUACCCAUCAGUGCAUAGACAUACAUCUUUUGAUAAUCUAUCAUGAAUGUCUCGUGGACUCUAAGUGAAGUAUGUAGCUAUUAUAGUAUAAAGAUGGUGUAGGAAGAGGCUCCAAGUUUACUAGUUCACACUCAACCACAGCAAUAGGGAAUAUAUUGCACAUUAUUUCCAUCUAAAAGAAAGGUAGAAAAGACCUUAGGAAUGGAACUUUUAGAUAACACCUAAGGGUAGCAAUGAGAUGAGUCUAAGAAGGAUCACUUCAAUCUCAAUCUUAUGUCAUUUGUUUAUAUUAAAUGGGGUGAGAUAAGACAAAAUCAUAUUCGCACCUGUCUUGAACUUGGUCCGAGGGCAAGAAGGGUCUCUAAAAAAAUCAGUCUCAUUGUCAUUCUUAGGUAUGCAUCUAUACCAAUGAAAGUUUUUACAUCUAUUAAAAAAUUCAAUGUUCUUGAUAUUAAUUAACUUCACCAAACUACAUACACUUAAUAUCCAUGAAAAAGUGUCAAAAUUCUCAACUAAUCAAUGACAUAAACUACAAUCAAGUUUAGUACAUCGUGACCCUAAAAUACCUCCAAACCCCAUUUCUUGUAGAACCCCCUUCUAAUUAGGUUGCAAGUGUUGAAGUACUUUAUACACCUAAUUAGGCGAACAACAAGUGUCAAGAUAAGACUGCAAGCCAUACAAAUACAUAUGCAUAUAAAUUUAAAAUUGAAAGAAAAUAUUAUCAAAUUUUUAAGUAUUCUAUGACAUAUUUUAAAUAUUUCUUACACAUGAAUUUCAGGAACGAGAAUAGAACCUCCAUCUCCAUAUGAAAUAAAGAGCAAGUACUUGGAAAUGAAGUAUGUUGAAAUGGAAGCUUAUAUGAACCAACAAAGAGAAAAAUAGAAUGCUUAUGGGUGCACAAUAAUGUUUGAUGGAUGGACAGGGCCCAUAAAAUUAAGUAUAAUUAAUUUCAUGGCCUAUUCAACAAGAACCACGGUGUUCCUUAAGUCAGUUGAUGCAUCUAACAAUAUUAAAGACCACAAAUAUAUAUACAAGCUAUUAAAGAGUGUUAUCAAAGAUGUUGGGGAAGAAAAUGUGGUCAAAUUGUCAUAUAUAAUGGGACGGCAUUCGUGAAAGUAGGCAAACUAUUGAUGAAAAAGUUUAACUUAUAUUGGACUUUGUGUGCGACGCACUGCAUCGACUUAAUGUUUGAAGACAUUGGCAAAAGAACAAGUGUUGCAGAAGUGAUAAGCAAUGCCUGUAAGAUAACCAACUUCAUUUACAACCAUGGUUGGUAACUUGCACAAAUGAGAAAGUUUUGUGGUGGAGACAUUGUUCGACCUAAAGCUACGAGGUUUGCUACUAACUAUAUUGCUCUUGAUAGUCUUCUUAAAAAAAAAAGGGUUGAUUUAAAGAAAUUGUUUAAGAGUGAUCAAUGGGCACAACAGAAGCUGAAUCGGAUAAAAAUCGGUCAAGAAAUGGAGAAAUUAAUGUUUGACCAUCCGUAUUGGGACAAAGUGACAAAAGUGGUUUCAUUAUAUGAGCCACUAUAUGUGGUGCUUCUUCUUGUAGAUUCAGAAGUUGUUCCCACAAUGCCCUUUGUGUACGAUCUUAUGCAAGUGAUGAAAGAAAAUCUCAUUCGUCAACAAGCUAGAGAAUGGAUGUUUGAAAUAAUAAAAGGUCGUUAGGAGAAAACACUAAAACAUCCACUUCAUGCAGUAGGUGAUUAACCACUAUCCAUCUUCAUAAGUUCUUAGUCUUGAUGUUAUAUAAUUUUUUUCUCCUAUAAAAUACUAACUUUACUUAAUUUUAUUAUAGCAUAUUUCUUGAAUCCAAGGUUUCAAUACAGACGUGGAGUUGGUAGCGAUCCCGAACCGCUCCAAGCAAUCCAUGACGUUUUUGUGAAAUUAGACCCAAUUGCUGAAUCGCUUAGUCAAUUUGGAAAUGAGGUAAACUAAAAAUAUUUUAUUAAUCAAUUUAUUUGAACAUUUACUAAAAAUAUUAUAUUCACAUAUUGAAUAUUGAAUACAUAGCUUGUACUUUUUCGAGACGCGAAAAAAUGAUUCAGUGAUUGAGCGACGAUUGUCGUAAGGUCAACCAUGGUUCCUGGUGAGUAUUAUUUCUUAAUAGAAAACUAAAUUUAUUAUCAUUAUUGUAAAUUCACAACAUAAGUAUUUAUAUAAUUAUGAAUUUGGUUGUAAUUGAAUGGUGGUUCAUGUAUGAAAAUCAUACACCGACAUUGAACAAAUUGCCCAUCAAAGUUCUUUCAUAAACUGUAUCAUCUUCUACCUGUGAAAGAAAUUGGAGCACAUUCACUCUCAUUCACACAAAGCAAUGAAAUCAUCUAGCUUACCCUCGAUUGUAACAAUUAGUUUUUUGUUAUUACAAUAUGAAGCUAAAGCUGCGUGAUGUGGAGGUAGAAAAUGAUAGAGUUGUUGAGAAAGAUUACCUUGAUCUCCUUGACAUUUCAAUCGAAAUGGGUGAAGAAGAGGAUAAUCAAUUGUUCCAAUGGGUUAGGCCUCUACACUUGGAUGAUGAAAUCAGAAAUCCUAAUCCACGGAUUGUCGCUCAUGCUCGAGAAUUUGGUGUUGACGUUGAUCGAGUGAUGUUUGAAGAAGUUCAUAGUGAGAGUUUUAGCAAAGACAUUGAUGAUUCAUUUGAGGUAGCAUUGAAUUCACAUCCUUCUGUUAACUCCACAAACGUUGGGUGAAGUAGUAGACCUAGUGCUGCUGGUACUUCUGCUUCUGGUUACGAUGGUUCAAGAGGUAGAAUUGAUGAUGAAGGUGAUAAUGCGGGAGGAGAUGUUGGGCAACAACAACAAAGUCAAUAUCCAAUGAGCCCAUUCACCUAUGAAGAUGAUUUCACACAUUGCACCCAAGAUGAAGACCAUGACUCUAGAAAAGUUGGUCCAAGCAUAGGAGCUAUUGGGAAUUCGUAUAGAGGAAGAGAACAGACGAUGGCACCACCAUUUAAUGAGCAGUUAUUUUCAGCUAGUUUUGAGUCUAUAAGUAUAAGGACUCAAUUUAGUGACUCAUCCAAUGAGGUUAACGUUUAUCCUCCUUAUGUGAUGGUUUAUGGUCAACCUUUAAGUUCAAUGGAUGAAGAGUAUGGUAUGCCUAGUCAUUCUCCUUCUACACAAAUGUCAUAUGACUCAUAUCACAUUCCAUGUCAGAUGCAAGGAGGAUUUGACACAAGCACAUGGGUGAACCUAAAGUAUCCCAUCCAUGUGGAGGCAGUGGGUAAGACUCAAGAGAUCUAUGCAUGGCAUCUUCGGAUUUUUAAUCAAUACUAUCGAGACUCAUUAACUUGGUACCAAUAUUGUCUCCAACAACAAGAUGGGAUUCCUUCAUCUAUCAAUUCCAUUGAAUCACAUCGGUCAUCAUUUUGGUACUAAAGGUUCAUUACAUAAUAUGUAUAAAUUAUUGAUAUUUAAUGAAAUCAAAUCUUUCAUCUAGCUUCAUAAUGAGUGUACACUUACAAAAUUUACAUUUUUUAUCGAUCCGACCCGAAAUCAUUAAAUUUAAUAUCGAAAAUCAUAUAUACAUAUAUCAAUUUCUUCAACAAAGCAACUUUAAAAUGUUUAUUAUACUUCUAAAGAUAUAUCUAAUAGGUUUUUUUUUUUUUUUUUUUUUUUUUACAUUUCCUUGACUUUUGAUCACUUUUUGGUCUAUCUAUAUUUUGUGUCAAAAUAUCCAUCGAUAUAUUUAUGAUAUAUCUGAUAUAUCUGUAAAAUCGAAGUAUCGAUAUAUCCGUAAUUAUCGAUAUUUUUAUCCUUGGUCCCCACUCAAUAGUAAGACUCAUUUUUAUUGGUGAAAAAAUAGUUUUGGAAAAGUUAGAGUCUUGAAAAACUUGAGUCUUGGUCCGAGGAUCAGGUUACCUAUUAGGAAGGUAUCUCUAAGAGGUAGCACCCCUCUAAACCCUAAAGAGGUCUCUAAUGACUAAGUCAUGGGAAAAGUGUCAAUUAAUCAAUUGAUUGAAGGUACCUAGGUAGGCUAAGGUGAUUUCAAAACUAGCAUGCCAAAAAAGAAAUCAAAUCACAAUCGUAAAGGACGAUUAGGAUAUGUGCCUGGAAUGCCUCUCAAGCGCUAUCAUAAGAUAUCAAAGUUAGCAUGGAAAUAUAGUACACAAUAUGUAUUUAAUCAGAGCAAAUCGAACAAACAUCUAGGCACCCAAGGAUGGAAUCAAACAUAAAUAAGGCUCACAACAACAUGCAUGUUCAUAGAAUUCCGAAAAGUAAGUGAUAGAGAGCGUACCUGGAUAGCAUGCAUAAUUUAUAAGAUUUCUCCAAAAAUGCUAGAGUGGUUAGGAAAAGUAUAAAUUAUAUAACAUAUUUAUUAUGUCUAAUAUACAGUACCAAAUCCAAAAUUGAGCCAAGGUAAGUCAAAUGACUCCAAAAAGAAUAACAAUUUCAAGCAAAGUACAAGGUCAUUAUCAUGCAAUUAGAAAAGGGAAUAUCACAAAACAAUUUCUAAAGAAUGUCUUGGAGUGGAAUUUAAUUACAAAAAAAUUCAAGAAACAACUCUUACACAUCUAGAACAACAUACCAAAAUCCAAACACUCAUUCAAAUGAUAGAUUGUAACAAAGAUAACCAAAAGUUCCAAAAGGUCCAGAUUAGGUAAAAAAAAGUGGCAUGCAUGAACGAAUUUUAUAAAAAAUAAUAAGAGAUCACAUAAAAUCAUACAAAAAAUCACACACAUCUUUCAAAGUGUCUAUGGCAUAGGAAAAAGAAAUUCAGGGUCGGGUAGUACUCAAAAAUAUUUUUAAUACACUCCAACUAAUCAAAUGUCCAGAUUCCAUCAUGUACAGUAGGUACAAUUUUGAAAAAUCACAUCUCCCUCAAAAAAGCAUAUUUUUUAAUAUUUUAUAUGUCUAAGAUCAAUUUCAUGAAGUUUAGAAUUAAGAAAAAAUAUUGAGUCAAAUUCAAAAAGUCAUCUAUUAUCUUAUUUAUACAGAAAUAUUUCGGGUGUCUAGAAUUAGGUGAAAACAGAGCCCUCCUAAAAACUCAUUUAUAUCUUCUAUUCCAUAAUUGCUUUCUAACUUAAACAAAAUUUUAAAUUCAAAUUCAAGAAAUGAAGAAAAUCAUUCAAGUUUUAGAUUUUUUUUAAAAAAAAAUAUUCUGAAGUUGCUUAAAUGAAUUUUAAAUUUAAAGGGUCAAUGGUUGAGUGAAAACUGGCAGCAAGGAAGAGUCUUGAAAAAUUUUCUUAUGUAGGGGUUCCACCAUUUCCCCAAUUGAUAUACAUGAAUCUAGCCUAGAAUUAUCCCAUUUAUUUGGGACCACAAGCUUGAACUCAUGUCUGACUCAAAACCAUAAUUUUUAUUGAAAAUUGAGAAAGAUGUGAACUGAUUAAGACAUGGUUGCAUAUUAUUUAAGAAAAUGAGAUUUUGAUUCUAAGAACUCUAAAUGAAUUUUUUAAAUAGAUUUUCAAAGGGAUCUUUUGAGAAAUAUAUUUAUUUUAAAAUCAAAGAAAUUAAUUUGAAAACAACAAAACAUAAGAAACAAAAUACCAAGCAAAAAAAACAAAACAAAACAAAACAAAAUCACAAAGUAAAAAUUUUGACAACCAAGCAAACUAAAGUGGUAAGAAUGGAGGCCAAUCUUUGCUAUUUUCUGAUUGCCUCCGAAGAUUAAAUUUGAUAAAGAACUAUCAAAUAAUAAACUAUUAAGACUUAGAUCAUACAAGUUAAUGAAAAUAUUCAUCAAUAAUUAACAACUAGGAUUCAAGAAACACCUAAAUUGAGAAUAACAAAUCAAGGACUAGCACGGGGUUAGCUAAACACAAAAACACAUCUAGACUAAAAAAUAAAUUAAAAUUGAACUAAAUCGAAAUUAAAAACAUAAACUUUAUCUAAUAAGAUUAAUUAAACUAUUGAUUAAAAUCACAAACACAUCUAAACAAAUUAAAAUAAAACUAAAUGGAAAUCAUAAAUAUGAACUUUAUCUAAUAGGAUUAAUUGAACUAUUGAAUUAAAAAUCACAAAUUCAUCUAAACUAAAAAAUAAACUAAAACUAAACUAAAUCGGAAUUACAAACGUGAACUUUAUCUAACAAGAUUAGUUAAACUAAUGAAUUAAAAAUACUAAUACAUUUAAACUAAAAGAUAAAUUAAAACUAAACUAAUUUGGAAUUAAAAAUAUAAACUUUAUCUAAUGGGAUUAUUUAAACUAAUGAAUUAAAACCACAAACACACUUAAACUAAAUGAUAGGUUAAAACUAAGUUAAUUCGGAAUUAAAAAGAAAAAAAAAAAGAAAAAAAAGCAUAAACUUUAUCUUAUAGGAUCAAUUAAACAAUCACCUAAAAGUCCGAAAAACACAUGAAUUGAAAUUGGACCAAACAAGAAUCAAAGUUAACAUACUUAAAAAGUGAAUAAAACAACUUUGGGUCAACUAGACUAACUUAUUAAAAUUUCUAAAAAAAAUGAAAUACAAAAUGAAAAUUGCAUCAAUUAAGAAUUAAAGUUAAAAAAAUAACCUAAACUUCAUUCCAAUAUUUAUUAAUCAAAACUAAUAAGAAAAACUCUAACUUUCAAUCUAAUAAAAAAUUAAAACUAAAAUCUAGAAAUUCCAACUUACCUUCUCUAGAAUUCCUCUAUGGUGGUGCGACUGCUGCUCUCUUCAGUUACAGGCUUGUGCGUGUUAUAGUGGUAUGCGAUUGUCUUCAAUCGCAACCCGUGGGGAAGAGUCCAUCUAUGGGCUGUUGAAAGAUCAGAAUAUAUGGCAUGUUGCUGGUUGUAGUUCCCGUGAGUGUGUGGCCUUAUUCCUCGCCAAAUUCUAAUGGUCGAUCCCUCUUGAUGGUGCAUGCUAGUGUUCAAUGGUGAAUGUGUCAUGGCUACCUCCUUCCAUUUUUAUUUUAUUUUUUAUGAUGAAUACAUGCUCUCCUAUGGGAACAUAUGGUAGCCUUGCCAAAGUCUGGUUUGUGCGGGUUCUUCCUUUUGAAGGCGACGUGUGUGCAUCCCUAAUCUUCCUUUUGUGCACCUUGUUUUCUUUCUUAAAAAUAUGUGAAAAAGACUCUCAUUAGUAGCGUGUGAUUCCCCUAGAGAAUGCCUGGAGAUCUAUUCCUUUUUUGGUGUGUCCAGUGUUUAGAAAGUGGCCUCAUCCUUCCAUAUGUGGCUGCAUGAUCAUCUUUUCUAUAUUACUUGUUGGAAAUUCUCCCCAAUUGUGGCUGUUGCAUCCUCUAAUGGACGGUUGUUCCUCUUUUAAGGCAUGAAUUCUAUCCAUUUUAACAUAGAGAAUCCUAUAAAAAAAAUCCCGUGAAUAUCCACUCUUGCCCCCAAAGACCGUGAACUACUUUCUAAAAGAGAAGUUCCCCUUUCAAAAUUUCUAAUGUCUUCCAUAUCCAAAAUUGGCAGACCACAUCUCCUUAAUCUUCUAUUUCCCCAUUCCCUUUAAAUUUCAUCCAUGAAGAGUAUCCAUCAACACCAUUGAAUCUCACCCGCAUAUACAACCACUUGAAUUCCUUUCAAUUCUCUACCGAAUUCAUCCAUAAAAGUCAUCUUAAAUAGCCACUGAAUUCCUUUAGAUUCACCAUUGAAAAUUUAGCUACCCAAGGUUCCAUCCAAGCCGUGAAGAUCUCAUGCAAAAUAAUAAUAAUAAUAAUAAUAAUAAUUAAUUAAUUAAUUAAUUAAUUAAUUAAUAACAAUAAAAAUAAAAAUAAGAAAUCAUGCAAUUUAAGAUGAAAAUAAAAAUAAUCAAUCAGGCAUACGUAAGAUAAAUUAGAACAUCAAUCCAUGCCAUUAGGAAAGAAUGGAAUCAACCUCACCCAAUUUCCUAGAAAAAAGAUAAAUAAGUAAAUAGACUAAAUAAAUAAAUAUAUAAGUAUCAAUUCAUGCAAUUAGGAAAACUAAAAUCUCAAUUCUCAUGCAAUUUUCUAAAAAAUGAAUAAGUAAAUGAAUAAAAGUAAUAAAAAUAACAUAAAAUAAAAAAUCAAACACAUACUAGUCAUACAAGCCAUGCAACCAUACUUGAAAAGUGACCUAAGCAAGACUAGGUAAACCUAAGUGGGCCAAGACAUGCCAAAAUGAGCCUAAGUGAGCCUUGGUGGGCCUAAGUGAGCCUAAGUGAGCCGAAUGUAUCUAAAUGAGCCCAAUGUGCUAUCCUAAAAGUAUAUCUAAAUGAGCUGUUAAAAAAAGAAAGGAAAAUCCUAAGCCUAACUCAGGGCUACCAAGGGUCACAAUGGAGUUAGAUAAAUCUCUCAACCAAAGUCUCCAAGGUGGCUAAAAAAGGUAAUAGUAUGAGUAGCAAUGAACCACCAAAGAACUACAGUGGAGCACUGGAAGUGAACUUAAAGACAUGUGCUAAAGGGGCAAAAUGGAGGGUCUACACAUCUUCCAACAUUUGAUAUAAAUCUGUAAAAAUUAAGAGAAAAAUAUUUUUAAAAACAAUAUAUUAAGCCUAAAAAUAGGGACUUAAUAAUAAAAUAAAGUAAAAAGAUAAAAUUAAAACCAAAUAUUAAAUAUGAAUAUAGUUUAAGUAUUAAAAGUAUUAUUAUUUAGGUUUAAUCAUUGGGUUUAUUAGAGGUGUUUAUAUAUAUUUCUUUUUUUUUAAUCCCUAUUGAUAUUAAUUAAAGUGAAUUUGUUAUCAAUAGAAUUAAUUUAGUUAUGUUGGUUGAUGUCAACAAGUUAUUUGUAACUAAAUAGAAAAAAUCAAAUAUUUUACUUUUUUUUAUUUAACUAAAAAACAGUCAUCAUCUAAAAUUUUAGAUAAUAUAAACAUUUGACUAGAAACAAACUUCAUAUGGACCAUUGUCAAAUACCAUGCACAGGGAGAAAUCUGGAUCCUCACUUGCUCUUUGAUUCUAAUGUAUUAAAUUUUAUUUUACCUAAAACAAAAUUGUAUUUCAUGUCCUUUAUUAUGAGUGGACAACCAUUUCUUAUGUUAGUUUUAAAUAAAGAACGAAUAUUGAAGAUUGAAGUUGUAAGAAAUUAGGAGAAAAAUUAGGAGAUCCUAAUUUUAAAUAUGUAACAAAGUUCUAUAAUAACUUCAAUCCACGUUUUAAAAUUUGUAUUCCUUUCUAAUAUGGGAGCAAACUUUUCUUUAAUUCUUAUAAAUUUCAUUUGGAAAUGAUUUAAAAAUAAAUAAAUAAAAGCCCUUCUAAAUAUUAAAAAAAAAAACACUUUCUUAUAAAAAUUAAUUAGGUGGUAAGGUCAAAUUUGGGAUAGCUUGUUAUUUUUUGCCUUAACUAAAAAUUAAAAUCGGUAUUAAAGUAAUAAUUUUUAAAGGAUAAUGUUGAUGUUGUAAAAGUCUUAUUAAACAUGAAAUAACUUCUUAUGUAAACAAAAAUAGAAUUAUAAAAUUGUUAUAAGCAAUAACAUUUUUAUGACUUCUAUAUGAAACCCUUUUUAAAAGUUAUAGUUUUUUUUUUUUUUUUUAAAGAAAGAAUUAAAUAGGUAUAAAAACUUUUAUUCAAAUUAAUUUUUUUUAACUCUUAAAAGUCGAUCCAAAUAAAAUUUAAAUAUAUUAGAAAAUUACUUUGAAAAAUCCAAAAAAUCACUUAAAAAUAAUUUAUGAACAUUUUUUUUAUUUUACGUUUAAAUGCUUAAGUAUUUAUUUUUAAAAUCAUUUAUAAUGUCAAAAUAUUUUUUUAUGGAUACAAACAUUACAAAUAAAACAUUUUAAUCCCAAUCAAUGUCAAAGCAUUUUUAAUUUAAUUUUUAAUUCAUGAAAUUUCAUUUAUUGUUAUUUAUUUUUUUGGGAUUUAGUUCUUUACAAUUAUUUUUAAGUGAUUUUUUGGAUUUUUCAAAGUAAUUUUCAAAUAUAUUUAAAUUCUUUACAAUGGUCAAUGAAUAAUUUAUUAAUUUAUUUCUUAAUUCAAUGGCAUUGGAAUCUCAGCUGGAAUAUUCCAAGUCCAUAAAACCAAAGUUUAAUUAUUUAAUCUUUUUUUAGCACACCACUCAUGACCCUACAACUUUCCUACCAACUUAAUUUGUUGACUUGGAGUUGGAGAGUUCGGCCAAUUGCAGCAGCUUAGUUGUCUUUUCUCUAAACCAUAAAUUCAAAUGAUCAGGUCCUACGUUUUAAUUUACAAAAACCAAUUAUUUGUUUUUACUAAUUUUAAUUUAAGAAAGCAGGAAAGGGUUUAAUUUAAUGUAAAAUGAAAAAAAUAAAAAAUGAGAGUUGACAAGUAAUCAAAUCACUAAGAAAUAGAUUUGGAGUUCUCUCGGAGUGAGGUUAGACUCAAUUUAUGCCUAUGCAAUGGAAAUGGAGAUUUUUUUUUUUUCCCUUUAUCUUGGGGUAGAUCUUGUGAUAUUAUUACUAAAAUAGAAGGUAAAAAUAUAAAUUAUAUACCAAGUAUUUUAACUUUAGGAAAAAACACUUAUUUUAAUUUUAAAUAAAUAAAUAAAAAGAAUUGAUUUUAUCUCAAUUGUAUAAGACUUCAUAAAAAUUAUCUUAUUUGCAAAAUAUUUUCAGAUGUAAAAGUAAAAAAAUUAAACAAACCAUUUCAUGAUUUUUUCACUAUUAUCCAUUUAGAUCAAAGUUUAAUUUUAAAUUAUUAGAAUAAGUCAAUUACUCUAAAUUGUAUCAUUUAUAAUUUUUAUAAUUAUUAAUAAGAUACCUAACCUUCUAGAAUUGGAAUAAAAUAUGGACAAGUCAAAAAAUGUCAAAUCAAGAUAAUUAAAAACUAUCCCAUUUCAAACUUUUCUAAUACAACAUGAUAUUUUAUCAUGUCCAAAGAAAUCGUAAUGGCCAAAAGUUUUCAAAUCAAGAUAUAUCUAUUGUGGACAUGGAAUUGGGAGGCUUCUUAGCAUUGUACUGGUCUAUUUAAUGAAUUCUUCAUAUUGAAAUUAAUUAAGGUUGAAACAGGAACACAACAUCAAAUUCUCUUUUUCAUAAUCAAAGACUUCCAUGGAAAAUUCCACCAUAGCAUACGUCAAAGAUUAUUCAAAUUCCAUUAUCUUUAUAGUCGUUUAACAAUCCAAGAAAUUGACAGUAAUAAUCCUAGACACAAUAUUCUGAAAAUUUACAUUAUUCUUUUUAUCUUAAUUGAGUAGAAAAUAAAUCAUGCAAGCUGAAUAAUACGAAUAUUCAAUGAAAUCUUUGGCAUGUUAUUUCUUUGUAACUUCAACAUGGUGGCAUGUUUGAUGGAGGAGGCAGCAUUUGAGCUUUUGAAUGUUUACCAUUUUUCACUAUGAACGCAGUUUCCAUAUGCCAAGGCAGAUGGUGUUCUACAUGGCAGUGCAUGAACCACACUCUUGCAACAAAAAUAUACCAACAUUACACCUAAAUUGUAAUAUUAAGAAAAAUUAUAAUUUUUUUUUUUCCUUUUUUGCCUUUUCCUUCAUCUUGGCAUAGAUCUUGUUAUAUUGUUACUAAAAUAGAAGGUAAAAAUAUAAAUUAUAUACCAAUUAUUUUAACUUUAGGAAAAAGUGCUUAUUUUAAUUUUAAAUAAAGAAAUAAAAAAUAAUUGAUCUUAUCUCAAAUAUACAAGACUUCAUAAAAGUUAUUUUAUUUGAAAAAUAUUUUUAAAUUUAAAAGUAAAAAUUAAACAAACCAUGACCUUUCUCACAAUUAUCCUUUAUAUCAUAGUCUAAUUUUAAAAUAUUAGAAUAAGUCAAUUACUUUACAUUAUAUCAUUUAUAAUUUUUUAAAUUAUUAAUAGGAUACCUAACCUUCUAUAGAAUUGGAAUAAAAUAUGGAUAAGUAAAAAAUGUCAACACAAGAUAUUUUAUAUGUUGAAUGAAAUUGGAAUGGCCAAAAGUUGUCAAAUCAAGAUAGAUUGUACUAGUCUAUUUAAUGAGUUGCUCAUAUUGAAAUUAAUUAAGGUCGAAACAGGAACACAACAUCAAAUUCUCUUUUUCAUAAUCAAAGACUUCCAUGGCAAAUUCCACCAUAGCAUACGUCAAAGAUUAUUAAAAUUUCAUUAUCUUUAUAGACUUUUAACAAUCCAAGAAAUUAACAGUAAUAAUCCCAGACACAAUAUUCUGGAAAUUUACAUUAUUCUUUUUAUCUUAAUUGAGCAGAAUAUAAAUCAUGCAAGUUGAAUAAUACGAAUAUUCAAUGAAAUCUUUGGCAUGUUAUUUCUUUGUAGCUUCAACAUGGUGGCAUGUCGAUGGAGGAGGCAGCAUUUGAGCUUUUGGAUGUUUACCAUUUUUCACUAUGAACGCAGUUUCCAUACCCCAAGUCAGAUGGCGUUCUACAUGGCAGUGCAUGAACCACACUCCUGCAACAAAAAUAUACCAACAUUACACCUAAAUUGUAAUAUUCAGAAAAAUUAUAAUUUAUAUAUAUUUUUUCCUUUAUUGCCUUUUCCUUCAUCUUGGUGUAGAUCUUGUUAUAUUGUUACUAAAAUAGAAGGUAAAAAUAUAAAUUAUAUACCAAUUAUUUUAACUUUAGGAAAAAGUGCUUAUUUUAAUUUUAAAUAAAUAAAUAAAAAAUAAUUGAUUUUAUCGCAAAUAUACAAGACUUCAUAAAAGUUAUUUUAUUUGCAAAAUAUUUUCAAAUGUAAAAGUAAAAAUUAAACAAACCAUGACCUUUGUCACAAGUAUCCUUUAUAUCAUAAUCUAAUUUUAAAAUAUUAGAAUAAGUCAAUUACUUUACAUUAUAUCAUUUAUAAUUUUUUAAAUUAUUAAUAUGAUACCUAACCUUCUAAUGAAUUGGAAUAAAAUAUGGAUAAGUAAAAAAUGUCAACACAAGAUAUUUUAUAUGUUUGAAUGGAAUUGGAAUGGCCAAAAGUUGUCAAAUCAAGAUAGAUUGUACUGGUGUGUUUAAUGAGUUGUUCAUAUUGAAAUUAAUUAAGGUCGAAACAGGAACACAACAUCAAUUUCUCUUUUUAUAAUCAAAGACUUCCAGGGAAAUUCCACCAUAGCAUAUCUCAAAGAUUAGUCAAAUUCCAUUAUCUUUAUAGACUUUUAACAAUCCAAGCAAUUGACAGUAAUAAUCCUAGACACAAUAUUCUGAAAAUUUACAUUAUUCAUUUUAUCUUAAUUGAGUAAAAAAUAAAUCAUGCAAGCUGAAUAAUACGAAUAUUCAAUGAAAUCUUUGGCAUGUUAUUUCUUUGUAGCUUCAACAUGGUGGCAUGUCGGAUGGAGGAGGCAGCAUUUGAGCUUUUGGAUGUUUACUAUUUUUCACUAUGAACGCAGUUUCCAUAUGCCAAGGCAGAUGGUGUUCUACAUGCCAGUGCAUGAACCGCACUCUUGCAACGAAAAUAUACCAACAUUACACCUAAAUUGUAAUAUUAAGAAAAAUUAUAAUUUUUUUUUCCUUUUUUGCCUUUUCCUUCAUCUUGGCAUAGAUCUUGUUAUAUUGUUACUAAAAUAGAAGGUAAAAAUAUAAAUUAUAUACCAAUUAUUUUAACUUUAGGAAAAAGUGCUUAUUUUAAUUUAAAAUAAAGAAAUAAAAAAUAAUUGAUCUUAUCUCAAAUAUACAAGACUUCAUAAAAGUUAUUUUAUUUGCAAAAUAUUUUCAAAUUUAAAAGUAAAAAUUAAACAAACCGUGACCUUUCUCACAAUUUUCCUUUAUAUCAUAAUCUAAUUUUAAAAUAUUAGAAUAAGUCAAUUACUUUAAAUUAUGUCAUUUAUAAUUUUUUAAAUUAUUAAUACCAUACCUAACCUUCUAAUGAAUUGGAAUAAAAUAUGGAUAAGUAAAAAAUGUCAACAUAAGAUAUUUUAUAUGUUGAAUGGAAUGGGAAUGGCCAAAAGUUGUCAAAUCAUGAUAGAUUGUACUGGUCUGUUUAAUGAGUUGUUCAUAUUGAAAUUAAUUAAGGUUGAAACAGGAACACAACAUCAAAUUCUCUUUUUAUAAUCAAAGACUUCCAUGGAAAUUCCACCAUAGCAUAUCUCAAAGAUUAGUCAAAUUCCAUUAUAUUUAUAGACUUUUAACAAUCCAAGAAAUUGACAUUAAUAAUCCUAGACACAAUAUUCUACAACUUUACAUUAUUCUUUUUAUCAACUUUACACAAAAAACUGAAGAGGAAUACUAACUUAAAUCAAAUAGAAAAUAAAUCAUGAAAGCUGAAUAAUACAAAUAUUCAGUGAAAUCUUUAGCGUGUUAUUUCUUUGCAGCUUCAACAUGGUGGCAUGUCCGAUGGAGGAGGCAGCAUUUGAGCUUCCGGGUGUUUACCAUUUUUCACUAUGAACGCAGUUUCCAUGCCCCAAGUCAGAUGGCGUUCUACAUGGCAGUGCAUGAACCACACUCCUGCAACAAAGAAAAUAUACCAACAUUGCACCUAACUUAAUUGUAAUAUUAAGAAAAAUUAUUUCCUUGGUAUACAGGUUUUCAUAAAGGACAUGAGUGCUUGCAACAUACCAGGGUUGGACGCCUCGAAUCUAAUUGCAACCCAACCUUCCGAAGGAACAGAUAUGGUAUUCUGAAGGGGAGGAUCCACCAGAUUAUAGCGUAAAGGGUCCUUAUUUUCAUCGAAAUUCCCAAAUCCCCAUCCAACAAGAUAGAAACUGUGUCCAUGGAGAUGUAUGGGGUGGUGUGUCCCUGAAACCACAGUUGUCCCUUGCAAAACAAUCUCCACUGUGGAGUUAUACUCGAGCAUCCUUACUUCUGUUGCGCUGCUCGGCAACUCAUAGACUAAUGGAAGAUAAUCAGCUGUAAAAUCGAACACCAGUGGUGGAACGCUAGGAAAUUUAUCUCCAUAUACACCACUUAUGUUAUAAUAGUAAGCUUGCAGUAUGUCAACAGUAGGGGUAUCGAAGCUUAUGUUGUUUAUACUUGAGGAGAACCGCGUCCCAUUGGCCCCUGCACAUGAAUCAUUGAUGCAAGGGUACGAGUUUACAGAAACAGUGUAAAUCAGGUUAGUGCUUGUGCUCAAUGGGACAUUGCAAGGAUGUUCAGGAUUUGCUAAGCUUCGGAGGUCAGCCAUGACCUGAACUGAUGCAUUUGUGUCAUUAUAUGCAGGAAGAUAAGGCAAGGAGGGAGGUGAAGAUGGAGUGUAGUAUCCCCUGUACUGUACAAUAGCUGUGGUGGUUGUGUUAUCAUAAAAAUUUUGAUAUUUCGGGGCAACAGAAUAAGUUAUAGCCGCCAUGUAAUAGUGAUCCGGGCGUUGGUUAGCUUCUAAUAAGACAUCGUAGGUUUGGCCAGGAAAUAUUGUAAUAUAAUCUCGUGUCAAUGGUUUCGUGUAGCUACCAUCUGUUCCAACCACUGUCAUUUUAUGCUUGGCAAUGGAGAAGAAAAGAGCCUCCUGCAAGGCAGCAUUGAUUAUGCGAAGUAGAUAAGUCUUUCCAUGAUCCACCGUUAGCUUGAAUGUGCCUGCAAUUAGAAAAGGAAAGUUGUAUACUUAUGACUAGCCAAAAGAAAAAGAAAAAGUUUCCUUGAGGAUCCACCAAUUAUGAAGUGAUUGAUUGAUUAGGGGUGUAAAUUUGGCUCCAUUGUUGAAAAUUAUAUUUGGACUAGCUAGCCUUUUCUCAUGUGUUAAAUCAUGGCUCUAUCAUCCUCAUAGCUAUAUUCCUCUUUCUUAGCAUUAAGCUUUAAAUGUGUUGAUGUUAAUGAGAAAAAGUAAUAUGGUUAACAUACAAGAAAAUGAAAUCAUGUAUAAUUUUAAAAUGGGAAGUGAAACAUUGUACUUGAUUUUGAGCAUGGAUAUAGAUCACCGGGUUGUCCAUUUAUCAAUAACGCAUCAGAGGCAUUAGGAUCAGCUCCAGUUGCGAGCCCUUCAUCUCGAACUGCAUUCACAUCAAUCUUCCACCAUUGCCCUGCAUUUCAACAACUCCAAUAAUUUUAGAUUUUGCUUUGUAAGUUAAUUCAUAAUAUAUAAAUUAACCUUUAAAAGUAACAACACUUAUACCUAAUAUGAUGAGAAAUUCUGUGUUAGGUUUGUGAAACGGAUACUUAGUUCCAUUCUUGGGAUAGACGAUUAUAGCUCCAUGAACGGUGGCUCGAGUCCAGUCACUAUGAGCAUGCCACCAUAUUGUGCCUUCCUCAGAGGAAAGGAUGAUCUUUUGGCUAAACUUAGACCCUGGCUGAAUUGGGCAUUGUGUGAUAUACUCGGGACCAUCUGUCCAUGGAUAUCUAGGCAUGUUCACCCCAUGCCUACAAAACAAUAACUAUACGUUAAAACUAGUACUUAUUUUUGGACUAACUAAAGAUGGCAUGCAACAACAUAUUAUCACAGUAACAAGCGACAUCAACUGUAUUUCAAUGGAACUGAAGUAAAUAACCCUAAAGUAUCGUUUUAAAUUUGACUUUAUUUGCAAAGCAAUAUAUUGCAACCCCCUCUUAAAAAUAAAAGAAUGUAUACCAUGCAAGCAUGCUGCCUUUGCUCUUUCUCUAAGACACACUCAAGACCUACCAGUGAAUGGUGACAUUUUCUUUUCCCCUAUUAUAAACGUCGACAAUGAUCGUCUCUCCUUUCAUAGCAUAUAUAGUUGGCCCCGGAAAUUGUCCAUUUACUGUUAAGAUGUCCUUGGUGCUACAAAGCCUUGUAUAUGAAGCUUCCCUCACCUGCGACCAAUUAAAGGUUCACCACCAACCUCAUCCCAAAAGAAAUAUCACAUGCAUGAAUAGUUGCAUCGAUCCCUUCAUGCAAGUGUAUAACCACUUAAAAAUUGAUAGCAUGCAUGAACGACUCAACGACACCAGGGUAAGGGGUCCUACGAUGGAAAAUGAGAGUCAUACUACCCCCUAAAUAUUAUGAUCAGAAGGUGACGUUAAGGCCAGAAUCAUAUAUAGUAUUUACCACAAAAGUAUGCCGACGGAUUGAAGCUUGGCAAUGGAUGCCACCACCAAAAAGUUGAAAUACUAAAAUUUGUAAGAGGAAAACCUUCAUGAUCAGCCACAUCUUCUUUGGAAUAAAAGCCUCUUCUCUUUUCCUAAACACAACUCCUUCAAUUUUCUUACCACUUUUGCUGUAUGUCUUUCUUAUAUGAUUCAUUAAAUAGUCAUGAUAAUUCUCUCGGGAUACAAUACCUCCUCUCCACGUGUCAAUAUAAGAGGAAGUGAUUUGAAUGUGUAUUGAUUUUUAAUGUUCUUUGACCACUUCAAUGAGCAGGACCACUAUAUAAAAUAAUGAUAUUUGAUCACUUACCAAAUUAAAAUGAACCAAAUGCGUGAAGAAAGCUAACAAUUGUGAAAAAUUCUUACAAGAAAGCUAACAAUUAUGAAAAAUUCUUACAAGUUACGUACAUGUUAUUUUAGAAUAAAUUUAAAAUAUUCUUUCACAAGUCUUUUGUUGAUUAUUUCAAGAAAUGUUAAUUAAGACAUGAAAACUUUGACCUCGCAUACAGUACCCUUACCAAGAUUGGUCAUGGAAACUGUUUUUCAUGGACAGUACGUUUAAGAAUUAUUUUAAAAUUAUUUUUUAAGAAUUAUUUUCGUAAACAUUAUUUAGCAAACCCUUAAUAUUAGUCUCACUUGUUUUCAUGUUACUUAAUACAAUUAGUCAUGAUCAUUGUUUUCGUCUGAAUGGGACAAAAUUGUUUCCCAAUUUUUUUGAAACUUGAGAAUUGACAUGAUGAUAAGCUAAUUUGGUACUUCAUAAUUUUCCAUAAAAAACAUAAAAAUAUAUUUUGUAAAAAGUUGAAAAUAGAAUACGAACAACCCCUUGUAUGUUGUGAAUCACUUAAAACAUCUAUUGGGACUCAUACUAUUUUUUUUCUCAACAAAAAAUAAUUUAAUAAUAAUCAUAAUAAUAAUAAUAAUAAUUAUAGAUUUAAAAAAAUAUUUUUCAAAACAAAUGCAACCUAUAAUUUAUUUGUUCAUAUGAUAUGUAUAACUUGAUUAAAAUGAUUUUAGCUGGCUUACAAAAAUAAAUUAUCUCAAAAGAGAAAAAAAAUGAAAAGUAAAAGAAGAAAUGAUUCAAACUUCCUUGUUUGGUUUAUCGUACACCAUAUACAAAGAAAAAUCAUUAUAUAAAUAAAUUAUGAAAAGAUUUAUAUAUUUUGAAAUUAUUUAUAAACAGAAAUGAUGAAUACAUUUCAAGACAUCUAAAAAUUUUAUCAAGUUAAUUUAAACUUGUUUUUUAUUUUUUUUUUCACAUUUUUUCUCCUAUUUUUUUUCUCACAUUUCCUUUUUAAACUUUUGGAAUAAAUUCCCUACUAUUUGUGGAGCUUUAAUAUAAAUUUUUUCUUACAUAUGAUACUGUAAACCCCAAAAUGUCUCCUCUCUCCUCUCUCCCUUCCUUUUUCUCCUCCACCUACCCUCACCUACCCCGCGAUACCUCUACCCAUAACCCCACCUCCAACGCUUCCCAUAAGCUCUCUUCAUUUUUUUCUUUUUUUUUUCCUCUCCCCCCAUUCUUGAAGGCAAAGGGUCGGUCCCAUUUUUUUGAGCUGCCCUAUUCCACUUGCUUUGGUUCCUCUAGACUGCCAAUUCCCAUAGCACACACGGACGACCAACCCCUAUUUCUUUUCCAGUUUCUUUUCUCCCUGCAGCUCGUCCUAACAUCCACACACACCGACUCCCCCUAUGAUUUCUCUCUCUUCUCUUCAUUUUCUUCUUAGACCACUCCACUCACAGCCCAGAAAACCGACAUUCCCCAUUUUCCAUGGACAACUCUUCCAGCACAACCGCCCCCUCCACUCACCUCUUCUCUUCUUCUUCCAUUUUUUCUUGUUUUGAUUUAUUUUAUUUUCUUCUCUCCUCCAACCAUACCCAUUCUCUCUCCAUCCGCCACCCUCACCGUCGGCCACUGCCGACUAGCAAUCCAGCCAUCCAUGGCUGUUCAAAAAAUGGGUAAAUUUCCUUUUUACUUUAUUUUAUUUUCAUAUUUUUAUCUUUAUUUUUUAUUAUUUUGAUUUGCACAAUAAUUGAUUUGAACUUGGCCUAUUACUUAUUGGUUAUUUAUUUGGCCUUAUUUGAUUAGACUUGAGAUAUUAUUUUCUUUGGUCAUGUGUAUUAUUAAUGUGGGCUUAUUAAUUGAUAUGAAUUUUGGGCUCACAAUAUGGGUGAAAUUUGUUGGAUGACUUAAAUAUUUGAUAUGAGCUUGACCAAUUUGAACUAUUUAAUUUAGACAUGAGAUAAUUGUGGUGUAUAUUAAAUUAGGCUUAGAUUAUGGAAUAUUAAAUUUAGGCCUAGUGAAAUUUGUUUUAAUUUAUCUAAUUUUAAGUUUGGUUGAUUGUGUUUGUAUUUUGGUUAUUAAUUUGAAUAUUUUAGGUUAAGACUUAUAGUAAUUUAGGCUAUUUUUGUUUUUACAUGGGCCUAUUCUGCAAUUUUAUUGACUGAGUACGGAUUUAUGACAUGUGGAACACGACAUUUCAUGGAAGAAAGUGGAACUCAAAAGGCCGUAAGAAGACAUUGAACUUGUUGUAAGCUUGUUUGGGUACACAUUUUAUUUCCCAUUAUUAUUUGAUUUGAUUUUUAUUGGUUUAUGUAAAUAUUUGUUUGUAUAUAUUUAUUGAGUGUGUACAGAUAUCAAACAAACCAAAAAUUUUGUUUAAAUAAGAGGAAUAAUUCAGUAAAUAUGUUUUAACAAAAUAAUAAUUUUAAAAUAUUCUUUUUAAUAAAAGAGAGUUUUUUUUAUUAAUAAGAAUUCAGAAAAAUGCAUUUAGAAAAAUCUAAAAAAAAAAUUGUUUUUAACAAAAUUGUCCAAAAAUUUCUUUGUUUAAUAAAAAUUGUCUAAAAAUUGUUUUGCAAAGAAAGUUGUCCCAAAAAUUAAUUUUUAAUAAAAUUGUCCAAAAAUGAUUUUUUUUUAAUGAAUUCUUUUUCCUUAAUUAAAAUGGGAUUAAAAGUAUUUAUUUAGAAAUAGAGGAUUUAUUUUUUUUUUCUUUUUACUUAAAAAUUCUUUUAUAAAUAAAGUUACGUUUUUCUUUUCAAUAAUUUGUAUAAAUCACUUUUCUUAAAUGAAAACAAUUGAAAUAUUUUUGUAAAUAAAAUUGUAAAAAUUCAUUCAUUUUGUUUUUUGUAAAAACAAGUAAAAAUAAUUUUUGUUGCCAAAUUGAAAUUUUGUAAUAAAUUCUUUUGAUACAAUAAGCGUAAAUAACUUUAUUUGAAAAUUAAAUACAAAUUAAAUUGAAUCAAAUCACUUCAAGAAAAUAUUUUGUAAAUAAAUAAACUGAAAUCACUCAUUCAAAAUUGUUUUUAAUAAAAUCCUUUGGAAUUUUUGGAAAAAUAAUAUUUUUUAAUUAGUUUAAUAAAUCAUUUUGUAUAAUUCUCUUAUUAUUUAUUUUGUGUAUUCUUGUAAUUAGAUUUCAUCAUUAUUUUUGUGUAUAUUGAUUUUCACCAUGACUUGUACAUACUCAUUUGCAUGAUUAUUUUUCUUGGUAUCCAUAAUUAAUUACUUAUUUAUCAUAAUUCCCUUAAUUCGUUUAGUAGAGGCCGUAUGUAUAUGGGCUUAGAGAGGUGCUACGACUCACCACCGUACCUUCCCAAUAGGUAACUUAACCCCCGGAUCCAUUUUUUUUUUUUUUUGCAAAUAUGUCUUUUCCAAAUAAGGAGUUACACAUGGGUUUCUUUCUUACUUUGUUUUUUCUCUUUUUUUAAAAAAAAUUAAAAUAAAUAACAACUCCAAGUGUUUUUCUAAAAUCAAUUUUUCACAAAUAAAUGAAAAGCGAGUCUCGCCAUUCGAGUGGGGACGCAUGUGAAAAAUGUGAGGUCCAUAAAUACAUAUUUAUGCAAUAUUUGGUUAAAUUAUUUUGAAUGUAUAUUUUUACCUUAACAAGAAACUUUUCUUGAAAAUGAAGACUAUUUUUUCCUUAUUUUCAAAAUUGUGUUUCUAUUUUUUAAAUAUAAAAAUUACUAUUUUGAUUUCAAAACAAUGAGCCAUUUUUAAAAGAUAUUUUAGAAAAUAGUUUUUUAGAUAUAUUAAUUGUGACACUUGAAGAUCAAAGACACCAUGGUCAUUUCACUUGUCAAACCCAAGAGUCUAACAUGUGAAUGACCUUAACUAACAAAUCCAACAAGUAAUUAGUUGACAACUUCCUCAAAUUGAUUCAUAACAAUGAUUAGAGUAUAAAUUAAAAAAAAUUAUAAAUUUCUAACCCAAAACUAAUUAAAAAUAUCUAAAUAAUAAAUUCAAAGAUCAUCCCAAAGACUUUAAAGAGUUUUAGAAAUCAAUAGUAAUCUUAAUUUAAAACUCCUAAAUAAUUAAUUGUAAAGCAUAUUUCAAAAGAAACACCCUUCCUAUCUCUAUUUCCCCUCAUUAAUAUCACUUGUACCUAAAAAGUGAAAUAAUAGAAAAGAGUGAACUUAAAAGUUAGUUAGGAAAAAUAGUUCAAUAAGGAGGAUCAAGUAUAAUACAAAGUUAAAUCCUAGGAGCUAUCGCAUCUUUAUAAAAUAAUAAUAAAAAAUUGAUAAGUAGGAGUUCAUUUAAUUCAAUAAUUAAAUUCACUUUUUUUCAAAAAACUAUGCACUUUCAAUUUAAAGAUAGAACUAAAUAAUAUACUUUGCAUACUUAAAUUAUAUUUUAAAAAAUUAUAAAAAAACAUUUUACUUUGACUUAUUAAUAAUAACAUUCUGCCCAAAUAGUAGAAAUUGCAUUAGGUGGCUAUAUGAUCAAACCAACUUUUAUUAUUUAGUAAAAACACUCUCAAAGAAUUUUUUUUAAAUAAAAAUAAAAAUGAUUUCAAACCAUGUAUAGUUUGGGAGUUUUUUUUUUUUAAUGAAAAUAAACAAUUAUUUUAAGUUAUAUGUAUAGUUAUUAUUGUCACUUUCAUUUUCCAUUCUCAUUCUCAUUAUUACUUAACAUUGAAAUGGAAACAAACAUUCAUUUCGACUUUACAUUCCUUGGUGCUUUCAAACAUUAGAACUGGAAUGGACGGAUUUAUUACUGAUCAAGGAAAAAUAGGAAUUGAAAUAAAGGUCAUGUUUGGUAAUUGCUUUUGAAAACAAUUUUGAAAAACAAUUUUUGAGAAAUUUUUUUAAAAAUUGUUCAGUAUCUUGUAAAAAAAAUGUCUAUUUGGGAACUUGAAAUGUUUUUAACCCGUUUUCUAUGUUUUUACAUAUGUUUUAAAAAUAAUUUUUAUUUGUAGUGCUUUAUUUAUUAUCAUUUCCCAUAUUUGUAUAAUUAUUUUUUAAAACGACCCUCAAAAAACAACUUAAAUAAUUAAAAGAUGUUAUCAUAAAACAUCCUAUUAAUAGUUUUAAAAGCAAAAACAAUUUUCUAUUUUUUGGUUGUCAAACAUGGUUUCCUGUUUUUUUAUUCUAAAGAAUAGAAAAUUGAUGCAAAUGUUUUUUCAGAGAACUUUUCUUCCCGAGUUCUCUCAGCCUUUCUUUUCCAUAGAAAAGUUUAUUGGAGUGAUUUUUAGGCAAUUUCUAGUAGUUUCAACUCCUAAAAAUUGCUCCACCCUUGAUAUCUUAUUUGGUUGGAUCGGGUUGGGUCACCCCAACUUGGGCACCCACCCAACUCCAAUAAUAUUUAAGUAUUUAAUAAAGUAAAUGAUUGAAUUAAUAUGAACAAGUAUAAUGAUCAAAACAAAAAUCUUACUAUUUUUUGUUUUAAUAUAAAAUCCAACCUCUAAUUGAACAAAUCAUUUACCAUUUAAAAAAUAUUCUUAAUAUCUUCAUUUUCAUUUUAUGUUUUUGAAAGUUCUUUUUUAUUUUAACUGGAUCAAAUAAUAUUUGAAUAAUAAUGCCUUUAACAUACAUUUUUUAUGAGUAAUACCAAAUAAACAUCUCAACAAAUAUUAUAUAAGAUAAUCAUUAAUUUUACUAUCUUCAUUUUAUUUAUGUUAUUCUUCUUUAUCCAGUGGAUUUAAUUAUGUGUUGUAAAAUGAACAAGGACCUCUAUAGUUAUAAUCUCACCUAAAAAGUUGGGGAUCCGAAGCUAUCUCUACAUUUAUGGUUCAUGCAUGAAAUAAAUUGUUUUUGUACUUCCAUCAUCAAAGAUGCAUGUAUGUCUAAGAAUGGAAAAAGAAUCUGAGGUUGGGAAAAAAAUGAAAAAAAAAUUAUGUUUUUUUUUUAAUUCAUUUCAUUUAUUUUUUUCUUUUCUAUAUAAAAAUUCAAUAUAUAUAACUCUUUAACUAAUUUUAAUUAUAUUUUUCUUUCAUAUUUUAUAUAAUAAAUAAAAAAUAAAAAAUAUAUUUUUUAAUAUUUCAACUAUAACAAGGUGGGAUAAUUAAUUUAUAAUGCUAGGAUAUCCUAACAACCUAACCUUAAAAUUUUCUUAAAUAAAUAAGCACUUCACUAGUCAUAUAUUUUCUUAUUCCACCAUAUUGUGAUUGGCACCAUAGUAUUAACUACUUUGAAGCAUUUUGGUAUGAUUCUCAUCUCAUAAUAAGUCAUUUUUGAAGCAAACACAACAUGCUUGAUAGAAAUCCCUCUUGUUAAAUGAAGCCCAAGGUUUCUUAUUUGUGAGUGUUGAUACAUUAAGUUAUAUAGUUUAAGAUUGAUAAUUUUGUUUCAUUUAUUUUGACUUAGGGCUUUUUUCGAUUAUGUCUCGCUCUCCUUUGAAAACAUGAAGUUGUCGUGUGGUCAAUUGGAAUAACAAAGGUAAGCAUAGAAAGGUAUGAGAAAAGAAAAUUAGAGUUUGUUAAGGUUGGUGGGAACGUCAAGUAAUUCUUAAACUGAGUUAAAUGUUUUUUAUAACAGUUUUAAAGAACUCCUCAAGUACUCUAGUGCUGCAGAGAGCACUUAAGCACUCCUUGGAGCACACAAGUGUGAUAGAAUUUUCUAGAAUUCCAAAACUUUGAUUUUCCAACUUUUAAAAGCUUUAUUUUAGGAAAAUUCAAAAUCUAAUCCACCAUUAUCUUGGCCCUAUAAAAACCUUUCCUAAAGAGGAUUUUCUCUUUUUGAUGCAAAUGUUUCAAAAAACCUAAUUUGCCUUCUUGUUCCCAAAACUUUGAAAAAUGAUUGUCUUUGCUUUUACUAGGUUGAGAAAGAGAUCUACAUCUCCAAAACACUAAAGUAAGAUUCACUAGGAGCACAAGCGGUGUUGUACAAAAAAUGUGACGUAUAGUAGAGAUGAUGGAGGGUAAGACCUAGAGAUAGCUUCCACUAGAUAAAACUAUGUACUAUACUUUCGAAUAGUGGAUUUGUAAUUGGAUGUCUCUAACCCCAUGGAUUUUACAUCUACAUGUUGUGUGAGUGGUUUUCCAUGUAAAAAAUCUUGUGUUCUUGUAUUGAAUAUUUUUAGGCUUUCCUAAAUCAAACGGAUUAAUUUAAAAUAAUUAAUUUUUCAGCCUAAGAGGUUCAAAUACCUAUUCACCCAUUCUAGAUGUUAUCUAAACUAGAUCAACUAACUUUCAAUGAGGAAAACUCAAAUUACAGAAUUUGCACUUUCAGUGAACACUGCUAGGCUUAGACAAAUUGAAGAGUAAAAAUCCUUUCAAAUCAACCAACUAACCUUUCAUCCAUGGAGGCCUUCUCCAAUUUAAAGAUCAUGAAAACCUCUCCAAACAUUUCUAAAGAAAAAUAAGAGCAUUGGCGGAGGGUUCCUUGGAGAGGCUUUGAUCUUAAUCUUUUCCAUGAGUUGUUGAAAGGGUUUUUAACAACUUGGAUUGGAUUGGAUGGAGCACUUAUAUGAACUAAAAAUGAUAAAUAUUAUAACUACUCAAAAGGCAUUUUCACAGAAUUGCCAACCUGCAGAUCAUUUUUAGUUAACCAAAUCUUAAAACAUUAGUCACAUCCAUGGCCAAAAUUAAGUGAAGGCUAAGCACAGAUAGAAGAGGAUCAUCAGGACGCUCUCCUUAGCUCUACCAAGCUAGCUAACAAACUUGAACAGAAUAUAGCUCGAGCAGUCCAUGGCUACUAUUAAAAGGAAAAACCUAUAAAAAAAAUAUGAAGAACAAGAAGCAUAAAAAGAAAAUAUAGGCUAAAAUAAAAUGGUUCAAUUUGGGAAUCAACUGCUACGCAAUAUAUGACUAAAUUCUCAACUAGAUUCUUAUGAGUUCUAACCCCUAAAAGCAUCAAAUCCAGCAGAAAACCUUGCAAAAGAGAAACCAAUAAGACAAUAACAAUAUGAUAGUUUCAUCUCUACCUUUCAAGUUUGAGCAUCUUGUGCUGAUGCAUCCUCUCAAUGUAGAAGUGGCUUGCUUCAUUAUAUCAGUAUUGUAAAAAGAAGAGGUGUAACCUCACCAUAAUCUUUAAUAGUGAAGAAACUUGAAUUCUCAUCGGUAGUGCUGCACUGAAAUUCUGGUUGAUUGUCUUCUUUCUCAUCUUGUCGAUAUAGUAGAUGAACCCCACACUUCUUCACCCCAUAAUUGGGCCAUAGACUUGGAAUGAAGCCUGAAUUUGACUCAGUUUAUUUAACCAAUUGGCAUGGCCAAUCCCAAUUCGAGAAAUUGGUUGAUACCCAAGCCACAUGUGAUCUGAUGUAAUGAAUCUGUGCCCUUCAUCCGAAGAAUUCCGGUGUUCUGGAUUGACGGGAGCAAAAAGGUGACCAGUUUUACCUUGAGUCAAAUUCAAAUGACAAAAUAUAUUAACAGGGCAAUCAUGGACAGCACCCUUAACUACAAAAAUAGCGCACACAGCCAAUCCCAUCAACCUAGUAUUACACCAAUUUGGAGGCUGAUAUACCGUUACUGUGGAGUCUAUACUCUGUUGGCUGAACCACUCAGGAAUUCAACUUCCAGGAACAAAAGUACUGGAUUCAAUAUGUGGAGUAUAUGGCACCAUCUGGGUCAUGAAAAUCAAUGUCAAGUUAUAUGGAAAUAAUGUAGGAGUAGUGCUCAAAGGAGUAUAAGAAUUAUUCCAUAGGAUUUAAUUGAUUUACUUUUACAAUAUGAUCAAGAGAGAGAGGAGAGAAACCUGAAUUGGGAAUUGAAAUCUUGGUAAUUUAUUUGCCAGACUUUGCAUUUCCCUUAAUGUAGCUGCCACAAAGUUGCUGCUUUCAUUCUCAGACUGUCUGAAGCAAUUAGAAAAUGUGAAUCGGAGGCCCCCACAUUCCUUGGAUCUGUAGACACUUGAUGGACACAAAAUGUUUUCCAGAACUGUGCAAUCAUGGGCAUCUAUUUCUUCUAUACUAGAUGGAAGCUCUGGUAAUGAUUGAAGCCUCUUGCAAUAACCCAACCUAAAGCCUUUGAGCUGUGAAAGUUGAUUGAGGGUUGCAGGUAGAGUAACAAAAUUGUUUCUGCUCAGAUCUAAAUAUUCCAAUGAGCACAGAGAGCUAAAGUCAUUGGGAAUUGCUCCUUCCAAUAUGUUGCAAUCACCUAGAUUUAACUUUCUUAGGGAUCUUAAACCAAAGAAAGAAUGCAGUUUGUAGAUCCUCUAUUUUGUCCUCCUAGCACAUGAAUUAUUAGGUGUUUGUUCGGUACUUUACAACAAUUCUCUAGUAACCCAUUACUACUCAUGUAACUUAUCUUUUCUAAGUCACAUUUGAGACUUUGGUUGAGGCAUUUAUCUAACCUCAUCAUGACUCUUAGCAGCCCUAAUUUAGAUUUAGGUUUUUCCUUCCUUUUUAGGAUAGCUUUUAGGUGCACUUUUAGGAUAGCACACUUAGGCAUGUUUAGGUCACUUAGACAAUGUUCUAAUCAUUUUAGGUCAUUUAGACACUGUUCUAAACAUCCUAGUCCCCUUCCAGCUUGCACACAUUCACCCUAGGUCACUUGGCACUUUUUUCAUAAUAGGUCAGUUAGACACUUGUUUAGGUUUGAUUUCUUGAUUGCUAGGUUCUUUAGGUUUCGGUGAGUAUUGGCCUGUUUUUUACUUUUGAUUGCAUGAGAUGUUCUUUUGAUACUUAAUCAUGUGAGUUUGAUGUUUCAAUUUUCAUUAUUAUCAAUUGCAUUAGAUUGGCAUUUCGUUUCUUUUGAUUGCAUGCAUUUGGUACUUGUAUUCAUAUUUUUGUUUAUUUAUUUAAAUUUGCAUGAGGUUGAUUCCUUUAUUUUGCAUUUGGUACCUAUGCCACCCAUGCCCAAAAUUCCUACACUUCGAACAUUAUCCAACCCCAUACAUAAUAGUGAAUCCAUUCCAACCAGCCCUUCAGCGUAGCUCAAGGAUGUCCAUAUCAAUUUAUUAGAUAUAUCUGAGACAAUUUCCUCAAUAAGUAUAGAUUCAUGCCUGCAAAUUUUGAGGAAAAAAAAAACAAUCAUUUAAUGAAUUCAAGGAUCCAUUAAAAAAAAAAAAAAUUAGAUAAAUCAUCAGUGAUUUAGUCAUGUUCUUUGCUUAAAAGUCAUAUGGCAAGCUUAUAUCUCAGAUUUUUUCCAGUUUAAGUGUAUGUGUGUGUGUAUGAGGGAGAGAGAGAGAGAGGGAGAGAACUGUAUUGCUAUCUAGACAGACAGACAAUCGAACUAGAUUAUAAUAGCAAGCAUCUGCUGGCACUUCCUAGUAGUCUGCAUGAGGAACUUCUCAGAAGUGAUCAGGAUAGAAAUACUAGAAAAGCCAGUGGAUGCAUGUUUAAGACUGCAAUAUCAUUGAUUGACAGUAGGAUUACUAAUUCCGAGUUAAGCAUAUUGGCAAGCAAAAAUUCUCUCCCAAAUGGUUGAAAAAAAUUAGGGAAUCCAAAAGGUUUUAAAAGCAUGACUAUCCAAUUGGGUUGGGGCACACUACAUAGGCAUGGAACAGAGCAUGCCAAGGGGCCAUUGGAAAGGAUGAAAAAGCAUUAAUCCAGUAGGGUUGAGGUCAACUUACCAAUGGAAUAAAGCACACUAAGGGGAAAUAUCCUCAAAAUGAGGUAAAAGGUUUUAUAGUGUAGUCAUAACAUUCUUGCUCAAUGUGAUAAGGACUAACCAAUGUGUAGCUCAAUGCUUCAUCGUUAGGAAAGUUCUUCACACCCAACUUUUUAUGUAGUUCUACCCUUUUUUUUUUCAAAUUUUCGUCAUCUGUCGCUUGGACAUUAGAGGGAAGUUUUCCAAGUACAAAAAAUUGACCUUGAACACCCUAAUCAAACUGGAACUUUAAUACAAUGUUUUCGGAACGGGUUUUAAUGAUGGCAUCCAUUAUUGAACCACGAUCGACAAUCUCCUAAAUACAUAAUAUAUAUUUUAUUCAAAUUAAAAAUAAUUUUAAAAAUUAAAAAUUUAUAACAUUUAUUUCUUUAAUUUUAUAUAAUUAUAUUAAUAUUUUCAAUUUUAUUAAGCGAAAUAUCUAUAAUAUUUAAAUUUGAAAAUAUCUACAUAAUCUUGCAUAUAUGUUUAUUUAUAUUAUUUUUUGAAAUAACAUAUAUAAUUUAUUUUUUAUUUUUAUAAUUUUUAACAUCAACAAAAAGAGUAACAGAGUGGUGCAACCAUGCUACCUUGAACUUGUCGUCAAAGCUUAUAUUCCUAUAAUGAUUCGAUAUAGAAAAUAAAAGGAGAUAAUAAAUAGCAUUAUAAGCCUCAUUCAUUCAUUAUGAAGCAAACAUUGGUGAUGUCCCAUUUUGCAAAAUCAAAAAGAGGGUGUUGAAUGUUGGAUUGAAAGUGAUAGGCAAUCUAGCCCAUUUGGCCGAAAAAGAAAAGGGUGUUUAACCGUUUGAUUCUUGAAGAACUAUCCAACUCCAUCAAUCCAAUUGUUGGUUCAAAUAAUUCAAAAUAAACCCUUCAAAAAAAAGGGAUAGGACUGAAAAGGUCAUUUGGUAGUUGGACCAAUUAGAUCGACUAAUUUGGUUCAAUUUUAAAAAAUAUUGCUUUAACAUGUAUGAUAAUAAAAACAAAGAAAUAAAACUAUUUACCAAAAAAUGAAAUUAUUAUAAAAUAAUAGAAAAUGUAACCCAUUUUAAUGAUACGAUAACUUGUAACCAGAUGAAAUUUUAAUCUGAAAAGAAAAAGAAAAAGACUUUAAGGAAUUAGAAAAUAUUAUCUUUUAUAUUAAAUCGUAUCUUUUUGUAAAAGCUCUCUACAAUUAACUAUAUGUUUUCAUAAAACUUCAUUUAAACUAUGUUACAUUCUUGAUAAUUUUAAAAAAAAUGUAAGAAAAAUAAAAAAUAGAUAAAAUUAAUAAAUUAUUUUUUUCAUUAAUAUAAAUUAAAUAAUUUUAAAUACCUAAGUUUUUCAAAAAAAUUAAUCAUGGUAGUGGGCCCUUGAUCAACCAAAGAUAGUCCAUGCAUAACCUGCCAAAGUGAAGUACAACAAAUUAUAAUAGUGAUGUCACGUAGCAAUACAUUAUUUAUUAUUUUAUUUUCCCUUUUCAAUGUAGAUUCCCUUUCUUAAAGCUAUUAAAAAAACACACAAUAUCAAGAUUUGAGUGUGGGUCUUGCACAAUAUCUUUUAUAUAUUAAUAAUUAUAAAUUAAUUAAAAUGAAUUAUUGUAAAUAAAUUAAUUUUAAUUAUUUUAUUAUGUCUUUUAUAGUGAUAAAAUAUAGGACAAAUAAAAAUUUAUAAAUAAAAUUAUUAAUAUUUUAAAAUAUAAAAUAUAAAUAUAUGUGAACAUUUUUUUAUGUCCUUCAAUAUAUCUAUACUUAAUACAUUAUCAUUUUAAUAUUAAUGUUCCCAAUUCAAUAUAUUAUUGUUUUAAUUUAUCCUUCAAUAUAUUAUCAUUUUAGUAUUGAUGUUUCCUAAUUUGAUAUAUUAUUGUCUAAUAUUAUAAAUUUAUUAUAUAUAUAUAUAUAUAUAUAUAUCAAUUUUUUCUUAAAAUAAUUUCUGUAUAUACAUUUUUUUUUUUAAUUUUUUGAGUCAUUUUUAAUAUUUCACGAGUUUUUAUCAAUUUCCAUCUCAUAUAUAUACUAACGAUAAAUCAAUAAAAAAUGAUAUUUUCAUUCUUGCUCAACAUAAGGAAGAAAAUUAUUCAAAUGGUGCCUAGAUUAAUGGGACCUCCUAAUGACAAUGACAUUGACAAUCAUGAGUCAUAAUGUAGACCCCUCUUUCAAGAGCCGGGGGACCUUUAGUUUUUUUUAUGACAUUGGAAAGGGGCCUCAUCAUCACCAGCAGCUGGCAGCACCCUAGACAAGUGGGGGGACCCCUUUCUGCAAGGAGAGCAGCUUCACAGACACGACAAAGACGUGAUGGCCGGCCAUGCUAGUGGGGGAGGGAAGCCAUGUUGGCUGAUGGAGGAAUAGUAGAGCGGGUAGUGGCUUGCUGUGGAAGAUAGAAACAGGAGAGAGAAAGCAUAUACGGGAGGGGAAUCUGAUAUCUGGGGGGAGGAAGCCAUUAGAGGGGUCACAAGGAAGGGAGUUGGUUGGUUCCAUUGAUCUUAAAGGAGAACUUACUAGAGAAGGAGAUAACAGAGAAAGGAGGCAGCUGCAGGUGAGUUUGGGGUGAGUCUCUUGCUCCCUUUGAUUCAUAUUCUCCUCGUCCCUUUCUCAUUUUGGUUUGCUUUGCAUUGCUUAUCAGUCUGGGUUGGAUUUCAUCUUGAAUUUCAUUGAUUUUUCUGGAUCACUUGUUUGUCGUUGUUGAUUUUGCCGUUAUCCUUAUGGUUUAGUUUGGAGUUAACGAGAUCUGUUUCUCACGUAUUUUGUGGCUCUGGCUUGAGAUCUUCCCACCUGUAUCUGCCCAUGGAUACCACCCGACAUGAGGCUUGAUACGCUCAUGUUUUUCUACUUUAUUCCUUGAUUAUCCUUCCCUCGUUUUUUUGUUGCUUUGGCUCCUAUAUUUGUGAUCCUUUCUGUGAAUGAAGACCUAGACACAAAGGCUGUUUCUUGUAUUUGAUAAAACCGAUUAAGCCACCCAUGUUUUCAGAUGAAGCAGGGACGUUGACGAGAUGUAUGCUCUGUUUUUAGGAUCUUUGUUCUUUUUUUAAUAUCUGUAAACAGAGAAGCUUGCAUGCAAAGAGUUCAUCAUCCAAAACUGGCAGUAUCUACCCAUUAUACCCAACGUGCCCAUGGCUGCCCUUCACACCUAUUUCAUACCCAUUCUCCCACAAAUUAAUACCCAUCUAUUCUCAUGCAGACCUAACCGUCAUUCCUAUGCCCACAUCUCAUCCCCACGCAUUUCAAACACCACCAUACCCAUCUCUCGUCUUUCAUGCUACCCACACCCACCAUUCACCAUUUAUUUCCUAUAUCACCAUCCAUCUAAUCCACCAUGUUACCCGCUACCACCGAACCCGUUUUCCCUCGCCUCUUUUUGUUUUACCACCAUUCUCUUUCUUCACCACAUCAAAUAUCCAUUUUCCCCACCAUCCUGAAUUCCCAUGCAAACCUGUCACCAUGCAUGCCCAUAUUUUGCACUCACCAUUAACCAUUUAUCCCACCUGAUUUCAUUAUGUAUUUAUCCAACCAUCUAUCAUCACCCACGCCAUCCAUGAGCAAGAAUACCAGCCCGUUUCCCUCGUUCUCUCUCAUUGCUCGACACGUAUUCCCCCCCAUGCAUGGCCACCUUAGCCCUCAUACCCACUGGUUCUCACAUUCCAUGCACACGGAAUAGGAUCCCCCUACCACAUUCGCCUCAUUCAACUCAACAUCUUCUCAACCAUACCCCAUGACUCCUUUCCCAUUUAUUUCAUUCCCUUCCCCAGUGCAUGAAAUCCCGCACAUGGUCACCCGCGGUGGGUCCAGCUUUGCCACCGGUGUACCGAGAUCACCGGAGCUCGCCCGCCAUCGCAUGACAGUUCAGGUUUUGGAGUCAUGGAUUGUAGUUCAUUCGGUGAUCAUUGGGAUUUCCUUGGGAGCUUCUGAAAGUCUAAAGACAGUCAAGCCUCGUGUGGUUGCAUUGUCUUUCUAUCAGCUCUUUGAAGGUGGUAGGGACCUCAUCCUCGGUGUAGAAGGCAGCUCUCAAAAAUUUGAGAAGUCGCGUUAAUGAGGUGGCCCGGUUUUGGGUGAUACCUAGGUAGAGACAGCAGGGGUCUGAAACCGGUGAUGGCUUUAGUGGAUGACGUUGAAGCCUUUUCUUUCUCUCAAUGGCGUGUAGAUAAAGAGUUUUUAUUUUUAUUUGGACCUUACCAUCACUAUGAUAUUGUUUCUGGGUAUUGGCGUCCUAGCUGGGGCUCUUGCUUCCCAGUGUACCACAAAGACUACAUCUUAUUUUAUUUUAAUCCAUCCUCUAUCUUUUGAUAUCAAGAUUUAUUUUUUUUAUUUUUUUAACUUCGGUUUUUUAAAUUCAGUCUUUAAAACUCCCGUCUUUAACUAAUUCUUCAAAACUCUAAUUUCCGAAUAUAAUUUUCAAUUUCUGAAUUUAACCAUUAUUAUCUUCAUUGUUAUUAUUAUUAUUUAUUCAUUUAUGUAUUUAAAAAUCUCAUCUUUAAACAAUUUUUCAAAAUCCCGACUUCCGAAUUUAAUAUUUUUUUUGUUUGAAAAAUUCCACUAUUCACUUUCAUUCACUUAAAUAUCGUUUUUGUUAAUUAUUAUUACUAUUCCAUAUGCAUUUAUUUAUCCUCCUUUAAAAGUUUCAUUUCCUAAAGCCCAAUUCAUUAAAAAUCUAAGGUCCUAAUUAAAUUUUCAAUCUCAAAAUUUCCACUAUUUCAUUUGUUUAAAUAUUAUGUUUAUUAAUUAUUAUUAUUAUUCCUCAUGUGUUUAUUUAUCCUCCUUUAAAAAUCUCAUCCCUUAAAGUCCAAUUCUUCAAAAACUCGAAGUCCAAAUUUAAUUUUCAAUAUAAAAAAUUCCACUAUUCACGUUCAUUCGCUUAACCAUUAUUUUUGUUAUUAUUAUUAUCAUUCCAUAUUUAUUUAUUUAUUUCUUUUAAAAAUUCAAAUCAUUAAAGUUCAAUCCUUGAAAAAUCUGACUUCCGAAUUUAAUUUUCAAUCUCAAAGAUUCCACUAUUCAUCCAAUACUUAAAGUUCAAUUUUUCAAAAUCCCGUUUUCCAAAUUUAAUUUUCAAUCUCAAAAAUUCCACUAUUCACAUUUAGCUGUUUAAUGAUUAUUUUCGUUAUUAUUAUUAUCCCGUUCAUUUAUUUAUUCACUUAUUCAUAUAUUUAAAAUCUCAUCUCCAAAUAAUUUCUCAAAAUUUCAAUUUCUAAAUUCAAUCUCCAAUCUCUAAAAUUCUAUUUUUUGCAAUUAUUUACCGAAUCUCUAUUAUUUCAUCAUUAUUAUAUUUAUUAAAAUUCCGUCUUUAAAUAAUUCUUCAAAAUUCCGAUUCCCAAAUUUAGUUCUCUGAAAUUCCAAUUCUUUUCAAAUUCAAUUUCUAAAAUUCUCAUUCUUAUAUUUAAUUUCUAAAAAUCCAAUUUUCAAAUAAUCUCUAAGACUCCGAUUUUCAAAAUGAAUUUCAAAAAUCCAGUUUUCCUUCGAACAAUUUUAAUUUCUGUUUGGUAAUGCAUGUGAUAUAUUUCGUGCUCUAUAUUGUGCACUGACUUUGUUUUUAUGAUAGCGCAUCGCUCGUUCGUGGCUCAGGUAUGCAUCAAUUCCUAUUCUGGUCAUUCUCUAUGCAUGUUCUGAUUCUCAUAUGUACAUAAUCGACUCGAGUAUUCAUUGAUUUACUCAUCAAUUGCCACGUCAGCUUCAUUUUAUUAGUAGAGACCCGACUUUAGGGACUUAGAAGGGUGCUACGGUUUUUACCGUACCUUCCUGAUAAGUAACCUGACCCCCGAAUCCGAUCUGGUUUUUCACAGACCACCUUUUCCAAAGUAAGGAGUCACACUUAGGGUUUUCUUUCUUAUUUUAUUUACCCUUUAAAAACAAAAUAAAAAUAAGUGGCGACUCCAAGUCAUUUUUCAAACAAUAAAAUCAUUUUUCAAAGUAAAAUCAAGCUCGCCAUUGAGUGGGAAACGCAUGAGCUGAAAUGCGGGGUCCACAAAAUGGCAACUCCACUGGGGAAUGUUUAGAGGGUCAAGCUUGAACUUAAGAUGAAGCAAACGUGGCAUUUGAUGAGUCGAUUAGUGAGUGCCUGUCUCUUGAUUGCACAUUGGGAGUUCUUGAUGCAUGCUUAGAUGUCGUAUUCAUUUGAGAUUUUGACAUGCUGGAUUAUUGAUGAUUGAUCUUAUUGCAUCACUUAGCGUAUUGAUUCUGAUUUUGGCAUGAUUGUUCUGAUCACUUCACAUGCAUACACUCACCAAUGCAUAUCACUCAGCUUGACAUAUUGAUUCUCUGACUUGUAUACUAUUUUGGAUUGUCUUUGAGCAUGAUGUUUGUAUCACUAUUUGUCUUGAUUGUCGUAUUCUCGCUUAUCUUGUGUGUACAUGAGUGAUAUAUCCUGCUCUGCCUGACUGUAUGAUGCAUGACUGCCCUCCCUCUGCAUGAUUGCAUGGCGUCUGCCUAUGUGGGUCUCACUUCUACCCCCCCUACCUCCAACUCUCUUGGUUUCGGUCAUUCCUUUCAUCUCGGUUCUCACUAUUGCAAGUGUGAGACCUUCUGUGUGCUUGCUCUCUAAUCGAGCCGGAGAUUAGGAGUAGGGUCUAGCGACGAGCUAUAUCGAUGUACGGGAGCAUUCCGGAGAAGGGCGACACUUUGAUGUCGAUUGGAGUCCGAUCAUUGAAGACCUGUAUAGCCCCAAGCUAGGUUUCAUGGAUAGUUGUGCGACCAGUGUGUUUCCUCUUCUGCUUUAGAUUCUUAGGUUUUUCAGAUGCACCCACACCAUUCACUGUGCACUUUAGUUGACCAUUGAGCGUUAAGAGUUUGAGAGGUUUCACCAUAGGAAACCCCCUAGGAUGUCGAGGUAGUGCAUGUGUGGAGAUGAUGACCACCUUGCAUGGAAGCACCCCGUCUCUUUUUGAGGCGUGCAGAUGGUUGCGUACCGCCGGAGGGUACGAUCGCUUCUGCUAGGGAUCUUUUAAAGUCCACCCAUAUCCAUUUAGAGCCACCUUCACCUUGUAAGUUGAGCCAUAGAUCCUCCGAUUAGGACUCCCUCCCUACACGUGGGUGCAUCUGUGGGCCUUCAGAGCCGGUUCAGUAGUAACAGGUUUGGUUACCUUCGCAGUAGUCUCUUAUAUAUCUGCUCAGGAUUGGAUAUCGGUUUGUUUGCUUCCAGGCUACCUUUUGACACAUUUGUUAGACAUUCUUUGUGAAGUUUCUCUUACCCCGCACCUUAUCUAGUAUUUCCACUAUUGUAGGAGUAUCGAUACGUUCAGUCUGGGUUUGACUUCUUGGAUCAGAGUUGGGGGUAGAUUGAUCAAGGUACUGGACCAGUUAGACCAGAGAUCAGAUCAGAGGGAUAUGGAUUCACAGAUAGUUACCGUCGAUCAGUUCGCUGAGGCCAUGGCUUCGAUUCAGGAGGCUAUAGCUAGCCUUGGCCGGAGGAUAGAUGGGCAGCAGGUCCCCCCCGGAUGGUGCCCAGUAUGACCAUACAGUGCCACCACCCCCUCCACCCAGUCAGUCAGCACCACAGGCCAUGUCGUUCACCCUACAUAGCCAGACCGAGGUUGCUCCGCCUCCCGUCACCGUGCCUACCCCAACCUCAGAGGACCCACAUGCUCGCAUGGAUAGGCUUGAGCAGGGGUUGAGGCAGUUGAGGACUUCCGACAGAGCCAUUACUUGGGAGGGUUUUGAUGGAGUGCCGGUAGCUAGCUUGCCGGCUAAGUUCAGGAUGCUUGACAUUGAGAGGUAUACUGGCAUUGGUUGUCCACGCCUCCAUCUCCGAUUAUACAGCACCGUGAUGAGGGCUCAUGGACUGGACGAGUCUCAGAUGAUUACUCUUUUCCCACUAUCUUUGAGUGGGGCGGCCCAGCGUUGGUGCAUCUCUGGAGGCCUCGAGGCGCCGCACAUGGGACGACUUGGCCCAGGAGUUUCUACGACAGUUUUCGUUUAACACUGUCGUAGAUGUAUCGAGGAGGGAGCUCGAGGCUUUGAGACAGAGGGCAGAGGAGUCUGUUUCUUCUUUCAUUUCCCGCUGGCGCGGGAAGAUAGCUGAGAUUAUCGAUAGACCAUCAGAGAGGGACCAGAUUCAGAUGGUUUUGAGGAGCCUACAGCCGCGGAUCACCAGACAUGUGGUAGGGGCCCCGUUCACAGAUUUUGGGUCUCUGGUUAUGGCUUUGUAUGAUGUCGAGGACGACAUCUCGAGAGGAUUAUGGACAGAUUCUUCCCCUAGUGAUAUUAAGGGGAAGAAGCCCUUCGUAGGACCGAGGCCAGUAGAUGUGAGCGCUAUCGGUUCUUCAGUCAGAGGCCUCCUAGGCGUCAUCAGCCGGUCCCACAGCUCCUAGAGACUCAUCCAUCUUACACACCUCAGCAGUUCAGGCCACGGGCACCUUGCCCGGCUUUUGAUCAGACAUAUCAGGCUCAGCCAUUGGCUCUACCUUACUAUGCCACUCAGGGCAUUGACAGGCCUCCUGUUUCAUACACGGCCACUGGACAACCAUGUUACGCUGCACAGUUCACUCCGAGGCCCGCACCUUCAUACCCUAGGCCUCGAGUUCAACAGACCUCUGCACCUUUUGCUUUGAGGAUGUAGAGACAGUUUUCACAAAUAGGCAUGCCGUUGAGCCAGGCUCUUCGGAAGCUUACAGAGGCUGGGUUAUUGACUACUCUCACCCCUCGGCCACCGCCUCAGCCGAUUCCACCUCAGUUCAGGAUGGAUCUACACUGUGCAUACCAUCAGGGGCCUGGACACGAGACCGAUCGAUGCACUGCUUUGAGGCAUGCCAUUCAGGAUUUGAUCGACCAGGGUUUGGUACACUUGGGUCAGCCGAGUGUGACCACGAACCCGUUACCUGCUCACAACACACAUGCAGUCCUUCCACCAGCCGAUGGCAUUCAUUUCUUAGAGUUUGAUGUGAUCGAUGACCACAUCCACAUGCUGAGUGAUGAUGAUUCAGACCCAGAGCCUAUCAUGCCAGAUGUGAUUUAUGAGACGAGUGGGGUGACUCUGGGUCCUCGGAUGCCUGCUCCAUUCCGAUUAGUUCCCGAGGCGGCGUCCGUGCAGGCUGCCACCGUUGAGCUAUUGAUUUUGCCGCAUUACAGUGUCUGGACGCCUUUCAUCUUGAUCCCGGAUGUUGCGGGGGUUCAGGCUCCGUACGUUGAUGAUUCUCAGACUCUGGACAUUCAGUAUGUUCUCCGAGAAGGUAGAGUGAUGAGACAGCCACCUCCAGCUGCUACCGCUAGACCCUUAGGGGAUACGUCAUCCCAAGAGGAGGUCAGAGCAGAGGAUGACGAGAUUUUGAGGCAGUUGCAAAGCACUCAGGCUCGUAUUUCUAUCUGGAGCCUUUUAGCGUCCUCCAGUACUCAUCGGGAUGCACUGACUCGAGCUCUGAGCCAGAUCAGAGUUGAUACCACGACCACUCCUGAGGGACUCAUUCAUAUGAUGACGGCUGGCAGAGCCACUUGUAUCGUCUUUUCCGAUGACGACUUGCCACCAGAGGGUUCUGGCCACACGCGUCCUCUCUAUAUAUCUGUUGGCUGUUCAGGUCGCCGAGUUCCAUCUGUCCUUCUGGACAAUGGCUCGGCCCUGAACGUAUGUCCUCUGGCCACCGCCAUCGCUCUUGGAUACGCACCAUCCGAUUUCGGCCCAUCCACUCAGACCGUUCGCGCGUAUGAUAGCACUCGGAGGGAGGUCAUGGGUACACUAGAGAUUGAGCUACUGAUUGGUCCAGCCACUUUUGUCGCCGUGUUUCAGGUUUUGAGGAUUCCUACAUCCUUUAACCUGCUUCUAGGCCGACCAUGGAUCCAUAGAGCCGGAGCUAUUCCUUCUUCCCUUCAUCAAAAGGUGAAGUUUAUUCAUGAUGGUCGGGUCGUCGUGGUACAGUUUGUAGGGGAUAUGUUCAUUUCGAUCGAGCCCGUACUUGAGAUCAAUCACGCUGAUGAUGAUUUUUUUCUUACCGGAUUCACCUUUGAUGAGGUGCAGACUCUGGAGAUGGAAGACUUCUGUCGAGACUUUGUAGCCCUGUCCUUCGACCAGCACAGCAGCACGGUGGUACUUGAUAUUAUGAGGAGCAUGUCUUAUCUUCCUGGUAUGGGUUUGGGGCGGUGUCAGCACGGGCCUAGUGAGUUCAUGACUUUUCCGGACCGUGAUGUACCAUUCGGGCUUGGAUUCAUUCCCCACUGAGGCCGACUAUCGUCAUAUGGCGCGGCUGCGCAGGAAGAGGGUGAGGGCUCGCUUGACUCAUACGCCCUUUUAUUAUCCUGUCCGCCCAUACACCACGAGCCUAGCUGAUUACUUUGUGAGGGCAUCAGAGCCACAUGCACCAUCUGAUGGGAUCAUCGGAGGACUCAGCACCACUCAGGAGGCUGAGCUUCAGCGCCUCGUCCAACAGUUACAGUUGAGUGACGGAGCCCCUGGCCCUUCGGCUUCUGUGUUGAUUGCUCCUCCCUCCCCAGAUCGCACGAGCCUUAUGACGCUUUGCUUCCCGGAUGAGAUCGAUGAUCACGGGACUUUUGCCGAGAUUGGAGACGUAGUGGAUGGAGCCGUGCCGCAUGACGAGUACGUUGAUGAGAUGCUCGCGAUGAGCUUGAGCCAGACCGAGGAGAUAGCCCCGCCGGAGCUCGCUUCACCAUUUGAUCUCUUCGGGGUGUCCGUCCUCGAGAUCGCCGGGGAGAUCCAGGUUGCCCCCACUCCAGAGGUCGUCGAGGAUGUUAUAGUUGUUGUUGAUUUGUUUGAUGGCCCUGUUGGCCUAGUUGAGGGAGCGUCCGACCUUGUGGACCCACCUCUCCCCUUUGAUGUUUUAUCGGGAUUUGUCUCCCGUCAUGACUAUGUUUCUGACUUUUCAUCUAUGGUUUUGAGCACCUUUGAGUAUUUGCUUGUCUCUCAUGUUAUUGAUUUAUCUGCACCAUCUUCACCCACAUCACAGAUUUUUGACAUUGAUGAUGAGAUUGCACAGCAUGAUUCAGAUGAUGACUCAUCUCCUGCUUCCGAUUCAGACCCCGUUGAUCAGAGAGUUUCACCUGCUGUAGGGGACACCGAGAUUGUUGACUUUGGCACGGCAGAUCAGCCUAGGGAGUUGAGGAUCGGAUCGGAUUUGUCUACAGAUGAGAGAGAUAGCCUCCUCCAACUACUCAGAUCCUACUUGGACGUUUUCGCAUGGUCCUAUGAAGACAUGCCAGGCCUUGAUCCAUCUAUCGUCCAGCAUCGUUUGCCACUUCUGCCCCAGGCCAGACCGGUUAAGCAGAAGUUGAGACAAUUGCACCCUCGUUGGAGCUUGCAGGUGAAAGAUGAGAUCCAGAAGCAGCUCAGUGUAGGAUUCUUAUCAGUGGUUGAGUACCCGGAGUGGCUGGCCAAUGUCGUCCCUGUUCCCAAGAAGGACGGCAAGGUGAGAGUCUGUGUUGAUUUCCGAGAUCUCAACAAGGCCAGUCCUAAGGAUGAUUUUCCUUUUCCACACAUCGACAUGCUAGUUGACAGUACGGCAGGUCAUUCGAUGUUGUCCUUUAUGGACGGAUUUUCCGGGUACAGUCAGAUCUUGAUGGCUCCAGAGGACAUGGAGAAGACGUCCUUCAUUACCGAGUGGGGUACUUAUUGCUAUAGAGUCAUGCCAUUCGGAUUGAAGAACGCAGGAGCCACAUAUCAGAGAGCAGCGACCACACUUUUCCAUGACAUGAUGCAUCGGGAUGUUGAGGUUUACGUAGACGACAUGAUAGUGAAAUCCCGAGAUAGAUCAGAUCAUUUGGAAGCUCUUGAGAGGUUCUUUGAGAGGAUUAGACAGUUCAGAUUGAGACUGAAUCCCAAGAAGUGCACUUUUGGAGUGACUUCUGGGAAACUCUUGGGAUACAUGGUCAGUGAGCGAGGCAUAGAGGUAGAUCCGGACAAGAUUAGAGCCAUUCUUGACAUGCCUGCGCCGAGGACAGAGAGAGAGAGGUCAGAGGCUUCCUGGGCAGACUUCAGUACAUCAGUAGAUUCAUAGCCAGAUUGGGCCACUCGCCGAUUGAGACAUUACAUGACUGAGUAUUCCGUGCACUUGAUAUCCCGUCUAGAUCCUUUGAGAUAUUUGUUUGAUAGGCCCGCCCUAGUCGGUCGCCUCAUGAGAUGGUUGGUACUUCUGACUGAGUUUGACAUCCAUUAUGUCACUCAGAAGUCCAUCAGAGGGAGCAUUGUAGCAGAUCAUCUAGCCUCAUUACCAGUUUCUGAUACCAGAGCUAUUGACGAUGAUUUUCCAGACGAGGAUGUCGCUGCUGUGACUAGUCCGUCGGGGUGGCGCAUGUACUUUGAUGGUGCGGCCAACCAUUCUGGAUAUGGGAUAGACGUCUUGUUGAUAUCCCCUCACGAUGAUCACAUUCCCAGAUCAGUUCGUUUGGCAUUCUCGGAUCGGCAUCCAACCACGAACAACAUUGUUGAGUAUGAGGCUUGUAUCUUGGGAUUAGAGACAGCCCUUGAGCUCGGGAUUAGACAGAUGGAAGUGUUUGGUGACUCCAAUCUGGUGUUGAGACAGAUUCAGGGCGAGUGGAAGACUAGAGAUGUGAAGCUUAAGCCUUAUCAUGCAUAUUUGGAGCUACUGGUUGGGAGAUUUGAUGAUUUGAGAUAUACCCAUCUGCCUAGAGCGCAGAACCAGUUUGCUGAUGCUUUAGCUACUCUAGCUUCCAUGAUCGAUAUUCCCGUUAAUGCCACUGUUCAACCUCUGUUGAUCGAGUCGAGAUCUGCUCCUGCUUACUGUUGACUGAUCGAUGAUGUAGAGUCAAAUGAUGGUUUGCCAUGGUAUCACGACAUAUAUCACUUUUUGAGACUCGGCGUAUAUCCUGAGGCCGCCACGGCCAAGGAUAAGAGAGCAUUGAGACAGUUGGCCACUCGAUUCGUGAUUUGCGGCGAGACACUGUACAAGCGAUCACCUGACGGGGUGCUAUUAUUGUGUUUGGACCGCGCCUCUGCCGAUCGGGUGAUGAGAGAGGUUCAUGCGGGAGUCUGCGGACCACAUAUGGGAGGACAUAUGUUGGCUCGUAAGAUCAUGAGGACAAGAUACUUCUGGUUGACCAUGGAGACAGAUUGCUGCCAGUUUGUUCAGAGGUGUCCCGAGUGUCAGAUACACGGAGAUCUCAUUCACGUGCCGCCCUCCGAGCUGCACGCACUGACUUCACCAUGGCCAUUUUCCAUCUGGGGUAUUGAUAUCAUCGGGAAGAUUUCACCGAAAUCUUCCAGUGGUCAUGAGUUUAUCCUGGUUGCCAUCGAUUACUUCACCAAGUGGGUGGAGGUCGCCUCAUAUGCGAGAUUGACAUCAGCUGGAGUUGCUAGUUUUAUCAUAUCACACAUUAUCUGUCGCUAUGGAGUCCCCCAUGAGUUGAUUUCGAAUAGAGGGGUACAUUUCAGAGCAGAGGUUGACACCUUAGUGCAGAGAUACAGCAUCCGGCAUCAUAGAUCGUCUGCGUACAGGCCGCAGAUGAAUGGGGCAGUAGAGGCCGCGAAUAGGAAUAUCAAGAGGAUAUUACGGAGGAUGGUCGAGACUUCUCGGGAUUGGUCAGAGAAGCUCCCAUUUGCAUUGUGGGCUUAUCGGACUUCUUUUCGCACCUCUACAGGCGCCACACCCUACUCCUUGGCAUAUGGCAUGGAGGCGAUGCUACCCGUUGAGAUUGAGAUGGGUUCGUUGAGAGUAGCACUAGAGCAGCAGAUUCCCGAGGCAGAUUGGGCUCAGGCUCAAUUUGAUCAGCUCAAUCUCCUAGAUGAGAGGAGAUUGAGAGCAGCAGACCAUGUUCGUGCAUAUCAGAGGAAGAUGGCCCGCGCUUUCAAAAAGCGGGUCAAGCCUAGACCACUGCAUGUAGGUGACUUAGUUUUGAAAGUCAUCAGGGGAUUGAUCAGAGAUCCUAGAGGGAAGUUUAGACCCAACUGGAGCGGACCUUAUUUCAUCAGGGAGUUGACCCUAGAGGGCGCUGUAUGGCUGAUGGAUUUAGACGGAAACCGAUUCUCAGAGCCAACCAAUGUGGAUCAGCUAAAGAGGUACUAUGUUUGAGACCAUGGUCGCAGGAUGGGUGGUCGUCAUUUCGGUUAGCUAUUACCUUGUUAUUCCUUUGUGAUACAUAGUCCGUUGCUAGCCCAUUGAGCCUCACAUGCGUAUUAUAGUCUGUCUUUCUUAUCGCCUUGCUCACAUUUUCACACCGGGAUAGGGGCCCUUUAAUGUAUGCAUACAUUGUUUGGUAGUUUCAUGAGCUUUGGACCUAGAGGCAUGUUUUUCUCAUUAUCUUUUCCUAUCACUGCACCUCUGCAUUUUCAUCUUAUCUUAUUGGUUAUGUUAUUCAUCUCUUCUUCCUUAUCCUAUCUACUAUUUGUUUGUCUCAUAUUCUCUCCACCCUGAGUGGUGAGCCUCCUCAGUUCAUCACAUGGAGGAUAGUCACAUCAUUCCCAUCAUCUAUCUCACGGACACUGGUUUAGAGAUCCUUGGUUUGAGAAGGUCAUCUCGUUAGAGAGAGUUUGUUUGUUACCUUAUUACUUAGGAGUGUGUCCAUUUGUUAUUCAUAUCAUCUUUGGGGUUCAUUUGUUCAUGUUUAGGGUAUGUGUAUUUGUAUAUAUGUAAAAAAAAAAAAAAAAAAAAAAUGAAAGAAAAAAAAAAUCAUUAUUAUUAUUAUUAGCACAUGUGUGUAUGUGCAUAGUGUUCUCGGUCAUUGAGUAUGUAUAUUGAUGUUUGGGGUUCAUUUUUAUCGAGUAUGUUCGUUAUCGGGAGUUCGUAUGUGAACUCUCUAAGAUCCCAUGUUAUUUGCAUUGCUUCGUCAUAUCUAUUUGUGAGAGAGAUGAGUGACCCUCUCCUAAGGACUCCGAGUCAUUGUCCUUUCCAUCAUUACAUUCAUUAUUGAUGUGACUUCACUUCAUGUUUGAUCUGAGUCGAUCACCACUUUUCUUCACGUAUUCAUUGUUUCGAUAUCGUUUUUAUCGUUGCUUGUGAUUCAUCUCAUUCCCUUCGCGUCUUGUUCUCUCCUUACAGCGACCCAUCUCAGGUUCGAUGCUCAUUUCUCAUCAUCAUUACACAUAUCACUAUCAGUUCAUCCUGUUUCAUUUGUCUCCUUAUCGAUAUCAUAUUCACGUUAGGCGUCCUCAGAUCCAUGGCUCAUGAGGUUCGCUAUACAUGUUGCAUUUCAUAUAUGAGGGCAUGAGUUUUGAUCAUUGGGUAUUUGAGCCUAGUUUUCUUUCGUUUCUAUCACCCUAUCACCUUGGCCUACGUUACGUCCCGUGUCUUAAGACCACCCUGAGGCCAUGGGAUCAGAUGUCGUCUUCAGCAGCCUCUACUUGGGCAGGUGAUUGAGAUCUGGUUGAUAUUUAGAUAUCGUCAUGCUUUUUCUUCUGGGAGUCGCCUUUUUGAUGUAUAGGUCUGAUUCAGUUGUGUUCGAAUUACUAGGAUCAUAAGUUUGAUGAUGAUUGAUUUGGUGUCACCUGAUUUUUGACCUAUCAUACCUUUGGUGCCACACUGGGGCAUGUCCCAUUUCAUUUGGAGGUUCAUGGAUCCUCACGGACUUGCACGAUCAUCACUUACUGGAUGCUCACUGAGACGUAGACAUGAUCGUUACCUUACGGAGCCCCUGAGAUCCACCCAGCCAGGUCCGCACUUCUCGACACUUGGAUGUCAUCAUGCCUCUCCAUCUGGGAGGUACAUCUUGGAUAUGUGUGCAUGAUUCAGUUAUGGAUUCGGACGACCAUUGUUACAUGUUCGAUGACAGAUGAUUUCAUGUCGCUCGAUUUCUGACUUGUCGUACAUCCGAUGCCCAUACUGGGGCAUAUUUUCCUUUUCAGAUGAGAUUUACGGACUUUCAUGGAGGUCACAUGUGCGAUGAUGGAUGAUUUCAUGACAUUUGUUCUUCGGACCUGUCGCGCACCUGAUGCCAUACUGGGGCAUAUUCCGUUUCGGAGGAUCUUUAUGGAUCUUUGUAGAGGUCACAUGUUCGAGGAUAAACAAUCCCAUGCUAUCUGAUCUCCGACCUAUCAUACAUUUUGAUGCCAUACAGGGGCAUAUUUCGGUUCGGAUGAGAUUUACAGAUCAUGGGGGAGUCGCGUGCCUAUCCUUAUUUGGCGAGAUGUAUGCAGAGAUGAUGAUAUAUUCGCUAUCCUCACGAUGAUUCCUUAGUGGAGCCUAUCGAGAGCCAUCUAGCCAGGCAUGGAUGACCUGAGCUCAUCUGAUUUUUCGACAUAUUACAUUCUCGAUGCCACACUGGGGCAUAUUUCCCAUCAUUGAUCUAGAUUUAUAGAUCCCCACUGGUUUACAUGAUCAUCCACGAUUAUGGGAUAUGCGCCAGGUCGAUGUUCGACUUCAUUUUGUCCGGAUACUCCGAGGAGCCUCUCUUGAGUCAUUCAGCCAGAUUCAUACCCUUUUAUAUAGUCGUGAUUCCUCGAUGGAGUUGUCUCUGUUGCCUGGAUUUCCCGCGUCAUCAUUUCAGAGGGGUACAUAUCAGAUCUGUUACGCGUCCCAUUGGUGUUAUUCUCGGGUCAUCAGGACAGAUCGGGUACAUCUGAUGUCAUACUAGGGCAUAUUGCCUUCAUUUAGCCCUAGAGGCGAUCGUUCUCUCACAUAUCCGUUACAGUUUCCAUCACUCAAUCGAGAUAUAUUGUAUUCACCUCACUAGCCAUUAUUCCUGAGCUCUUCAUCGAUAUGAGCUCUCAACGGAGUGUCGUUCGAGACUCGUAGAGUCCCUUUCAGCCAUUUCCAGCGGAUUGAGAUUUGCAGUGGCAUGCCACACUGGGGUAUACCCCCGUCUUUGAGUACAUCGGCUGUUUUGCACAUCUUUCUCACUACUCAGUCCAUUUCUUGAUCUUUGCGAGUCAUCAUACUGGGGCAUACCCCCUUUAGCAUUUUUCUAUUGGGGCAACCCCCCACAGUCAUUUUUGUUUGGGGCAUCCCCCCACUAUCAUUUUCGUUUGGGGCAUCCUCCCACUGUCAUUUACGUUUGGGGCAUCCCCCCACUGUCAUUUACGUUUGGGGCAUCCACCCACUGUCAUUUACGUUUGGGGCGUCCCCCCACUGUCAUUUACGUUUGGGGCGUCCCCCCACUGUCAUUUUCGUUUGGGGCGUCCCCCCACUGUCAUUUUCGUUUGGGGCAACCCCCCACUGUCAUUUACGUUUGGGGCAUCCCCCUACUGUCAUUUUCGUUUGGGGCAUCCUCUCACUGUCAUUUACGUUUGGGGCAUCCCCCCACUGUCAUUUACGUUUGGGGCAUCCCCCCACAGUCAUUUACGUUUGGGGCAUCCCCCCACUGUCAUCUUUGUUCAGGGCAUUCCCCGUUCUCGUCACUUUGUUUAGGGCAUCCCCCUACUUUAGGUUUGUUUAGGGCAUCCUCCUACCUUUACUUUGUUUAGGGCAUCCCCCUGCUUUUAGCUCGUUUAGGGCAUUCCCCUAUCGUCACUUUGUUUAGGGCAUCCCCCUACCUUUUAGUUUCAUUUAGGGCAUCCCCCUACUGUCGCUUUUGUUUAGGGCAUCCCCCUACCUUUAGUUCAUUUAAAGCAUCAUCUACUGUUAGUUCAUCUGUGGGCCUUCUAGUUUAGCAUUUAGAACUAGCUUUUCGGUUCGGCUUCCAGAGCCAUUAUUUUUCUCAGUUUAGCAUUUAGAAUUUGUUUUUUGGUCGGCUCCUAGAGCUAUUAUUUUCUAGUUUAGUGUUUAGAGUUAGUUAUUUUGGUCGGCUUCUAGAGCUAUUAUUUUCUAAUUUAGUGUUUAGAGUUAGCUUUUCGGUUUGGCUUCCAGAAUUAUUAUUUUCUAGUUUAGUGUUUAGAAUUAGUUUCUGGGUUUGGCUUACAGAGCUAUUAUUUUCUCAAUUUGACGUUCAGAGUCAUCAUCAUCACUUCUCAGUUUCGGCGUUCAAAGCCAUCAUCACUUUUUAGUUUCGGCGUUCAGAGCCAUCACCGUGUUUACAGUUCGGCGUUCAGAGCCAUCAUUGGUUUUCAGAUCGACAUUCAGAGUCGCAUCCUCGAUUUCGACAUUCAGAGUCGUUAUCGCUUCUCAGUUUGACGUUCAGGGUCAUCAUCAUCGCUUUUUAGUUUCUGCGUUCAGAGCCAUCACCGUGUUUACAGUUCGGCGUUCAGAGCCAUCAUCGGUUUUCAGAUCGACAUUCAGAGUCACAUCCUCGAUUUCGACAUUCAGAGUCGUUAUCGCUUCUCAGUUUGACGUUCAGGGUCAUCAUCAUCGCUUUUUAGUUUCGGCGUUCAGAGCCAUCACCGUGUUUACAGUUCGGCGUUCAGAGCCAUCAUCGGUUUUCAGAUCGACAUUCAGAGUCGCAUCCUCGAUUUUGACAUUCAGAGUCGUUAUCGCUUCUCAGUUUGACGUUCAAAGUCAUCAUCAUCACUUUUUAGUUUCGGCGUUCAGACCCAUCACCGUGUUUUCAGUUCGACGUUCAGAGCCAUCGUCGCUUUUCAGUUUUGGCGUUCAGAGCCAUCACCAUUUUCAGUUUGGCGUUCAAAGCCAUCGUCGCUUUUCGGUUUUGGCGUUCGGAGCCAUCGUCACUAUUUUCAGUUCGGCGUUCAGAGCCAUCGUCGCUUUUCAGUUUUGGCGUUCAGAGCCAUCACCAUUUUCUGUUUAGCGUUCAGAGCCAUCGUCGCUUUUCGGUUUUGGCGUUCAGAGCCAUCGUCGCUUUUCAGUUUUGGCGUUCAGAGCCAUCACUAUUUUUAGUUUGGCGUUCAGAGCCAUCAUCGCUUUUCAGUUUUGGCGUUCGGAGCCAUCACUAUUCUCAGUAUCGGAGCCAUCAUCAUCACUAUUUUCAGUUUGGCGUUCAGAGCCAUCAUCACUAUUUUCAGUUCGGCGUUCAGAGCCAUCGUCGCUUUUCAGUUUUAGCAUUCAGAGCCAUCGCCAUUUUCAGUUUGGCGUUCAGAGCCAUCAUCGCUUUUCAGUUUUGGCGUUCAGAGCCAUCACUAUUUUCAGUUUGGCGUUCAGAGCCAUCAUCGCUUUUCAGUUUUGGCGUUCGGAGCCAUCACUAUUCUCAGUAUCGGAGCCAUCAUCAUCACUUCUCAGUCUUGGCGUUCGGAGCCAUCAGCAGUUUCCAUUCGGCGUUUAGAGCCAUCACCACUUCUCAGUUUCGGUGUCCAGAGCCAUCACCACUUCUCCGUUUGGCAUUCAGAGCCAUCGUUAUCACUCCUCAGUUUGACGUUCAUAGUCACAUUCAUCAGUAUCGGCUUUCAGAGCCAUCAUCACAUCUUCGUUCGGCAUUCAGAGCCAUCGUUAUCACUUCUCAGUUUUGGCGUUCAGAGCCAUCACUGUUGCAUUCUCUGUUUCGGUGAUCAGAGCCAUCAUCACUUCCUAGUUUGACGUUUAGAGUCAUCAGCACAUCUUCGUUCGGCAUUCAGAGCCAUCGUUAUCACUCAGUUUGACGUUCAUAGUCACAUUCAUCAGUAUCAGCAUUCAGAGCCAUCAUCAUCACUUCCCAGUUUGACAUUCAGAGCCUUUGUCCACUUUUGAUUCGGUGUUCAGAGCCACAUCUUCAGUCGACAUUCGGUGUUCGAAACCAUUGUAUACACUCAUUCGAAGACCUUGAGUCACCAUCUUCCCGUGUUUUGAGUCAUUUCUCCUCGACUGUAUCAUUCAGGGUCACAGUCCCUGGCAUUCAUAUUCGGUGGUUUCUCUUUUCAUUGCUCAUGACGUAGUCCUUCGAGUUUACGACGCAUACUUCGGUCACGUCGUUGGGCAUCCCCCCCACUGUCAUUUCGCUUGGGGCAUCCCCCCACUGUCAUUUUCGCUUGGGGCAUCCCCCCACUGUCAUUUACGUUUGGGGCAUCCCCCCACUGUCAUUUACGUUUGGGGCAUCCUCCCUACUGUUAUUUACGUUUGGGGCAUCCCCCCACUGUCAUUUACGUUUGAGGCAUCCCCCCACUGUCAUUUACGUUUGGGGCAUCCCCCUACUGUUAUUUACGUUUGGGGCAUCCCCCCACUGUCAUUUCGUUUAGGGCAUCCCCCUAUUUUCAUCUUGUUUAGGGCUUUCCCCCACCGUCAGUUUGCUUAGGGCAUCCCCCUUUUGUUUCAAAUUUAUCACCACCGUAGGUCUUCACCUAUGGGCCCUCUAGUUUAGUGUAGAGUUAGUUUUUUUUUGUUUGGCUUCCAGAGCCAUUAUUUUUCUAGUUUAGCGUUUAGAGUUAGCUUUUUGGUUUGGCUUUCAGAGCUAUUGUUUUCUCAGUUUGGUGUUUGGAGUCAGUCUCGUCAUUCAGAGUCACAGCUCCUAGCAUUCAUAUUCACUGGCAUUGCACGUCUCACCUUCAUGGACUUGCACUUAUUCUCAUUCUCCUCACCUUGUUACCUUGUGCUUAUCGUUUCAGCAUUGCUCUUCUAGGCUUCCCCUUCCAUUGCACAUGAUAUAGCCCUUUGAGUUCACGACACAUGUUUCAGUCAUAUUGUUGGGAUCCCUAGACAUAGCAUUCCCAUGUAAUUCACAUAGGGCGUUCCCUUUAGGCGCAUUCUUUCUCAUACUCUAGGGUGGUUCGACUGUUACUCGUCUUUGAUAUGGUUUUUCAAGUCACUUUUGGAGGCAUCUUAGAGGGAGCCUGGGUCCUCAGUGUAGCUUCAGAAGCGCUUGGAGAUAUGUUUUUCUUUUAGGAUUAGAGUCUUUAUGUUCGUCCACUGACCUAAGUAGGUCCGUAUUUCACUAGUGUUCCUUCAGGGUCUUCUUUUUCUUCGGUAGAGUUUACUCCGUUCCACUCAUCAUUCACACUUUCUUUUCACUCUAGUGUUCAUGUUCCUUACACUUGUGAACUCUACCGAAGAGGGGCAUAUUUGUAGACCCCUCUUUCAAGAGCCGGGGGACCUUUAGUUUUUUUAUGACAUUGGAAAGGGGCCUCAUCAUCACCAGCAGCUGGCAGCACCCUAGGCAAGUGAGGGGACCCCUUUCUGCAAGGAGAGCAGCUUCACAGACACGGCAAAGACGUGAUGGCCGGCCAUGCUAGUGGGGGAGGGAAGCCAUGUUGGCUGAUGGAGGAAUAGUAGAGCGGGUAGUGGCUUGCUGUGGAAGAUAGAAACAGGAGAGAGAAAGCAUAUACGAGAGGGGAGUCUGAUAUCUGGGGGGGAGGAAGCCAUUAGAGGGGUCACAAGGAAGGGAGUUGGUUGGUUCCAUUGAUCUUAAAGGAGAACUUACUAGAGAAGGAGAUAACAGAGAAAGGAGGCAGCUGCAGGUGAGUUUAGGGUGAGUCUCUUGCUCCCUUUGAUUCAUAUUCUCCUCGUCCCUUUCUCAUUUUGGUUUGCUUUGCAUUGCUUAUCAGUCUGGGUUGGAUUUCAUCUUGAAUUUCAUUGAUUUUUCUGGAUCACUUGUUUGUCGUUGUUGAUUUUGCCGUUAUCCUUAUGGUUUAGUUUGGAGUUAACGAGAUCUGUUUCUCACGUAUUUUGUGGCUCUGGCUUGAGAUCUUCCCACCUGUAUCUGCCCAUGGAUACCACCCGACAUGAGGCUUGAUACGCUCAUGUUUUUCUACUUUAUUCCUUGAUUAUCCUUCCCUCGUUUUUUUGUUGCUUUGGCUCCUAUAUUUGUGAUCCUUUCUGUGAAUGAAGACCUAGACACAAAGGCUGUUUCUUGUAUUUGAUAAAACCGAUUAAGCCACCCAUGUUUUCAGAUGAAGCAGGGACGUUGACGAGAUGUAUUCUCUGUUUUUAGGAUCUUUGUUCUUCUUUUAAUAUCUGUAAACAGAGAAGCUUGCAUGCAAAGAGUUCAUCAUCCAAAACUGGCAGUAUCUACCCAUUAUACCCAACGUGCCCAUGGCUGCCCUUCACACCUAUUUCAUACCCAUUCUCCCACAAAUUAAUACCCAUCUAUUCUCAUGCAGACCUAACCGUCAUUCCUAUGCCCACAUCUCAUCCCCACGCAUUUCAAACACCACCAUACCCAUCUCUCGUCUUUCAUGCUACCCACACCCACCAUUCACCAUUUAUUUCCUAUAUCACCAUCCAUCUAAUCCACCAUGUUACCCGCUACCACUGAACCCGUUUUCCCUCGCCUCUUUUUGUUUUACCACCAUUCUCUUUCUUCACCACAUCAAAUAUCCAUUUUCCCCACCAUCCUGAAUUCCCAUGCAAACCUGUCACCAUGCAUGCCCAUAUUUUGCACUCACCAUUAACCAUUUAUCCCACCUGAUUUCAUUAUGUAUUUAUCCAACCAUCUAUCAUCACCCACGCCAUCCAUGAGCAAGAAUACCAGCCCGUUUCCCUCGUUCUCUCUCAUUGCUCGACACGUAUUCCCCCCCAUGCAUGGCCACCUUAGCCCUCAUACCCACUGGUUCUCACAUUCCAUGCUCACGGAAUAGGAUCCCCCUACCACAUUCGCCUCAUUCAACUCAACAUCUUCUCAACCAUACCCCAUGACUCCUUUCCCAUUUAUUUCAUUCCCUUCCCCAGCGCAUGAAAUCCCGCACAUGGUCACCCGCGGUGGGUCCAGCUUUGCCACCGGUGUACCGAGAUCACCGGAGCUCGCCCGCCAUCGCAUGACAGUUCAGGUUUUGGAGUCAUGGAUUGUAGUUCAUUCGGUGAUCAUUGGGAUUUCCUUGGGAGCUUCUGAAAGUCUAAAGACAGUCAAGCCUCGUGUGGUUGCAUUGUCUUUCUAUCAGCUCUUUGAAGGUGGUAGGGACCUCAUCCUUGGUGUAGAAGGCAGCUCUCAAAAAUUUGAGAAGUCGCGUUAAUGAGGUGGCCCGGUUUUGGGUGAUACCUAGGUAGAGACAGCAGGGGUCUGAAACCGGUGAUGGCUUUAGUGGAUGACGUUGAAGCCUUUUCUUUCUUUCUAUGGCGUGUAGAUAGAGAGUUUUUAUUUUUAUUUGGACCCUUACCAUCACUAUGAUAUUGUUUCUGGGUAUUAGCGUCCUAGCUGGGGCUCUUGCUUCCCAGUGUACCACAAAGACUACAUCUUAUUUUAUUUUAAUCCAUCCUCUAUCUUUUGAUAUCAAGAUUUAUUUUUUUUAUUUUUUUAACUUCGGUUUUUUAAAUUCAGUCUUUAAAACUCCCGUCUUUAACUAAUUCUUCAAAACUCUAAUUUCCGAAUAUAAUUUUCAAUUUCUGAAUUUAACCAUUAUUAUCUUCAUUGUUAUUAUUAUUAUUUAUUCAUUUAUGUAUUUAAAAAUCUCAUCUUUAAACAAAUUUUCAAAAUCCCGACUUCCGAAUUUAAUAUUUUUUUUGUUUGAAAAAUUCCACUAUUCACUUUCAUUCACUUAAAUAUCGUUUUUGUUAAUUAUUAUUACUAUUCCAUAUGCAUUUAUUUAUCCUCCUUUAAAAGUUUCAUUUCCUAAAGCCCAAUUCAUUAAAAAUCUAAGGUCCUAAUUAAAUUUUCAAUCUCAAAAUUUCCACUAUUUCAUUUGUUUAAAUAUUAUGUUUAUUAAUUAUUAUUAUUAUUCCUCAUGUGUUUAUUUAUCCUCCUUUAAAAAUCUCAUCCCUUAAAGUCCAAUUCUUCAAAAACUCGACGUCCAAAUUUAAUUUUCAAUAUAAAAAAUUCCACUAUUCACGUUCAUUCGCUUAACCAUUAUUUUUGUUAUUAUUAUUAUCAUUCCAUAUUUAUUUAUUUAUUUCUUUUAAAAAUUCAAAUCAUUAAAGUUCAAUCCUUGAAAAAUCUGACUUCCGAAUUUAAUUUUCAAUCUCAAAGAUUCCACUAUUCAUCCAAUACUUAAAGUUCAAUUUUUCAAAAUCCCGUUUUCCAAAUUUAAUUUUCAAUCUCAAAAAUUCCACUAUUCACAUUUAGCCGUUUAAUGAUUAUUUUCGUUAUUAUUAUUAUCCCGUUCAUUUAUUUAUUCACUUAUUCAUAUAUUUAAAAUCUCAUCUCCAAAUAAUUUCUCAAAAUUUCAAUUUCUAAAUUCAAUCUCCAAUCUCUAAAAUUCUAUUUUUUGCAAUUAUUUACCGAAUCUCUAUUAUUUCAUCAUUAUUAUAUUUAUUAAAAUUCCGUCUUUAAAUAAUUCUUCAAAAUUCCGAUUCCCAAAUUUAGUUCUCUGAAAUUCCAAUUCUUUUCAAAUUCAAUUUCUAAAAUUCUCAUUCUUAUAUUUAAUUUCUAAAAAUCCAAUUUUCAAAUAAUCUCUAAGACUCCGAUUUUCAAAAUGAAUUUCAAAAAUCCAAUUUUCCUUCGAACAAUUUUAAUUUCUGUUUGGUAAUGCAUGUGAUAUAUUUUGUGCUCUAUAUUGUGCACUGACUCUGUUUUUAUGAUAGCGCAUCGCUCGUUCGUGGCUCAGGUAUGCAUCAAUUCCUAUUCUGGUCAUUCUCUAUGCAUGUUCUGAUUCCCAUAUGUACAUAAUCGACUCGAGUAUUCAUUGAUUUACUCAUCAAUUGCCACGUCAGCUUCAUUUUAUUAGUAGAGACCCGACUUUAGGGACUUAGAAGGGUGCUACGGUUUUUACCGUACCUUCCUGAUAAGUAACCUGACCCCCGAAUCGGAUCCGGUUUUUCACAGACCACCUUUUCCAAAGUAAGGAGUCACACUUAAGGUUUUCUUUCUUAUUUUAUUUACCCUUUAAAAACAAAAUAAAAAUAAGUGGCGACUCCAAGUCAUUUUUCAAACAAUAAAAUCAUUUUUCAAAGUAAAAUCAAGCUCGCCAUCGAGUGGGAAACACAUGAGCUGAAAUGCGGGGUCCACACAUAGUUAGGGUAAGUGUGUGGUAAAUUAACUUAGUGUUUCGCAAAAUAUUUAUUUAUCAUCAUUUAAAAUUAAAAAAUAAAUUUAAAUAUUAAAUAAAAAUAAUUAACUUAUUCUAAAUUCUAAUUUUUUUAAUUCUCUUUGUUCAUAUUUGGUGAUAAUCACUUUUAUAUCCAUGACUCUAUGUUCACAAUUUCCCUUUUUUUUUUAGUAAAUAUUUUGUAGUUAUUUUGUUGCUUCACAAUAGUACUUUUUAAUAUAAAUGUUUAUCAAGUUUAAGUUUAUGAAGACAAAUAUUAAGAAAAAUUAACGAGUUUAAUAUAUUUGUAGACCUCUCUUUUGGACUAUUAGACAUUUUUUUUAUCACUAUUAUUUGUUGUUUUUUAUUUUAUUUUAUGUUUAUUUUUCUUUUCCUCACCACCUUCUUGUCGCCUAGGAAGCCUGGUCUUUUUGGGCAAGAUGGUGAAACACCAUCUCUAUAAAGGGAAGUGGGGGACAACUUCCACAAGUGAGCGGGCUGCAUGGGACGCAUGAAGGAUACUGCUACCUCGGCAUGGUGGUGGUUAGGAUGGAAACGUCUCUAAGCGGGGAGUAGUAGAGCUGGUGGAGGCUUGGGGGGAGAAGAAAGGAGGGAGGUCUGAGAGAAAAGGGAGAGAGCUAAAGAAAUAGAGGGCGAGGAACUUUAGCGGAUUUUGAAGAAUCUAUGGAAUCCAGUGCUUGAAACCAAGCAAUCCUUGCUCAAAGGGAGUCGUUCAGCGUUUGAUUGCAACUAGAAUCCCAUUGAUCAACUGUCCUGGGUUAUGCAUGCCCGUCAUAAGUUCUUCAUGGGUUUGGAGGUAGUGGCAGUGUUGGUGCUCUCCUUCGCCAUAAUUUUGAUUCUCAUUGCUUUGGAGGAAUGCCCCUAGUUGCCUUUGGAAUCAUCUAUUUAAGAAUGCACUGAGAAGUUAGAGAUGUUGUCCUUUUUUUAGUGUCAUUUGUUUGAGAUUUUGCUAAUUGUGGCCUAUUCAAGGAUAGACUUGAGAUAUUAAAGAAGCUUAGAUAUGGAAGGAAGUAUAGUCCACACACACUACUUGAGUAGAAAAGAAAAGUAGCAAUGGAUUAUUGGGAAUGACUUCCAGUUUUUACCCUAGGUUAUAUUUCUGCUAUCAUUCGUCUAUUUCUGGUGUGUUUGGGGUGCUGAAUAUUAUGGCUAGUUUGGCCAUUUUGGUUGGGGUGGUUUUUAAGAGACUUGUAUGGAUAUCUCUGGUCUUUUAUAUAGUAAGCUUCAUUACAAAUAGUGACAUUCUUGUGUUAAGCCCUGGUGAAGAGCUCUAGUACAAUCAUAUGUUGACAUAGAAGGCUAAAAUACCCGGAUAUAGGAAUUGGAAAUUCAAUAAAAUGAUUGGUCCUAGAAAGUUCAAGAAAUGUAUUUGAAGAUGGGUCCCAUUAUUAUUAGCUCAUUUCUAUCCUUCCCUAUGUGCCUACUAAUCCCGUGCAUGGCCACUUUAGUCUAUAUGUGACCAAGUCUUGCUUGCUCCUAGUCUUGUAGCCCUUUAUACCCACCACCAUCAGCCUACCCCACAUCACCAAACCCAUCAUACCCCUAUCCUCCACACUCAUUAGCUUACUCCAUUGCCCCUAAUCCACCUAGCCAUCAGCACCUACCCACUAUCAUCCUUCCUAACUUAUCACAGCCCACACAGUCAUCACUCUUUCUCACCCGUCCCACCAUAGCUGCGGUCUCUUUCCAACAACUCAAUAUGUAGCCACCAUGUGCCAUACCCCAUUAUUUUCCUGUGCUCGCAACUCUAUGUGCCACUAUAGGCAUCUCUAAUUCCAUCGUUUUAUUUCCUGGUCAUUCUUUUUCCAUUUUGAUAGCCAUCACAACAGUCGGUGAUUGUCGACUCCUCCACGAUGUGCCAUUGCAACGCUGCUCAUCCACUCAAGACCACUAUGCUCUUCCUUCUUGGUGCUCAUCAUUGUGCUCGAAACUCAGGAUAGCUUCAAAAGCAGUUCCAGUCCCACCUUAGUACCCCUCAGACCCCACCUUUACAUGGACAGGCAUGGCCACUUUUGGGUGUGCCAUUUUCAAAGCUCAAAACUCCUAGUUUCCUUGGUCCCCGACAUGCUCUAGAUAACCCCAUUCUUCCAAAAUCUUGAAAUGGUUCGAUUGAUGGAAGCACAGACCUUUUAUACUAUUGGAAUCCUAAAACUAACAUCACCUACCAUGAGAAACCAACUGCUUUGCCUCAAGUGCCUCAAGUGCGUGUGUGCAAGUCUCCUUGCGUAAACCUAUGCUUAAUAGUUGCGACUCGGAUACCAUUGGGUUUUUAGGGUUUGUACACCUCUAGCUCUCUUUCUCACCAACUUGUCACUACGCUUUGCUUGAAUCAUCUUCGCUCUAAUCUUCUUUCAACUUUUUGAAAAGGCUUACCUAUGUGUUGGAAUGGCCAAUAAUCCUCAUUCUUCUAGGGCACAGUUUCGACCUACAGUUCCGGGAUAAUGACAUCUUUUCAUUCCAGUAGCUUCUCAACAAUUUUCGCCAAUUGGACAAAAUAUUUUUUCACCAAAUGUGGGAGUUCUUUCUGGUUGAAAUUAACCGCCAUAGUUUUUGUCACGACCUAAAUUCUGGGUGACCCAAAAUUUGGCCCAUCACCAUAGGUCAAAGGUUUGACCCUAAGGUUUUCUCUUAAUCCAAGUUGGCAAUCAACCAAAAUGCUCUGAAUUAUUUUUUUUCUAAAGAUAACUCAACUAACAUUCCAAUUUAACACUAUACCAACCAUCACUCAAGAGCUACAAGAUAUAAUAAUUAUCAUUAAGGUCUAGAAAUAAGAGUUCACAGUUGAGCAAAAUAAUCAUAAUAAAGUCUCAUUACAAAUAUAUAGUUUCAAAGUUUGUUAAUACAAGUUCCAAAAUAAACCAACAUAACAAUUACUCUACAAUCCAUUAGGCUGCUCCAAAAUCUCCUGGUGUAUCCUUAAGCACUCCUGUCCCAACUGUGGAUCCUUAGGAGUCACAUCUGCAUCUAAAAAGAAUAUAAGAAGGAAUGGUUUAGCAUUCCACAUUGCUCAAUAAGGUGUCUUACACAUAAAGGGGGUUAAUUUGGGAAUACUAAGGUUCAUGUGUAUACAAAAUAAACACUCUACUAGAAUUUAAUCAACCCAAACAUUUCAGUUUCUAUAGUUAUAACAAUUCAACAAUUUUCAACAAUUAAUAAAAUGCAUGUGGAUAUAUAACACACAGUCAUACAAUGCACUGUCAUUCUCGGGCUUUCACCGAAGUAUAUGCAUUCGUACCCAAGUAUACUUCCCAUUCAGAGUCUUCUCAGAAUAAAUUUUUCGGUCUUUCACCUAAGGAUUUCAUUCCCUUCUUAAUUUGUCUCUCAUGAGCCUUUACUUUUAACAUUAUUUUAUUUUUCUUUCUUUCCCAUUUCAUGCAACCUUACAACAAAUUUUUAUCUUUCUUUCGCACAACCAUGAUGUAUAUGGAAUGUAAUGAGAUUACUUAUCAUCAAUAAAAUUCUCACUAAUCCAAACAUCAAUAAAAUUACAAUUUAUCCCAAAAUUUCAUUUAUUCUCAACAAUCCCAAUAAUUUCAAAAACCAAAUACAAUUAUUUUCCACAAUUAAAUUACCAAAAACAUCCCAAUAAAUUCGCAAAAAUAAAUAAUAUAAAAACCAAUAUUAAUCCAUCAUAAUUUCUACCAUAAUUGUAUUUGUUCUCAAUAAUCCCAAUAUUUUUUUAAUAGCCAAAUAUAAUUAUUUUCCACAAUUAAUUUGCCAAAAAUAUCCCAAUAAAUUCUCAAAAAAAAAAAAAACCAAUAUCAAUCCAACAUAAUUUCUACCAUAAUUGUAUUUAUUCUCAAUAAUCCCAAAUUUUUUUAUAGCCAAACAUAAUUAUUUUCCACAAUUAAAUUACCAAAAAUAUCCUAAUAAAUUUUCAAAAAUCCAAAUAUCAAUAAAACAUCAUUUAUAUCACAAUUUCAUUUAUUCUCAAUAAUCCCAUUAAUUUUAAUAACUCAAAUACAAUCAUUUAACAACCAUAAAAAAAUUACUGUCAUCACAAAAUUUUCAAAAAAAAUCCUAAAUCAUCCAAUAAAAUUUCUCGUAUCACAAAUAUUACCUAUUUAACUCUUAACAACAAAAUUUAUAAUUUGUUUUUCAAGAAAAAAACAUUUAAUUAAAGUUUUAGGGUUAAAAUUCCUUACCAUAGAUCUAAUGAUCCAACUGUUGAAAACUAAAUCCCCCACCAUACAAAUGUUCCUCGUGUCGAGUAGGGUAUUUCUUUGAAAUUUCACGUGAAAUGGACGACGUUUGGCCAUCGAAAGAGCCGACCAAAGAGUUAUGAUUUUUUUUUUAUUAUUUUGUUCUCCAUUACAGUCGCUGAGACACUCCUAUGUAAGUUUUCCUCUUUUUCCCUUUUUUUUUUCUCUUCCAUUUUCUCUUUCUUCACCUUUUCCUUUUCUAUUUCAACGAGCCACUAAAUGUGGAGGCAGCCCAAGCCAAAAAUCCUAUAUAUAUAUAUAUAUAAUAUUACAUUAAUUGUUUUCUUUUCUUAAUUCACUUCAUUUUUUUUUCAUUUUUUACAACGCACAAAAUAAAUUAUCACACACUAUACAAAUAUUUUAAUCUUCUAAAUUUUAUUAUUAAUUAGUUAAAUUUAAUUUUUUUAAUUAAAUGGUUUUAAUUAUUUUCUUUCAUUCUAUUUUUUUUUAUUUAUUUGUUUUUAUUUUCAUUUUUCAUUUUUUGAAAAAUUUCAAUUUCUACGAUCUUAAGAAAUUUCAACUUGAAAUUCCAACAUAACCUAAAAUACUCGAUCAUUACAGUUUUCUCAAGCUAUGCAGCAGCUACCUAGGCCAAACCAGCCUGGUCCCAUUGCAUCUUCAUCACAACCAAUUCCCAUGCCAUACAUUUAGCAAAACAGAGCUCAUACCUUUAGCUUGCCAUAGCCAUUCUAAUGUUACCACUGACUUCAAACUCACCUUUCCACUACCCUUAACCUCUAAUCAAUGGUCCACUUUCUGUGGGGAAGCCCAAAGAGUUGAUGGUGAUGGUGUCAUGGGUUAUGAUUUUGAAAAAUGCACCACCACCAUUGUGUUGACGGCAACCCAGCUUCCUUGAAACAACAUAGGCACAUGGAGCCUUCAAUUUUCCAACAAGGAGGUUGUUCAUGCUUCCAUCACUUCCAUGAAACUAAAGUAUGCCAAAUUUGGUGGUAAAAGCCCAACCUUAGGUUGGUAGAGGUCAUUUAUUAUGAGAAACAUGAUCAGUGGAACAACUACUAAAAUUCGAUUGGUUAGAUGUCCCAAAUGUCGAAAGCUUCUUCCAAAGGUGACAAAAUUUCCUCUAAAUCAGUGUGAUGGAUGUGGCAUGUUUCUAAGAGCCAAAAAUCAUGGAAAAAACACCAAAACUACCCCUUCAGACUCGCAUGAAAUAGGUUAUGUUCAAAGGAAUGGGCUGGUGCAUGUUUCUGCAAAUGAAGAAUCUAGUAGCUCAAGUCAAGAGGCAAUUCCCUCUUCCCCAAGAAAAUAUUCUUUGAACAAAGAAAAUGGGAGGGAUGAUCUUGGGGAUUGUCGUACAGAGCAACCUGAAGUGAACUUCUCAAAUGGGGUUUCUUCAACAACAAAGCAGCCUGAAGAUGCAAACUUCUCAGAUAAAGUUCCUUCAUCAAUAAACCUCAUGAAUGAAGUUUCAUCACCCAUGGAGGAGCAACCUGAAGAUAUAAAAAUCUCAAAUGAAGGUUCAUCAUCCAAUGUGCGGCCUGAAGAUGUCAAUUCCUCGAAUGAAGUAUCUGCAUUGGUGGAGCAACCUAAAGAUCCAAUUUGAAGACAACAAUUGGUAAGGGCCAGAAAUACGAACCGAGUAUUUCCACACAUUAUGAUGAGAGGUCAAAUGUCGUAAUCUCUAAAUAGUCUACCAUUUAACCUACCACUGGCUCCUCUCCACCCCGGGCCCAUGCCUAUGUGUUUCCAUUAUGCAUGGCCACCCUCCAAUGCAAUCCCAAAGGGCACAUGUUCUCAUCUUUUUAACUCUUCACCCUUAUUUUCAAAAUAAAAUAAUAAUAAUAAUAAUAAUAAUAAUAAUCUAUCUUUCAAAUGGUUUUAAAUAUUUAAAUUUAUUUAUUUAUCUAAUUUAAUUUACUUAUUUAUUUUCAUUUAUUUUUAUCUUUUUUAUUAUUAUUAUUAUUCAUUUUAUUAUUUUAAUCUAUUUUAUGUUAUUUAUUUAUUUAUUUUCUCUCAUUCAUUAAAAUCUUUAAGUCACCAAAACCUAAUUUUUAUUAAACUUGUUGCCAUAUUUCAUUCAGGCAUGUAUUUUGUGAUUUUCUUUGGUUUUUAAUAAUUUUCAUGUUUUUCCCAAUUUUUAAUAAGUAUCAAUAUGAUUUUCAUAAUUUCAAAAUAAUGGAAUUUAUGAGAUUAAUUCAUGUAAAAUCAAUUGGGCCUUGGUGGGAGCCCAAUAUUCAUGAUACUCUCGACUUUAAUUGCAAUGCUAUUUGAGUGGUUAAUUAAUUGAUGUUGUCUUACUACAUGAAAUGCAUGUGACUAUUCUGUAAUUAUUCACUAACCCUGUUUCCAUGAUAGAACAUUAUUGAUUCGCUGCUUAAGUACACAUCCUAUUCUCUUUCACUUGCUUGAUCAUUUUUUCCGAUAUACACUCUCAUCAUGGUAAAUCUUUGAUCACCCUUUGUAUUCAUGAUUAAUCAAUCAAUUGUCAUACUUGCUUUGACUUAAUUAGUAGAGAUCUAAUUUUUAGGGCUUAGAGGGGUGCUAUGGUCUAUCAUCACACCUUCUCAAUAGGUAACCUGACCCCCAUACCCAGACUCUGGUUUUCUACAUACUAUUUUUUCUUCAGGGGUCACACUUAGGGUUUUCUUUCUUAUUUUGUUUUCCCUUAAAAAUAAAACAAAAAUAAGUGGCGACUCCAAGUCUUUUCUAAAAAAUAAUAUUUUUCACAAUAAAUGAAAAUCGAGUCUUGUCAUCGAGUGGGAACGCAUCGAGCAAAAUAUGGGAUCCACAAUAUCAAUAUGAUAAUUUUUUUUAAAUUAAUUUAAUUUUACUAAAAUUAAAAUUAAAAUAAUUCAUCUUAAAAUUAACUUCAAUAAUUAAAUAAUAAGAAUUAAGUUUUAUCAUACACACUCUUAAUUAAUAAAUGACAUAAUUUCUUUCGACAACUUUUUCAUUCUACUUUUAAAAAAUAAAUUAAAUUAAAUUUGAAUUAAAAAUUAAGGUGAUAUUUAUUUAUUUAUGUCUAAAUUUUAAAUAUACUUGAAUUUGACUUAAAUCUAAAUAUAGCUUAAUAUAAUUAAGUGUUUAGAUUUUUUUUUUAAUUAAUUAUUCUCUAAAUAUUAUUAAUUGUUAAAUUCUUUAUUUUGAUUAAUAUCAAAAUAUGUGAAGUGUUAAUUUAUUUAUUUAUGGUUAAAAACAUUUAUAAAAGUAAUUAUAUUUCUUCUUAUUUUAAUUUGAAAAGUUAUAAUUUAACAAGAUAGUAAUUUAAUUAACUCAUCUGAAAAAUAUUAUAAUACAUUGUCAAAGUAAAAAUUUUAUAUUGAUAAUUAUGUAAUUAGUAAAUCAUAUUAUUGUACAAUCCAUUGUUCCGUGUCAUAUAUUAUAGCAUAGUUGUGCAUACCCAUCAAUGCAUAGACAUAUAUCUUUUGAUAAUCUAUCAUGAAUGUCUCAUGAACUCUAAGUGAAGUAUGUAGCUAUUAUAGUAUAAAGAUGGCGUAGGAAGAGGCUCUAGGUUUACUAGUUCACACUCAACCAUAGCAAUAGGGAAUAUAUUACACAUUCAUCUAAAACAAAGGUAGAAAAGACCUUAGAAAUGGAACUUUUAGAUAACACCUAAGGGUGGCAAUGGGAUGAGUCUAAGAAAGAUCACCUCAAUCUCAAUCUUGUGUCAUUUUUUUAUAUUAAAUGAGGGUGAGAUAAGACAAAAUCAUAUUUUAACCUAUCUUGAAUUUGGUGUCUAAAAAAAUAAGCCUCAUUGUCAUUCUUAGGUACACAUCUAUACCAAUGAAAGUUUUUACAUCUAUUCAAAAAUUCAAUGUUCUCGAUGUUAAUUAACUUCACUAAACUACCUAUACUUGUAAAUCCAUUUGUUUAUGUCAGCAACUAGUUAUAAAUUAUCAUAUGAGCUUGCAUGGUGUUUUGUGUUCUUCUUAGUUCCUUUUCACCUUACUUCUCAUCAUAUUGGCUCCUUGUAGGACAAACUUGCAAUAAUUCAAUUUUUUUCCUUAUAGAUAUUAUUCAUUUUGGACUAAAUAAAACAAAUACCCCUUAUAUAUAGAUAGUAUAUGUUUUGGUCUAAUGAACUUGUGAGAUUGUUCAAUGUAGAUAUUGUUUACAAUAGUCCAACGAGUCAAGCUUUGCAAAGUCAAAUGUCUCUUGUGAGGCCAAAGAAACAAAGGCAAUUGGUUCUAGUCCAAUGAACCUAUAUGAUUGUUCUAUGUAGAUAUUGUCUACAAUGGUCUAAUGAAUAUGAGGGAUGGAUUUGCAACAACAAAUACCACUUAUGGGACCAAAUAAACAAAAGCUCAAGUUAGGAUUGAAUACCACACUAGCCUAAUAAAUCUUCACAUCUUUAAAAUGGGUGGUUCUUUGAUACCCAUUAUUUAUUUUGGGGGUAUCUACCCACAUUUAAUCCCACUAAUAAAAUGACAUAUAUAAAGUGUAUGAGAUUAUUAUUAUUAUUAUUUUAUUUUUUAUUUUUUUAAAAAUACUUAUCAAAUAGGUAGACAUUGAUGAGAAAUAAUCACAUGCAUCUCAUAUGUAUGUAAAUAUUACAAUUUUCUUUUUAUAAUUUAAGAUUAAAUAUCAAAUACAAUUUGUUAUUUGUUUAAAUACGUAAUCUAAAAUAACAAAAUCCUAUCAACUACUUUUGUAUUCUCAUUAUUUAAAUACCCAAAAGGAGAUAAUAAUUUAAUAUGAAAAUUAAAUAGAUUCAACUACUAUGUUGGAAAAUAUGUAGGAUGUGUUUUGGUAAAUUACAUUUGAAGAUAAAAUUUGAAAUUUCUUAAGGAAGGAAAACAAAAAAUUUGUAUUUCUUGAAGAAGAUAUUGUAUGGAGGAUUUCAAAUAAUUACAAGUGUUAAAGGUAAUAUUUGAUUCUUUUUUAUUUAAAUAUAAAUUUUGAAAGUAGAAAUGUCAUGUUAAAUAGCAUUUGAAUAUGUAAUGAUUUAUAGGAUUUGGAUUUUAGAAUUAGUUUAUUAUUAAUAAGAGCUAAUUUAGUCAUUUGCUAUUAAAUUGUUUUCAAUAUUUUUAUAUCAUUUUUUUAUGUUCAUAAUUAAAUUUGAAGGUCAAAUUUUAUAUGUUUUGAAAAAGGCAAACAAUAAAUUUUAUUUCUUGAAGAAGAUAUCAUAUGAAGGAUUUCAAGCGAUUACAAGUAUUAAAAAGGUAAUAUUUGAUUUUUUUUUUAAAUUUAAAUAUAAAUCUUGUAGGUAGAAAUGUCAUAUUAAAAUAAUAUUUGAAUAUGUAAUGAUUCAUAAGAUAUAGAUUUUUGGAUUUUUUUUUAGUAUGUUAUUGAUUAAAUUGUGAUAAUUUAGUAAUUUUUUAUCAAUUUGUUUCUUAAAAAAUUCAAUAUUUUUCUAUCAUCUUGUUUUAUUUUUGUGUUUAGGAAUCGUAAAGUAUUAUUCAUGACAUUUUUAAAUUUUAAAUCAUAUAUUUUCUAUAUAAAAAAAAAGUGAGAAAAGACAUAAAAUAAUGCAAAAAAAGAUAUGAAAUAUGUGAGAAAGGGUAUAAAUAAUGUGAGAUAAGGUAUAAAAAAUGUGAAAAAAAUGUAUGAAUAAUGUGAGAAAAUGGUAUGAACAAUGUGAUAAAAUGGUAUGAACAACAUGAAAAAAUAUACAAAUAAUAUGAGACAUGGUAUGAAUGAUGUGAGAGGGGUGAUUAGAGCCAAAAUGUGUGCUUUAAUGACACAUAUUCGAUAUGAUUUGUGCACCUAAGGACACUCAAAUCACCCAACUUGACCUAAAUCGAUGCUAAGGCCCUAGCCAUGAGUUUAACUUGUAUUUUGAAGAUUUAUCUCAGGUUCAAGGGAAGAAAAGGGUGCAAGUUGAAUCACUUCAGAUUUUGAAAGAUUAAGAAAAGAUUAAAUGAGGAAAUAAGUGAGUCAAGACUCAUGGACCAUGAGGAAAGGCAAGAAAUUUAGAAUAUGAGUUUAGAAUAUGAGAAAUUUAUGGAGUAAGAAAGAAGGCAAGAAAACAUGGAAAAUGAAGCAUGAAGCAAGAUUCAACUGCAUAGAAAUUUAGAACUCAAAAUCUAAUGGUAACAUAUACUCUGAAUUUGAGGACAAAUUUGGAGCACUUUUCGAAGUUCAUUUUAUACAUACUAUAUAUUAUUUCAAAGCUCAAGAAGUCAAGUGUCCAACACUUCAAAUAGUGUGGAAAUCAAGGUUGAAAUGAAGAAGUUAUGGCCAUUUGAAGACAACUGCACAAAGUUGAAGGGGCAUUUCGAAAUGAUUUCGAAAUUCAACUUAUGAAUUCGAAAUGACCCCAAUUUUGAAUUCAUCCACUAGCACUUUCAUGUUUCGCCUCCUCUACCUCAAGAAUUGCAUCUAGAGCACUGCAUCCACCCUAAGUGGGUCCCACACGACUAGAAAUCACUAUUUUAUUAUUUUUUUAGUCAUUUUUAGGUAAUUAUUUUGUAAUAAGUGGCUAAUGAGAAUGUGCCACAUGUUAGGUAAUUGAUGAUAUUAUGUAAACUCUCUUAGUUCUAGGUUGAAAAGAUCUUGGAUCUUUUUUCUGGAGAGUUUGACAUUAAAGGUGGAAGAAGACGAGAACUUUGGUUUGUUUCCUUUUUGUUCUUUAUUAAAUAUAUUGUUUUUAGUUUCUUUUGAUUCAAAUUAUGGAUUUUUACCCUAUUAUGGAUUGUAAAUGUGACAUCACCCCUAUAAGAGGCUAAGAAGCUAACUUGGGACUUGAAGCAUGAAAACCUAGGGGCUAGGAAACCUAUAGGGACCAUGGGUAAAUUAUUGUAACAAUGAGAUUAAUUAUUGGUUGGGUGAUAAUUUAUCAAUUUUUUUUUUAUAUCUUAUUCUUGUGAGUUAGUUUAGGGAACGAUAUGGUAGGUUAUUACCUGAUACUAGUAAUUCUUGGUAAUUCUUGAUCAUUAGUUAUCCUCGUCUUCCCUAUCGUUAUUUGCCCUAAAAUAAAGUUAUAAGGAGUAGGAAGAGUUAAAAAAGCCAAAUCUUAAAAUGAUAAUCAAUCUCAUUCAUUUUAUGGUUUUAGGAAUCUAUUUUAAAAACGAAAAAUUAGGUUUCAUAUGCAAUUUUGAGUUAUAGAACUCAAAUUGAUCGCGAGCGGCCAAGGAUCCUAAAACCCUAAGAUCAUAUUGCUUAAAAGACCCUUGUUUUCUCUAAUUUAUAUAUCCUAGGUUGGAUUGUGGAAAACCUUAAACUUGAAUCAAUUGAAUUUAAAAUCAAUAUUUGAUUCAUACCCAAUCGGGUGUUUAUCAAAACAUUUAUAAAACCUACAACACCUUAUACUAGGGUAGCAAAGACAAAACUACUAUAGUACAGUGGCUCUAGGAUUGUCCACAAGGAUGAGUUUUCUUUGUACACUUAACAUUAAUGAAAGGAGAAAUGGUGAUUUCCUUUUUGGAAGUUUGUUUUUAAAUGAAAAUAAGAUUGAUUGGAAGGGUUGAUUUUAAGUUAAGCAAAAAUAAACAACUGAAAUUUCUAUAAAGAGAAAGUCUCUUAGAGCUAUAGGUUACUAGGAUCAAGUUCCUGUUGCAAAGUGGGAAAUUUAGGAUCUUCUCCUCGCAUUGGGGAUAAUAACAUAAAGGAUGGUUAUCUCCUGAAUCGGAUUUGUAUUUAGCAAAUAAGUUUUGAUCCAAAGGAUUCUUGAAAAAUGGUAGUUGCUUCCCAUUAAUGGCUUCAAACACUAAAGACCCUCACCUUGAACCACCUUCCAAUGGCUCGUACUUGAUAACUAAUGGACAUCCAUGGAUCUAGCAAUAAGCAUCCAUAGAAUCCUAAAAGCUUACCAAGUAUUGGCCAUUCAAGGUGAUUCUAAGGGAUUAAAGCUGAAACUUGAAAUAUAAACCAUUAAUGAUACACAACUACCUUCAUUUAAAGCAAGGAAAACUCCCACCUUUGCAUCUGGAUCCUUUACCUAGCUUCCAUCACUCCAAGAAACGUGAAACUUAGCCACUCAUCCUUUGAAAAAUCAUCAUCAGAGGGUGUUUGGCUAGAGAGAAAGUGAAAAGAAAAUGAGAAGGAAAGGCAGAGAAACACUCGACUUUACAAAAUAUCUAAAACAUAAUAUCUAACAUAAUAUCUCUGAGAGGUUUUCCAACCCCUAUUAAUAGUUCCUAAACAAACCCUAAAGUCAUUUAUCUAUUACAAAAGGAGUAAAAAGGAAAAAUUACAAUUCUAGAGAAAAAAUCUUCGAAGGUCGAUGCGCAUAAAGUGAUUUUCGCACACCCUACGAAACUUUGGCACACCUUGCAAAAUUUUGGCAUACCUUGCCAAAACUUGGCACACCCUGCCAAAUUUUGGCAUACCCUGCCAAAUUGAUGAUUUUGCCUUGCGAAGUGCUUUGUUUUCCUCCAUCUUGCUACUGGUAGUUUUGGCAACCCCUUGCCAAGUUUGGCAAGGGGUUUUGAAGUGCUCCAAAGCUCGGACUCUUCAUGUGUUCCAAACUCUCCCUCAAUCUUGGCCUGUUUCAGUGAUCAAAAAGCUACCAAAGACAAUAAAACUUACCCAAAUUUGGUUAAUAACAUUUGCUAGGUCCUUAACAUGCCAAUUGGGAUAAAAGGUCUAACUACUACUCAAAAUUGCUUAAUACAAUUAAGUUUAAUCUUAUAAAAAUGCACUUUUUGAGUAGUAAUCAAUAUUCAUUUUGUUAUUAAUUUUAUUUCUUUUACUUAGUAUCACAUUAUUCACAUAUUGUUUUUCACUUUAGGAUUUAAAUAAAAGAAAUUCAUUUAUUCUAAUAUUGACAAUUUCCAUAAGCUAGUUCUUGAGGAUGAUACCCGAAGUACUACAAAAGCCGUAGUGAUUCUUUCUCUAGUUUGUCUUGACUAGAGCUACUAUGUAAAAAGGCUAAGUAUUUUGGUACAACAGAGAAGUUCGGUCAAGGGGAUACAAAUAAUGUGAGGAAAUGUAUGGACAAUAUGAGAAAUGGUACAAAUAAUAUGAGGAAAGGUACAAACAAUGUGAGAAAUGGUAUGAAAAAUGUAAGACAUGGUAUGAACAAUGUAAGAUAGGGUACAAAUAAUGUGAGAUAAAGUACGAAGAAUGUGAGAAAUUGUACGAAAAAUGUGGAAUAAAAAAGGUACGAACAAUGUGAGAAAUUGUGUGAACAAUGCAAGACAUGGUAUAAAUAAUGUGACAGAGUGGGUAUGAAAAAUUUGAAAUAGGAUACGAACAAUAUAAGGAAUGGUACAAACAACAUGAGAAAGGAUAUAAAGAAUAUGAGGAAUGAUAUGAAGAAUGUAAGACAUAGUAUGAAGAAUGUGAGAAAGGGUACAAACAAUGUAAGAAAGAAUAAAAAGAAUGUGAGACAAGGUACAAAUUGUAAGGAAACCUAGAUCACUCUAUUCCAUAUCCUAUAACUAGGUUAGAUGCGUACAAAAAAAUUUCUAAGCUUUUGUAAAUCAUAUGCAUAACAAAAAAAAACAUUUGAAAACUUUAACAAGAUUUUAAAACCAAAAGAGAAAAACUUUACUUUGAUUUGGAUAUUCUCAAAUCAAAUCCAUGUGGUGAAGUUAAAGGCUAAAGUAUCUAGAGGUCUCAAUGAAUCAAACACGAUCUUUGCACCCCAAAGGUGGGGUUUUUUUUUUUGUUUAAGAGGAUAGGCUAUUGCCAUCUACAAACUGGAUGAUAGAAUACAACUAUCUUAAAAACCCUAACCCUUAAGAAGGUAUUUAUAAGGUUCCCUAAUUAGGCUUAAGUGACUUAAGCUUACCAUGGACAUAGGUCACUUAAUUUGACUCAAAAUCGGUCCUAAUCAAUUAAUUGCAUGGCCCUAUUAGGUUAAUUGAUUAAUUAACCUAAUAGGGCCAUGUAAUUAAUCAAUUAACCUAAUUCAGAGGUUUUGUUCACUUAACUUCGUGUAACCUUACGUAAUUACCAAAGCACUCUUAUGCACAAAAUGUUAAUUAAGAGUUAAUCUAACUCUCAUGAACCAUGCCAUUAAGGCAUAUAAACUCGAGUGGGGACAACUAAGACCUAUAGGAUAAUAUUGACUCUUUCAUAAUCCAAUUUUUAAGUUAACUCAACAUUCCACUAUAGAAAAUUAAUUGCACCCCAUUAUCCUAUAUAUAAUGCAAUGAGACACCAAGUGCUAUGGAUUGUGACCCAUUAUCCACUAUAUAUAGUCUUCUCAUAAACUGGCUGGUCGUUCGUAGUUUAACAAGGUAAAAGAUAUCAUCAUUUUAAGAAUACCUUUCAAAUCCUUGAGUUACAUAUGAUCAAACGACUUGCUCUACCUCACUAAGAGCAUACGUCAAAUUCCAUUAAAGAAAUUACUACGUGCCCACAAAUUUUACGAUCACACAUCUUUAGGAUCACCCAAUGGAACACACUCUCUUAAAGUCCAUGAGAUAUCAUGGUGCCUCUAAUGAGAAUACCAAUUGUUAUUGGCUUCCAUCAACAGUGAUUCAAUCCAUAGUAAAUAUAUAUAUGAUCAACUUACGAUCUCAUACUAGGUCAAAGCCUCUACGAACUUUAACAUAAGUUCAACAUUCUAUUAAGGUUGAGAGACAAUACAGUAUAACAGCUUGGUGAAGUCAUGACUACAUGAUAGUCUUAAGUCAUGACUCACCAUAGGUCCUAUUCAAUAUUGUGCAAACUUACACACUAGUGCACUCACCAUGGGAACCCCAUCCCAAUGGCCAAGACCAAUCAUUCCUCCUAUUAAAAGGUAGCGCACUACAACUUCUAAUGGAUUACCUAGGCCCAUGAACUAGCUAUGAACAAGUAAUUUAUUUGUAAGGAACCCAUGACUUGGAUCUUCUAUGCAACUCCUAAUGCACUUAAGGCACGUUUAAUGCAAGAGAUGCAAACCUAAAUGCUUAUAAGGUAUAGCGUAUGAAAUGAAGAUAGAUAAAAGUGACUGGUAAUUUAUUAAUAAAUAAUAAAACUCAAAAGUUUAUUACAUCAUGUGAUGCUUUUAAAGAUUUUAUCAUAAGUCGAACAAUGUGAGACAUGGUACGAACAAUGUAAGAGAGUACAAAUAAUAUAAGAAAUGGUACAAACAAUGUUAGAAAAAAGUAUGAACAAUAUGAGACAAGAUAUGAAAAAUAUGAGGGAGGGUAUGAACAAUGUGAAGGAAGGUACAAACAAUGUGAGAGAGUAGGUAUGAAGAAUGCGAGGAAUAAUACAAAGAAUGUGAUGAAUGAUACGAAGAAUGUGAGACAAGGUAAGAAGAAUGUGGGAAAGCAUACGAACAAUAUGAGAAAGUGCACAAACAAUGUGAGAGAUGAUACGAACAAUAUAAGACAAUGUACAAAACUAUGUGAGAAAGAGUACGAAAGAAAUGGUAUGAAAAAAUAUGGAGAGUAUAAAGAAUAUGGGAUAUUAUACAAAUAAUGUGAGAAAAUGUAUGAUAAAUAUGAGACAUAGUAUGAAUAAUGUGAGAAAUGGCACGAACUAUGUGAGAUAAGCUAUGAAGAAUGUGAGAAAUGGUACAAAUAAUGUGAGAAAUGAUAUUCUUCAUACCAUUUUUCACAUUGUUUAUAUCCUCACUCAUGUACUUUUGUACAUUUUCUCACAUUCUUCAUACAUUGUCUCACAUACAAUAGAUAUUGUUUUAUAAUCCCUAAAUACAAAAAAUUAAAAAAAAAUGAUAUAAAAAUAGUGAAUUUUUUAAAAACCAAAUUGAUAACAAGUAUGGCUAAAUAAUGUACUUCUCUAGCUACUAUUUCUUUUUUUCUUUUAGUUUCUUCAUGGAUAUGAUGGACAAAGGCAAAGGAAAGAAAUUCAUCAUUGAUUUGAAUAAUGAAGACUUUGAUUAGUAAUAUGAUAGUAAUGCAAAAACCGAGUUUGACGAAAAACCCAUGCUAGUUUAAGAGAAUAUUUUGAAUGGUUUAAGACUUGAAGAUGUAUGGGAAAUGGAGUUCAGCUCAAUAGAUGAGGUAGAAGAAUUUUACAAUUUAUACGCUAAAGUUAAUGAAUUCGAUGUUAGAAAGAAUGAUGUUAAACGAGGUAAGAAUUAAAAUAUAGCAUCUCAUAAGUGGGUUUGCUCAAAAGAAGGAUAAAGACAAAUAGAGUGUUUGGAGAAUGAAAUCGAAAAUGAGAACAUAAGACAAUAACUAGAGUUGGUUGUGAGACAUCACUUUGUAUCGGGUUUAACAAACAAAUAAAUAAGUGCAUUAUGAAGGAGUUUAUGGUUGAUCAUAAUCAUCAUUUGGUGGAACCAAAAAUACCCAAUUCCUUCAAUCCCAAAGGGCCAUGAGGAAUGCAUAUAAAGGCUUAUUGAGCACAAUGCGUAGUAUUGGCAUGAGAACUAGACAAAUUAUGGAUUACAUAGUGUAACAAUCAGGUGGAUAUAUUAAUGUUGGCUUCACAAAAAAAGAUCUAUAUAACCAUGUUAAUGUUGAUUGUAGAGUUCAAAUAAGAAAUGGUGAUACAAAGGGUACUCUUUCUUACUUGAGUGGAAAGGCUUAAAUGGAUACAUCAUUUUAUUACAAGUACAAUGUUGAUAAAGACAAUCACCUAGCAAAUUUGUUUUGGGCAAAUUCUACAAGCAGACUGGAUUACACUUAUUUUGGAGAUGUGUUAGCUUUUAAUAGAACUUAUCAGACUAAUGCUAAUAGAAAAUUGUUGGUCAUACUAGUUGACAUUAACCAUCAUUGUCAAACUAUAGUGUUUAGAUGUGCAUUAUUGGUAAAUGAAAGUCUUUACACUUAUACAUGGAUUUUGGAGACAUUUUUGGAUGCAAUGAAUAACAAGAAGCUUUUUUUCAUUAUUAUAGUUUAUGACAAAGCAAUGCAUCAAGCCAUUAAGAGAAUAUUUCUAGAGUAUUAUCAUUGGUUAUGUGCUUAGCAUAUUCAACGCAAGACAUUCACUAAUGCCUAUGUCAAAGAUUUUACUUAUCAUUUUUCUAGGUACAUGUUCAUGGAAGGCACCAUUAAAGAAUUUGAAUGUGCACGGAGUGGCAUGGUGGAAAUAUGUAAUCUCCACGAGCAUAAUUGGGUGAUAGACAUAUAUGCUAAGUGUUCUAGAUAUGUAAAGGCUUAUUUAAAGGUGCAUUUUUUUGUAGGUAUGAAAGCACUCAAAUGUGUAAAAGGAUGAAUGCAUACUUGAAUCGUUUCCUUAAAAAUCAUUUGAAGUUGUUUGAGUUUUUGAAGUAUUUUGAUUGAGCACUCUCAUGUAUUCUUCAUAAUGAGGUAAAGACAAAGUUUGAGACACACGCUUCUUUACUUGUUCUAAAUACCAAACUCUAUGAAAUUGAGAAACAUGUAGAGAUUGUUUUCACUAGGCAAUUGUUUCUCAAAUUUAGGGAUGAGAUAAAGAAUGCAAAACUUUUUUUUCCUUAUUAGUGCAAAAAAUCAUGGAGGUUAUCGUGUCCAUACAUUGAUUGAAUUUAGAAGCUCUGACAAUUUCUUGAAAGUAUUUUAUGGUAAUUGUGAUUAGUUUAUGAAAUGUACUUGUAUGAUGUUUAAGUUAGUUAGUUUUCCAUAUCCCCACAUGAUUGUUGUGAUGAAGAUAGAUCACCUUGAAGAAAUAACUGAGAGUUGUAUCAUGAAAAGGUGGUCUAAGUUAGCAAAAGAAGGGGUUCAAGUUUACCAUGACAAUGAAAGUCAAAAGAUAUGGCUAACAUUAUACAAUAUGGUGUACUCGGCUCCAUGUGUUUACGAAUGUCUUAUUUUGCAUUUCAAUAGAAAAAAACUUUUAAAAAUGUUAGAUGUGAAAUUUAAAGACUCACUUGUCAAAUGGAAGAACUUAGUAAAAAUUCAUUCAAAAGGUUUAUGGGAAAUUUUGAAAGCUACAAAACACCAUGUUCAGGAUCUUGACAUUAUGAAGACCAAAAGUAAUCUAGGUACCUUAAGAGACAAAUUCCAAAAACCAAGGUGUUGUGGAAAAUGUAAGAAAAUAGGACACAUCAUUUUAAAAUGUUCAGUGUUCGUUAACAGUCACAAUGCACCCAUCCACAUUGAAGAUUUCAAUGAGGAAAUGGUAUGGUCAAACUCUUCAUUGAAUUCACUUUUAUAAUUAUUUUCACUUGGUUAAAUUGAUUGAAAAAAAAUUGAAUUAGUUUAUGUUAAUAUAUCACAACAUAGAACAUGGAACAAGACAUAAGACAAAUGAGUUUUAUCAAAAUGUAAGUUUAACAUUUUUUUAAUAAUUUUAAUUAUGACAUGCAAAAUAUUUUUUAUGAGAGUAAUUGAAAAAUUAAAUCAUCAUAGAGAACAGUUGAAACAUUCCACAAUGGUCUAGAAACAAACUUGUAUGAUUCAUGGCUUAGAUCCACCAAAUUACUUCACAAACCAAGAGUCGUAGAGUAACUUGCCUACAACAUAUUUCAUUUAUCUAUAUAUUGGGUGAAUUUCCUAAGCAUUUAAUAUCUAGUCAUAUGAAUUUCCUUUCAAAAUAUUAUGCAUAACUAUAAAUAUUUUCAAUGUAGGUUACCAUAAACCACUUCACAUCUAGAUUUUCGGGUUUGAGUUCUUCGUAUUAGAAUCAAUGAGUAAACUAGCUAUGAUGCAAAAAAACAACUAUUGCAUUUGUUCAUCAUACAAACAAAAAACAACUCUUGAUUAUAUCCCAUACUUUUCUUCUCUUACUUUUUUGCAUGAAUGUGAACUUUAUUUAGUAUUAUGACUUUCUCUCUAUUUUCAUCACCAAGCACUAUUUAAUUGCUAACUUGUGUCCAGUAAGUAUAGACUCUCAAUGGAUAGGGGUUGAAUUUGACUCUAUGUACUUCGAUCUUUGCAUAUGAUUGAUGACAUGCACUCUACAACCCCACCUAGCAUAGAAAAUGAGAAAGAAAAUUGUCUAAUUAAUAAAUAGAAAUAUUAUUUAGAACACGUUAUAUUUGAUAAAAUGGCUAUGCUUGCUUACCCAUUGUCUUGCUCAUGUACCCAAGUAGGCCUUUCAAUGAGCAAACUUGAUAAAUCCUUGUCAUGCCCAUUAGGAUUAAAAAAAUGAGUACACUCUUUGACCUAAUUCAUAUCAUUAUAUCUUUUUAUAAAAUAACAUGAUAAGUUAACAAUUGACACUAAAAAAAUAAUAAAAUUAAUUAAAAUAUAAGAUAUGUCAUUGUUUUCACAGAUGUAGUUCUCAUAUGGUUCCUUUCUCUUGAUGGCAAUGAGUAUAAAAUAUAAAUAUUGCGUUAUUCAAGAUUUAUUACUCACAAAUGCUAAUGAUUUGGACAUGUAUCAUGCAACAAAAUGUAUAUAUAAGCAAAACACACAUUUUAGAAUUGAUAAUUAUUUAUAAGUAUGAUCUGAAUACGAUUUUCAUAAAUAUGCUUUAUCACAAUCCUCCAUUUCAUUUAUCUAUUUGAUUAUGUGUAUAUUUUACUAGACCUUGACAAUUUUCUACCACUAUGCAAAAUCAUUUGCUUACAAAAAAAUCACAAUACUUAUUAGGUUACAUUUUUUACUUUAAUAAGAAAUAUAAUAUGAACAUACCGUAAAUGUAGUGGGUAGGUAGCAUCUCGUAGAUCGUAUUUAUUUGAAUUUCAUUUCAAAAUUUUUAAGUUUGCAUACAAAUAAAUUUAUGAUCUAAAAAAGAAACAAAAGAUAGUUAACAACAUUAGUUAUUUAACAAAAUUAAUAAGAAGUUGGUUUAUUCUUGUAGUUUUUACCACAUCUAGUAAUUCUUGUCUAGGUUCUAAAAUCAUGAAAUCAUUUUUAUGUGCAUGCUCAUAUUGAAAAUUAAAACGAAGUUCACUGCAAAAUUUAGGUAUUUAAUAAGUAUAACUUUCAUAAGAUGACUUGCAUAAAGUAUAUUCAAAAUAAUGAGUUUACAAGCCUUUUGUCUAAUGAAACAUCAAACACAUAAUACACAAUUAGAGAGUCAAGUAUACUUAAGGAAUGUGAAUCCUCCACAUUUAGCAAAAUGGACAUGGGCAUUGUAUAUAUUCAAAACAUUUCUAAUAAGCAUUAGUUAUUGUUCACUAUAUUAUUAAAUAUUUAAACAAAACAACAUCAAUGAAGUAAUUCACUAUAUUUUUUGAUCCAACAAUCAUGCUUUGGAAUUUCUUAGACAUUUUUAUCUUAAUUGAUUGAUGAAUGUAGGGUGACAACUUGGAUGUACUAGGCUUGUGCUCCAUUGUUGUAUGUGUUUUUCAACACAUGAAACAUCAACAAGAACUUAUCAUGUUCAUCAAUUUUAUAUUGAAUGUUCAUGAUGGAAGAAAUAUGUAACUAUGCCACCACAUGAGUCAUUUUCAUUCAAAUUUUCUUCUAGCACAACAUUACUCAUAGGAAGAAGCAAAUGUUUCAAUUCCAUAUAUAUUUUUUAAUUGCUAAAAGCUUAUUCUUUGCAUCUUUCAUCCAUAAGAGGAACAUUUGUUUGUAGGAUAUAUUUUUUCAAUUUCUCAAAAGUCUUCUCCAUACUUACCAAAAUUUCUUCAACCUAGUGACAAAAAAAUGUAAAAUAUUAGAACAAAAAAAAAGUUUGGGAUAUGGAACCUCAUGCACAUAAAUAUAGUAUAAAUAUGUACCUUGUUGUCACGAACUUAGUCUUUUCCUAAGCUCGUGCGACACUUAGAUAGGUUAAGACACUUGAUCUUGCUAAGUCAGUCUUACUCUUGAUGCUUAGCUUGCUAGGCUAAAAUGCUCACGACUUGGAAGCUUUAGAAGGCAUAUUAUGCAACUCUUGAAGAAUGGAAGCUUUUAUUGCUCAAAGGAAGCUUUACAAGUGCUUUGGAACUCACUUGCUUAGUGCUUUGGCCAAAUGAGGCUCUCACCUAUUUAUAGGCACCAAUGGAACUCUCUAGAACCUUGAAGGGUUCCUUACAAAUCAGGAAUAUUCUAGAACACCCUACACAAUUCUAUGUACAAGCCUAUGUAUAAGAAUAUACAAGGAAUAUCUAGAAUUCUCUAGAAAGCCUUAAACUUCUCUCAUGCUUUCCACCAUAGUGUAGAGAUGUAUGGACAUCUCUAGGCAUCUCUAGAACCUUCCACACUCUUCCCACCAAUGGCUAAGUGUAGGAGUCUCCAUAAGCCUCUUGGGCUCUAUAUAAACCCCUAGGGAGGUUGUGGACCCCAUAUUUCGGCUCAUGCGCUUCCACUCGAUGGCGAGCUUGCUUUUUAUUUGAAAAUUUGAUUUUAUUUAUUAGAAAAUGACUUGGAGUCACCACUUAUUUUUGUUUUAUUUUUAAAGGGUAAACAAAAUAAGAAAGAAAAACCCUGAGUGUGACUCAUUAUUUGGAAAAGGUGGUCUGUGAAAACCAAAAAUGGGCUCGGGGGUCAGGUUACUUAUCGAGAAGGUACGGCAAAGACCGUAGCACUCCUCUAAGUCCCUAAAAACGGGUCUCUACUAAUAAAAUGAAGCAAGUAUGGCGAUUGAUAAGCAAAUCAAUGGAUACCGAAUGAAAAUCAAAACAAAAUACUAGAAUGAAUAUGAGAGCCAAAGAACGUACCUGAGUGAUGACCUAAUUUAUUUCAUGGGAAGCAAAGGUUAGUAAACAAAUAUGGAAUAAUCAUGUGCAUAUCAUAGAAUAGAAUAAAUCAAUCACGCAUGGCAAUCAAAUCAACCAAUCAAUCAAUCAGUCAUAAAAUCACGUAUAUGGGGUCCCCACUAAAGCCCAAUUUAUUUUGCAUGAAUCAAUUCCAAUAACUCCAUUAUUCACAAUUACGAAAUUUAAUUCUUUCUUAUUUUAAAAAAUUUUUAAAAUCAUGGAAGUUAUGAAAAUUACUUGUCAGAAGAAAAAGUGGUGGCAAAAUUUUAUUGAAAAAUAGGUUUUUGGAACUUAAAAAUUCUAAGGAUGAAGAAAAACUUAGAGUUUAAAGACUAAAACCUGAAAAUUUAUUUGAAGAAAAGGAUUUGAAAAAUUAUUUUUAAAAAGUUAAAGAUAGUAAAAUGGAAAAAAAAAAAACACUUGUGUCAAAGAUGGCCAUGCAAAAAGUGUGGUCUCUUAUAGCUUCUCUUCCCUGUAGCAAACCCAUCUUCAAAAGUCAUCAUUCCAUCUUUUAGAUUUAUUUUUAGGUGGUCCGAUUGAACUGCUUAUUAGGAGAUGCAAGUGCGAUCAACUCCAUUUGAGUGGCAUUUGGCAAAGUCCUCAUGAGCUUUCAAUGCCAAGUCAUCAUCUUCCCAUUCAUCAUGGAAUGCGUGUGGACGGACAAAAUAAUUCUUUUUGGUUGCAUAAUAUAUUUCCUUUCUCCAUUCUUCGACACCUGGAAUCCUACACUUGCUAGCAAAUCAGUCCAUGUAUUCUAUCCGACAAUGACCAAUGCCACGUGUGUACCACUUAGGUGUGCCUGAAGCCUCAAGCAACAAGUACUAUGCCUCAACAUCUCUCAUCAUCUCCUCUUCCGAUGGGAGUCCAAUCCUACUAGAUAGAACCCCUGCUAUCCAUUUGCUUUGAAAUUCAUACAAGAUGAAGCCAAUACCCAUCAAUGGUAACCCAAUAAAGGAAAGCCAAGCUACUAAAGCCGGUGGAAAAGUGUGCUUGUAUAGUGGUCCAACACAAUUGUCUUCCAUAGUGAUAAUGUCAUUAGUGUCAAGAAAAGGGAAAUGAUACUUGUAUCCUGUGCAAUGCAGAAUAACAUCGGCAAAAAACCACACUCCCAUCAUUAAAUAUCAUAAAGCCGUCCCUGUGGAUGCUUUCUAUCUUUACCAUAGGAUGCAGCUUCAAAUUAUCAUAGCUAGACAUGUUUCCCAAGACUCCAACCUUGGCUGAUCUAGAUGCAAUGUGAACUUCUUUGGCAACUUGAGUAAUGUCCAUAAAGAUAUCAAGAUCACUUGAACCAACCCCUAUCAAAAUUACAACUAGAUCUCGAAAGGGGUCAGGAAUACGAUAAUUAUGGCUGUGCAUUUACUUCCCCGACCAUGCAUCAAUCCCCAAAAUUUCGGCAGUACGAGGCUUUGUGUUAUGCCCAUUGCAAACAACCACUACAUAAAAAGUCUCAUCAGCUAUCACACCAUUUUCCAUUCUAGACCUAACUCUCCACUUUCCAUUAACCAACCCAGCAUAAACCACAUUUGUCUCAAAGCGGACUAACUUAGUGAGCCCAAACGUAGUGGCAUAAUCAUUGAUAUAAAGAAAUACCUCUCGAUGACCUGGAAACCUGCUGGAGUCGUUGUAAGCUUGACCCUUAGAUAUGAAAGGGUAGUCUUGAAACCCUAUAGUCUCACUCCUCAUUACGACUUCGUAUCCAAGAAAGUCAAAACACCAAGAGUAGAGAGAAAUUAGCAAAAACAGAGCAAUGAAGGAAGAAAAUAGGAUGAAGUAUUAAGAGUUAUAGUUCAUCUCUUAGUUAGUGGGCUUGCAGAUGGGUGAAUUAAAAGGUUUUUUUUUUAUUAUUUAAAAUGUCACAGAGAAGGUAAAAUGGCAUUAAAUCAAAUUUCGAGCACAAACAGGAGCAACAGAGGGGCUAGCAACUAUGAAGAAUAAAACAUAAAUCAUCCAAAAGUCAAUAGCAGCGCAUCUCAAUAAUAGUGGAUGAAGAGAAAAAGCAAGAAGAAAAAAAAAACACAGUAGAAAACUCACUUCCGAGAAAAUGUUGGAGGCCUUUAUACUUUGCAAUCCAAGACUCCCUUGUUUGCUCCCCAAGCUCAAAGAACACAUGUCCAAAAAUCUCUCUCUGUCUAAAACAAAAAUGUCUCUCAAGCCUCAAAUAACACCCCCCCUCUCCAGCAAAACUUGUAUCUCCAGCUAAAAAAAAAAAAAAAAAAACCUCACCAUCCCCAGCAAAUAUCUCCCAAAAAGAGCAACCUAAAAGCACCUCCUCUCUCCACUCUCUGUAACUAUUUCCAAAAGAAAAACCUCUCUCUCCCUCUAACCCCCUAGAGCAAAACUUGUCUCUCUUUAAAAAUCUCCUCCCUUUGUAAUCAAAACUUUCUCUAAGCUUCACCCUAAAGCUCACUCUCUUCUUCUUCUGUACAGGUUGCCUUCCAUGGAUUUCUCACUUAGAACCCUCCCCCUUAGCUUGCUGCCUAAAUAACUCCCUCUCUCUACAGUUGGCUCUCCAAGCUAACCCCCUACAAAAACAUCUCCUCUUAAAAAAUAACCGAAGACGCUCAUUCCUAAAGCUUUCUACAGCUCAAAAAUAUCUCUUCCUCUUUUUGUAAAACUUUCUUUCCCCUGGCUCCCUCUCUAUUGUUUUUUUUUCUCAAGCUAACCCUCUCUCCUAAAAAUAUCUACCCUAAAAACAGCUAUGAAGACCUCCCUUCUCUCUUCCAGAUGACACUCCUCCUAACGAAAAACCUCUUUUCGAAUCUCCCUUUACAGGUGUCAACCUUCUAUUGGCUCCUCAAAAAGCACAUCUGAUUCCCUAGCAGCCAAUCAGGAGGCAACACAUGGCUCUUUGAGAGCUCUCCACCUGACAAAAGCUAGUUGUAGGAAUACCUCCCAAAAUGGGGGUCUACAAAUAUGCCCCUCUUCGGUAGAGCUCACGAGUGUAAGGAAUAUGAACACUGGAGUGAAACAGUGUGAAUAGUGAGUGGAAUAAAGUGAACUCUACCAAAGAAGCAAGGAGACCCCCAAAGGGACAUUGGUAAAACACAGACUCACUCAGACCAACAGACGAACACAAAGACUCUAAUCUUAAAAGAAAAAGAUGUCUCAAAGUGCCUCUGAAGUCGCACUAAGGACCCAGGCUCCCUCUAAGACAUCUCCAAAAGUGACUCGAAAGACCAUAUCAAAGAUGAGUAACGGUCGAACCACUCUAAAGUACAGAAAAGACUACACCCAAAUGAGACUGCCCUAUAUGAACUACAUAAGAAUGUCAAUUGUAGGGUGCCCAACAACAUGACCGAAGUAUGUGUCAUGAACUCAAAGGACUUUGUCAUGAGUAGUGGAAAGGGAAGUCUAAAAGAGCAUGAUAAGCAAAUAAUAAGCAUCAGGUGACCAAGUGAAGAGAAUGACUCUGAAUACCCAAAAUAGAGAAACAAUGGUGACUCAAAAUGUCUGGAUAAGUAUGCACAAUUGCUUUGAACGCCAAAACCGAAGACGUGACUCUGAAUGUCAUACUAAACAAAGACCCUGGACGUCAAACUGAACUGAUAGGAAGAAUGAAUGACCGAUUAAUAUGGGUGCGGUCCUGACUCAAACUAAACUCAAACUGAUAGGAAAAUGGUCGAUCUAUAUAGGUGCGGCCCCGAAAUUCUAAUUGAAACUGACAAAACGAUGAAUGACUGAUCGAUAUAGGUGCGGUCCCGAAAAACUCAAACUGACAUAGAAAUGAUAGGAAGAUGGCUGAUUGAUAUAGGUGCGGCCCCGACUCAAAUUGAACACGGAAGAUGAUCAAUCGAUAUAGGUACAGUCCUGAAAAGCUCAAAAUGACAUGGAAAUGAGAGGAAAAUGGCUGAUCAAUAUGGAUGCAGCCCCGAAAACUCAAUCUGUCAUGAAAAAUGACUGAUCAAUAUAGGUGUAGUCUUGAAAAACUCAAACUGAUAGGGAAACAUUAGGAAGAUGGCUGAUUGAUAUAGGUGCGACCCCGAAAAACUCAAACUGUCACGAAAAAUGACCGAUGGAUAUAGGCGCGUCCCGAAAAACUCAAACUAAUAUGGAAAUGAUAAGAAGAUGGCCGAUCGAUAAAAGUGCAGCCCUGAAAAACUCAAACUGACAUGGAAAUGAUAGGAAAAUGGUUGAUUGAUACGGGUGUGGCCCUGAAAACUCAAACUGUCACGAAAAUCACUGAUCGAUAUAGGUGCGGUCCUGAAAAACUCAAACUGACACGGAAAAUGAUUGAUCGAUAUAGGUGCGACCCCGACUCAAACUAAACACAUAAGAUGUGGUGACCGAUCGAUAUAGUUGCGGCCCCAACUCAAACUAAACACAGAAGAUGUGGUGACCGAUUGAUAUAGGUGCGGUCCCGACUCAAGCUGAACACAAACUAAUAGGAAGAUGGUUGAUCGAUAUAGGUGCGACCUCAACUCAAACUGAACACAAACUGAUAGGAAUAUGGCCGAUCAAUAUAGGUACGACCUCGAAAACUCAAAUUGACAUGAAAAAUGAUCGAUCGAUAUAGGUGCGAUCCCGACUCAAACUGAUAGACAUAUGGCCGAUCAAUAUAGGUGCAGCCCCGAAAACUCAAACUGACACGAAAAAUGACUGAUCGAUAUAGGUGCGGCCCCGACUCAAACUAAACACAAACUAAUAGGAAUAUAACCGAUCAAUAUAGGUGCGGCCUCGAAAAACUCAAACUGACACAAAAAAAUGACGAUAUAGGUGUGGCUCCAACUCAAACUGAUAGGAAUAUGAUCGAUCAAUAUAGGUGCGGCCCCCAAAAACUCAAACUGACAUGAAUAAUGAUCUGAUCAAGUAGCCCAAAGCCAGAGGAUACUAAGAUGACGAUGCAAGCAAACUCCAUUGGAGGGGAUAUACCCCGGUAUGACAACUCAUGAAGAUCGACAACUAGGUCAAAAGAUAAAGAAGCAUGUGAAAGGUUCGACGAUCUUAAAGAAUGAGGGUAUGCCCCAAUAUGUGAUUCACGGGGGUCAACAAUUAGAUCAAAAGGCGAAUAAAGCCUAUGGAAGGUCCGAUGAUCCCAAGUAAGAAGGGUAUGCUUCAGUAUGUGACUUGCGGGGGUCAACAACUAGAUCAAAAGGUGAAUGAAGCCUAUGGAAGGUUCGAUGAUCCCGGGUAAGGAGCGUAUGCCCUAGUAUGCAAUAAUGAACAAACAUAAAUGCAAAAUGCCUCCAAACUACUGUACUUUGAAAUAUGCUCAUCUAUCAUGUAAUGAAAAUGUCCAACCUCAGAUAAGUAAUGCCAAACAGGACCAUGUAUCGUGACACCAUGAUGACAAAACAAAACUAGCUGGUGAAUAACAACAAUAAUGGUUAGUGCUCAAAAUGCAAAGAGUAAACAAAUCAACACUCAACAUGCUAACUGUCAAAGUGAAAACAUCGUCACUAAUAAAUCAACAAUCUGUCAUGCCCUGCCAUCAUGGAAGAUGUUGAACCUAAAGUCUGAAAGAUGUAUGAAAACACAACCAAAGUGAUCGAGGACUGAUCUACGCCUCAUCCAAAUCGAGAUAGGGGUGAAGUUAGGUGUUACGGUGGGAUAUGUAGGAUAAAAGAAAGUGAUGAUCAGGCUCUGGUAUGAUAGAAGCAUGAAAGUAUCCAAAUUGAAAUGUCUAAGUACGAAAUAAAAGGUUGUAAGUAUCUGAGAUCAUCCAAGUAUGUCGAGAAGACUAAACCCAAGGUGUCAAUAACUCUAUAAUCUAUCAGAAGUAAUAAUCAUAAACAGAAAGUCAAGUCUUGAUAUCAAAACAUCCGACUAGAUGGCUAUGCUCCAAUAUGCAAUGAGGACAACAUGAAACAAUCCAAUGAUCUCCACAUCAUCUGGUAGAUGCUCCAAUGUAAAGAACUAAUCGAAUAUUCCUCCAAAAGAUGGACAUGCCCUAAUGUAAAGGAUCCAAUAGGGUGGCUAUGCUCCAAUGAAAAAUACUCUCCAUGCCAGCUAUGCCCCUGUAUAUUCGAGUCAUCAACUGCUAAAGAAGAUCAUGCCUGGUGUACGUCAACAAAUCAAUCCAUCUCUACUCCCGAUGCCAAAAAAGGGAAACAUCCCAACAUAAUCCAUAUGAAUCAGAAUCCCUAAGGCUCUAUGAAUGUGAAUGAAGUGGCUAUGCCCCAAUAUAAAUCAUCUGAAGUGACUAUGCUCCAAGAUAAAUCAAAUUCCAUUGCCAAUGAGACGACUAUGCCUCAAUAUGUGUCCUCAAAACAAGGUCAAUGUCAUUCCUCAAUGCUAAAAAUAGAAAUACUACUAUGAUCUCAAUCAUCCUAUGCUUUACAAAAAAAAAAAAAAAUAGAGUGGUUGUAUUUACUAUGCACAAUCUCUAAAGCAAUCAUAUCUCAAAAUAAACCAUCAUCUCAAAAAAACAACCAUCGAUGAGAGGAGUGUGUCUUAAUGCAGAAUAUCAAGUAGAGUGACUGUAUCUCCAAUAAAAGUGCUUUCUGAAAUGGUUAUGCCCCAGUGUAGGAUCAUCCUAAAAGAAACUACCAUCGAUGAGCGGGGUAUGCCCCAGUGUAGAUAACGUCACCUCUGAAAAUCCAUCACUGAUAAGAGGGGUAUGCCCUAGUGUAAAUCAUCAUCUUAAUUCCUCAUCCAUCAUGCACGAAGAAAUAAUCUCCAACAAACCUUGAGUAUUACCCACAUGUGAGCUGGCAAACACCAUGUGAAGUAAUGGCCUUAGGGUGGUCUUCAGACACGGGACAUAAUGUAGACCAAGGUAAUAGGGUGAAAGAAAUAAAAGGAAACUAGGCUCAAAGAUCCCAAUGAUAUAAUCCCCAUACCCCUCAUGCAGGAGAUGCAAUGCGUAGGAAACAUCAUGAGUCCUGGACCUAGGGGUUCCCACACGAAAAGGGAUGAUAAAUGAAUGAACUUAUCAAAUAAGCAAGUAUAAUGUGUGAAUGCUGAACCCAAGUCAAACAUCGAGCAAAAUGAGAAAAGAAAGAAAUCGAAUGAGGUAAAGUAAAAAUGGAGUGAUAAAACAAAGAUAGAAGAAAGUAAAGAGAUAGAAAAGUGAGUGAUUGUCAACCUGCAUCAAAGCAUGGAAAGUAGUCACAUCCAAAAUAGAUGGGAUGAUGGAUAGAGCAAGGAUCCAAAGAUACUAAAGAAAGGUUGCUCGCCUCUCUCACAAAAAUUGAGUGGGUGCCUCAUACUCUCACCCAAAAUAUACCAAGAUAGAAUCUCAUAAAGAAGCUCUCAUACAAACUCCCUCUAACACAUGAACUCAAUGAAGCAAAUUAGCACGUCCAUACACAUGCCCAAUGGAGAAUAAUAAAAUGAAUAAUGCACUAUUUUUUUUUCAAAUACUCUAAUCAAUAAUGAAUGAUCUCCCGUGAAAUACAUAGCCAAAUGAAUAAACCCUCCCCAUGUACUGAUGUAACUUGAAUCCUCACUAACAAGACAACCUCUCAAAAUAAGAUCUCUGAACCAUUGCUCAUAAGGCGGACAGGGGGAAGGAUGUGACAAUCCUCCAUGUAGUGACUUGUGAAAAACCACCACUCAAGGUGAAACAAGGAUAAUGUUGAGUAAUUAAUGAUGAAAGAAAAGACAGAGAAUGAAUAUCACAAGUGGUGAUAUGUGAUAUCAUAAAAUAGUGAUGAAAUGAUGACCAAGUGGAAAAUAUCACAAAUGAAGAUCGAGGAAUGAGGCCUGAAUAUGUAUGUCAAGUCUAAAACUCAUGACGUAUCCUAUCAUAGCAUGCAAGCACUACAGGGUCUCCAACCCGAUGUAAUAGGUAAAUGAGGUGAUGAAAGAAAAGGCUAUGUGCUCGUAUGAGGCUUAAUGGGAUAGUAAUGGGUAACUCUAUAUGCGAGAGUGAUAUGGUAAAUAAGCUCCCGAAAUGAUGGCCACCCAUCCUAUGACCGUAACCUCGAACAUCGUGCUUUAAAGAUCUCACAUGGUCAAUACUAAAGGCUGGCACCCGUCCAACAAAGUCAUGGUGACUCCUUUGAAAUCGUGUGAAAGUUCCCAUCGAUGCUCUGUGAUAAUCAUCAAUGUCCUCUGACAAUCACCUCACUCUAUCAUCAUAAUCUACUAACCAUCAUCUCAUAAAAUCACCAUCUCUAAUCAUCCCAACUCUUUGAAGUCAGGUGCAAUGGCUCAAAUCUGGAUGCUCCAUGACGUCUCAUCUACCUCAACAACAUCAUCAAGCAGUCAAACCACUCUCUCAUCAUGAUCCAUCUAUCAAUCGUGUAGAGCUCACCUCAGGUCAAACUAUCUCAGGCACUACAUGGUCAGAUCAAGGAAAUGAUGGAAAGAAAAGGCAAUGGUACUGUAGCAUGCUAAGGCGAACAAGGGUAGUAAAGUCAUGUAAUGGUACCAGGGGUGGUGUCAUGUCAAGCCCAAAAUGGUUAGGUCAUCAAGUCUAAAAAGUUAGGGUAGAGAUAUGGAUAUGGUGCUGCUUUGAUUAGAAGAUGAAACGAGUCGUAGUCUUGAGUUCACUAGUCGAUCCUCUAAUCCUAGGUCAACAGGCUCAAUAUCCUCCAUGAUAGGUCAGGCCCUAGCGAUCAUGAUGUAAGUGAAAGAUGUCUCAUAUCGAAAGAAUAACACACAUCAACACAUAAUAUGUAAAACAUACUCAUGAGUAGGAGAAGAACAUAUACUUAGGAUAAAAAGAUCAUGUCACUAAAAUGAACCAAUGAGUACAUCAUGUGUGAAAUGAUAAAGGACUAUAAAUGACUAGACUCUCAACAUGAACUAUAAACAAAGACCCUAAACCAAAACCGAACUCAACAAAAUAAAAGCAACUUUGAUGAACUGAAAAUUGGACUCAACAAAAUGGAAAAUGACUCUAAUGAUGACCAUAAUCAGAAUGAAAAGUGCUCUGAGUUGAACUGCUACCAAGUGAUGUACCCAUGCCGACUGAUCCAAGCCCUCAACCCGGGAUGUCCCAAAAUACCAUGCGACCAUCAAUACCAUCAAUAUCCAGAUCGAUCUACUGAAGAUUAGGAGGAGGAGGAACUACAUGUGUAGAUGUGUAGGCAGGGGAUUGGUGGUCACACUUGGCCCAGCCAGGUCGACCAACCUUGAAUCGGUCAAGUCCUGUAUCGCAUGAUGGAGCGUUGAACAAUGCUCAGUAUCGUGCCCCUAAAUCUAAUGAUAUAAGCAAUGCUCAUGUGAGAGGAAAUGAAGAGGAAUAGGAUGUGGCAAAGGACGUGGCACCAAAGGAACAAUCAAACCAGCGUCUCUGAGCUUCUCAAAAGCUCUAGUCAAAGUCAUGCCUAAUGGAGUGAACUAUCUCACGAGUCUCUGUGCAUAUGGUUUAGGUGGUAGGUGAGUAGUGGCUCUCGGAUGUGGUGGUCGUGGUUGCAUGCUGGUCUGAGCAAUGUAAAGCUCCUGAAUAUAAAUUGACUGAUACAGAUACUAGGGAUGAGAGAAAUGAGCUCUGACUGUAGGAGGCCUAUAAGGUGAGUGAUGCGUAGGCCUCUGAUGCUGAUAACUAAUAGCACCAACCUCUCCAGAUCUACUAGAUGAUCCAAUCGACUUCUUCUCCUUACUGUCAGGGAAAAUAAUAGUAUUUAUCCAUAAUCCUUGAGCAAUGGCCUCCUCAACACUAAAAUCUGCAUGAACUAGGCUCUUAAGAUCCUAAAAUGGGAUGCCCACAAGAUGCCUAGUGAACCUCGGCUGUAGGUUCCGAAGAACCAUAUCAAUCUAAUCCUGCUUCGUAGGUCGGUCUAUCAUACCAACCACUUUUUCCCUCCAAUGACUGACAAAGGAAGAAAUAGACUCGUCUGGCCUUUGUCUGGUGGCCUCCAACUCUUGUCUGGAUACAUUAAUGUCGGCACUGAAAGCGAAUUGAGUCAGGAACUCAUGAGCCACAUCUUCCUAGGUACGAAGUCUCGAAGGCUCAACUAAAGCAAACCAUCUCUGAGCUGCUCCCCUAAGUGACAUAGGGAAGAGGGCCACCAAUUGUGAAUCAUCUAUCCUAUGUGCUCUCAUUACUAUGCUGUAUAGCCUCAAAUGGGUCUUGGGAUAGCCAAUCCUGCUAUAACGCUCAAUAUCUGGCAUGCAAAACUUGGCGGGUAAGCUAGCCGCCAGUAUGCCAUCUCUAUCAUCCCAAGUCAAACCUCUAUCUUGCAAUCUGAUUUGUCUCAUCCUAGAAUCAAGCCUCUCAACCCUAGCCUCCUGCUCAGCCAAUCUAGUAUCAUUAAUAGUAGAAACCAUGGGAGGUGGCACUAUGACAGUAGGUAGUGGAAUGGUCUCAUAAAGAUUUGCCAGAUGGAAUGGAGUACCAAGUGAAACCCUAGAUGGUAGAGCUUGUGCUGUCUGAGAUUCAUGAUGAACCGUCUCAUCAGUGACCACACCAACUGGAUGAGGAUCCCGGUAAGAACUCUAUAUUUGAUCCAAACGUCUACUCACUUUGGCCAUGAACUCUUAAAUAGAAGCAAGUGUAGCAAUUAGCUCGUUUGACAUCUCAACUGAACUAUCUAAACUAUGAUUUGAAUAUGCUAUGAUCAAUCGACCUCCAACUCUCCUCUAAGAAUGUGACUCUAGACUUGACCAACUCCUAAACUGACUCCCUACAAUGCAAACAAAUGGAUGAAGGAUGCAAGAAAGAACCUGAUUCGACUCAUGGUAGCUUAGCUUUAAAGGCGUAUCAACAAAAUUUAUACCUUAAAUACUAUUACUAAAGUAGCCAAGCUACUAUAGCAUAGUGGUUCUAGGAUCGUUCACUGGGAAGGGUUUUCGCAAACACUAGUGAUAUUCAAAUUAGGAAAAUAGGUGCUUUUCUUAUGGAUGUUAGCUUUAAAAGAAGAUAUAAAUGUUUUAGAAAGAUUUAAACUAAUCUAAGCUAACAUUAAAGACUAAAAUGAAAAGGUGUAAAAACAAGUUUCUCAAAGAUAGGAUAGCUAUGCUCUGGCUCUUAUACAAAUUGGAAAUCUCAGGAUAGGCUCCUCACGUUGGGGUUGCAACUAUGGUGAUGCUUGCUUCCCGAACCGGUAUGGAUUUAGCAAAUCAAGUUUUAAUCCUUUAAAAUGACAAAACAGAUGGUAGUGAAUUUCAUCAAUGGUUAUUCACCUUAGACUUCCUUUGAAUGGCUCGUAAGAGAUAACUAAUGGUCUAAAGCUAAAAGCUNNNNNNNNNNNNNNNNNNNNNNNNNNNNNNNNNNNNNNNNNNNNNNNNNNNNNNNNNNNNNNNNNNNNNNNNNNNNNNNNNNNNNNNNNNNNNNNNNNNNNNNNNNNNNNNNNNNNNNNNNNNNNNNNNNNNNNNNNNNNNNNNNNNNNNNNNNNNNNNNNNNNNNNNNNNNNNNNNNNNNNNNNNNNNNNNNNNNNNNNNNNNNNNNNNNNNNNNNNNNNNNNNNNNNNNNNNNNNNNNNNNNNNNNNNNNNNNNNNNNNNNNNNNNNNNNNNNNNNNNNNNNNNNNNNNNNNNNNNNNNNNNNNNNNNNNNNNGAGGAAAGCCCUCAGAGGCUGUUUGGCUUCCAAGAAAAUAAAAUAGUAAAGAUAAAAGAGAGACGAGAGAGCUCUGUAUAUAUUCUAAGUGUAAAACGUAACCUAUGUUCUCUAUAUAUUCCAAGAGGUGAUUUCCACCCCUUAUAUAGUCUUUACAAAAGCAAAAGCUUGUGAUUGGUUAGUUACAAGGAUAAGAAAGGAAAUUACAUCACAAAAUACAAAGGAAAAUAUCUAAAGUGGAGUCGGCAAAAGCAGAGGAAAAUUCGCAACACGCAUGGGUUAUGCGAAUUUUGAAGGUGUUAUGCGAAAUUUUCGCAUAACCUAGAGCAGUUGGCUUCCGAAGACCAUAUCUUCCUCAUUUCAACUCCAAAUCGUACACGGUUUGAAGCUUUGGAUUCUUGACUUCCAGAGCUUUGAAAUGGUAUAUAGUAUGUAAAAAAUGGACUUCGGGAAGUGCUCCAAAAGUGAGCAAGAAUACUGCAGCUGCUGUCCUCUUUGCUUCUCUUCACUUUGCUUGCUUUUCCUCUUUUCCAUUGUUCUUUCCUUGCAUACUUUGAAAGACUUUGGCAAAGGGCUAUGGAGCUCCAAAGCUUGGUUCUUCAUGAAUUUGUGCUUCCAAAAGCUUUGCCAUAACUUGUCUAAGUAGCUCCUCCAUCAUUUGGCAUGCUUGAAUUGAUUCAUAAGCUGAUAAAAACAUGUAAACUUGCCACAAAAUGGUUAAAACCAAUUACUAAGGACCUUAAUGAAUUAAUUGGGUUAAAUGAAUAUGAUUACUACUCAAAGGUGCUUAAAACCAUUAUAAUUAGGUCUACAAAAUAACACUUUUUGGUAGUAAUCAGAACCCUAAAAGACAACUGUAUAACAUGUAAGCACAUGAUCCUGAGGUGGCAAUCCUAAAUCUGGAUGUAUAAUGAGAACUCUAGAGUCAUAAAGGUGUCCACUGUGAGAUGGCUACAAAUGUUACUAGAGAAUUCCUAUCAAUAAUCCAAGAUGAAAGAGGUGUGAGAAAUACACUAUCAUAAGAUCGAUACUCCAUCUAUAAACACAUAUCCUUAACUCAACCUUCAACUCGAGCUUCAUAAGAGAAAAAUAAUAAGGUGAUUAAGGCGACUAUCUCGAAAAAGAUGUGAAUGUGAAAUGUGCCUUUCACUUUUUCGUAAUAAAAAUAUAAGCAUCGAGUCGAAAAUCAAAUCAAGUAUCCAACAAAGAAUAAGGUACCGAGCCUGUGAUAGGUGUAUAGUGUAAAAAGAUGAACAUAUCUCAAAGUAUCAAGUAAGUGACAACAAAGUGAAAGGAUGUGUUGAGCCAAGAAAGGAAAAUGAAAGCCCUAAGGAGAAAACAUAGUAAACUCAACGAGUGAAAAGAACAAACUAAGGUGACAUGAUAAAGGUGAUCCAAUCAAUACUCAAACUCAUACCAAUCUCUAAGCACUCUCAACUGGAAACCAAAAGAGAAAACACUGGACCUAGGUGGUGACUAAGUGGCUCUGAAGGCUCUCAGAUGCACCCACAUGUGAGGAAGGAAUCCUAAUCAAAAUAUUUAAGCUCAUCCUACAAGGUCAAAGUGGCCCUAAAAGGAAAUGGGUAGACUUUAAAAGGUCCUUAGUAGAAGUGAUCGUACCCUCUAGCGAUACGCAACCCUUUGCACACCUUCAAAGAGACGGGGUGCUUCCAUGCAAAGUGGUCAUCACCUCCACACAUGCACUGCCUCAACAUCCCAGGGGUUUCCUAUGGUGAAAGCUCUCACAACUCUCAACACUUAGUGGUAAGCUAAGGUGCUCAAUGAAUGGUGUGGGUGCAUCCGAAAAUCCUAUGAAACUAAAAGAAAACACACUAGCCACACAAAUAUCCUAAAAUCUAGCUCUAGGCUAUACAAGUCUUCAAAGUUCAGACUCCAAUCAGUAUCAAUAUGUUGACCACCUCUAGAAUGCUCCCAAACAUAGAUAUAGCCCAUCGCUAAACCCUACUCUUAAUCACUAGCUCGGUCGAAAAGCAAACGAAGCAAAAAGUCUCAUAUCAAAUACCAGACCCUAGAAAACAAGGUCAACCGAGACUAGGGAAUUGGAGAUAAAGGGAUAAGUGUGUGUCCCACAUAGACAAGCAACUCAUGCAAUCACACGAAAUGAGAGAAGUCAUGCAACAAACAGUCAUGCAAAAUAAGUAUAUAUCAUCCAAAUCUACACACAAGCUAAUCGAGAAUAAUAUUUGGCAAUGAUAGCAUGCUCCAUGAUAAUCAAGAUAAUAUACAACUAAGAGAAUCAACCAUGUCAAAGUGAAUGAGAUAAGCAACAAGAAUAAUGUACAUGCCAAGGUGAGCAGAGUGAUCAUACAACAAGGAGAGUCAAUAUGUGAGGGUAAUCAAAUGGAUCAAUCAAUACAAUCAACAUGUUGAUGUCUCAAAUGAAUACCAUAACUAAUCAUGCAUCAAGGAUAGUGACAUCAAGAGCUCUCAAUGUGUGAUAAAAAAUCAAGCAAACAAAAACACAAAGAGAGAUAGGUACCCUCUGAUCGACCAAUCAAAUGCCAUAAUUGCCUCAACUUAUGUUCAAGCUUGACCCUCUAAUCGAUCACCAGUGGAGUUGCCAUUUUAUAGACCCCACAUUUCGACUCAUGCGCUUUCUCUCGAUGGUGAGCUCGCUUUUUAUUUGAAAAUUUGAUUUUAUUUAUUAGAAAAUGACUUGGAGUUGCCACUUAUUUUUCUUUUAUUUUUAAAGGGUAAACAAAAUAAGAAAGAAAAACCCUAAGUAUGACUCCUUAUUUGGAAAAGGUGGUCUAUAAAAACCAAAAAUGGGCUUGGGGGUCAGGUUACUUAUCAGGAAGGUACGGUAAAGACCGUAGCACCCCUUUAAGUCCCUAAAAUCGAGUCUCUACUAAUAAAAUGAAGCAAAUAUGACGAUUGAUAAGCAUAUCAAUGGAUACCGAAUGAAAAUCAAAACAAAAUACUCAAAUGAAUAUGAGAGGCAAAAAACGUACCUGAGUAAUGAACUGAUUUAUUUCAUGGGAAGCAAAGGUUAGUGAACAAACACAGAAUAAUCAUGUGCAUAUCAUAGAAUAGAAUAAAUCAAUCACGCAUGGCAAUCAAAUCAACCAAUCAAUCAAUCAAUCAUAAAAUCAUGUAUAUGGGGCCCCCACCAAAGCCCAAUUUAUUUUGCAUGAAUCAAUUCCAAUAACUCCAUUAUUCGCAAUUACGAAAUUUAAUUCUUACUUAUUUAAAAAAAAUUUAAAAUCAUGGAAGUUAUGAAAAUUACUUGUCAGAAGAAAAAGUGGCGGCAAAAUUUUAUUGAAAAAUAGGUUUUUGGAACUUAAAAAUUCUAAGGAUGAAGAAAAACUUGGAGUUUAAAGACUAAAACCCAGAAAUUUCUUUGAAGAAAAGGAUUUGAAAAAUUAUUUUUAAAAGGUUAAGGAUAGUAAAAUGGAAAAAAAAAAAAAAAAAAGGCACUUGUGUCAAAGGUGGCCAUGCAAAAGGUGUGGUCCCUUGUAGCUUCUCUUCCCUAUAGCCAACCCAUCUUCAAAAGUCAUCAUUCCAUCUUUUAGAUUUAUUUUUAGGUGGUCUGAUUGAACUGCUUAUUAGGAGAUGCAGGUGCGAUCAACUCCAUUUGAGCAACAUUUGGCAAAGUCCUCAUGAGCUUUCAAUGCCAAGUCCUCAUCUUCCUAUUCAUCACGGAAUGUGUGUGGAUGGACAAAAUAAUUCUUUUCAGUUGCAGAAUAUAUUUCCUUUCUCCAUUCUUUGACACUUGGAAUCCUAUACUAGCUAGCAAACCAGUCCAUGUAUUCUAUCUGACAAUGACCAAUGCCACGUGUGUACCACUUAGGUGUGCCUGAAGCCUCAAGCAAUAAGUACUAUGCCUCAACAUCUCUCAUCAUCUCCUCUUUCGAUGGGAGUCCAAUCUGACCAGAUAGAACCCUUGCUAUUCAUUUGCUUUGAAAUUAAUACAAGAUGAAGCCAAUACCCAUCAAUGGUAAACCCAACAAAGGAAAGCCAAGGUGCCAAAGCCGGUGGAAAAGUGUGCUUGUAUAGUGGUCCAACGCAAUUGUCUUCCACAGUGAUAAUGUCAUAUCGAGCCGUCUUAGUGGAUGCUUUCUAUCUUUACCAUAGGAUGCAACCUCAAAUUAUCAUAGCCAAACAUGUUUCCCAAGACUCCAACCUUGGUUGAUCUAGAUGCAAUGUGAACUUCUUUGGCAACUUGAGCAAUGUUCAUAGAGAUAUCAAGAGCACUUGAACCAACCCCUCUCAAAAUUACAACCAGAUCUCGAAAGGGGUCAGGAAUACGAUAAUUGUGGCUAUGCAUUUACUUCCCCGGCCAUGCAUUAAUCCCUAGAAUUUCGGUAGUACGAGGCUCUGUUUCGUGCCCAUUGCAAACAACCACUACAUAAAAAAUCUCAUAAGUUGUCACACCAUUUGCCACUUUAGACUUCGUUCUCCACUUUCCAUUAACCAACCCAACAUAAACCACCUCUGUCCCAAAGCAGACUUACUUAGUGAGCCCAAAUGUAGUGGCAUAAUCGUUGAUAUAAAGAAAGACCUCUCGAUGACCUGGAAACUUUCUAGAGUCGUUGUAGGGUUGACUCUUAGAUACGAAGGGGUAGUCUCAAAACCCCACAGUCUCACUCCUCAUUACGGCUUCAUACCCAAGAAAGUCCAAACACCAAGAACAGAGAUAAAGUAACAAAAACAGAGCAAUGAAGGAAGAAAAUAGGAUGAAGUAUUAAGAGUUAUACUUCAUCUCUUAGUUAGUGGGCUUAUAGAUGGGUGAAUUAAAAAGGUGUAGACCCUCAAUUUUUUCCCUCGACAUCGGCAUUUAUCCUUCGGGUGUCAUAUCCACCCAUUGUUUGCAUAUGGCACCACUAGGGCCUCUUUUGGGCUUAGUCGGUGUCCGAGCCUCGUGUGGGUUUGUCUGUGGUCCAUUGUGGUGCAUAUGUGGUUCAUUUUGGAGGGUCACCAUGGCCAUUUUCCUAUUCGUUCACAUAACGCUAUAGGAAGGAAGUGGGGUCAUCCCGAUGUUUUAGCUUAGUUGGAGUUUAUAGGGGCAUGUUGAGGUUCGGAGCACUUGGGCUUGUUUUGAUCAUAUCUCCCUCAUCCAAAUUUGGAAUCAAGAACCGUUUCUUUUUAUGGAUUCCUUAUUCUUCCAGAAACAUUCUAUAAAAUUUUCAAAAUUUUUUGCAACCGUUCGGCUGGUUGGCAGCCGGUUCAGCAGAUUCAGCCGGUUCAUCAAGUUAGCCGGUGUAGAACACUGAUUUUUGGUAAUUAUUUUGAUCAUAUCUCCCUCUUCCGAAAUCGGAAUCACACACCGUUUUUUUUCAUGGAUUCCUUAUCUACUAGGAACAUUAUGUCAAAUUCUCAGAAUUUUUUUCCAUUAGUUCAACCAGUUGGCAUCCGGUUCGGCCGGUUCAGCCGGUUCAUUGAGUCAGCUGAGGUAAAACACUAAUUCUCGUAAUUUUGAGGCCCAAAUCCUACAUGGCUCAAGCCCGUAAGCUCCAGAUCGGUUUUGGGCAAUGUUGUGGGUCCAUUUUGGGCCUUGGUUUGGGUUCUUUUCAGCCCACCACGAAUCCAUAUGGAUUCUUGGUGGUGAAGCAAGCUGAAAACUGAAGGGAGUGAGCUGGCCUCGUAAGUUUAAGAGAAGUAAUGAGGGAUGUGGUUCCCAUGCUGAUGAAAGGGAUUUUGAUGCUGAAGAGGAAGGAACCCAGGAGGCUUAAAUGCUAAGAGGGGUAUGAGUAUAAAAGGUGAGAGGAUAGGAGAGCAAAGGACAAGAGGGGACAUUUUGGAGAGGGGAAAUUUUGUCGGUGAGAAAAACAAAAGGUCAGUAGCAUCUUCUGAGUUGAGAGUGUGGGGGAAAGCUUCAGCACUGUGGUUUUUUUGAAGAGGAGAGUGACAGCAUCUCAAGUUUGGAAGUCAUCAUCGGCAUACACAGAUCAUAUUUGGUUGAGAUUCUGAGGUAAGCAUGCUGAAUUUUCUUUACUUACAAUUUUUCUUCCUCGUCUUCAUAUGCUUUUUCUCCUUCCUCAUCAUCUUUUCUUCCCUUUGAUAUGAAGAUUGUAUUGCUUGGGUGUGGAUAAUAAAGGCCACACAUGAUUGUUGUUGAUUGGUUAUGAAUGGUUUAGGAACUUUCUGACCGAAUUUGGGGUUUUUUAUUAACCGGCUGAACCGGUUCAACCGGUUCAGCACAAUAGCUGGCUGCCUCUGUCAGCCAUGAAGAACACCUGCCUUUCUUUGUUUGGUUCUCACUCAUCCGGGCUUGGAAUUGAGAACCGUUUCUUUUAUUUGCUUCCUUAAUCACUUAGGAACUUUCUGACUGAAUUUGAGGUUUUUUAUCAACCGGCUGAACCGGUUGGGAACCGGUUCAGCACAAUAGCUGGCUGCCACUGUCAGCCAUGAAGAACACCUAUCUUUCUUUGUCUGGUUCUCACUCAUCCGAGCUCGGAAUUCAGAACCGUUUUUUUUUUCUUCCUUAAUUACUUAGAAACUUUCUGACCGAAUUUGGGAUUUUUUAUCAAUUGGCUGAAUUAGUUGGGAACCGGUUCAACCUGUUCAGCACAAUAGCUGGCUGCCUCUGUCAGCCAUGAGGAACACUUGCUUUUCUUUGUCUGGUUCUCACUCAUCCGAGCUCGGAAUUGAGAACCGUUUCUUUUGUUUGCUUCCUUAAUCAAUUAGGAACUUUCUGAUCGAAUUUGGGAUUUUUUUAUCAACCAGCUGAACCGGUUGGGAACUGGUUCAACCGGUUCAGCACCAUAGUUGGCUGCCUCUGUCAACCAUGAGGAACACCUGCCUUUCUUUUGUUUGAAUCCUCACUCAUUUAGGAGUUUUUUAGAAAAAUUUGGGAAUUCUUCUCAAUAGGUUGUACUAGUUGAGAACUAGUUCAACCUAUUCUACUGGAGGACUUUAGGUAGCCCUCAAUUUUGGCAUUUUUCGAGCCCUUAUCCAUUGGGGCUCAAACCCAUUUGCUAUAGGGCACUUGUGAGCCAUCUUGAAGCUUUAAGUCAGUGUUUGAUUUUAGUUAGUAUGGGCAAUUUUGAAGUUAUGGGUGGUGUGGUCUAGAUGAGUCUAGUUCGAUUUGUAUGGCAUUUGGGGAGUCCCUUACCUCAUUUCAACCAACUAUCUUCCUUUUUGGCACAAGCUUUGAUGCUUGAUUUUGAAUACAUGUUGCGUGACUGACUCACCCUCUACUGUAGCACAUGGCUAGGGACUAUAGGUACGCAUCGUUGGUUUUGAUUGUUGAAUCAUAUGCAUGCAUGGUGCUUAAUCUUGAAUGUUUGUUAUGUGUUUAUCUACCUUUUAUGCAGCGCUUGGUUAGGGACCACAGGUACGCACCCAUUAUUUUGGUUGGUUGAAUUCAUAUGAAUGCCAAAUACCAACUAGGAUUGUGUGAUUCAUGACAUCUAUUUAGCCUAGGGUUUCAUCUUUGACCCAUAUGCUCCCACAUACCCAAUUCAUUAGUAGAGACCGAGUUCCGGGCCUAGAGGGGUGCUACCUCGCAUGAGGUACCUUCCCAAUGGGUAACCUGAUCCCCGGACCCAGAAUCUAGUUUUCGCAGACCGCUUUUUCCAUACUAGGGUCAUUAGGGGUUUUUGUUCUUACUUAAUUUUCCCCAUUUUAAAAAUAAAAAUAAAAAUUAAGUGGCGACUCCAUACAACACCGUUCCUCACCGAGGGCAGGUUUUUCAAAAUCGGAAAACUCAAGUUUUUCAUUCUUUCUUUUCUUUUAAAAGCGAGUCGCGCCGGUCCGGUGGAUCGGGUGAGGGUCCACAAAAGGUUUUUUUUAUUAUUUAAAAUGUCACAAAUGAGGUAAAAUGGGAUAAAAUCAAUUUCCGAGCACAAACAGGAGCAAUAGAGGGGCUAGAAGUUAUGAAGAAUAAAACAUAAAUCAUCCAAAAGUCAAUAGCAGUGCAUCUCAAUCAUAGUGGAUGAAGAGAAAAACCAAAAAGAAAAAAAAAAAAAACAAUGGAAAACUCACUUUUGAGAAAAUGUUGGAGGCCUUUAUACUUUGCAAUCCAAGACUCCCUUGUUUGCUCUCCAACCUCAAGGAACAUAGCUCCAAAAAUCUCUCUCUAUCUAAAACAAAAACGUCUCUCAAGCCUUAGAGAACACCACCCCCCCCCCCCUCUCUCAAGCAAAACUUGCAUCUCUAGCAAAAAAAAAAAAAAAAAAAACCUCACCAUCCCUAACAAAUAUCUCCCAAAAACAGCAACCCAAAAGCACCUCAUCUCUCCACUCUCUAUAACUAUCUCGAAAAGAAAAACCUUUAUAUCACUCUAAUCCUCUAGAGCAAAACCUGUCUCUCUCUAAAAAUCUUCUCCCUCUGUAAUCAAAACUUUCUCUAAGCUUCGCCCUAAAGCUCACUCUCUUUUCCUUCUGUACAGGUUGUCUUCCAUGGUUUUCUUGCUCAAAACCUUCCCCCCUAGCUUGUUGCCUAAACAACUUCCUCUUCCUUCAGCUGACUCUCCAAGCUAACCCCCUACAAAAAUAUCUUCUCUCAAAAAAUAACCAACGACGCUUCUUCCUAAAGCUCUCUGCAACUCAAAAAUAUCUCUCCACCUUUCUGUAAAACUUUCUUUCCCCCGACUCCCUCUCUGUUGUUGUUUUUUUUUUUUCAAGCUAACUCCAUCUCCUAAAAAUAUCUACCCCAAAAACGGCCAUGAAGACUUCCCUCCUUUCUGCCAGAAGACACUCCUCCUAAAGACAAAACCUCCUCCCGAAUCUCCCUUUAUAGGUGUCAGCCGUCUAUUGGCUCCUCAAAAAGCACAUCUGAUUCCCUAGCAGCCAAUCAAGAGGCAACACAUGGCACUUUGAGAGCUCUCCACCUAGCAAAAGCUAGCUACAGGAAUACCUCCCAAAAUGGGAGUCUAUAGAGACUCAUUUGAAGAAUCAUGCGACACUCUCCCUCACCUAAGCCACAGAUAUCCUCGUUGCUCAUUCUGCCCGAAACCACUUAAUCUACUCCUGAAACUACCAUAGUGCAUCUACUGGCUCCCAAUUGGCCUGGCUCUCUAGUAGUUCCUUCCAUUUCACCAAGUACUCUAUAGUAGGAGACACGCUUCGUUUCCCGAUGACUCGAUCUGCAUUGCUAUGUUCUACUUUUUUUUCAUAGAAGGUCACGACCGUUGUUGGUGCCCUUUUAGAUAACCCCCGACUUGAAUCAUCAUUGUAUUUGUAAUAUGGUUUUAAGAAACUUACGUGGAAUAUGAGAUGAAUCUUCAACCUUGGUUACUCAACUUUAUAGGACACCUUGCUGAUCUUCCCAAGUAUGGGGAAAGGUCCUUCAUACCUACUCACAAGGCCCUUAUGCACUAGUCUUAGUGACUUGAAUUGUUGAGGAAUGAGCUCGACAAGCACCAUGUCUCUAACCUUGUACUCUGUGUGACGUCGCUUCUUGUCAGCCCAUUUCUUCAUAUUCCUAGUGGGCUUGUCCAAGUAUUUGUGUGCUAUGUCAGCUUGCUCGUGCCACUCUUUCGCAAACUUGAAAGCCGCUAGACUUUUCCCUAUAUAGCCUAUCGUUAGUGUGUAAAGACUUAAUGGUUACUGCCCUAUGGCUAGCUCAAAUGGGCUUUUGUUGGUUGCCUCACUCCUUUGCAAUUUGUAUGAGAAUUGGGCUACAUCUAGCAAAUUAGCCCAAUCCUUCUGGUUGGCACUCACAAAGUGCCUCAAGUAUAGUUCUAGUAAGGCGUUCACCUUCUUAGUCUGUCCAUCUGUUUGUGGGCGAAAGCUUAUGGAGAAGUGAAAAUUCGAACCUAUAAGCUUGAAGAGAUUUGUCCAAAACUUCCUAAUGAAUCAUAGGUUAUGAUAACUAAUGAUAUAGUUAGGCAACCCUCAAUACUUGACCACGUGUUUUAAGAAUAACCUUGUCGUCUCCUUUGUAGUGCAGUCAAUAGGAGCUACUAUGAAGGUCGCAUACUUAAAGAACCUGUCUACUACUACUAUGAUAGAGUCGUCCUAUGACUUGGGUAGCCCGAUGAUGAAGUCCAUAGUGAUGCUCUCCCAUGGACGCUCUACUAUAGGUAGUGGUUCCAACAGGCCUCUAGGCUGUCGCUACUCCACCUUGUCUUGUUGGCACACAUAAAAAGUCCUCACAUAGGCCUCAACUUCAUCCCGUAUGUAAGGCCAAUAGUAAGUUUACUCAAGUAGUGCCCUUGUGCGUCAUUACCUAGGGUGCCCAACCCACUUGGUUUCAUGACACUCCUUAAUCAGGUUCUGCCUUAUGUUCUCCCACUUAGGCAUGUAGAGUCGUCUUUCUUUAGUGUAGAGUAGGUCGUCUUCCACCCAAAAUCGCUUAGUUUUCUCCUCAUGGGCCAAGACGAUGAGGCUCUUAUCCACUAGAUCAUGUCGUAGUCCAUUUCUCAGAAGAUCCAUUAUGUCCCCUUAGGGUUGGCUCGUCAUGGAUGCUAUCUCUGUCUUACGACUUAGGGCAUCAACCAUAUGAUUAGCGCUUCCUGGCUUAUACUCCAGCGUAUAGUCAAACUUGGCCAGGAAGUCUAGCCACCUAGCUUACUUAGGACUUAGUUUCUUCUAUGUUUGGAAGUAGCUAGUGGCAACAUUGUUAGUCUUCACUAUGAAGUGAGACCCUAGAAAAUAGUGCCUCCAGGUGCGUAAGCAAUGGACGAUGGCAAUCACCUCAUUUUCUUGCACAUUGUAGUGCCUCUCUGUGUCAUUUAGUUUGCGACUCUCGAAGGUUAUCAGAUGCCUAUCUUGCAUAAGGACUCCCCCAAUAGCAAAGUGUGAUGCAUCUGUGUGUACCUUAAAAAUCGUGAUGUGGUCGGGUAGUGCCAAUAUUGGCUCCUUAGUCAUAAUCUUUUUUAGAUCUUCAAAGGCUUGUUGACACCUUUCAUCGCACUCCCAUGCCUUGUUCUUCUUAAGAAGCUCAAUGAGUGGAGCUAACCUUGUCGAAUAACCCUUGUUGAACCACCAAUAAUAGUUAACCAAGCCAAGGACAGACCUUAGUUGAGGUGCCUUAGUAGGUGGAUCACAUUCCUGGAUGGCCUUCACCUUGCUAUCAUCCAUCAUCAACUUUCCAUCCUUGAUGCGAUGCCCUAAAAAGCUCACAUCCUCCUUAGUAAAAGAGCAUUUCUCAUUCUUUACAUAUAGCUUGUUCUACCUUAAGAUCUUAAAGACCUUCCUUAAAUGUUCCACAUGCUCCUCCAAGGUGCUACUGUAGAUGACUAUGUCAUCUAAGUAUACCACCACAAACUUGUUUAAAUAAGGAUGAAAUAUCUUAUUCAUGAAUAUGCAAAAUGUUGUUGGUGCCUUGGUGAGACCGAAAAACAUCACUAAGAACUCGUAUGAGCCAUACCGAGUCACGCAUGUAGUCUUCAGUUCAUCCCUUUCUUCAAUCCUCACUUGGUAAUAGCCUGAUCUCAAGUCCAACUUAGUGAAGUACCUUGCUUUACCAAGUUGAUCAAAGAGAUCAACAAUGAGUGGAAUGGGGUACUUGUUCUUUAUCGUCACCUUGUUAAAUGCCCGAUAGUCGAUGCACAUCCUUAGGAACCCAUCAUGCUUCUUUUGAAACAAGACUGAUACACCACAGGGAGCUUUAGAAGAUUGGAUGAAUCUUAUUUAUAGAAACUCCUUGAAUUGUCUCCUUAGCUCUUCCAACUUGGGCGGUGCCAUCUUAUAUGGCCCCAUAGUAGGGGACUUAGCUCCUGACUCCUACUCAAUUUUAUGGUCUUCUUUUCGUCGAGGUGGGAGUCUUUUAGGCAACUCAGGUGGCAUCACGUUCUUGAACUCAUCAAGGACUCCCUCGAUUUCCUUAGGCAUGGGCUUCCUCGAUCCAUCAUCCUUUUUCCUCCAUAAGGGUGGCCAAGUAAGUCAUCUCCUUCCUCUUUAACCCCUUCUUUACUUGCAUAGCUGAAAAUAUAGGGGUCUUAGGUGAACCUUUGGUGACCAUAGGGACCAUGCAUGACUUUUUCUAGUACCAUUUUAAAGUCUUCCAUGGGUGCUAUUGUGAAGUUGACCCUUCCUUCCCAUGAGCUAAUGUGCAUAGCCACCCCACGUGCUACUCCGUAUGAUCGCUUGGCAGUUGAAUUAAUUGCCUUGAGCCAACCUUCUUCCUCAAAUGCUUAGAGCUCCAGUCUCUUUGCCUCAUCCUCUGAGACAAAGUUAUGAGUGGCACCAAUGUCCACUAGGGCCUUGGUGGCCUUCUCAUUUACAAAGGCCUCUACAUAUAUUAACCCUUUACUUUGAGGCAUCUUAGGCACCGACUUGGCCUUGAGGAUGUUUAGGAGUUGUAAUAAUCCCACAUGAGCCUCGCCCUCCUUCUUUUUUUCCUCGAUCAUGGCAUUUAGGGUUUUCCUCUUGGGGUUGUCCCGCACCCAGUGUGGACUAUCACAUAGGAAGCACUUGGUCUUGGUCAUGAACUCUUUCCGUUUGUCCUUGCCCUUACCAUCCUUGCCACUAGACAUCUUGUUUGAUCCUUCCUUAAGAGUGUACCCCAUUGAUCCAUUGUCUUCCCACUUUUGGCAUGAUUACCCUUGGACUGUGGCAUAGGCUUAUAGGAGUCUCCCCUUUUGUAUUCUACCAAAGACUCCACUAUCGCCAUGGUCGUGGCAAGAUCUUGGAUACCACGUCUCUUCAACUCUUGCUCAGCCCAACUUUGCAAGUUGUUCAUGAAGUUGAAUAGUAGCUCCUCCUCAGACAUGUUGGGUAUCUCAAGCAUAAGUGUAGAGAACUUUUUGACAUACUCAUGGAUCGAGCAUGUGUACUUGAGACGUUUCAUGUUUUUCCUUGCUAGGUAAGCCACAUCCUUAAGGUAGAAUUGCCUUUUGAUUUCUCACUUAAAGGAAUCCCAUGUGUCUAUGGUGCACGUUCCUUUUUCUAUGUUGGCAAACCUUUGACACCACCAUAAAUUAGCAUUAUCGGUGAGGUAAAGGGUCAUGGUAUGUACUUUAGCGGCUUCAUUCGUUAGUAUUAUAGCCUUAAAGUAGAGCUCCAUGUGCAACAAGAAGUUGUCCAGCUCCUUAGCAUUCCUUUUGCCACUGAAUGUGUGUGGCUUGGGCACCUCCACCCUUGGUGCUUCAUGAGUGGCCAUGACUCAUGUUGAUAUGGCAAUCUUGUAGAUAGCUAGCUCUUGUUAAACUUCUUAGUCUUGGGUCUCCAUGCAUGCAACUAAGGAUUCCACUUUUGACUCUAUGACCUUGUCGUGGAAGGACAUGAACUCCUCGUGUGACAUUGGUUGACCUUGUGAGCCUAGCACCUCCUCACGAAGGUCUUGGAUCUUCUCCCUUAGAUCCUCUAAGCCCUUCUCCAUUCCUUUCUCGAUCAAGUCCUCUCUUUCCUAGGUGUCUGCCAUGGCUAGCUCUACCUUGGCUAGUUUUGCCUCCAUGUUGUCGAUGGCAUCACAAGAUUUAUCCUUCCUAUCCCUGCCCCAUACAGUAGGCUCGGUCUCCCUCCCAUGGGUUUGCUCACUAGCCUCUUCCACAUUGGAGCCCGACAUGCUUCCUUUACUAUGCCCGCUUCGUAACCGCACUCUGAUACCAACUGUCACUAACUUAGUCUUUUCCUAAGCUCGUGCAACACUUAGGCAAAUCAAGACACUUGAUCUUGCUAAGUCAGCCUUACUCCCGAUGCUUAGCUUGCUAGGCUAAGACACUCAAGACUUAGAAUCUUUAGGAGGCAUAGUAGGCAACUCUUGAAGAAUGAAAACUUUUAUUACUCAAAGGAAGCUUUACAAGUGCUUUGGAACUCACUUGCAUAGGGCCUUGGCCAAAUGAGGCUCUCAUCUAUUUAUAGGCACUAAUGGAACUCUCUGGAACCUUGGAGGGUUCCUUACAAAUUAGGAAUAUUUUAGAACACCCUACAUAAUUCUAUGUACAAGCCUAUGUAUAAGAAUAUGCAAAGAAUCUCUAGAAUUCUCUAGAAAGCCUUGGACUCCUCUCAUGCCUUUUGCCAUAGUGUAGAGAUGUGUGGGCAUCUCUAGGCAUCUCUAGAACCUUCCGCACUUUUCCCACCAAUGGCUAAGUGUAGGAGUCUCUAGAAGCUUCAUAGUCUCUAUAUAAACCCCUAGAAAGGCUCAUUUGAAGCAUCCUAUGACAUUGUGCCCUUUUUUUUUUUUAUCCAUCAACUUUGACAUUUUGUUUAUCAACACCUUCUAUAUUUUGUAUAUCAACAUCCUUAUAAUCAAAUUUUCUCUUAUCUUUCUCAAUCGCCUUUAUUUUUAUUUUUUGCACUAUUCUUUUUCUUCUCGUCAUCUCCCCACUCAUUUAUAAUGAAUCAUAAUGCAAAUUCAAACCUUUCUUUGUGGAACUGUGGUCUAGGUAGAAUAUUUACAAGUAAUAAAUUUCAAAAUAAUCUUUGAAUUGAAUAUACCACAAAUACUAUUAUUGUUAAAAAUAUCCUAAUAUUUCAAAUUUAUGAGAAGUAUAUUACCAUUGGAAAAAUAAAUAUCUUGAUAUCCCAUUGUUUUGUUUCUUGAAUUUAAAUUCAUUUAUGCUUCGUACAAGGAAGAAGAAUACUAUUUGGACCCAAUUUAUCUUUUUUUAUUUAUGUGAUGUCUUUAAGGAAAUGGAGGAAGAAAUGUUUGACAAGAACUUUCAUCAUUGAAUAUAACAAGGCAUCCACAACAAAUAGUACAAAACAAAUUUUAAAUUCAUUCACACAACCCCUAUCUUUCCGUAUUUGGUUUUCUAACAUCAACAAUGACAAUUUUCCCUUUCUAUCAUAAUACUAUUUGAAAUCAAUCUGUUUGCUUAUGCAUUUCUUUACAUCCAUUGGGGAUAAUUUAAUGGAAGUGUUAAACACACUUAAUGUGUAUGAAAAAGUGUCAAAAUUCUCUACCAAUCAAUGACAUAAACUACAAUCAAGUUUAGUACAUCGUAACCCUAAAAUACCUUCAAACCCCUGUUUCUUGUAUGAACCCCCUUUUGAUUAGGUUACAAAUGUUGAAGUACUUUAUGCACCUGAUUAGGCGAACAACAAGUGUCAAGAUUGCAAGCCAUACAUAUAAAUAUGCAUAUAAAUUUAAAAUUGAAAGAAAAUAUUAUCAAAUUUUUUUUUUACUUUUCAUACAUUUGUUGAGCUUGUACCCCCUUUUUCUUUUUUACAUAUUCAUUGGAUCAUUUCUUUUAUUUCACCAAGAACUUUUUUUUUUCUAGAACUAGAAACCUUUUUCCUUAUUCAACUUGGGAUAUCAUAUACACCCACAACCUAACAUGGUAGUUUUAAAAUUAAUUAGUUAAAAAGAAUGAAAUAAUCCCAAAAUUUGUAAAUGUAACAUGAUUGUGUUUUUGCUUGAAAGUAACCCAUUUUGAAAAAAAUGUAUUUCGCCAUUUCAAUUAUUUAUAUUUAAAUUAAAAAUUUUUUAAUUGAUGUCAUUUUUUCAAAAAGAGGACAAAAAAAAUUGGAAGUUAAAUUUUCGGAUUUAGAUUUUUAAUGAAUAUUUUAAUCAAAUAACCCUUUGUUUUAUAUCACAUAAUGUUUCUUCUUCAUUGUUCUUUAAUCCCUUGUAAUUUAUUUAUUUUUAUAUAUACAACCUAUUAAAUUUGAAAAUUUUAAUAAUUCUUGUAAUGCAUGCCUACAUGCUUAUCACAUGGACCUCUUCAUUUAUAUUAAUAGGGGAUCCAUUUGGUAUUUGAAAAUAGUUAAAGGGGCUUUGCUUGAGAAAAGCUUAGAGAUAAAAAGAAACAAUGUUUUCAGAACCCAACUAGUUAUUGAAUAAAAAAAGUUAUUAUUUCACGAUUUAGUGGUUGAACCAGAAUUUGAACCACAGCCAAACUGGUGACAUUAUAAAGAUAUAAAUUAUAUAUUAAAAAUAAAUUAUAAAAUUAUAAAAUUUAUUUUUCAUCUUUGAUAUUACCAAACUUAAAUCAUGAAUAAAUAUAAAUGUAUUACUAUUUUAAUUUUUAUAAAUAAAAUUUGUAUAACAUUCAUAUGUGAAGAAAUAUAUUAAAAUAGAAGAAAAUUCUUUUAUUCAUAAUUUAUUUUACUUAUAUUAUAUUAUUUUAGUUAUAUUAAAAAAAAUUAAAUAAUUAUGUUAAUUUAGGUUUAGUUUGCAUUUUUAAAAUUAUAAUCAUUAAUAACAAAGUGGUGAUAACCUAAACAUGAUUUAAAGGUCCAUGGUUCAAACCUUCGAUUCCUCAUUGUUUUCUUGGUCCCAUUAGGUGGGCUAGGCUUGGUAUAUGAUGGGCUAACCUUCCACCCAUGAUCCAACCUUUUAGUUGAUGAAAAAAGAAGUGUAACCUAGAACCGACAUACCAUGGUUUAAAGUUACAGUCGCGGUCAUUAACUUGGAGGGUCAUGAGGCACAUCGGUCUUGACAUCUCGACUUGAUAUCCAACGAUAUGAUAAAUAAGAUAAAUAGAAAUUAUAAAAUUAUUAAAUUAUAAAAUAUUAUAAUAAAUAUUAAAAAAAUAAAUAUAAUUAAGCAAACUUAAAAAAUUAAUAAAAUAAAAUAUUAUGAAAAUUAAAAUUGUUCGAUAAGUUUUUAAUAUUGAAAUUGAAACCAAAAACUCUUUAAUUACCAAACUCGAAUUAAAAAAUAAAGUAAAAUGUGAUGAUUUUUACCACACCUUAACAUUUAAAAAUUGAAACAAUAAAAUAACAUAUAUUAUUGAUACUAGCAUUUAAAACAAUAAAUAUAUUGUUGAUAAUGACAUUUAAAACAAUAAAAUAGCGCAUUAGACUUGCAUUCAAAUCUUCAAUUCUCAAACACCACCAACCCACCCAUGAAUAAAGAGAGAGAAGAUAACCCUAGCAAAAGUAGAGAGCUUCCUUUGCAACCCACACCCACUCCUACAUUGACGUUGGUGACAAUAUGGAGAUGAAGUAGGGAGAUGAGAGAUCGACACCCAAGAUUAUUGCUAAUGGAGGAGAUGGGGUCCAAAAAGGUGUUGUAGUCCACCCCGUGGUGAGGUUAGCGAAGAAAUGCCCUCUACCUUUUCUUCUCAUACACCUCAAAGACAAUCAAGACUUGGACUAAAAAACUUUUCAAAGACUUCAUUGGGGUCAUCUUCAUCAUCACGAGUCUUCAAUCAUGGGUCAUGAUUCUCGUGAAAUUUUUUUCUUUUGAAGAGUCAUUGAUUUUUCAAAAAAUUCUUAGUUAUGGUUGUUGUUUUGGUGUUUUCUUUUUCUCAAUUUUGGGUGUUGUUUUGCUAUGAUUUGGAAAGACAUUUGUUUGUGUUAAGUUUAACUAAAAAAAAAAUUAGUAACUUGGAUGAUUCGCCCAAGUUAACUUAGUAUCUCAAUUAAAUCAACUAGGUUUAAUCAAUUCCUGGCCAAGUCUUUACUUAAGAUGGUAUAGGGUAUCGAACUUGGCAUGGAAGGGGUUGAGGCGGAUACAACUUGGUCGAGUCAUACUAGACUGGAUCGAUACUUUGAACCAUGCGACAAACUGGUUCAUUGAUUCAAUAGUCCAACCAUUAGUCUAUCCGAUUCAAGGCCGAUUCAUUGUGUACUCCGACCCAAAGGCCAAGCUAGACCAGGCUCCAAUCGAUAAUCCGACUUGGUUUUGGUUAGAUUUUUUAAUUCAUCCAAACUCUUAGGAAGUUUCAAAUGUAAAUACCAAUAAUAAUAAUGGAAAAUAUAUCAUUAUUUUCUAAUAGUUAAAUUGCAUAUUAUAUAAUGGUAAGGCUUUAGAGGAAUCUUAAAUAUAAAAAACUAAUAUUACCAUCUCUAAUUUCUAAAAAUGAGAAAAAUGAAUUUUAUUUCCAACUACAAUAAAUUGUAUAGUUUGAUAAAUAUAUCAAAAAUGGGUGUCAUAUUCAUCUUAGGGUGUGUUUGGUAUGUAAGAAUGAUGAACGAGAAUGAAUAUUUUGUUUCAAUUCUUAUUUCCCCUUGAAUAGGAAUGAAUUUGGUGAUUCCAAUUCUUGUGUUUGCAUGCAUAUAGGAAUGUAAAGUUGGAAAAACAAUUUGUUUCCAUUUCAAUGUUAAGUAAAAAUGGGAAUGAAAUUAAAAAUAUAUAUAAAUAAAUUAUUAAUAAUAUUCAAACAUAUAGUUUAAAAUAAUUUAAAAAAAAAUGAUUUGUUUUUACUGAAUAAAAAGCUAUCUAUUUCAAUGUAUGAUUUAAAAACAAAAUUAUUUUUAAAAAAAUUUAUACCUAGUUAUUGUUAUUUAGAAACAAUUUUUAAAAAUAAAGUAAACUAGAAAAUUGUUAUUCCAAUUUUUUUUUCAUUGGAGAAAAUAAAUUUCAAAUCAAGUGAAACUUUGUAUUGAAUUUAUUAAUAAGUUUAAUAAUUUUAAAAAAUAAAAUAAAACUCAAAAAAUUUAUGUAACAAUUAUAACAAAAUAAUAGAUAUAAUUAACACUUUAAAUUAUUUAAUAAAUAUUGUAAUUUUUAAGAAUAAUUUAAUAUUUAAAAAACUAAUUAAUUAAUUAUAGAUUAAAUAAAAUAAUUCAAAAUGUCAUCUUCGUAAUUGAAUAAUAAAUAUAUGCAUAUAAUAUUUAAGAGCUUCAUGGAGCUCAUCAAAUGUAAUUGGGGUGUCAUGUGUUUGAAUGACAUAGACUAGUUCUUUGUAUUCGUCAACAAGACCAUAAAAGAUUUUCCCUGUGACAUUCUUUUCAUCCAUUGGGGCACCAAGGAGAGUAAGUUCAUUGGCGCAAGCUUUAAUGGUCCAUAGGAAGGUAGUGAUACUUUGCAAACCCUUGGUGGAAUUCUUAAGGUGGAUAUUGACUUGUUUAAUGUAGACAUGAGAUAGUUUGACACAGGUAUUGGCGAAGAUGAUCUAUGCUUCAUGAGAGGUUGUGGCAUAGGCAAUGAAUGGAAUUAUGGUGGGUGAAAUGGAGCCAAUAAGUGCAUUUAGGAUCAAUUAAUCUUGACAAAGCCAUGAAGAAUAGGCUGGGUUGGGUAUUACGGUGUUGUUGGUAAUGAGAGUGGUGGGUGGACACGUUAUGGUUCCAUCAAUAUAGCUAAGGAGGUCAAAGCCAAUAAAUAAUGUUUGCAAUUGAAACCUUUAUGAUAUGUAGUUGGUAGUGGUUAGUUUAAGUGGGGCUUGAGCAAAAUUAUUUAUUGAAAUGAGUGUUUGGUGUGACUCAUAGGUGUUGUGAAUAUUGAGAGUAGAAGUUGCAAAAGUGGUGGCGUCUUAGGUGGCCAUGAGGCUAUGAUGAUGGGGAGGAGCACUAGAUGGCUUUGGUAGAGAAAAAGAGGUAAGAAGGAAAAACAUGUGGUGGCUAGGGUUUUCAAGUCAAGAAGCUUGAAUGCUUUGGUGCCAUAUUAAAGAAUGAGAUUGGUAAAUUAUUGCAUUUUUUUUUCCUUUGAUUAUGAAGAAUAUACAUACAUGUACAAAGAAUAUAAAUCUAGAAAGUUUAUAAUUACCUAAAAUCAUAACCUAGAAUAUAACUAAUUUACAAUCAAUAGGUUAUUUAUAAAAGGAACAAAUUAUUUACAAAAGAAAACAAAUUAGUGAUUGAAAUAGAAUUUGUUAACUUCCUUUACUAGUGUCAAGUUCAACACUCCCCACAUCAAAAGGUGUAUUUGGAACCAUGUACAUAUCUUUAUUCUUGAAUUUCAUUAAUUAAGAUGUCCAUCAUCAAUCUGGAAAUUGUAAUGGAAAGCUUCAACAAGCAUCAAUAGUCUCCCAAUCUAUCACCAAUCAAAGUGCAAAUGGCACUAUACAAGGUUUGCUACCAUCAUACGACCUAAUAAUAAUAAUAUCUUACCAAAAAUUUAUUCAUUAAAAAAUUAUAUUGAAACAUUUCAAAAAAUUAAUUUACCAAAAUAAUAAUAAUAAUAACAAUAACUUACCAAAAAUUAUAUUGAAACAUUUCAAAAAAAUUAAUUUACCAAAAUAAUAAUAAUAAUAGUAAUAAUAAUAAUAAUAAUAUCUUGCCAAAAAUUUAUUCAUUAAAAAGUUAUAUUGAAACAUUUCAAAAAAAUUAAUUUACCAAAAUGAUAAUAAUAAUAAUAAUAAAUAUUAAUUAAUUAAUUAAUUAAAUAAAUAAAACAAAAAUUACCUUACCAAAAUUCAAGUCAAAAUGAAUAUGUAUCUAAAUUAACUAAUUUGAAAUGCACCUACAAUGCAACCAAGUGGACUAAGUUAAAGUGUAACUAAAUGGAUUGGAAUGAUCUGAAGUGUGACUAAGUGAGCUUGCAUAAAAGAUGCCUAGGUGUGCCUAAGUGGGUUUAAGUGUGUUCAAAUGGGCCAGGUGUGUCUAAAUGAGUUAGGGUGCGUCUAUGUGACCUAAACUAGGCGUGAAGAGUAGCCAAGUUCAUAGUGAGGGUCCUGAUGAGCCCCUUUACACAAGGGUCCCCAAAGAUGGCUUAGAAAAAGAAGUUGUAUGAGUGUCAAUAGGUUACCAAGGAUUGAUCACAAGGUAAAAGAGGAACAUAGGGUAGAAACUAGCAUUACAUGUGCUAAGAGGACAAAAUGGAGGGUCUACAAUAGAUUGAUCAACUUGCUUACCACCUCUUAAGGUAAAGGUUGCUUUGACUUCAUCCUUCUUAGUAGAACUUUCACUUGUCUCUCCAAUUUCAUAGACUCUACUUGGAUUUUAUUGGGGUUGUGAAGAGAAUUCUCUUUUUUAUUCCACUGUAUGCAUGCUUGUGAGUUUAGAAAUAGCAAGUUGCAUAUUAUCAAUUUGUUUGUGUGAGAUUGGUUUGCAAGCUAUCAAAUUUCUGAUUGAAAGAUGUCUCCACAUGGUCUAUUCUUUGGUUUACUUGGGUAUUGAUAUUCUUUUGAUCACCAAUAAAAUCUCCCAAAAUUUUACUCAAGUUUAUAGUAGCUAGCACAACCAAAGAAACUUGUUGUGGAAAGUCUUCCAUGGAUUGUUGGCUUUAUGAGUAUUGGCUUGAAGAAAAUUGUUCUUGUCCACAAUUCCAUGAGAUGUUCGGAUGAUUCUCAACAAGUCUUUCCCCCAUAGCUGGUAUUGUAGGAUAAUCACUCAGUUCAUGUUUUAUAGAUUGACAACUAGAACAUUGCUCCAUGUAAAUUGGAUUAUCAUAUAUCGCAUUCACCUCAUGAAAUACCUUAGCUUUAAGUUCCUCUAGCCUUCUUGUCAAAGCUAUCAUUUUAGCUUGUAGAUCAACAUUUUCAUUCAACAUAUACAUUCCUCCAUUUGAAUUGCUUUGAGACUUGGACUUGUGUAAAUCCCUUUCAUGUGGUUCAUCCCAUGACUUUGAUAUUUCAGCCACAUAAUUCAAAAAUUCAAGGGCUUCAUCGGGACUUUUGCUCAUAAAGUCACCUCCACACAUGGUUUAUAGCAAUUACUUCAUAGUUGGCGACAUACCCUCAUAGAAGUAAUUCACCAACAUCCAUGUGUCAAAACCAUAAUGAGGACAAGCAUUGACUACUUUCAUAUAUCUUUCCUAACAAGCAUAAAAAUUUUCAUUGUCCAAUGUCGCAAAGUUGGUAAUUUGCCUUUCAAGCCACUUGUGUGAUGUGUGUGAAAAAAUUUCUUCUAGAAGGUUGUUUGUAGUUCCAACCAUGACCUUAUACUUUGGGGCCUUAGUGAGUUGAACCACAACUUAGCGUUAUCCUUCAAUGUGAAUGGAAAAAGCUUCAAUCUCAUAAACUUCAUGGAUGUGUUUCCCUCAUGAAAUGUAUGACAUACUUCUUCAAAAUCCUUUAUAUGAAUGUAAGGAUUCUCAUUCUCCAUUCCAUGAAAUUGAGGAAAAAGUGGUACCAAGUGAGUUUUUAUCACAAUAGGCUCAUUAGGAAGAACUAUACAUGAUCUCAUGCCUAUCCUUUGAGGAUGCAUAUAUUCUCUCAUUGAUCUAGACAUGUGAGAAUUGCCAUUGUUUGGUCCUUGUUGAGUUUGUUGAUCUUGCCCUUGAUUUUCCAUUUCCUUAACAAUUGGAUCACAAACCAAAGAUGAUUAGUAAUGUAAGUUCUUUGUAAUCUCUCCCCCAAAAUGUAUUCUCAAUGUAGCAUGCAAUGGAAAGCCUACAAAACAAGCCAAGAAAAACAAAAACAAAAUAAAAAGAACAAAAGAGAAAAAUAAAAAGAAAAAUGAAAUUUGAAAGAAAACUAAGAUGAAAGUGGAGAAUUGGUAAAGAGAACUUCGCCAAUCUUGUGAUGUGGAUCACAAGGGUUAAUCCUCACCAAAAAAAUUUUCCUUAAUCACCUUGGCACCACCCUUGACAACGAUGCCAUUUUUGAUCGAUUGAUUUUUCAUCAUUUAUUGAAUCAAAAAAAAAAAAAAACUUAAUUCACUAUUCUAGAGUAGCUUGUACCAGAUCAAAAAUGGUUUUAGUAGUGGUUUUUAGGUAUUGUCCACUAGGGUGGAUUAUUCUCGGUAAUUAAGGCUUGAAUGAGAGGAUAAGAAAUGAUUAUGAUCAAGUGACAUUGAAUUGAAAAUUCAUAGUGAAAAAUCAAUUUGAUAGUGGUCUCAAAUUGAAAAGAAAAAUGAAAUGUAAAAUAGAAGAAAAUUAAUAGGAAAUGAAAUUCUCAGAGUUAGGAUUUUCUAAAAAAUAAUUUCCAUGGUGAAUAGAUGUUGAGAUCUAAUUUUCAUCAAGAUAAACUGAAAACCUAAAUUUUCAUCUAAACCGAUUUUUGAUUUAGCUUUAGGUUUAGAUCUAAUUUCUUUUCAAACUAGGUUAUUUAAUCCAAGAGAUCAAUUCAAAUCAUAUAUUCAAUUCAUCUUAAAUUUUCUUCUAAUGAUUCACACAAUGCAAUUAUUCAAUUUCUUCAAAUCUAGCUUUAAGAAUUUAAUGAAUCUACCUAGUUUGCAUUGUAGUAAUCAUUCAAGACAAUUUGAAGAGAAAAAUCCCCAAAAAUCAAUUAAUAAAUCAAUUGGAUCAAAUUACCUUUGUAAUUCAAGCUCAUUUAUCUAAUUCACCAUGGAUCUUGCCUCUAGAUGUUUUCUCCUAUGAGAAAAACGAGAUUUAGCCACUCAUGAUUGGAGAUUUGGUCUCACAAGGCAUGUUUGGUUGGUGAGAAAAUAAGAGAAAAUGAAGAAAAAUUAAGAAUUCUAUUGAGAGAGAAAAUCUGGAAAAUUUUGCAAUUAGAAAUGUUCGAAAAGUUCAUCUCAUGAGAAAAUCAAGUUUCUAUUUAUAGGCCAAGGUCAAGUGGACACUUGGCAUCAUCUAAGAGGUUUUCCGAAAACUUCUUCAUUAAGAAAUCUGGAGUUUAAUAAUAAAAUGGUCAUUUCGCACGAUUGUGCAAAAUAAAAAAUGCAACAACAACAAUUUACAUAUUCCUGGAGCAUUUCGCAUGAUUGUGCUAAGUUUUCGUAUGAUCAUGUGAAAUUAGCUUUGAAAUUCCCCUUGGCUUGCAACACAAAUCCACCUUCUGGUCCAUUUUGCAUGAUCAUGCGAAAUUUUUGUAUGAUCAUGCGAAAUUUUUGCAUGAUCAUGCGAAAUGGAAAUAUUAAUUUUUAAACUCUUUUUUGUCAUUUCUUCCAUUUCUUUCUUUUGAAUCCACCUCAACCACUUCCAAAUUAGCUCCAAAUCUUGGUCCAAGUGCAUUGAUUAUUCCUCAUCAUCCACAUUAUUUGCCCUUCCUCAAUUCCAUUUCUCUUUUGUCUCUCAAUGCUUCAAAAAUCACCUUGAAAUAUCUCCAAAACAUUAUAAAAACCAUUAGUAUCUCUUGCAAGGGCAACAAUGUAUUACUUGGGCAUAUUAGGCAUAAUUACUACUCAAAAGGUAUGGAAUUCAUGAGAAUUAUUAUUUAAAAUGUGUUGUUUUUGAGUAGUAAUCAGUUGACUUGAUGAUUAUUUUGUAUAUAUUUCACAUGCCUUAAUGUACAUUGAUUCUUGUUAUUAUAUGUGUUUGCAUAUAUCUACUUAUGUCUGUAUAUAUCUAUUUUGCAUGAUUGUGUGAUGCAUGGCUACCUUGAUUCUGCAUAAUGCAUGUUUUGCUUUUUUGUGUAGGAUACACGUUUAUCCCUCUAUCUCGAACUCCCUGGCCUUGAUCAAUUUUCUUCUUUUGAUCACACAUUUGGUGUGUGAGACUUGGUGCCUUAUUUGUUUCCCGAGUAAGCUAGUGUUUAAAAGUAGGGUCUAGUUGUGGGUUGUAUGUAUGUUUGGGAGCACUUAGAGCAUUGUCAUGACAUCAUCAACUUCUUGAGAUCAUCACCUUAGAGGAUUUAUCAGAAUCCUAUUCGGUCACCUCAUCCCUACUAUCAUCCCACUUUGCCACAUCAUCCUACCUCACCAUGUCAUCACUUUGCCACAUCCCUAGUGCCUUAACAUCAUCUUACGCUGCCAUAUCAUCCUUGUCGCUUUAUUCUUAUCAUAUCAGCACUCUACCUUAUCAUCUCAUUCUUAUUGUCAUCCCCACUUUGCCUCAUCGUCAUAUUUUAUCAUUUCACCCCACAUUUUUUUUAUGUCAUCAUUCUAUAUUGUUGCAACAUCAUGAUGCCUUAGAGAGCAUCACAACAUCAUUGACCUCAUGUUAGUGGAGGUCACCACAUCAUCUCCACUUAGAGUUUGAUCAUUGAAGACUUGUAUAACUUAUGACUAGAUUCAAGAUAAAUGUGUGACCACUGUGUUUAUUUUAAUUUUUUUGCUUUAGUUUAAGAGGUUGUUUAGAUGCACUUAUGCCACACACUAUACACAUUAGAUCAUCUUGUAUGUGUGUUAAGAGAGUUAACAUGUGCUAAACAAUAGAAAACCUUAACCAUUAGGAAACCACCUUAAGAUGUCAAGGAAGUGCACGUGUAGAGGUGAUGACAACCUUGCAUGGAAGCUCUUAGUCUCUUUGGAGGAGUGUAGGAGGUUAUGUACCAACAAUGGGUAUGAUUGCUCCUACUAGAUACCUUUGAUCCUACCUUUUAGAGCCAUCUUUACCUUGUAGAAUGAGAAUUAGAUCCGUGGACCUAGGUAUCUACCCACACGUAGGUGCAUUCAUGUAUAGGAAUUUGAUAACAACAAUUUUGCAUCAACAUUAGAGUUCCAUUAACAUAGAUUAGUUGUAUUAUCAUCCUCUUUACUCUUCAUUAGUUGGAUUCAGUUAGUCAAUCUUCUAGGUUAUACAUUGGUCGAUCUUAUAUAGCCUUCUUCCCUUUAGAAUUUUGUCAACUUGAAGAUGUCUUAUAUAGAAAGGAUUGAUUUUUCUAAAUGUAUUGUCAAUGUUUUAGGUUGUUGUACAUUAAGUGUAGCAUUCUAGGAUAUGUUAUUUGACAUUUUUCAACCUAAGUCUAGGGUUUUGUGUUCCGUGGGUCAUUGAUAGGUUCCUUAGGUAACUCAUGUUAGUUAGAUUUUUGAGGACCUAGCUAGCUUCUUCUAGGUGAGAUGGUGGGUUGUUUGUCAAAGUUGGUGAGACUAUUUAUUUUUGUUGCAUCAAAACUAGUUGUCUUGGUUAUUGAGUUUGUGUUAGUCUUGUAGUGUAGUUAGAGUUUGUAUUCCUUGUCAAGUGUUUUGACUUGUUAGUAUUUGUUUCUAUUAUGGAUGUACAUUGAUCAUUAGACUUGACCUUUUUCAUUGAAUAUAUGUUUGUAUCUUAUGGUGCAUGUGUUAGACUUUUGAUAUGACGCAUUAUUCACUUGCAUAUCACGAUUAUUGGGCCUAACCCAUCAUAGAGGAUACAAAGCCCAUUAACCUAGGACUAAAGGAUCGACUUAGGGAGUUUAAGAUUGCGGCUUAUUUUUCUUAUCAUCAGAGUUGUACCUUAUCCACUUCCAUUUACACUUUGAUCUUUACAUCUUAUCUAUCUUGAGCCUUGUAUAACAUUUACCCUUUGACACCAUCACAUGACCUUUGCAUCCCUUCUUAUCAUAACUUAUACAACAUCAUCUACAUAGACAUAGUUCCAAUCUAUUUAUUUGUUUUUUGUACUUGAGGUUGAUUUUAUGAGACAAGAAGAGUGGCUUACGAUGAGCAAAGUGGUCGAUUGUAUUAGAUCAUUAACUAUUCUAUGGUUGAGAGAAACAUCUUGACAUUGUUACAAAACAUCAAGAAUAGGAUAUUUAUGCAUAAUUUUAGAGGGAUGGAAUGCCUAAAUUUUGAUAUUGUACACCAAUCUUUAGUGUUGACCAUGCCAGAGUUUAAGAGCAUGAUGUUUGAGGUUUUGACGAAAGAAUGGGUGGCCAUCAUUUCAUGAGCCUAUUUAUAUAAUCACCUUUGUGUAUAAAGUUACCCUUUGCUAGCCAAUUGAGUCAUGCAUAUUUGACAUUUUGAUUCAUGACCUUGCUUACCUUGUUUCUCAUACCUAUGGUUAGGGCCUCUCGGCACAUUUUUGCUUAUAGAUAAGAUCACCUAGGUUGUGGGCUCCUCAGCUGAUUCAUCUUUUGCAUUCAUUAUGUUCAUCUUGAUCAUUUGUAUUAUUUCAUAUGUACCUUUUCUCAAUACUUAUUGUACCCAUUUGAUCAUCGUUCAUUAUUCUAUCAUUAUGAGUUCAUAUAUAUACAUAUGACUUAGCCUUCUUGUACAUAUAUUAAGAUUUGUAUAGGUUACCUUAGGAUCCUUGUACAUGAUUGCAUUGAUUCAUUGGUUUGAUUAUUGUUAAAAAGAAGAAAAAAGAAAAAUUAUGAUGUUAGUCUUUGUUGACGACUUGUGUGAUAGUUUUGAUCUUUUCAUUAUAUAUAUCCCUCUUAUCUAUACAUCAAGUUAUGAUUGAGUUGUGGGUUUUAUACCUAACUAUGACAUUUUGCUUCUCUUAUACUGAAUUACUCUUUUUAUUUAGAGUUUUAUUCUCAUUCAUCUUGGUUAUGUUUUUUUUUUUUUUUGCUUAUAUAUUGAGUUAUCAUUCAUUGACAUUAUCUGCUUUACCUCUAGCCAUUGUUCUAUUCCUUUGAUUCUUUUGAGCCUAUUCUAGAGUCUUACCCUUGUCAUUUCCAUUUCUUUGACUCAUUCAUAUGGAUGGUUGGUAUUUGUGUAGUUCUGAUCUUGGUUUUUUUUUUCUUUCUUUUCAUUCAUUCAUGGUAUGUAUCAUAGUGUAUUUUUUUCAUUCAUUCAGUUAUCUAUAUCAUUGAGCAUCUAUGAGGUCUAUAAUCUUUGAGUUUCUUUAUCUAUUACAUUGUGUAUGCCAAAGGCAUGGGGAUUGUAUCAUUAGGAUUAUCGAGAUUAGUUUCCAUUCGUUUCUUUUGCCCUAUUACCUUAGCCUACAUUUCAUCUUAGGUCUCAAGACAACCUUGAGACCAUGACAUUAUGCAUUAUGCUUGAUAGCUCACACGUGGGCGACAUUUGAGAUUGGUUGAAGAUCACUUAGAGCAUUAUGGAUGAGAAACUAUGAGAGGGUUUACACUGGGGCAUAACCUCUCAUCAAUUAUUGAUUUUUGAUAUGAUAGCUUAUACUAGGGCAUUGCCAUUUCAUUCCCUCUCAUGGAGCAUGAUAGAUCAGGAGUCACUCAGAUUCAUAUUGACAUAUAUCUAUUUUUUAGAUAUAGGAUAAAGUUUGAUUUUGAUUAAACAAUUUACACUAUGGCAUAUCCAUCUCAAGGAGUUUAUAUUGGGUUGUAGCUCUUUUAUUGGUGAUUAAUUUUUUAGAUAAUAGCUUAUAUUGAGGCAUAGUCACUUCAUUCCUUCUCAUGGAGCAUGAUAGAUAAGGAGUGACUUAGAUUCAUAUCAACAUAUAUCCAUUUUUUAGAUUUGGGAUUGAGUUUGAUUUUGAUUUGACAAUUUACACUAAGGCACAACCACCUCAAAGAGUUUAUACUGGUGUAUAACCCUCUCAUUGAUGAUUGAUUUUAGAGAUGAUAGCUUAUUCUAAGGCAUAACCACUUUAUUCCUUCUCAUGGAGUAUGAUGGAUUAGGAGUCGCUUGGAUUCAUAUCAACAUAUAUAUAUAUAUAUAUAUAUAUAUAUAUCUAUUUUUGAGAUCUAGGAUAGAGUUUGAUUUUGAUUUGACGAUUUAUACUAGGGAAUAGCCACCUUAGAGAGUUUAUACUAGGGCAUAACCCUCACAUCAAUGAUUGUUUUUUGAGAUGAUAUCUUGUACUAGGGCAUGCCUUCAUUCCCUCUCAUAGAGCAUGAUGGAUUAAGAGUCACAUGGAUUGAUAUCGACAUAUAUCCAUUUUUGAGAUAUGGGAUGGAGUUUGGUUUUGAUUUGACAAUUUAUACUAAGGCAUAACCACUAUGCUCGAUUCCCUACACUAGGACAUAUUUGUCUUCUAGAGGAGAUUUGAUACUCCCUUCACAUUAUAGUAUGAAGAUACUUUAGGGAGUAGAGAUCUAUCUUGAUGAGAUUGUGUAUGUUACAACAUAACCAUUCUAGAGAUUACCUUGCACCAAGGUUUGACAUUUCAAAUGUUACCUUAUAUACUAGGGCAUACACCUCUUAUCAGUGUUUGUUUUGAAGAUGAUUAAUUUGUUUUGGCCUUACCCAAUUUGACUCGAUAUAUUCAUGUUGGGGCAUAACCCACUCAGUUGGUGAUUGAUUAUUUUUCGAAAUGACAAUUUAUACUGAGCAUAACCACGGUUUGAAUCCUUACAUUGGGGCAUAGCCAUUUUCUUGGAAAUGAUCAGACAUUCUUUUCAUAUUGGAGUAUGAGAGAUGCUUGAGAGAUAUUGAUUUGAUGUCUUUUAUAUUGGGGCAUAACCAUUUAAGGGAGUAUUUAUACUGGGGCAUGACCAUCUUAUUGAUCUUCUAGCUAGGAUAUUGAAAUUCGGCCACUUGAUUGAGGUUUUUUAUGGGUUUAGAGAUCAUGACACCUUGGAUUCAGUUUUCUUACCAUACCUGGUCUGAUUUAGAUACCCUCUUACAUUUAUUUCAUACCAAAACACUCCAUUUUUGCUAUCUUCACACUUAUAUCUUGUAUUCAAUCCACCCAUCUCAUUCCAUCAUGACGUAUAAACUUAUUUUGCUUCCAAAUCAUAGGAGGAUGUAGACCAAUCAUGAGUUUCCUAGUCAAACUUUCAUGUGCAUUUUGGAUACUGAAUUUACCCUCUUCCAUGAUGGCAAGGCUUGACAAAUUGUCGAUUGUUUGUGAUAUUUUUCAUUUGAUAGUCUACAUGUCAUGGCAUGACUUGGUGCAUAUUUAGACUUAAAGCUUUAGUUAGCUUUGUUUUUGUCCAUCAUUCAAUUUUAUUUUGAUAACAUGGUCCUAAGACCCAUAGUCCUAUUUAGCUUUUCUAAUUGUGGAUUAGACAUUUUCAUCUUAUUGUUGAUGAGUGUAUCCUAUAGUACAUCGGUUGUUGUAUAACAUUUCGUAUCUUUUGUAUUUUCUUUUUUUAGUCUAAUGUUAGUUGUCUUUUAAUCUUUGGUAUUUUCUUAGUCAUCAUUUGAACCCUAAGUUGUACCAUUACUUCAUCUUUGCCUCACCCUCGAUCAACCUCAAGCCACACUUUUAGGUCAUUAUUCAACCCUCAGUCAAACCUUCGUGUAUCUUUAGGUUUUCUCAUAUUUCCUUAUCUAUCUUGCUCAUCGAUCAGCCUCAACUUUAUUGUUAGAUCAUCUCUUUAUCAUUUUAGAUGAACCUUGAGCUUUAUGGUUAAAUCCUCUCAUCGAUCACCCUCUAACACCAAGCUAUGCCUUUAAAUCAUCAUUUGGCUAAGAACCACAUUUUUAGUAUUAUCCUAAUCACUUUUUCACUCAUCGUGACUAUGCCUUACUAUUAAAGUUUGACCCAUUUUUUAAGUUUUUGUUAGUCACACCUAACUAUUUAACAUUUUAUGUCUCUAUUAGUACUGCACCCUAAUUGUCCAACAUUUUUAUGUUUUUCUAUUAGUGUCAUGCCCUGAUUGUCUGACACCUUUUAUGUUUCUUAAUAUCGUGCCCUACCUGUCUAAACUUUUUUAUGCUUCUUGUUAAAUUCGCACCUUGACUAUUCCAACUUUUUUAUAUUUUUUUUUAGUACUACACCUUGACUAUUUGACCUCAUUUAUGCUUUCUUAGAGUUGUGUCAUGACUGUUUGACCUUUAUGUUUCUUGUUAGUGUCAUGCUAUGACUAUUUGACCUUUUUAUGUCUCCUAUUAGAGUUGUGCCUUGAUUGUCUUACUUUUCAUGUCUUUUCUUACAUUGUGCUUUGAAUUGUCCAACUUUUCUAUGUCUUGUUUUUAGUGUCACACCCUAACUAUCCAACCAUCUUAUACUUAUUUCAUUAUCGUGCUUCAAUUGCCCGGCCUUUUAUGUCUUCUUUUAAUGUCGCAUCCUAACAGUCCAAUCUUUUUAUGUCUUUUUUAAUGCUACGCCUUGAUUGUCUCGCCCUUUAUGUCUUAUUUUAGUGUCGUGUUAUGACUAUUCAACCUUUCUAUGUCUCUUUCAUGUCACGCUUAGAUUGUUUAACCUUUUUAUGCUUCUCCCAUUGUCGUGCCCUAAUCGUCUAGCCUUACUAUAUCAUUUUUAAUGUCCAGCCUUGACUAUCCAACCUUCUUAUGCUUAUCUCAUUAUCGCAUUUCGACUGUUUGGCUUUCAUGUCUUUUUUAAGUAUUAUACCUUGACUGUUCGACCUCCUUUUUAUGUUUCUCUUAAUGUUGCACUCUAACUAUCUAGCUUCUUUAUGUUUCUUUUUUAGUGUUGUGCCUCAAUUGUCAGGCCUUCUUAUGCUUCUCAUAUUGCUGCACCUCGACUAUUCAACCUUUCUAUGUCUUUUUUUUUUUUUUGUGUCGCACCCUGACUAUCUGAUCUUCUUAUGUUUCUUUCAUUAUUGCACUUCUAUUAUUCUGUCUUUCUAUAUAUAUUUUUGAGUGUUUUGCCCUUACUAUUUGGACUUUUUAAGUUUCUUUUAGUGUUGCACCUUGAUUAUCCGACUUCUUUAUGUUUCUAUUUAGUGUCACACCCUAACUGUUUGGCCUCCUUAUAUUUUCUUAAUGUUGCACCUUAAUUGUCUGACUUUUUUAUGUCUUUGUUAGUGUCACAACCUAAUUAUCCAAACUUUUUUUUUUUUAUGUUUUCUAUUAAUGUCAUGCCUCGACUAUCUGACUUCUUUUAUGUUUUCUUAGUAUCGCGCCUUGACUAUUUGACUUCUUUUUGUCUCUAUUAGUGUCAUGCUUUGAUUGUCUAACUUUUUCAUGUUUUUCUAGAGCUAUCUUGACUAUCCUACCUUUUCAUGUUUUCCUAAAGUUGAGCCUUGACUGUCCAACUUUUAUUAUGUUUUCCUAGAGUCGCACCUCGAUUGUUGGGUCUUCUUUGUGUUUUCUCUAGUGUCCAUGUCCUGACUACCCGACCUCUUUUCAUUUUUAUUUUAUUAGCCUUGAGUUUUUUCUCUAAUCAUUAGUAUCCUCUUUUUUCUUCUUACCUCUCUUGUUCACCCAUUCAUUCCCCCCUUUGGAUACCAGGGUCCCUAGUGUUUCACAUAGAUAUUAUCACUACCCUGUUCAAAAGAGUUUCCCUUAAGAUCCACGUAGAUAUUACAUGUUUCUCCACUAAUAGAUCAAUGAGCACAUUUCAUAACCUUAGAGAGCUUGUGUCUUAUUAGGACAAAUUUGGUGAUCUUUCUUGUACUUUAGUAGAGUCCACUUCAUUUAGUUGGUUUAUACACUUACUUCACGUGUGAACUCUUUUGAAAAUGGGCAUAUUUGUAUAUCCCAAAAUUUGCCCUAAGCCCACUCUUACUUUUUAUUUUAUUUUAUUAUUUUAUUAUUAUUAUUUAUUUGAUUUUUACUUUAUUUUUUUCUUCUUUUCUUUUUCUUUUUUUGUUCCUUCCUUGUUUUUCACCUUUUUUUUCCCACAUGUGUGCAACUACAGAACCCUUCCCCUUCUUAUUUUUCCCUCUUUUUUUUUCUUCUUUCUUUUUUGUUUUUCUUUCUUUUCUUUCUUUUUCUCUCUUCUCUCUACCUACCCUCUUUUCCAAACCCAUCUUCAGCUGUCAGCUACCUUCCCUCUUUUUCACUUUUCUUAUUUCUUCUCAUUCUGUUUUUCUUAUUGUUACCCAUUUCUCUCUCUCACCUUGAAGGUCCAUAACCAUGCUUGCCUUAUACUCAACACUCUUACCACUAGACAGUCGCCAUCGACGAGCCAUUAUUUGUCUGUGAUCCCUUUUCUCUCUUUUCUUUAUUUUCUCUCUCUUUCUCUUAUAUCACUCAUUUUCUUUUAUUUAUUUAUUUAUUUAUUUAUUUAUUUAUUUAUUUAUUUAUUUAUUAUUAUUAUUAUUAUCCCAUUCUUUCCCCUUAUCCCUUAUUCCACAUUGCAUUCAUGAAACGAGUAAGAUGUCAUUUUUCAUUUUCUUAUUUCUUUAGUCAUUUUAUUUUUUAUUCCUAUAGUAAUUUUUCUUAAUUGUUGAGUUUGCUUGUUUGGACUUUAGAUAAUUUUGCUUGAAAUUUGCAUAUUAGAUGUUGAUCUUUUCUUGGAUUUUAAUAAAUUAAGUUAUCUAAAAAAUCUUCUUUUAAAAAAAUAAAAUAGGUCCAAUAAGACAUUUUCAUUAAAUAAGAUAAAUGGACCCAAAAAUUUCUUUUAAUAAAAAUAAGUUUUAGACAUCUUUUUUAGAUAAAAUAGUCCAAAAUUUUUAUUUUAAUAAAAGAAACAAUUCAUAAUUUUAAAAUAAAUAAAUAAAUAAAAUGUCCAAAAAUAUUUUUUCAAAUAAAAUAAACUAAAAAUAUAAGUAAAACAAUCCAAUAAUCUUGUUUUAAUGAAAUAACAGUUCAAAAAAUAUUCUUUUUAAUAGAGAAAGUUUUCUUGAUAGAAAGUUGAGAAAAAAGUUUUUUAAGGAAUAUAAAUUUUUUUAAAUAAAAAUUCAAAAAAUUGUUUUUAAUAAUAAACAUUCUAGAAAUUCAUUUGUUUAACAAAAUUUUCCAAAAAUAAAAAAUAAAAAAUUGAGUUUUAAAUAAAAUUGUCUAACAAAAAUAAUUUUAAUAAAAUCAUCCAAAAAUUGAAUUUUGAAUAAAAUUCUCUUUCCUUGAUAAGAAUGGGAUUAUAAAUCAUUUUUAUAAAGAAAGGUCUUACUAAUUUUUUUUUAAUAAGAAUAGGAUAAGUAAACCUUCAAAUCGAAUGAAAGACAUUUUUUUAAUAAAUUGGUAAACUAAUCUCUUUCUAGAUGAAAUCCAAAAAUUCUUUCUUAAUAAAAUUGGAAUCCUUGGGAAUAAAUUUGUGAAAUUCUUUCUCUAAAUAAAUUAGUAAUAAAGAAUCUUUUUCUAGGUAAAAUAAAAAUAUAUAUAUUUUUAAAAAAACUAGGUUGAGAUUCCUUCUUAUAAACUUGUAAAUAUCUUUCUUUAAGUUUGUAGAUUUUUUUUUUUUAAAUAAAUAAAGAUUGAAUCAAAACACUUUUUAAAAUAAAUUAGUAAAAUUCACCCCUUCUUAAUAAGGUAAACAAAAAUCAUUUCUUGUAAAUCAAAUAAAAUCUUUUGUAAUAAAUUGAAGCCUUGUGAAUAAAUAAAUUCAAAUCACUAAUUUGAAAUUGUUGUUAAUAUAAAUGAAUUAUUUGAAAUAAUAAAAUCUUUCUAAUAAAUUAUUUUGUGUAUUUCUUAUCUAUCAUUUUUUCAUAUCCUUAUAAUUUGCUUUUGCAUUAUUCCAUAUACAUGUAUUAUUUUUUUUCAAUAUCCAUGAUUAAUUAAUUAAUUAUCAUAAUUCCCUUUUAUAUGCUUAGUAAAAACCUUUUUAAGGCUUAAAACGGUGCUAUUAUGAUACCUUCCCAAUGGGUAACUUGACCUUUGGAUUCAGACUCAGUUUUUUCUUACACAUCUUGUGGACUUGCGUUUCUCACGUGCGCCCCCACUUGAUAAGUGAGACUCGCUUUUAUUUGUGAAAAAUUUUAUUUUUUGAAAAGUCAGAGUCGCCACUUAUUUUAUUUUAUUUUAAAGGGAAAAUAAAACAAGAAAUAAAACCCUGAAAAAUGACUCCAUAGUUUUUGGAAAACUCGAGUUUAGGUUCAGGGAUCAGGUUACUUGUUGGGAAGGUACCUCUAAAAAGGUAGCACCAUCUAAGCCCUACAAAGGUCUCUACUGACUAAGUUAAGGGAAAUGUGGCAAUUAAUUGAUUAAUUGAGGAUACCUAGGUAGACUAAGGUGAUUUCAAAAAAUAUAGCAUGCCAAACAAGAUCAAAUCACAAUAAAGGAGAGUUAGGAUGCAUACCUGAACCGUUUCUCUAACGUUUUCAUAAAACAUUAGAGUUAGCAUAGAAAUAUAACACACGACAUGUAUUUAAUCAUAGCAAAUCAAGCACACAUCUAAGCACCUAAAGAUCACAUCAAACAUAAAUGAAAUUCACAAUAACAUGCAUGUUCAUAAAAUUUCGAAAGAGCGUACCUGGAUAGCAUGCAUAUUUUAUAAGAUUCCUCAAAAAAAAAAAACCUAGAGUGGUUAGGACAAGUAUAUAUCAUAUAAAAUCUUUAUUAUGUCUAAUAUACAUUGCCAAAGCCAAAAUCGAGCUAAGAUAAAUCAAAUAACUCCAAAAAUAAUACCAAUUCAAGCAAGUAUUGAGUCAUCAGCACGCAUAUAAUAAAGGGAGCAUCAAAAAAAUAAUUUCUAAAAAAAUGUCUCGGAGUGGAAUUUAAUCACAAAAAAUUGUGGGAAACAACUCCUACACAUCUAGAACAAGAUACCAAAAUCCAAACACUCAUUCAAAUGUCAAAUUGCAGAAAAGAUGCUCAAAAGUUCCACAAAGUCUAGAUUAGAUAAGAAAAAAAAAGUGACAUGCAUAAACGAAUUUAAAAAUAAUAAUAAAUGAUCACAUAAAAUCAUACAAAAAAUCACACACAUAUUUCAAAAUGUCUAUAUCACAUAAAAAAUGAAUUCAAGGUCGGAUAGUACUCAAAAACAUUUUUAAAACACUUAAGCUAAUCAACUAUCUAUAAUUUAGCAUGCAUAGUAGGUACAACUUUUAAAAAUCAUAUCUCCCUCAAAAAAACAUAUUUUUAAAUAUUUUAUGUGUCCAAUAUCAAUUUUAAAAAGCCUAUAAUUGAGGAAAAAUAUUGAAUCAAAUUUAAAAAGCCAUCUGGUAUUUUAUUUUUGCAAAAAUAUCUUAGGUAUCCAGAACUGGGUGAAAAUGGAGCCCCCCUAAAGACUUGUUUAUAUCUUCUAUUCCAGAAUGGCUUUCUAACUCAAACGAAACUUUAAAUUCAAGUUUGAGAAAUGAGGAAAGUCAUACAAGUUUUGGAAAUAUUUUAAAAAUAUUAUAAAGUUGCUAAAAUGAAUUUUAAAUCUAAAGGGUCAGUGGCUGAGCGAAAACUUGGUAGCAAGGAAGAGGUUUGAAACAUUUUCUUAUGUAGGGGUUUCACCAAUUCCCCAAUUAGUAUACACAAAUUUAGCCUAGAAUAAUCCCAUUUAUUUGGGACCACAAGCUUUGAUUCGUAUUUUAUUCAAAACCAAGAUUUUUAUUGAAAACUGAGAAGGAUGCAAACCAAUCAAAAAAAUGAUUGCAUAUUAUUUUAAGAAAAUGAGAUUGCAAUUCUAAGGACUCUAAUUCAAUUUUUAAAAUACAUUUUUAUGAGGAACAUUUUGAGAAAAGUAUCUUAUUCUAAAAAAAAAUAUUUUGAAAAAAACAACAAAAUGUACAAGACAAAACAUCAGGCAAAACAAAAGAAAACAAAAUCACCAAGAAGAAUUUUUGACAACCCAAAAAAAAAAUUGAAGUCGUGAGAAUGGAGACCAAUCUUCACUAUUUUCCGAUGGCCUCUGAAAAGUAAAUUUUACCAAAGACUACCUAAGCAAUAAACUAUUCAAACUUAAAUGAAUUAAAUUAAUGACUAAUAUUAAAAAAAACAUAUCAAUUAAGAGUAAUAAUAACAAAUUAGCACGUGAUCGAUUAAACAUACAAACACACCUUAGACCAAUUCAAAUGGACCAAAUCAAAUCAAGGCAAACAAUAAUUUUCAAUUUAAGAAUUAAUUUUAUUAACGAACUAAUAUUAUGGAAAAUACCUAAAUUGAAUUGAUGAGGGAAGUUAAAUCAGAAUAAACUAAGGACAUUCACAUUUGAAUAUAGAAUUGAUUUUAUUAAUAACUUAAAAUUAUUAACACAUCUAAAAUAAUUAAAAUGAAUCAAUUUAAAUGAAAGCAAACUAAAAACAAAAUAUGAAUUCAAGGAAUCUACUCUCUAAAUAAACUUACAUUAUUAAAAUGAAAUCUAGGCUUAAAAAAAAUAUUUUUAACACUAAUUAAGGCAAGUCUAAAAUCAAAUAUUUAACACUUAAAUUAAUUAUUUUAACAAACAAAAAUUUUACAAGAGCACCUUAACCUAAAUUUAAAUAAAAACACUAACCAUAAUAUAUUUUAAAACGAGAUAUCUAACCUAUAGAAUUAAUCUAUUGACACAUGGAUAAAAAGACAACACAUAAAUAAAUAAUAUAAUUAAAAAAAACAAAAUAUGAAUUAAUGGAGUCAAUUUUCUAAAUAAACUUACAUUACAAAAAUGAAAUCUAAGCUUAAAAUGAAUUAAACACUAAUUAAAGUCAAUCUAAACUUAAAUUCUUAACACGCAUGAUCAAUUAUUUUAACAAACUAAAAUUUUACCUUAACCAAAAAUUAAAUUAUAAAAUUACCUGAGACUAAAUUUCUAACCUAUAAAAUUAAACUCAUAAUCAAAUGGAUAAGUUGAUAACACAUAGACAAAUAAAUAUGAAUGAAACGAAAUACGAACUCAUGGAAUUAAAUAAUUUUUUAUUUUUUAUUUUUAAUAAACUUACGUUACUAAAAUAAAUUUGAGCUUAACAAACAUUUUUAACACUAAUUAAGGCAAGUUUAAAAUAUAAUAUUUAACACAUAAAAAUCAAUCAUUUCAACAAACUAAAAUUUUACUUAAACCUAAAACCAAUUCAAAUGACCUAUGGACUUUUUUUAUCAUUUUUUUUUUAAGAAAAAAUGAAUUUUUAACUCAUAGGUUCAAUAUUGUUAACAAAUAAAUAUAUAAAUAGAUUACAAAGCAUUAAAUUGAUGGCAAACAAAUAAACAAAUAAUCAAUAAUUAAGUGAAUCAAGACUAAAUUGAAUAAAGAACAAAUUAUAUAUAUAUAUAUUCAAAGUAAAGCUACAUAAAAUUAUGUUUUCUAAUCUUUAAACACAUGCUGCCAUAUUUAAAGCAAUUCACGCUGGAGCUAGUAAUGUUGGUCAAACCACCCAAUACAAUAAUAAUUUCACUAAUAAUAAUAAUAAUAAUAAUAAUAAUCUAGAUGUGCAUUGUUAUUGAAAACACAUAUAAUAACAAUUCUAAUCUUUAAACUCAUGCUGCCAUAUCCAAACCAAUACAUCUAGUAAAAGUCAAACCACCCAAUGUAAUAAUAAUUCCACUUGAAAAAGUAAUCUAGACUUGCACUGUUACUAAAAACCCAUACUAAAAAAAAACAAAUAACGCACCUAGUUGGCUUACCAAACAACUUGGUGGUGUGUAGCUGCUUUCAUUUCUCCAACGGUGCUCGGGAACAAUGGCGUGCUGGUUGAUGGGAAAUGAUAUUAUCUUUCCUCAUCCAAUACGUUUUCAAGGAUGUGCGGAUGGAUGGGUUGUUGUCCAGAUGGUCCAUUCGGUGAGUUUAAAUGUCGUCUCCCUUCGCUCUGAAAACUCCCUGUCGAUCCCUUCAAACAGCCGUAUUUAUCACGUUCUCAAAAACUCUUCCUUUCGAUCCCUUCAAAUAGCCCCUCUCAUUCUGUAAAAAAAAAAAAAAAAUCUUCUUUUUGAUACCCUCUAACAACCCUUCUAUCUCUGUAAAACCCUCCCUCUCUUAUCCCAAAACGACAACCUAGUGAUGAUAAAAAAAAUCAACAACAGCCCGUUGAUAAAAAAAAAAAAAAUCAGUAGCAGCCCGAUGAUGAUAAAAAAUCAUAGCAGCAGCAAUCCGCUCUUCCUUUUUUUUUUUUUUUUUUUUUCUUUAUGGCAGCCUCCUCCACUCUGAAAAACUCCUUCCCGCUCAUUUUAAAAUGGCACCCUUCCUCCCCUUAUUACCGAUCACUUCAAAUAUCCUCCCUCCCACGUUGUCCUCCUCUCAUUUUUUCUCAAAACUCUGUCAAACUCCUCUCUCUCAAUCAAUCCGUGGUUCCUCUCAUUAGUCCCGUUGACUCUACCAACAUGGAAAAAAUCCCUCACCAGUCUAGAGAAAACCAGUAAUCUUCCGCAUCAGUCCAACAUGAUUAGAACCCUCUCAUUUUGAACCUAGCCUUCAUUCCAUUCCUAUACACACCGAACAUCUUCUUUUCACCUGCCAAAAUCAGCUUUGGUAAGUUUCUAAACCUUCCCAUCUCUCUCUUUCUUCCCUUUUUCGUAUCUGUCUUGGGUUGAAUGCUCUUUCAAAUCACGGUCGAAUCUCCCUUCCAUAGAACCAUGCAAUAAAAAUAGUAAAAACAAAAUCAUCCAAUUAAAUAGUAAUAAUAAUAAUAAUAAUAAUAAUAAUAAUAAUAAUAAAUAAAUAAAUAAUAAUAAAGAUGAUUAAUCAUAUACAUGUACAAGAUAACCAAAAUAUUAUUUCAUGAUAAAGAAACAUAACGUUAGUAUCUUAUAAUCUCCUAAAAAUAAAUAAAUAAAAGAACAAAUAAACUAAAACCCACUUAAAACAAAAAUCAAACAAAUAGAAUUCCAGAAGACAAACCUCAGUGUACUAAGCUUAAAGAACUACCCAAGGGAUUCUAAGUGGGCCUAAAGUGGUGCCUAAGUGGACCUAGGAUGCCUAAGUAGGCCUAGAGUGAUACAUAAGUGGGCCUAAGUGGGCUUAGAGUGGGCCUAAGUGUAUCUAAGUGAACCUAGGAUGCCUAAGUGAGCUUAAAGUGGUGCCUAAUGGGUUAGGCAUGUCUAAUGGGCCUAAGGUGUACUAAGUGAACCUAAGGUGCCUAAGUGGUGCCUAAGUGGGCCUAAGUCUAAAUAGGGCUGCCAAAAGUCACAAUGGGGUUAGGUAAAUCCCUCAACCAAAAUCUCUAAGGUGGCUUAGAAAAAAUACGCUACAUGAGUAGCAAUGGGCCACCACGAAAUUACUGUCAAGUAUCGAACAAAUACCUAAUAGGACACGUGUUAGGAGAACAAAAUGGAGGGUCUACACAUCUUUUCUUUAAAAAUGGAGUUACACUAAGGUUGUAUUUCUUAUUUUGUUCUCUUUAAAAAAAAACCAAAAAUAAGUAACGACUCAAACUUUAAAAAAAAAAAAAAAUCAGUUUUUUACAAUAAAAACAAGUCUCACCAUCAAGUAGAAACACACAUGACAAAUGUAGGUUCACAAUUAUAUUUAGACUUAAAAUAUAAUACAAUUACUAAAUCAACGAAUGUUGUAAGUUUUAAAAUCUUUAAUCAUAAAAUAUUCAAAGCACAAUGAAACAAAUAGUUUUCAAAAGAAAAAAAAUGUUUAAAAUGGAAAAUCUAACAAUAAAGACAAUGAAACAAGGUGAUAUGGUAGGAGUUAAAUAGAAAAUUCUUUUAUCCAUGAAUUUAUAGUUUAUUUAGUAGAAAAAAGUUCAAAAGAAAUAUUGCAUACAUUAAUGGAUUAAGUAGAUAAAAGGGAUUUAAGUAAUUUGAUAUUUAUGCUUUAGUUAGAUAACAUAAAAUAGAAAUUUGAUAUUAUUAGUUUCCAUACUGAGUUUAGAAAUCUAUCAAAUGGAUGUUAGAUUAUCUUUCUUUGAAUGCUUAUAUAAAUUAAGUGUAUAUGGGGCAAUCUAAAGGAUUUAUUGUUAUAGGACAAGAACACAAAGUUAGGGAUAGAUACAUUUAGCUAGGUUGGUUUUUAACCAAUCCAAGAAUCAAAUAGGAGUUCAUUGGUUUUAACUAAAGUACAACAAAUUUAUUUAUUUACUCAAACUAAUCCAACCUAAUAUCAGUUCGAUUCACUUUCGUUAACUCAAUUUAGACAAAAAUAUUAAGUCUAUAUGUUUUUUUUCCACAUUGAUCAUACAACCAAAAUGAUCAAAUUGUUUUAGAUAAAUUUUUUUUUAUAUACAAAUAAUACAAUUAAAAAUUUUAAAAAUAAUGUGUAGGAGUUGACCUGUAGGUUAUUUGCUUGUUGGGAGUAAGUCAAUGAGUAGUAUUAUUGACAUAUUGGGUGCUUGUGACUUGAAAUUAUAUUAUCAUCAUUAUUAAGUCUCAAAGUACAAGGAUUUUAAGUUUUGGAUCAUGCUUAUGCCAUAAGCAACUUUUAAUUUGUAAUAAAGCCAUACAAGUUAGGCUCCAAGCCUCCAACACCAAACUAUAGCACAGCUAAGUUGGCUUUGGAUGAGCAUAGUUUGACUCACAAAGUCCUAAGAUUCUCCACAACACUCCAAAAUCCAAGCAAUUAUAUUUAUCCCACUCCUCUACUACUUGGGUUUGUUUGCUAGUCCACUUUUGGUAAGUGAACUAGGUUGAAUCUUCCAUAAGCCAAGUACAUAAAGUAGUUUGAUCUCUAGUUUCACUGUACUACCAAAAUAGAGUAAUUCAAGUAAGAAGACUUCUAAAGAGAAUAGUCUAGAGGGCUACUACAAAUGAGAAUAGUCUUUUAAACAUAUGUAAUCGAUUGUGCAUUACUUAAGUAAGAAGACUUCUAAAGUUGGAUAAGUUGUUUAGAAUUUUUAAGAGGGAAUUUGUAAACAUCAUAGAAUUGAUUUUAGAGACAUUUACUAAGUUCUAUCAUGAUAAUAAAGUAUUAAGGAAAAACUGUACCACCAAAACCAAGUUGUAUUUGUUAAUAAUACUUACUACAUUUCUAUUAAGAAAGAAAUUAUCUAGUGGUAGAAGACAAGUUGAUCAUUUUAGUUUGUGAAGUUUUCACUACCCAAGCUAACAUCAAAAGCUAUAACAAGACAAAUCCCAAUAAGGUAAGAUAAAAGGCUACAUAGAAGGGACAUCUUGCUCCUUGUUGAAAACCUCAUUCAAUUGCAAAUCUACUACAUCAAGAAUGCUCCCUCUUCUAUAAUUUUCUCAUUCCCAAUGUACAACACUAUUAUUAUAGUUGCUCUACAUGUUUUUUUUUUUUUUUUGGUUAUAGCAAUAACUUCAUUGGUGUGUUAAAUUCUCUUAUAGGUAAUUCCUCAAACAUGUUGUCCUCAUUGUUGCUAUUAAGUCUUGUAGUAUGAAACUAAAAAUUAAAAUUCUUGUAAUUAAAAUCAAAUGGAAGCACAAGAAUUAAAAAAAGCAAACACAAGAGAAACACUCAAAUCCAAUUACAAAGAGUAGCAUCAAAUUUUCCAUAUCUACAAAAUUCAAAUGUUUAGAUUUCCAAAAAUGAAAAUAAUAAUAAUAAUAAGGUUCAUUGAGAGAAGACAUACAUCUACAAAACAUCAAGGUGUAAGGUUAAGAGAGAAGAAUUCAAUCCAUACCUGAUAUGGAGACAUGGAGUCGAACACAUUGACUAGAUUUGAAUAAUGGAAUUCAUCUAUGGGAACUUGUGUACCAUAAGAGGGUUGGUUUUUGGAGGCACUGGAAGGUGGUCGGAGUAAUGGUUGUGGCCAUUGAAAGGGCCAAUGGUGGUGGGAAGCCAUAGUCGCUGGUGAAGAGGAAGGUAGGUGAAUUGGAGACUUGGUAAAGAAGAUAAUGCAAGCUUGAUAAAAUUUCCUCCAUCUUUUCCUUCUCUCUUAUUUUCCUCACUAAUUUUUAAGGAAAAUAGUAGAAAAAAGAUUACAAUAUUUUCUUUAGUAUUUUCCUUUAUAUUUUUUUUUCUAUCAUAUUUUUCAUGUCACACAAACUAAGGAAAAUAACUUUCCACAUUUUUUUUUCCUUUCCUUUACAUUUUCUGAAAACUAAACACAACUUUUAUAAAUAAAAAUUAAGAAUUACAGUAAGAUUGUAUAUUCUUCCUCUUUCUUCCUGCAUUUCUACAUCCAAUACUCUAUUUUACAUCAUAUUUUUACUCCCUUCUUCAAUUAGCAUUCCUCCCUUUAUAUAGAGUUAUCUUCACACCAAUUCAUAAGAUUAGAAAGAUGAAUGAACAUUGGGGCAAGGUUGGACAACUGGUGGCAGCUAUUCAGGGCUAGAAGUCAACUUUUGCUCGACUUUUUGGGCAUGGGCAGCAACAUGUGGACCCCUCUUUAGCAUGAAAAUGGCUAGAACAUGUUAAGCUCUCUUAUUAGAUGAUGUGUCAACUAUAGGGCAAUCAUAGGGUGGGGAAUAUAUGGCAAUUAUGCACAAAAAAAAAAAAUGAAAAAUAGAAAAAUUGGUAUCCAAUUAUAUAGAAAGACAUCUUCCAACAUUUGAUAUAAAUAAAUAAAAAUUAAGAGAAAAAUAUUUUUUUUUUAAAACAUAUUAAACCUAAAAUAGGGACUUAAUAAUAAAAUCAAGUAAAAAGGUAAAAUUAAAACCAAAUAUUAAAUAUGAAUAUAGUUUAAAUAUUAAAAAUAUUAUUAUUUAGGUUUAAUCAUUGGGUUUGCUAGAGGAGUUUAUAUAUAUAUAUAUUUCUUUUUUUUUUUUUAUAAUCCUAUGUUGAUGAUAUUAAUGCAUUGAAUUUGAUGUUACCUAAAACAAAAUUAUAUUUCAUGUCCUCUAUUAUAAGUGGACAACCAUUCCUCAUGUUAGAUUUUAGAUAAAGAACGAAUAUUGAAGAUUGGAGUUGUAAGAAAUUAGGAGAUCCUAAUUUUAAAUAUGUAACAAAGUUCUAUAAUCACUUCAAUUCACGUUUAAAAGUAGUAUUUCUUUCUAAUAUGGGAGCAAACUUUUCUUUCUUUUUUAUAAAUUUCAUUUGAGAAUGAUUUUAAAAUAAAUAAAUAAAAGCCCUGCUAAAUAUUAAAAAAAGACACUUAUAAAAAUUAAUGAGGUGGAUGGUAAGGUCAAAUUCGGGAUAGCUUCAUAUUUUUUUGCUUUAAGUGAAAAUUAAAGUAAUAAUUUUUAAGAUGUUGUAAAAUUUUUAUUAAACAUAAAAGAACUUCUUGUGUAAACAAAAAUAGAAUUAUAGAAUUCUUAUAAGAAAUAACAUUUGUAUGACUUCUAUGUGAAACCUUUUUUUUAACUCUUAAAAGUCCAUCCAAAUAAGAUUAAAACAUAUUUGAAAAUCAUUUUUAAAAAUCCAAAAAUGACUUAAAAAUAAUUUCUGAACUUUUUUUAAAUUUACAUUUAAAUACUAAAUGAUUCUUUUAAAAAUCAUUUAUAAUGUCAAAAUAUUUUUUUAUGGAUAAAAAUAUUACAAAUAAAAAACGUUUUAAUCACAACUAAUUUAUUUUUAAUUCAUGAAAUUUCAUUUAUUGUUAUUUAUUUUUUGGGAUUUAAUUCUUUACAAUUAUUUUUGAGUGUUUAUAAAGUAUAAUUAGGUUAUGCCCAAAUUUAUUCCUUUAACUCUAUCCAUCAGAUAUAAGUAGCGUGAAAUUUUGGCCCGUCUCCACAUUUCUUCGCUUCUGACAUUGACAUGCACUGCUUCGUGAACUCCAAACACAACGGCUAAGGAUCGAAGAAAAUGAGACAAUGGUCAAUGAAUAAUUUAUUAAUUUAUUUCUUAAUUUAAUAGCAUUGAAAUGUCAACUGGAACAAAAUGAAAGCUUAAUUUAAUACCACUCAUGACAACUUUCCUGCCAACUUAACAUAUUGACUUGGACUUGGAGGGUUCGGUCAAUUGCGGCAGCUUAGUUAAUUGUUAGUGUCUUUUCUGUAAACCAUAAAUUUAAAUGAUCAACUCCUACGUUUUAAUUUAGAAAAGCCAGUGAUUUGUUUUUACUAGUUAUUUGAAUUUAAGGAAGGAGGAAAGGGUUUACUUUAAUAUAAAAUAAAAAAAAUAAAAAAUAAAAAAUGAGAGUUGAAAAGUAAUUAAAUCACUAAAAAAAAAAACAGAUUUGGAGUUCUUUCGGUGUGGGGUUAGACUCAAUUUGUACUCAUGCAAUGGAAAUGGACAAUUUUUUUUUUUCCUUUUCCUUUAUCUUGGUGUAGAUCUUGUAAUAUUUUAUAAAAAUAUAAACUAUAUGCCAAUUAUUUUAACUUUAGGAAAAAACACUUAUUCUAAUUUAAAAUAAGUAAAUAAAAAAAGAACUGAUUUUAUCUCAAUUGUAUAAGACUUCAGAAAAAUUAUCUUAUUUGCAAAAUAUUUUCAGAUGUAAAAGUAAAAAUUAAACAAACCAUUUGAUGAUCUUUUUCAUAAGUAUCCAUUUAGAUCAUACUCUAAUUUAAAAAUAUUAGAAUAAAUCAAUUACUCUAAACUAUAUCAUUUAUAAUUUUUUUGAUUAUUAAUAUGCCUUCCAAGGAAUUGGAAUAAAAUAUGGAUAAUUAAAAAAUGUCAACUAUCCCAUUUCUAACUUUUCUAAUACGACAUGAUAUUUUAUCAUGUUGAAUGAAGUGGGUAUGGCCAAAAAUUGUCAACACAAUAGAUAAAGAUAUAUCUAUUGUGGACAUGGCAUUCAGAGGCUUCUUAACAUUGUAUUGGGCUAUUUAAUGAGUUGUUCAUAUUGAAAUUAAUUAAGGUUGAAACAGGAACACAACAUCUUUAUAGAUUUUUAACAAUCCAAGAAAUUGACAUUAAUAAUCCCAAAUACAAUAUUCUGCUACUUAACAUUAUUCUUUUUAUCUUAAUUGAAGAGGAAUACUAACUUAGUCAAAUAGAAAAUAAAUCACGAAAGCUUAAUAAUACAAAUAUUCAGUGAAAUCUUUGGCAUGUUAUUUCUUUGCAGCUUCAACAUGGUGGCAUGUCGGAUGGAGGAGGCAGCAUUUGAGCUUCUGGGUGUUUACCAUUUUUCACUAUGAACGCAGUUUCCAUGCCCCAAGUCAGAUGGCGUUCUACAUGGCAGUGCAUGAACCAUACUCCUGCAACAGAGAAAAUAUACCAACAUUACACCUAACUUAAUUGUAAUAUUAAGAAAAAUUAUUUCAUUGGUAUGCAGGUUGGCAAUUUCAAGGGUUUUUUUCUUUAAUAGAGGACAUGAAUUCUUGUAACAUACCAGGAUUGGAUGCCUCGAAUCUGAUUGCAACCCAACCUUUCGAAGGAACAGAAAUGGUAUUCUGAAGAGGAGGAUCCACCAGAUUAUAGCGCAAAGGGUCCCUAUUUCCAUCGAAAUUCCCAAAUCCCCAUCCAACAACAUAGAAACUGUAUCCAUGGAGAUGCAUGGGGUGAUGUGUCUCUGCAAGCACGGCUGUCCCUUGAAAAAUAAUCUCCACUGUGGAGUUAUACUCGAGCACCCUUACUUCUGUUCCGCUACUCGGCAACUGAUAGGUUAAUGGAAGAUAAUCAUAUGUAAAAUCGAACACAAAUGAUGGAAAGCUAGGAAAGUUAUUUCCAUAUACACCACUGAUGUUAAAAUAGUAAGCUUCCAAUAUGUCAAUUGUAGGCAAAUCGAAGGUUAUGUUGUUUAUACUUGAGGAGAACCGCGUCCCAUUGGGCCCUGCACAUGAAUCAUUGACGCAUGGGUACGAGUUCAUAGAAAGAAUGUAAAACAGGUUAGUGCUCGUGCUCAAUGGGACAUUGCAAGGAUGUUCCGCAUCUGCUAAGCUUCGGAGGCCGGCCAUGACCUGAACCGAUGCAUUUGUGUCAUUGUAUGCAGGAAGAUAAGGCAAGGAGGGAGGUGAAGAUGGAGUGUAGUAUCCCCUGUACUGUACAAUAGCUGUGGUGGUUGUGUUAUCAUAAAAGUUUUGAUAUUGAGGGGCAACAGAAUAAGUUAUAGCCGCCAUGUAAUAUUGAUCUGGGCGUUGGUUAGCUUCUAGUAAGACAUCGUAGGUUUGGCCAGGAAAUAUUGUGAUAUAAUCUCGUGUCAAUGGUUUCGUGUAGCUACCAUCUGUUCCAACCACUGUCAUUUUAUGCUUGUCAAUGGCAAAGAAAAGAGCCUCGUGCAAGGCAGCAUUGAUUAUGCGAAGUAGAUAUGUCUUUCCAUGAUCCACCGUUAGCUUGAAUGUGCCUGCAAUUAGAAAGGGAAAGUUGUAUACUUAUGACUAGCCAAAAGAAAAAGAAAAAAUUUCCAUGAGGAUCCACCAAUUAUGAAGUGAUUGAUUGAUUAAGGGUGUAAAUUUGGCUCCAUAGUUCAAAAUUAUAUUUGGACUAGAUGUGUUAAAUCAUAGCUCUAUCAUCCUUAUAGCUAUAUUCCUCUUUCUUAGCAUUAAGCUUUAAAUAUGUUGAUGUUAAUAAGAAAAAGUAAUAUGGUUAACAUAUAAGAAAAUGAAAUCAUGUACAAUUUUAAAAUGGAAAGUUAAUCUUUGUACUUGAUUUUGAGCAUGGAUAUAGAUCACCGGGUUGUCCAUUUAUCAAUAAAGCAUCAGAGGGGUCGGGGUCGCCUCCGGUUGCAAGCCCUUCAUCUCGAACCGUAUUCACAUCACUCUUCCAC